rnacentral:lncRNA from 1 species
CGCCGGCAUGAAGAUUUCACGGAUCUUGGCCUGGACUUGGAAACGGCUGCUCCGGCGGCAGGAGAUGAGUGCCGGCGUAGUAGGGUUGCGGGCGAGGGUGGGGAUGAAGGAGGUGUUGAGAAGGUGAGCCAUGGACAUGAGAGAGGGGAGUUCACAAUGUGAGUGAGAGAGAGAAUGUCGAUGAGUUUUAAGGGCAAGGUGUUUGUUCCAUUUUAUGCUCGGCUCUGGGUCUCCUCGACUGCAUCGAAAUCCUGGCGGAGGUUCCAACUGCCUUACCGGUGAAUGUGAUGAUGCUGAUGUGUCUCUUUUGCUUCCUUCCCUCUAUAUUUUUUUUUUCCUUGUAAAAAGCUAACAAAACAUUUUAGCUAGCUUUAUUAACGUACCCUUUUGUCUCACGUUAUAAAAAUGUGUGUUAAUAACACUAGCCAAUAUUUAUGGUUCUUGUUCUUGGGGGUUUGUCUAAUAACGUCAUCCACGUUGCUGAUACCUUUGGUCGUCUUCGUUUCUUCAGAAGUCUCACAUUCGUCCGGUAUUAAAAAGUCUUCUAGGUUGUAUAACCCUGAUUAAGGUUACAGUCAUCACUCUAUUUAUGCGGCUCACAUGACAUAUGCGAAUACAGCUCAAUUCUCGCUUGUUUGUAUUUAAUCAUGUUCUUAAUUGUAACAUUUUCAAUCUAGAUGUGUUUGUGCAUCUUGUUUAUAUUGUUCUUAAAAUAAGUUGAAAUGUGUUUGGUGAGUCAUUUUUAACGUUAUCAAUUUUUUAUUUUCUUAGAUUUAAAAAAUAUGAAAAAUACGUUUCACAGUAAAUUACCGAAUAUAUUUUUAAAGCAGAAAAUAGAAUCUCAUUUUCUCAUUUUUAUUUUUUAAAAUUGUUUUUAAAAAUCGUUUUCAAAAAGGUUACCGACAGGGUGUGAAUUUCAAAAAAGUAGAGACGCGAGAGCAAGGCGGCGCUCUCCCUCUUGGUGGGGUGUCGAUCUUGGGUACCAAAGGCGGCGACGCAGAUUAGCUUUCUGUGUCGAUCGUGCUUGGCAGCGGGUAGAGGAAUACUUUGCGGCGGCGAUUCGAUUGCUUUCAUCGUAUUGUUCCCAGUUUGGUUGGGAUCGAGACCGCAAGGGGUUGGUGUGUUUUACCAAAUGCGGCUUGGGUUUCAUUGGAGGUGCACAGUUCGUUCUCAGAUCCUUUAAGUGAGGGUAUCUGAGCACUAGGUCUUGACAUUGUUGAAGGUCAAAUUCGUCAAAGCAUUGUGUCCCCGCUGUGGAGGCUUGCUGGAUGGUUUUCGGUUACGUCUUCUGUGAAGGGAGCGGUAACGAUCGCAGCAGUCUGACCGGGCGUCAGAGAUGAUGCUUGUGGUGAGGUGCGGGCAAAGGCCGGAAUCAGUGGCGGCGGAGUCUGGGGUGCCCUUUUGGGUGACCAUUGUAAGGUCCUCUAUUGGGCCUGUGUCCAUGACCUAGGGUUAUCUUUUAAGGUUGGGCCCAGGUUGAAUAAUUUGCUAGGAUUGGCUCUCUAAUUCUUUCUGUCAUUAGCUAGUUCUUUCAAAUUUUUUGGAUUCUCUAGUUUCGAGUUUAUUAGUCUCAUGGUAGUUUCGGUUGCAUGACAUCAGUAUUAUCGGUGAGUAUUAAUUAAGCCAAUUUGGUUUAUGGAACUGCUUGGAUUAAAUUUUUAUAAUCUCUCAAAUUGUCCCUACAUAUAAAACCUUUAUACCAAACACGAUUUUAUAAACUGAGGGUACAAUAGGGAAACAAUAAAUAAGAAAAUACUCUGAUAGUUGGGAGCAAACUCUCAACCACGUUUUAAGGAGAAAAAAAGGUAAUCCACUCCCACUCAAAUUCAGUUGCUCUCACCCUUAAAACGUGUUGGGAUGGGAAAUAGAAGGUUCAUUGUUUCUUUGAACAAAAAUCAAUAUCUCAGAAAAUCCGCUCAACUGCUAUACAUGAAGAUCGAGAAAUCAAGCACACAGGUUGUAUAUCGAUCAAGAACACUUCUCUAAAUUUCAUUAUUUGCAUUUGCGACCAGAUAUGUAAUCACAUAGUGCUUUCUCUUUAGAUUCGGAUCUUGAAUGCAUCAAGGUAAUAUUUCUCUUCUUUUGUCAGUAUGUACUGUAAGAAAAGAAAAAGAAUUUGAAAUAUUGCGUUUCGGUGUACAUGUACUCCAUCAAGGCGAUUGAUGAACUUCUUCUUGCUCUUUGUUGAAUUGGUUAUGGUUAAGUUUAUAUUUAUUUGACCAAUUACUUGUUUUACUUCUGUACGUGUAUCUCAUGUGUUCAACUUCGAUUACAUAUUACAUGCAAGUUUUUUAUUCACUUUUUCAAUACGUACUUGCAUGGAUUGAUUAUGUAUAUAUACAUGUUUAUAUACUUUUCUUUGCUUCUGUUUCAAAUAAUACAGAUCUAACGAGAGUGAGCAGAGGUGCAUAUACAGGAAAAUAGUAUGCCGAGAGACAGACUUCUAUUUUUGAAGAAUAACCAGUGGGUAAGCAAUUUGAUUUUGUAAAGUAAAAAUCAUUCAUGUUAUAUGCUUUAGCCAAUACAUCAAGUAAUAUGGAGCUUGAAAAAUAGUAGACGCCGAUUUUGAGAGGAAUGAGAUAUGUUAUCAGUUUCUCACUUAUUGUCUUCAGUGCAGUGCAGAAUGAUGUCAAGACGUUUCCAUCCAAUCAUGUAUGUGUAACAUCAAUUGGAAACUGAAGGUUAGAUGAUAUUUGAAUGAUUUGAAGCAUCUAAGGUCUGAUUAAGUAUAAUGCAGUUUUGUGUCUUUAUUUUCCUAGUUUAAUAUUUUGCAGGGAGAACGAACAAACAGAAUGAGGAACCUCGUAUGGAAGUUUUGGUCAUCGAAAUUUUUGUCUUCUUCGCGUUAUAUAAGAUAGUCUUCUUUCAUGCAAAGAAGAAAACAUAUAAAACAUCACUUUGAUAUAGAGAAGGAUGGGGACGUCUGCUGUGUAUGCAGUGCAUGGAGUACUAACCAUGUCUGGGUGUUGUCUGGCUGACGACGUCAACACACAAUGAGGCAGUCAAAUUAGAAAUUUUUACCUCUGAUAUGUGUGUAAUCGUCAUCUCACAUUCCCACCUAAUCCACCUGACCAUGGAGGACAUCAAGCAAACAGAGAGAGUUCGGGUUUGGGUUUAGGGUUGAGAUAAUAUCCUCUCUCUCAGUUCGGGUUCGAUCCGGUCUGUGCGGCGGCGACGUUUUCAUAUCGGCUCUACAUUCGUUUCAGGCGCCUUUCGCAGAUCGGCAAACGAUGUCAAUUUUUUUUUUGUUGGUAUCAGAAACGACGUAUACCGAAACGGGAUCGAGUUCAAUUUACAGGAUCGAAGGCCGAGUUGAGUCGGUGGUGUUGGAAGGAGCAAAGAAAGAAUGCGACUAAAUUGAAUUGAAGUUUCUGAUUCGAUUAUAAUGGAUUUUUAGUGUCUAAUUUGCUUGUUAAGGAUUGAUUGGGUUAAACGUCUAAAGAGAUGAGUCACCCCGACAUCGUCCUAUUAUGUAAAUGUGGUCUGGGUUAGAUUUAACGAAUUCCAUUUCUUUCUGGCAAGAUUUCAAUCAAGAUUUUUCUACUUUUGAUGAAACUCUUAACAUGCUUGAAAUGGAUACUUCCUUAAUCAUAAACUAACCUUUAACCAUGUAUAUUUGAUUCUAGCUAGCACUAUAUCCUAAAUCAUUUUGUUCCUUCAAUGCUCAUGGAUUUGGUUGUUUGUGAAAAUUUAAACACAGGGCUUGGAGUUUGGUUAGCUUCUGUUUACUGGAAGCCAUGUGUAUCAGUUUAUAAACUGAUUUCUCUCUAUCUUCUUGUUUCGGUAUUUUCUCCCAAAUAUGAUAAAGCUUCCGGAAGUCUUUGGUUUCUUGGUCUUGCUAUACACAGGUUGCUGCUGAUUACAAGGUGGUUGCUUAUACCCCAGAUGUUAUGGAACGGAGAAGAAUGCAGGCAGAUGCACUUCCAGCUGUAUUUGAAACAUAUUUUCACAUAUUGAAGCACACAAUGCAGUCAUCAACUGUCAGGUUUAUAGUGCAUCAUUUUUCAUGAACUUCUAAUCUGUCUUGUCCUAUGAGUCUGGUUUAGCUUAAAAUUUUAGUUAGAGAAAGAAAGAGAGGAUUUGCAUAUUGAGGUGUCUUCAAGUCCCAGAAUUGUUUUAGGUUCCAUAUUAGGCAAGUCAAACGUUUGGGGGAACCACUCUAGUCUAUUGGUUAUGUAAAGGCGGUUUAUUUGUUGCCAUUCGGUUACCAUGUAAACCAAGAAGUUGUGGAUACAUCUGUAAACUGCACAACUGUUCAAUGAUUUGUUUUUUAUUUCUUUCUUUUUUGAUGUCCAUUAUGUGUAUUAUAGAUAUAGGAUAUUUGAAGUAAGCUUACAAAGACAAGCAUACAUAAGCUCUGAGACUUAAUAGGCUAUGGAUGACAUGGUUUCUAGAAAAGUUGAUAGGCUAUUCACUAAAUCUAGUAGGCAAUAAAGAAGCUUGGUAUCUAAUUCCGCCCAAAAAUAAUCAUCAUUUACCUUGUCAUCCGACAUUCGAUCUUGUUGAAGAAAUUUAUGUUCAUUUCUAUACUUCCAAUGUAUCAGACCUUUUCAGUCUUGUGACAGUUUAAUUCUUGUAAAUGCAUACACUCGAAUGGUUGUUUACGCUCAAACAGGCUUCUUUAUGGAUACCUCAAAUGUAUAUGUUGUUUGGAUCAACUAGGCAUUCAAAGUUCGGUGGAUUAAGAGUUCUGAAAUCGGAGUCUGUCUGGAGUAAUUUAUAUUUGUUCUUUCUGGUAGUCUACAUCUGCAGAUUUUUUGUAUAUAUCAGAUUUCAAAUACAUUCACAAAUUUCAUGUAUUUUGUUACUCAGAUCUGAAGCAAAUCUUGGUGUAUCAACCGGUGCUAUGGACUGUGGACUAACUGCAGGGUUAGUACGUAAUAGUGCUCACUUGCUGUAAUGGUUGUCAUCUUGUCAUUUGUUUUGUUAUUUGGUCUACCUUUUAUAGGCUCUCUCUCCUGGCUUUGGAUAGAUGUACCUCUCUAUAUAUCAUCCAGUGUAGCUUUUCAGUCUUGCUUAAACAUCUGUCUUUUAGUCUGGUCCAAUACACAAAUGUUAUGCAUGAAGAAUGACAAUCAUGGUCGUUGGUUUGAAACCUUUUAACCCAGAAAAAGUUCUUACCGGUACUUCAUUGAAUCAUGACUUCCCUUGAUGAUUCUUCACGUUCUCAGUUCAUGCAUGUCCUUUGGUUCUGUCUUGUUUGGUCCCUAAAUUUCACAAGAAAAUUGAUUCUUGGCUGAUGGAUCUAUUGGCUCUCUAGUUGAUUUCAUUUAAUUAUUAAACAAGCACUGCUUUUUGUACUACCAGUAAUUCAUUGAUUGGUUGUGUUACAUGGAGACUUUCAUUGGAUAUCCUAUAUAUAGUGAUCAUACCACAUAUUCUAUGCUGUUUGAUAUGUUUGUUAAAGAGUCUCACUGGAUUCAUUACGUGUCUUUAAAUGUGUGCGUCUCAGUUUAUUUUCAUGCUCAGUUUUUGAAUUCCAGGAAUGAUUAAUAGUCAUAAUUCUAAUUUUUGGCGGUAGAAAAUGUUGUAAUAGGUGUAAGACUAUAUCUGCACAAUUACUUAUCUGUUUUUCAUUUCUAUUUUGUGCUGUGUAUUAAGUUGAUCCUUGCAUCAUGAUGUUAGUUCUUAUGUUUAAGACUAAUAUAUGUUUCUCUCCCUAGGUUUGAUUCGCCUAGUGUGGCUUAGGUUGUUCGUUCGUGUGAAAUAUACUGACAAAAAUUUCAGAGAUGGUUUUGGCGGUCGAAGAAGGAAGGGAAAGCGAGCUGGAUCGGAUAUGGUUUUCAGGUUUGGGUUUGGGAAGGGAUUUGAGGCUCGGCAAUAGAUUGGGAAGACGGGCAUUCAAUUUAGGGUUCCUCCCUCCUCCCUCCUCCGCUUCAUGACCCGAGCUCAGCUUCCCCACUCGAUCCACACCUCUGAAUCUGAAAUCAGAGCUCGCCGUCCAUGGCGACGCGGAAUCGGACUCCGCUCUUCAUAAAGUACCGGGAUGUGUUGAAGAGCGCCCGCGCUCCGUUGAGCUCGUCGGCGUCCACCAGCUCUGGCGGGAGAGGUCCGGUGAUUGAAUUGUCGUCGCUUGUGAAUUAGAAUCAAAACUAUGCUCCGCUCAGUACUGAAGAUCCCGGUAAUUCAAGGUCUCUCUUUCUCUAUUGAUCUCUGGAUUUGAAUUAAGCAAAUUGAAAGGUGUGAUAUUUAGUUGGAUUGAAGUUUGGGGAUUUUGAAUUGGAACUGUGGAAUGUGUGGUUUAUUUGAAGUUAGUGAGCUUAAUGCGGAUUAGGUGAUGUUGAAUUAGAACAUUUAGAUAGGAAUUGAAGGCUGGAUUGUUAGAUGAGAGUUUUUAAAGUUUUGAUAUUUGAAUGAUCUUUAGGUUGGGAGUGAUACAUUAUGAUUUUUUUGAACUUGUUAGAUUAGACUUCUUAACAUUUUGGCAUUGGUUGUUUGAAUGUUCAAGUAGCAAUCUUUAGGCAGAAGGUGAAGUUAGAAGUGGAUUGUGAUGAGAGACUUGAAGAUUUGAAGAGUUGAAGUUUAUGGAGAUUAUUGGUUAUAAAUUAUCAUUGUGAUAUGAGUUAGCUUCAACAAGUUACCAAAAUGAGCAAUUCAAAUGGUUUAGGAUCCUGCUAUCAUUGAGUUUGAUGUUUAAGCGUGAACAUUAUUUGGUAAUCGUGGAGAAUGUGGUAAUGCAGAAUCCCACACAUCUAAGUGCUUAUAUUUGAAAAACUUAUUUGAAUUGCUGAGUAUCUCUGUGUUUGUUUCUGUUGUGAGCUCUCUUUGUGAUCCUCAGCCACAUAGGCUAGUCUGGGCACAGGGGAAUAAUGUGAUUGUUCCGAUAAACCCUUUGUGAAUUUAUCUUUCCCUUUUUAGUUGUAAAAAGGGAGAAGCAAAUGUGCUGAUAUUGUGAUAUGAUAUGGCAAGAUUGAUGUGAUACACAAUGUAACAUGUGAUGAUCAUGUCAGCUUGUGUUUUGAACAAGACUGAAAUCAGUUUGUUAAUAAUAUGGGCUGUGUAGCGAGUUAGAAAAUGGUGUUUUGUUGUUUUGUUCUUUAUGUUAGUUGCUUUUUGAACUACUUGCUGUGUUUAUUACCACAUCAUAACUCAUUACCCUUUGUUUGUGUAAUUUCAGGUAUUGAACAAGGCAAUGACAAUGCUUAGUCGUGAUUGAAUGUAAAGUAAGAAGCAGCAUAGGAGUUUUUGACCAUAUCUAACUGUUGAACUUAGUUUUUCAUAUGUUUAUUUUGAUGAGUAGUUCUGCUGCAAUGUUUUGAUUUUGAUUUUGUUGACUUCUCUUCUUUGGGGUUGUGCUUGUUAUGUCAGCCCAUUAUUAAAAGAGAACAAUUAGAUGUCCUUCGACAUAAUAAUAAUAUUGCGUGCAAUCUUAUUAUUAGACUUUUGGACCUUUUCUAUAUUGAUCUUUUGAAACCACCCUGCAUAUGCCUGAUAUGUUGUAUUAAUGCACUUGAAGAAUGUAAAAAGAUUUGGAUUCUCAACAUGGUAACCUCAUGUUUAGGUUAUAGAAAGUCAACUGGGCAGCUGUAUCUUUUGUUAACAAAGUUAUUUCUUUGUUCCAAAAUUCUUUCACUUUCUUGCUAUAGUAGUGAGUUUUUUGCAUAAUAAGUUCAAUUUCGCAGCAAUCUGUGAUUUUGUUGGCAUUGUAUACCUAGUCUGCAUGAGUCCCAAACUGGAAGACGAAUUGCGUAUAAAACCUAGUCUGCAUGAGUCCCAAACUGGAAGACGAAUUGCGUAUAUGUGUUUCUUAGGGGAUUUCUGUUAAUUUUGAGGCUCUAUACUAGGUACUUGUCAGAUUUAUGAUAGUCGUGUUUACUUCCAUAAACAUCUGCGGUAAGUAGUUCAGGAUUAUCGUGUAGGUAAGCUUUGAAUUGGCUUUCUUCAUUCAUGGGUUUUCUGUGUUACCUCAAAAUGUACUGGAAAAAAGAAUUAUGUCGUAUAAGUAGUUCAAGAGUCUACAAACUGGAUUUCACUGGAAAAAAAUGUUGUUGAUAUGACCACAAAUUCUAAUGUUACCAGUUCAAAUGGAACAACAACUUGGUGCAUUGCUUCGAGUAAAGCUUUUGUAGCGGACUUGCAGAAUGCCUUGGACUGGGCUUGUGGUUCUGGGAAUGUGGACUGUACCCCGACUUUAAUGAAGUGAAUUCAGCCAGCCAGCCUUGUUUGAGACCCGGACUUUAUCCGAAAUACGUGAUUUUUUCAACCAUAGCUGUAUUUUACCAUUCUGAUCACAUCUUAUUUUACGUGAUUUUUGAAAAUUUUGUUUCCACUGUAAAGUUGGUUAACAAAGAUGUACACUUGUAUAUAACAGUCAUACCACAUUAGUAGGCACGUUGUGAUUUCGAUGACUAAAAUUCAUAAAAUGAAAAUUCUCCGUCUGAUAUGAUCAUCGUAGUGUACUAUGACUAUGGUAUAAAAUUCAACUGGAUUUGGCAAUGUUUGGGGCUCGAUCGAAGCAGUCAACCCUAAUCUAUGGUCACCUAUACAUGGAAACGCUCACACCUACGUCGACUCUUCCACACAUUAAACUCUUACAUAGAUGAGACGAAACCGCCCAUGUAAAAAUUUAGAGACGUUUACCUCCCGACGAUAGGGCUCCCGAUAGAGAAACAUAAACGUAAAAAGAGUUGACCGUUUAUAUCCGGACCCAUACUGUACCCGAAAUACAUGAUUUUUCAAUCAUAACGGUAUUUCACCAUUUCGAUCACAUCCUAUUUCACGUGAUUUUUGAAAAUUUUGCUUCCACUGUAGAGGUGAUUCACAAAGAUGUACACUAAUAUAUAACAAUCAUACCACAUUAGUAGGCACAUUGUGAUUUUGAUGACUAAAAUUCAUAAAUUGAAAAUUCGACCGUCUGAUAUGAUCAUCAUAGUGAACCAUGGCUAUGGUAUAAAAUUCAACUGGAUUCGGCAAUAUUUGGUGCUUGAUCGCAGCGGUCAACUCUAAUGUAGUGUCACUUAUCACACGAAAACGCUCAUACAUACCUCUCUGUGACCUGGUUUGGUCACGUCUUCCACACAUUAAACCCUCACAUAUAUGAGACGAAGCGACCCAUGUAAAAAUUUAGAGACGUUGCCUCCCGACGAUAGGGCUCCCCAUAGAGAAGAUUAAGCGUAAAAAUGGUUGACCGCUUUUCUCGGGACCCAGACGUUACCCGAUAUAUGUGAUUUUUCAACCAUAGUCGUAUUUCAUUGUUCCGAUCAUAUCCUAUUUCACGAGAUUUUUGAAAAUUUUCUUCCUCAGUGUAGUUGGUUCACAAAGCUGUAAACUUACAUAUAACCCACUAAACUAGUUAUACCACAUUAGUAGGCACGUUGUGAUUCUAAUGACAAAAUUUCACAAAAUGAAAUUUCGACCAUCUGAUGUGAACGGUAUUGUAAAAUACGGCUAUGAUAGAAAAAUCAAAUGUAUUAGGCAACGUUCGGGCCUUUAUCUAAACGGUCAACCCUAAUUCAUCGUCACUUAUCACACAUAAUCGUUCUUAACUACCCCUCCGCGACCUAGUUUGGUUGAUCAUUCCACACAUUAAACUUUCACAUAGAUAAGAUGUAAUCACCCAUGUAAAAGUUAGAGGACAUUUACCUUCUGAUGAUAGGGCUCCCCAUAGGGAACAUUUAGGGUAAAUAAGGUUGAUUGUUUUGAUCGGGGCCCUAACAUUGCUGAAUUAAAAUAUUUUUUCUAUCAUUGCCGUAUUUCACUAUUUCGAUCACAUUUUAUUUCAAGAGAUUCUUGCAAAUAGUUGCACUAAAAAGAAUUUUACACAUUGAUAACACUUCAUUAAUAGCGUUUAUUCACCAGUGCUAUAAUUGGCCAUUCUGACCUGAAAUAAAUAAAUAAAGGAAACGCUAUCUAAAGUCUCGCUCCUAUCAAAAUUCAAAAAUGAUAGCGGGGUCUAAAUUUUCAUUUUCCCUUUCCCACCACUUAUCGUGCCCGCCCAAAUAAAAAGUUAAAACACUCAUCAAAUCCGCCCGCCGCAGAAAGGUAAAGAACUUCUCCUUCUUCAGUACCUCAGACAAUCUCUCUCCUAAAUCCCAAUCCAUCUCUGCCGCUCCCUCAACCGCCGUUACGAUCUCCACUCGUCCUCAACCUUUCGACCCCUCCUCUCAAAGCUCUCUUUCCCCUAUUCCCGAAACCCUAAUGGGCGAAAGCUCGUGGAGGCCAUAGCUGAAGAUCUGAGGUCGGGUUUGGAAAACCUAAUUGGCAAAUGGUCUUCUGGUGUGGGAACUUCGAUUCAAGGUAUGCGGUUACGGAUUUUCAAACUCUAACCGGUGAAGGAACUUCUCUAACCUCUCUCAUCAUCUUUCUUUGCCUCUAUGCAUUCAUGUGGAUGGGUAAUCAGAUUUGAUUAUUAACUGUAGUUGUUCAACUAUUGAGGCUUUAGAGACAAUUGGGGAUCUUUUGUUCAGUUGGGUUUCCAAUUGUUAUUGUUUACUUUUAGUGAAUUCGUUUCAUGUUAUUGUUCGAUUGAACUUUCUCUAAUCAAAACAAUAAACCCUCAAAAUUACUAAAUGAUUAGGGGUUUUCUGUACUUGUUUCUUAUUUCAGAAAAUCCCAAUGAGCUUAGUUUUUGGAUUCUGUCAUACUUAAUGGUAAAUGGCCAAAUAGAAAAUACGGACGAGUUCCUUUGUUUGUUUUUAUGUUUUUGUUUUUCUUCUUUGUUACAGAAUAGCUGAGAGUUGCAAUUCAGAUAUGAAAAAUUGUGUGAGAGUCAAAUUCUAUGUGCUCAUUAUAGUUUAGUUUCAAAGUAUGCUUUGGAGACAUCAGUCAUCCUAUAUAUAUUCUUUAUCUGCGAGGGCAUGGGGUGACAGUAAAAGUAAAGCCAUCUCCCAUGACCAAAUUCUCUGAUUUGGAAUUGGAAUAGAAUGGAUCAUUUGGCUUUGUUUGCAGGGUGUGAGGACAGUAGAGUUGGCUACCACGUGACUUUUUUGUAAAUUCGGUUGGUCACAUAUAUACUAGAAUAACUGGUAUAUAUAUGUUAUCUAUCCCAAGUAGAACUAAUAUAGCUAGUUUUUGAUUUACAUGAGAACAUAUUAAUGUGACUUGUGGAAUUAGGUUUUUGGCACUGCCUACAUUUGGAGAAGGGUGGCACAAUUCAAGUAUGAAAAAUUUAUUUGAGAUUCACAUUCAGUGUGCCCUUUUUAGUUUAAUUUCAAAAUAUCCUUUGGAGACAUUGGUCAUCCUAUAUAAGUAUAUAUAUUGUUUUUUCACUCUUACUCUUAUUUAGAUGGUUGGCCCUUUAACAUUGAGUACCUAUAGAAUCAGUUAUGAAUGUUAUAUUUUCAGGCUCUGAUUUUUCUGACUUUUAACUUCUCAUUGUUUGACCUUUUGUUUUGAUUAAACCUUGGUGAAGAACUAUGGAAGCAGCAUGUGAACUGGGCAAGAAAUAAGGGACAGUGCUUGACAUGAUACAAUGAUUUCUCUAAGGAACCCUGUUGUAAAGGUUUACUACAAGAACCAUGUAAUUGUAAGUGAAAAGCACAUAUUAUUCUAGUCUUAUCAGUUUGGAAAUUAAGCCUAGAGGGUUAUGAUUUAUGGCUUGUUGGGUAUGCAAAAUGUGCUUUCUUACCUUCAUUUUUUUGUUCUUCAGAUGUGUGUUGAUGUGUGUAGAUAAUCGAUUGUGUGUGUGUGUGUAUACACUGACCUUUAUUGUUUGAAGGGUUUUGUUUGAUCAACUACAGCUAGACAAUGGCAACUAGGUAAGAGAAAAACCUACAAUCUAGUUGAUGCUCUAACUCGACAUAUUGUUCAAGUAUUUAGCUUUGGUUUGUCUUUUAUUUGGACCACUUUAGAUUGCUUUGCUCUUUUUGUUGUUCAAUUUAUUGUAAUCUAAUGAUAUAUUCAUUCUAUGAUAUUUUACUGGUUAUUCGGUUUAUGUAGCUCAGUUAUGAGUCUUUUACUAUUAAGUUCAUUCUUCUUUACACAACCUGCAGGAAAGAUACAACUAGAUGAAUGCUAAAAAAAAAGAUUUAAAUUGACAUAUAAGUGGAAGAGCUCAACUUCAAAAUUGAAGAGUUUGUCACCUUCAAGUCACUUGUUGAUAAGUGGCUAAGUGUCUCAGCAUCAAGAGUUUUAUAUAUGCUUUAGAGAGUAAAUAAUUUAUUAGGAUUUGUAUCAAGAGCACACAAGGUAGUGAAACAUGUUGGCUAGCUGAGAGAACGCAGAGGUGUGUAAUUUGAUCAAUGACACUUGUAUUUUGAUUGUUUUGAGAUUAUUAAUGAAAAUAAUGUUGUUGUGAUCACAGAUUUCAGAUAUAUUAUUGUACUUCCGAGUUGUAAUUACAUUGUAUUGUAAACAUUGAUGCGAAAUCUACAAGACAAUACAACAAUUAAAAUGUUAUUAGGUAUAAAAUCAAGCAAAUGCUAUGGAUUGUGUUUUGUGAUUGCUUUCUUCUUUUGUGCUCUUUUGUGAUUGCUUCUUCUUUUGUGCUUCUUGUAUCUACCUUGAUGCGGGUUUGGAGGCAAAGAAAGUACAUCAGUUGAUCCUUUUUUACACCAAUCUCAAUUGAAAGCCACGCUCUAAAUUCAACUGUCAUAAUUCAGCAAGGUAAAACAGAGUAAGAAAACGAUCCUUUAUAUACACAUGCAACUGAUUGCAUUUUAUUUACAAAGCUGUCCAUCACAUGGUAUCAAAAUUUACAUCAGAUGUACCCAGAUCAGAGUGGACUUUCUACUUCAUACCACUAUAUUAACAAAAAGCCACCAUUCCAAACAAAUACGUACUGAGCACAAUCUAAUGCUCAAUAAAGCAAAAGUGAGGCACUCAGUCCACAAAGCAAGCAUAACUGGGUAAUGAACUCUGAUUUAAGUCAACUCUGGAAUAUCAGAAACAUCACCACACUUCUUUCCUGAGAACAUAUGAAACAUAGGGAAGUGAGCUUCACAAGCUCAGUAGGUACAGAAGAUAAUCAAUAAUACUAUGAUUCAAAUUUAGAAUGCAAUUGGAGUAAUGGGAAAGAAUAUCAGUAGUAAACGGAAUGAAAUGGAAUUAAAUUAUGAAGGUUGCUGCUGAGAAUUAUGAGAAUGGAAUCAAUGACUCAAUUGAUAUAAGGUUACUCAGCUUUCAACAAAGACGACAUUCAGCUUGGGACACUUAAAUAAACAACUGAACAUGUAAAAGGAACAACAAACUGAGACCAACACUUUUGAGUCACACUCUGUGACAUUAGAAAAUUAAACCCAACGCAAAUCUGACAAUAGCAAUAAGACCAGAGUCUUCUUUUUCUUUCAAACACUUUGUUCAACGUUCAGAAACCCUUGUUCUUCUUUUCCAACGAAAUCCUUGAAAUCCUUCCUUUUCCGGUUAGAGCCCAUUGCUCGUAUUAAGGCCAACGAGCACACCCCGAACAAGCGGAAAACCCUCGUAUUAAAGCCAACGAGGACACCCCGUACUAAGCGGAAUCCUGAUCAUUACAAAACUGUUGGUCUAUUCACCCUAGGGAGGAACAAUCCCUACUUAACUUAUCCCGGGCCUAAAUAAAUAAUACCGUUCAAAACCAAAAAUGUCCUUUCUGUAAACCUUUUGGCUUCUUUAAGCCAAAACAAUCAUUAAGGGAUUUCAAGAGACUGAAAUACUCUUUCUUAUAGAGAAGUUCUGCCAUGAAGUAAACCUUGAAAGGUAAAUCUCUUUUUGUGUUUGUCAAGAAACACAACUUUAACAACUCAUGCUUUAUGAAAAUCAAAACGAUAGAAACACUCAAGCUUGAGACUUUGAGACUUUAAAGCCGCAGGCAACAUAGCUUUGGCUCAGAUAUACUUUAAUGAGGAAACAUGUAAGCAUGAGAAGUUAAGAACCACCAAACUGAUAGUAAACAGGAAACUUAACAGGAGAACAAACAGGGGUAUACAUAUAGGUCUGGAAAUCUCAAAAGGGGUACAAUACGAAACAAACACAAAAUCAGAAGUAAGGUAUUGCAAAAGAAUGGACCUCUGUUUUGUAUAAAAAAAAACAAUUGAUUAAAUUUAGUUUUGACCCCAGACUUGAUGAGGAAAUCAGAACUUCAUUUAACAACUCAACAAACAAUGCAAAUAUACAUAUGUGAUUUGCUCAUCGCAGCAACCUAAGCUUAGUAAGACAAAACAGGGACCAAUCUGUUUUCUUUUUAGUAUUUGAAACUUUCCCCAGAUAUAGGCAUAUGUGAAGGGACCUGGUGUAUACUUAGUAAACUGAUAAUGGACAUGGAUAUCUGUUCAAACUCGAAGGUAAUUUGCAGCAAGACUAGUUCACAAUAGGAUUUGUUUUUAGGAAUACUACCAGUUGGAGUGUUUUUAACGUUUAAUAAGGCAAUGACCAAUAAUCAUGUGAAUUCAAGGGUAGAUUACCGAAGAUGUAUUCAGCGGUUCCUCCCGAGCUUUGAACAUAGACUUGACGCUGCCCAGAACUGCCUCAUUUAGGGCAGAAACCUACAGACAAUAAAGAGAAUCACAAGACAUUCCAAAGAAAGCAGAAUCAAAUUGAUGAGAUGCUACAAAUGUGAAGUAUUUAUACAGACCAAGUAUAGAACUUCCCGAGACCAAGUAUACACAACAUACACAUCUCUAAAUCACUCCUAUUCAAUAUAGGAUGUAAAAUGCAAUUCCCACGCAUAAAGAACAAGACCGCAACUAAAGCAAUGAAAUAUGCACACACACCUGGCUACCGCAAUGACAACGGCUCCAACAACCUUCCCAAUCUGUACCGCCGCAAGUCCAACACCUCCUGCUGCACCAAGCACCAACAACACCUACAAAUAAAACCGAAAAUGAAGACUGUACAAUGUACACAUGCAAUCACCAACAGUUUGUGUUCAAAUUGCAGACAUGAAAUUGCCUAUGUUUAUGCACAAGCAACUUAUAUUAACCCCAACUGGACAUGAGAGUCUAGAUACUGAUUUUGAGCUGAUAGAGUUACUAACAUAGAUGGGCAUGCUACUGUCUUUCUAAAACUAUACCUAAUUGACAUCUCAGUCCAUUUUAUCCUACAAGAUAACUGUAGAAUUGGAUCCAUACAGCCUUUCAAUAAACAGAAAAUCCAAAUGAACACACAGAUACACAAAGAUAGCUUCUAGUAGACAGAAGCUAACCAUACUCCAAGCCCUUGUGUUUAAAUUUUCACAAACAACCAAACCCAUGAGCCAGAAUCAAAUAUACAUGGUUAAAAGUUAGUUUAUGAUUAAGGAACUAUCCAUUUCAAGCAUGUUAAGAGUUUAAUCAAAAGUAGAAAAAUUUUGAUUGAAAUCUUGCCAGAAAGAAAUGGAAUUCGUUAAAUUUAACCCAGACCAGAUUCUCAUAAUAGGAGGAAGUCUGGGCAACUCAUCUCUUUAAUCAUUCAACCCUAAACAAGCAAAUCAGACACUAAAAAUCCAUUAUACAGUAUCAAUACCUGAAAUCGACUCAGAAACUUCAAUUCAGUAGAUGAUGGUGUGUUUCUGAGUCACAUUCUUUCUUCGAUGUUAGCUACUUUCAAAUAAAAAAGACGACGAUGAGGUGUCUCCUUCCCAUCACUCCUGUUGCUUUGUAAUCUCCUAGCUGAACCUCAAACCUUUGCUGAGGGUGAGGCCGGUGCGGGACAAAUCCCAAGUUGGGGGAAUUUCAUCGAUGGUUUACGGGUUUGGGUGAGACUGUGAGAGAUGAUCGGGUAUUAACCAAUGCGAAGCUUCUUCAACACACCUCUCUAGUUACCCACCUCCAUAUCAUCGAGUUACCGAACGUCAGGCGCAUCACGCGCUAACUGGGAUAACGGAGCCUCACGGGAAAGUGAAAGUACUCGAGGUACUGCGUACAUUCCAGAACUCACCACAGAAGGAUUGGUAUAUGUAGAUGUCUACCUUUUGCUUUGGUUUAAUAAUGUAGAUUGUAGAGUUGCUUCAUUGUACACCAUUCUUAACGUAAAAGUGAAAUGUUAACUUGAGUGUUUUUUUCACUCAAUAUGAAUGUUUUUUUUUUUUGGUAACUGGCAACUCUCUGUUACUAAGAAAGAUUANNNNNNNNNNNNNNNNNNNNNNACACACGCAUCACGCAUGCGUAAACACGGCCAUUUCGCGCGUGUAAAUUUGCCAUUUUUUUUUGCUUUAUUAAAGGCUUAACAUCCAUUUUAUAAAAAUAAAAAAUAAAAAAGACGUGAAUGUCAGUUCCUAAUUUUUCUAAUAUUUUAAUUAAUUUAUUUUUAAAUUUAUUUCGGAUUUUAUGGAUAAUUAAAUAGAUAUUAAACAUGAUGGUGGGGAUAAAUAUCCCGGUUGUUAGUAGAAACAAGAAAAUGAUUCCAAAUGGUACAAGUUUCAGUUCAUAUCAAUCCCUUUCUUCCUGCAACCCCGCAUCUUCCAACCCGUCGAAAUCUAACAUGGAAAAUCAGUGAAGCUAAUUCCUCGUCUUCUCCUGCUUCUAGUAGUUGUGGGUAUAGCUACGAUAAACAAAGGACUGAUGGUCAACUAGUAUUGCCAAAGAAGAAGAGAAGCCGGGUGUUCUUUCUAGAUGUUAAUCCUCUGUGCUAUGCUGGAAGUAAACCCAGCUUACACUCUUUUGCUAACUGGGUCUCCUUAUUUUUCAACCACGUCAGCCUCUCUGACCCUGUCAUCGCUGUAAGCUCUCACAAAGAUCACUGAGCUAGUUAGUUGGUUUGAGUUUUUAUUUAGUGUAGUUUAUGUGUUAUACUGUGGCAGGUUGUUGAUGGUGAAAGAGGAAGCGAGCACCGCCGGCAGUUGCUGCCUUCGUAUAAAACACACAGGUGGAAAUUGUCAAGACAGUUUUCAAAAGGUCAUGUUGGAAGGUCACAUGGACUCAUCACUGAUGUUUUUACAAAAUGCAAUGUGCCUGUGAGUUACCCUUCUUGUCUUGUGUCUCAACAUGAUUCAAGGCUAAUUUCUCGAGCACAUAGCAGAAUUCAUGUGUUGCUAUUCUACAGAAAGCUAUUACAUGUUACCAUUGAACUAUAAUGAUUCUUACUCUUUACACACCAGUUUCUAAACUUCAGUAUUCUCUAAACUUUACAGAUAAUAGUCUUAAUAUUUAUACAGCAAAAAUUAAAUUGCCAGUAACAGGAAGAUAGAUUCUAAUGCCAAUUUGAAUUUUGAAUUCGAUAAACUUUUAAUUAUGGAUUUAAGUUAUCUAAUCAAUUUUCUCUCUCUUUUGACAAAGGAAAAUAAAAAAUUAAAUUAAAUUAAAUUGUGCUCCACACCGGAAGUCUGCUCCGUAAUGUAAUAUUGGGUUCCUUCUAACAUAAAAUGCCAUUCACCUUUUAAUUGUAUCAGAUACUUUUGGACCAAAGGACUAGAUAUUGAAGUGUUUUAUAUGUUUUGGUAUCUUAGCUUCAUAAUCCAAAGAAAAAUUAUGCAGGUCAUAAAAAUAGAUGGCCAUGAAGCUGAUGAUGUUAUAGCUACUCUUGUGGAACAAGUUCUACAAUUAGGAUAUCAAGCUGUGAUUGCGUCUCCUGAUAAAGAUUUUAAGCAAUUGCUUUCAGAGGAUGUCCAAAUCGUUAUGCCCCUGGACGAUUUAGAGCGCUGGUCCUUUUACACCCUUAAGCACUACAUGGCUCAGUAUAAUUGUGAUCCGUGCUGUGAUUUGAGCCUCAGUAAGUCUAAGAUUAAUAUGGUCAUCCUACAUUCCUACUAUGUAUUAAUUUUAUUUCCAUAUACAUAUUAUUUGAUAAAUGUUAUGAUUGUUUGUAGAAUAAUGAGAUGUAGAGACCUUGUGCAUGAACAUUGUCUCCACAGAUGUUAUUUCGGGUGAGUGUGCCUCUGAUAUAUUAGGUUCAUGAUUUGCAUAGCUUUUAUAGAGUGAUUGAAAAAUAAUACCACUAAGUGGCCUGGAAUAUGAUGAGCACUGGUAGUGUGAACACUGGUACUGUCUAUAAUUGUACUAGAAAGGAUGACAAUUUUGGAGAGUAACUGUGCAGCAAUGUUUUGGUUGUUAUUUUAGUCAUAUAUGCACUUAAAGCACAAAAAUGGUAAUAAUAGGAAUAAUCUACAAUACAGUUCACAGUAUUGGGGUAGCAGAAGUAAGUUACUGUUAAUUCAUCACCUUCUUUGAUGUGUUAUUCCACCUCCGGAAGUUUUUUUCUGGGAUGGAUUUUGAUCUGAUGAACUAAGGGAAUAUUCUCUUUUCACUUAAUAUGAAUUCACUGCCAACUUAUGUCUAGGAUGCAUUGUGGGAGAUCAGGCUGAUGGUGUUCCUGGGAUCCAACAUCUGGCUCCUGGGUUUGGUCAGAAGACUGCCCUGAAGCUCUUGAAAAAACAUGGCUCAUUGGAAAAUUUACUGAACAUAGCUUCAGUAAGAACUGUGGGCAGACAGUAUGCGCAAGAUGCUCUUACAAAGUAUGCGGAUUAUCUACGAAGGAACUAUGAGAUUCUUGCCCUUAGAAGGUAAUGCAUGUGAUUUUAGUUUGAUGUUUCUUAUCUUUCCUGCGACAGUGCUGCUACUAGGCAGAGUCUUUAAGUGUGUGUGAGUCUCCAACUAUUUUUGAUAUUUCCAAGGUCAUAUAAUUCUCCAGGGAUGUCAAUGUUCAACUUAAAGAGGAGUGGCUUGUUCCAAGAGACACAAGCAACGAUUCAAAUACUUUGUCCAACUUCUUUAAAUUCUUGGAAGAAACUAAGGAGUUCAUUCAUCAAAAUGGAUCUAUUUCAAAUGGCUAAGUUAAUAGGUAAUUUCUUAUAGCUUGAUAAGAUGCGGUUUCUCAUUUCAUGUGUUUUGAGGCUAUAUUCGUUGCUGGCGUUGGACAUAUUUUUUAUUUACCAGUAAGUUAAUUUAUACAUUUCUGAUUACACACUUUUUUUUCUCCCCUAUAACCUAGUUUGCUAGGGCUAUACAACUCUUUUAAGAGGGACGGUACAAUUGAUGUUUAUUGUUUUGAAACUGUCACUGAUGUCCUUAUAAUUUUUUUUGGUUAAAUUAUAAUUUAGAGUUUUAAACUAGUAACUAUUGCACACUCUCAAAGUGUUCGAUAAAGAAAAAUACAUACUCACGAAAGACUCCCUCUCAAAAGCUUUUGAAUAGUAUAUGAUUCAUUCUAACACCGCCACUUGUUUCACAUUGUGAAGUUUUGAACUAUGAUAUACAACUUUCAAAUUAUUUCCACAAAGGUAAACCAAGUUCACAAAAAAGCUGUUUUUCAUCCAUGCUGGUGCAAGACGACCAUUUAUAUUGCAUUAUUGAUCAAUCGAGAUGGAUAGCCAGACACAGGAAUGGUAAACCCAACCUUUUAUUUUAUUGAAAACCGUCUUAACGAAAUCAUCUUUUUGUUUUUUGUUUUUUGUUUUGUUCUGGUCUGAGUCUUAACAUGAUCUUACAUAACUUGUAAUGGAAUAAGAUGGUAACUCUGGCAGUUCAGUUAUUUCAUUGUUAUUUACUUUACUUUUCCUACAUCAUUGUGAUGCUGUCUUACAUAUAGCAUUCCUUGUUUAGUUUUUCUUGCAUAUGUCUGUAUUCAACAUGGUCUUGUUGACACUCGAUGGAUAUGAAUGAAAGAAUCUAAUGGAAUUGGAAACUAACGGAAAACUGCAGUAGCUUAUUGAUUAGAAGUGUAAGAGAAUGAAAAUCUUGUACAGUUUCCUUUUUUCCAUCAACCUUAGAUUUCAGCAAAUCUGGAAAAAAUAAACAAACUUAAGUUCAGCAAAAGACGAAUUUCAUACUGUUAUGUUUCACUCUGUUGAUCUCUUGAUAUGAAAGAAUAUACAGUAAGAGCGAUGCUCCUGUAAAUAUGAUUGAUUAUAGUAUAAGGUGCAUAGUUAUUUACAUCCUCUUUUUUACUCCCUCACCCAUUCGGCUUUCUGAUAGUUCUUUCUCCCCUUGCUUUUGGGAUCUCAGGUUUUCUUUUGCCAGUGACACGAAUAGAAGUGUCCAAGUGCCCAAGAUGCCAACAGGGCUUUGCUUUCAUUCUUUUCAAAAACUAGGUACUACAGUCAGUAAUAUGAUAAAUGUACGGAUUAUACUGAUGAAGUUUUGACCGUUUUGAAUUUAUAAAAUUUACGUAGUACCCCAACAGACGAGCACAAGGCAUUCAAAGAUGGAUUGUCGAGUGGACUACACCUGUGAUUUACCUCUUGUUUCAUUUUCUUUUCCAUGCCUGUUCAACUAACUGUCCAUUGCUUUUAUUUGUUUUCGACAAAGAGAAAUUGCAAUUAGACUGUUAAAAUCACCAAUAUUAACAGGAUGCUUGUAACGUGAACGAGGAAAAGCAUAAAAUCAUAGGCAAACCAAAGGAAUAUCUCUGGACGUGGAUUCAGGAAAGCAGACUAGUAACAAGCAACCAAGAUGAAAAAACUUAAUGGCAACCAUACUUGUAACAAUGGAAUGGACUGCUAGGAACGAAACGACUGAUGGAUGCUUGUAGUUGGUUGAGUUGGGCUGCCUGUGUGUUUUUGCUGCUUCACUGAUUAUAAUCAUUAUAUGGAUACUCGAUGUCUCAAAAACAGCAUUCCUAACAGUCUUCAUGUAACCGAACCCUUACCUGCCAUCGAUGAACCAAAAAGAGGUGAUAAACAAUCACAGACCACUAUUCAGACCAGGUUGUCGUCCACCUGAAGUAUACCCUCAACAAAACCAGCUUGAUUGAAUUUUUGUUCACGAGGGUGAUGGCCUAGUAACACCGAAAUGACACCGCCUCACAUCUUAGCCACUAAAAACCUUGUUCACAUCCACAAAUUCAUCCUCCUUGUCUACUAAGGAUGGUUCUUGCAGUAAGCUGUAAGAACCUAUGCAUGGAAGGAGUGAAGGGGAGGAGCAAAAAAAGAACUGAAAAGGUCAGCAUAACGAGGAUAUCACAUCCAAAACAGCAGAACUGGAAAGUACAUAUUUUUAAGAAAAAAAAAUGGAGGUAAGAAAAAUUUAACUGAUGGCAAUGAAUAUAUUUACUUACGAGGAUACUAUUUAAGCAUAUAUAUAGAGUUGCAAUAUGUGAUAGCAAAGUAACAAUUAAUUAAAUACUUCACUGACUAGUAAUCAAGUACUACAAUGGAAGAUAUUGUUAGACCUAUACACGUAGUUGAGUGAGCCAACUUUGCAAAAUAAUCUCCCAAAUUUUGGUAUACUUCUAGGCUAGACUUCCCCUCUGCAAAAGAUUGAGGACAAUGAUGAGGGUCUUGAAAUUGUAUUGCAAUUACUCCCAUGACCUCUUGCAAUUGAAAUGCUUGAUUCUUGCAAUAGUACUAUAUAGAAUACUAGUUUUCCAAGCCCCUGGCGAUUCAACAUCUUUUGAAUAAGAAAACAAGUAUUGGAGACAUUGAUCGAUUUGAUGACUGAUACUCACAGCAGAUCCAUUUCUCAACAGAUAGUCUAGAAACAAAGUGUCGUACAAUCUGCAGCUCUUCCCUGAAUUAAACAGAAGAUAAAUCUAUAGUAUAUAACUAGUUUUUGCCCCAAAUAUGAAGUAACAUGGAUUGAAGUGGAAUACUUAUGUAUCAUAUAUAUGUCAUGGAAUAUUGUAUUAUAGUAUGUCUAUAAUAUAUUAUAACAAACAAACAGAGGCAUAAGAAAGGAUUCACUGUACAAACUCUAAAACUUAACAGUUCACGCCAACAUAAACCAUUCCGACAGUUCCAUCAUGAAGCAAGUACAGCUAUUAUUUCAAGACCAAUCAAACCAUUCCCAGCUCGCAAGAGAAUAAAAGUUUCGACUUGUGAAGCAGGGGUGCUCAUAAACUUUUUAGCGUUGGUAUAAUAUUCGCCUCCUAUAAGCUUCGAUACACGAUCAAAGUUCAAUACUCUAAAUGAAUAUUGUCAGUCAUAGGGACUGCAAAAGUUUUAUACAAGAACAAGUAUGGAAUGAUUUAUUUAUUUGGUUUUGCACAAGAAAAGUGGAUCACAAUUUAGCUGGUAUACCACAGAAGGGUGAAAGAGAAGAAAAGCAAUACAUGUAUUAUAUUUCUAAGUUUAUAACAUAUGGUAAGCUUGGAAUGUGAAAGAGUGUAUUUAGGUUAUGAAACCUUCCUCAACUUCCGGACAUAUAAUUUGAAAUUUGAUAAAACGCAUAUUGGGAUGCACUUCCAAUUGCAGACCAGGAUGCAUGGAGAAAGUGUCAAGUAUGAUUCUUGAAUUAAUUUCUAGAUCACAUUGUUUUCUGAAUUAGACCCAGUAUCAAUACAGAUAGAAAAACAUAAAAUCAACAAUUUGACAAGGAUUUAGUUGGAUCCAAAUCCACUUCAAAAUUGUUUCACGCAACUAUGCAAAAAUCAGCAUGCAUGAUUAUGUGCACACUUGUGGACAUUGUUUUUAGAAUUAAAUUCAGUUUACCCCCUUGUGGUUUGGGGGUAACUUCAUGUUAGUCCCUACACUUUUAUUUUCAUCAGUUUACCCCUUGAACUCUUCAAUUUCUGUCUGCCGUGCCCAAAUUCUCAUAUUCCGUUUGAAUUGACCUUUAAUUAUCAGCAGUUAAGGUUUGAUUUGGACAUAUAAGGUCCGAUUUGCCCAAAUUCUAGAUACUGGCCUCACAAUUAAGGUUAAAAUUAUCAGCAGUUAACGUCCGAUUUGGACAGAAUAUAGGACAUUUGGUCACGCUUGAGGAAAAUUCAAAAGUUUGAGGGGUAAACUGAUGAAAUUGAAAGUAUAGGGAUUAACAUGAAGUUACUCCCAAACUUCAUGGGGGUAAACUGAAUUUAAUUCUUGUUUUUAUAUUUUUUUUUUUUUUAAAAUAGUAGUAACCUUGUUAAGAGUCAAUGGUUUCUCUCCAAAAACAACCAAAAGCAAUUGGCGUUCCCAUUUUCUGGUAACAGAGACAUGGUACUGUUCAAGAUAUAGCAGUACAACAGAAUUUUAGAAGUGUUCCAGCCCAAGAUAUAGCAGUACAACAGAAAUUCCUUGAUAGCAGGAUAAUUUGACAAAAUUGACAUUCUAUAUGUGAAAUAUAGAAAAGCAAAUUGGUGUAGUAAGUUGGAUUCUUUGACCCAACAAAAAGCAUGUGAUACCCAAAUCAUUCAUUUCAUAGUACUUUCAAGUUUCAACCUUUCUCAGUUUCGUAUUUUUAAGACUUUAAGUAGGAAAAACCAAUCAGAACUCUUUUUAUAGUAACUCAUGAAUAUUUUCAAGCUCAAUAAUAUAACAAUGUUAAUCCGAUUCCAUGAAGCCAAGCUCAACAUUGGAUGGAAUAUGUGCAGUAAUUUGGUACAGCUGUCCUGGGAUUCAGUCUAGGUUCACUCUUUUAUGUUUUACUUUUUCAACAUACACAACCCCGGAGACACUUCCUAUUUACUACUCUCAUGAGACUAACUAUGUCAUUCUCACUUUCUCUUCCCUCUCACUUUCACUUCUCUCUCUUCUAGGAGUGAAAUUAGAAAGUAAAACCUAAACAAACCUACCUCACUCUAAGCAGGUAAUUUUGAAGACAUAUCUGAAAAGGAUGUAGUACAACUAAGGUUUUGCCUGCAAGAUCAAGUACAAAAGAAUAUAUGUACAUAAACUCAACUGCAACUGGAAAGUUUGAAAAGAAGGUUUAAAAGGAUGUGUGUGUGCGCGCGCGUAUAAACAUAUAUAUAGACACACAUAUAUCAUGCUCCCACAAUCCCACCUAACUUAUUUCUUUUUGGAAGGAAAAACACAAAACUAAGCCAUAAAUAUCAAACUAAAAGUAACGCUAGGGCCUAGGGACAUACUGUUUGUUCAUAAAAAGCAAGCCAAGUCUUGCAAUUUCAGGAAUUUAAGUGUCUUAUAUUGUCCCAUUUCCUAAAAAUUGCUUUUAAAAUGUUUAUUCCAGUAUUCCAGAGGAAAUUACUUAACCAUAUGCAUUGAAAGCUUCUCAGAAGCUUACAAACAGUGAGCCAAAUACAAAAAAGUGAAAACAAAAUAACCAAGGGGAAAGAAUUCAGAGCAAAAAUGUUACCAUCCACCAGGAUGCCCCACAUAAACCACUAAGCUGAUAAGCCCUCCCGGCAGCAGGAUAUCUUUUGCAACUUCCAAUGCUUUCAGUGUUGUUCCUGAUUCAGUGAUUAUUGUUUUGUCACCACCAGGAAGAUAGCCUAGGUUGAAAGCAACAAGCCUAAUGACAACCACGAAAUCAAGUUCUGCUUCAGUUGGAAGUCGGUUGAUCUCCAACGAAAAAAUGGAGUAAUAUGUUCUACAAUAUUGUCAUGAUACAUUGCAAUUUAAAAGAAUAAAAAACCUCAAAUGCGUAUUAUAUAGAUGUGAGAGAAAGAGAGUGGGAGGUCACUCAAGGUUGUUCUCCAGAUGUAAGAAUUUAAAUGCCUGUGAAUAUUACGUUCUAAUUUUUGCUCUGAAUACAGCUAGAUAUCCACAGAUGAUCAUAGAAACUACAUGCAUAAUGAUCUACCACCAAAAACAUACAUGUUAAACAGAAGUUUGAUUCAUAAUUUUAGGCUCUUUACCCCGUCAAGACAUUGAACUGAAUGAACUGUUUUUUCAGUGCACUCUUAACUUUGAAAAUAACGUUUAAAUCUCCUCCCAAGUAAGCAAAUAGAUCUGAAAUAUAUAAAGGGCACUUAAUCCUGCCGCAUAAUAAGCUAUUAUUGCAAAAAUUGGUGAACCAGUUAUGAGACAAAAAAAUAUUAAAUUACAAAGUACGCCUCCAACAUAUAUGGUUUAUGGAGCUAACUUUGGGCUUUCUCAAUGUACUUCUUUUCUGUUGUUUUCAUUCACAUUCUUUUGCAGAACAGUUUAUACUAAAAAGAACUUAAGGUAAGAGUUGCAAUAAAUUGAAACUGAUAUAUUUUCCUAUGAAAAUUGAGGUACAGAUUCUAAAGCCAAAACAAUAGAAUAGAAAAUUCACAAACUAUAGUGACCAGUAAGCACCUAACACAGGUAUCCGGCGGAAGAAUUUCACGCAUUUUACUGUGACAUUUGGAGAAGAGCUUAACAAGUUCUUUCUGCACAAUAUUGAAGGUAAUAAACAAUUGCAGAUUAUAAAAAAAAAUAAAAACAUGCUACAAAUGAGUGAUGUUAGGUGCAGGUAUGUAAAAAGAGAAAUUUUGAUAAAUAACCAACUUUUAGUCUUCAAAAUGAUUUUCAACCUACAUUUAAAAAACAGUUGAAAAAUAACCUUUAGGUAUGGUAAAAUGACAUAUAACCCCACCUCAAUUCAUUCAAUCCUUCCUCCUCUCCCGUACGGCCUCAUCGAUCAUCAACUCCUCAACUUGACCACUAUCCUCGGCGCCACCCCAUUUUUUCAAUUUCACAACCCCCCAAUUUCAUUUUCAAUCUCAACCCCAAUUUCAUUCGUAUUGAGUAGUUCGACCACACAUUCUCCAACUCAUACCCCAAUUCUAAGUCCAGCGAGUCAAUUUGAAACUCACCGAGGCCUUGAAGACACAACAUGUCUUCUUCUUCUUCCUCCUCUAAUGACUAGUGCACUCGGUUCAAACAUGCCCAACACUCCUAUACAGGCGUUUCCGAUCCCAAUGUCGUUUACAGUUUCUCUGAUUCCAUUACUUUCAUGAUUGAGGUCACGGCAUGGAGGGAUUGCCGAUUUCAUUCAAUGUAAUUGCGUACCAUGCAGUAGCAGCCUUCCAUGGGUGCUACAUUGAAUAUAGUACAGUAUUGUUGUAUAAAUCAUUGGACUGGAGGGUGCUCUAAAAGCUUUGGACAAUAUAAUAAUUAAAUAAAUAAUCCAAGGCCUCAGAAGAGAAUGUUAGCUUCAACAUUCACUUUUUUUUUUUGAAUGGUUCAACAUUCACUCUUGAUGCCCUUUAAUUAUGCUCAACUAUUGUCACUAGUAUGAUGAUUUGAUGGGACGAACCUAAAAGCAGAAGUAUUUAAAGGUUACAGCAUCCAUGUUUUGAAUAAGUUGAUAGAAAUAGUUGUUUAUCAAAAAAGUUUCUUCUUAUCUGCUUGAUCAAACUGUAUAGGCACAAAAAGCUAUUAUGUAUCUAUACAUCCACAAGAGACAAAAGAUUUGCAAAGGCAGGAAUUAGAAACAUCAGUGGUUAUAGGAAUACCUGAACAUAAUUCACAGCUAAUCAUGCAACUGUUUUUGUAUCUAGAUAUUGCAACUUCGGAACUGGAGUUAAGAUUGGAUGUUGUGAAAUUGAAAAAUCGGGAUUGAAAUGAAAUUGGGGGUUUGUGAAAUUGAAAAAAUGGGGCUGCGUUGAGGAUGGUGAUCAAGUUGAGAAGUUGAUGAUCGAUGAGGCCGUGCUGGAGAAGGAAGAACUGAAGGAGAGGUAGGGUUAUAUGUCAUUUCACCACACCAAAUGGUUAUUUUUCAACUGUUUUUAAAUGAAGGUCAAAAAUCAUUUUGAAGACAAAAGGUUGGUCAUUUGUCAAAUUUCUCAGGUAAAAAAAAAACCUACAACCAGUAAAGAUUAAAAACAAAAAAAAGUAAACAAAUCACUGAAGUAAAUAAUAUGCAGUUUUAUAGGCUUAUGAACAUACAAAUUACAUAUAAGACCAUAUAUACGUAUGAUACAGAAAAAAAAAAUCCCCCAAAUAUAUGAAAGCAAAAAAAAUAAAAAAUAAAAUAAUCAUCACAAAUUGACAUUUAGAACCUUUUCUGAACCUGCAAUAGCAAUUCCACUCACAUUUUAACUAUUUCACAGUUAAAAAGUAGCCCUUCGCAUACUUAAAUGCCACACUAACAUUUUAACUAUUUCACAAUUAAAAGUUAAAUGCCACAACAGUAUUGAGUGGAAUUGCCUUAGCCUAGUUGAAUGCCACAACAGUAUCUAACGACUUUCAGACAAUACUAUGGCCUCAUAACAAAUAUGGGCUAGUCCUUUUACUGGCUCAAUGAUAUUUGCAGGAUAUAUUGGAGUGAGAUUAGUAAUUUUAUUUACUAUUUAAUUUGGAAAUGCAAUAGACACUGAAUGCACAACUUUAGCAAAGUCGUGAAUUACUACUCUGACUCCAAUAGACUCUGCAGAUAAUAUUAAGAGCGUGAAGCCAAUAUUUCUUGCCACAGCAUUUUCUGAAUGGCUACAGGAUGGGCAACAGAAAUUCAUCCUCCAUUUUUGCAACUAAGGUUAAAAAAUGUAAUUAAAAGUUAAUAAAUUGCUCAUGGAAAGCGCACUAACUUUCAAUCCGGCGGCAUUACUGAAUCAAGAGAAAUCCUUUUUUCACUGAUGGGUCCUAAGCCAACCCAUCCUCCCUUUUAACUCAUUGCUAAAUUUGAUCAGGAAACUAAGUUCUCAAGUCUCAUGAUACAACUUCUCAAUGCUCAAACUUUCACUUUCCCUAAAUUUAAGAAAAAACUAUAAGAUAAUGAAGUACAAGUGCCGAAACUCUGUAUUUAAUGUGAAGAAAGAUAAGGGUACCUCUUUUAGGCUGACUGAUUCUUCCAGCAAAGAAGAAGUUUUCUGUAAAGCAACUUCCUGAAUAUCCAUUCCAUAAAUUGAACCCUUACCCGAUGCAUCAGCAACCAUCUUGAGCAUUGCUAAGGUAUCAUGACCAUUGCCACAAGUGGUGUCAAUUACCGUAUCUCCUUCUUGAACCACACGUCUCCAAACCCUGUUAGUCGAUUGGAAGUGAAUAUUGAAUCUCUAAACAAUGAUAUCAUGAAGUAAGUGGCAAAAGAACAAAUGAAAAUCUAUAGAGUAAGAGAUUCCACUUCUGUUGAAGCUGAACCGAACACAGACUAGUUCAGAGCUUUGUCAAGCACAUAUUUCUAAGCAAAACUAAUUCGAGGGAAAUUUACAAGCGUUCCGACAUUGAAACCAAGUAUAUGCAGCAUGUCAUCAAGCAUAGUGUAAAACCUAAUUCAACUCUUUUUCUAUAUUUUUUUUUUUUCUGUUUUUUCUUCAUGUUUUUAGAAAGUAAAACCAGAAGUGAGUUACAUGGUAGGCUCAAACUAAUUAGACCAACAAAGCUGUAAACUGAAAUAUGUUCAAAAAUUAUGUGAAAUUAGUCAACAAUUUCUUACGAGUGAGCAACUUCUGUGGCCCUCUUCUUGCCCAAGAUAAAGCUCAACAAUACAUCCUCCAAUCCUGAAUCACGAUUGACCAAAAAUCAGGGUCUACUUUCUCAUGAAAAUAGCAAAAAUCAUAACGAUUUGAUUUGUUUAUCUUUGGAACAAGUAAUUCAUUUCAUUUAAAAGAAAGCGCUCAUAAUCAAAAAUAAAUAAAUGUCAUCUCUGUUGCAUAGUUUAGUUUGAAGAGUACCAGAGAGAGGAGAGUUUUGGGGCAAAGAAAGCGAAACCAAGUCGUCGCUGGAAGUUGAAGCUUUGAGGUUAAAUUUUCCGGGAAAGUGUUGGAAAAUUGUGGGGAGGGAUUUGUGACCCCAAGCCCAUGAUAACCUCAGUGGCACUGCCAUUGCCAACAUAUCUCUUUCUUACAAAUAAGCUUCUUUAUCCUGCCGUUCCAACCAAACCUGCUACAUUGGAAUGCCAAACGCAUCAAAAAACAGCCUAAAUAUGCAGCCAAACCAUAAGUGCAUGUUUGUUACACAGGACUGUCUUAGACAGGCUUAUUUUUAAUAACAGUCCUGGACUGUCUAAGCUUGGCUUAUGCUGUGAUAAUACUAGACCCAUGCUUGGUACUGCUUAGGACUAAAUAGCAGAAUAAUCAAAAUAGUCCUAUCCCAUGUUUGAUGAUGUAUUAGACUAAAUUAAUUUUGAAUACCACAAUAUUUUUUCUAAUUUAACAAACUAUUAUCCAAUGAUGAAUGCAAUUGUUAAACUAGAGUUUCUCAUCGAGCAUCACAAAUUCAAAGUAUAAAUAUGCCUAACCAGCAGCUAUUCCAUUUCAUUCCAGAAUUUGAUAUUAUUUCAAAAUCGGAUGAGAAAAGUGCAGCAGCCUCAUCAGUCAAGUACCAGUACCUGCAGAGGGAGAAAAUGAGAAACGCUAAAUGAAAGUUGUACUUUCAGUUUGCGUACACUAGAUAUUGAGCACCAUAGCUGUGCAGAUUGUAUUCUGGAAACAAUAUACAUAAAGGCAUGUGAAUAUUCAUUCCUUUGGUGUCGUACAUGAGCUAAAUGGCAGCAUAACAUCCAACAAAAGAAUCCAUCAUCAGGUAAGAUACUACCAAUACAAAUAUCCAUGCCAAUUUAAUCUUUCUAAAAACACAUCUUGAGAUUUUCUGUAAACUAUCAUUCUUUUUCUAGUCCAUUUAAAUAGGUUGUAUGCUUAUAUUUGUUAUAUAUCUAUAAUGGAAUUGGAAGAAAACCACAUGCUAGGCAUCACCAUUGCCAAAACAACUUGCAGACCUAUGGCUAUCGUACUGAGAUUUUGGGGCUACCAUUACCAAAACAACUUCAGACCUGUAAUCCACAACUCAACUACAAUUUACAGUAUGAUCAAAUCCAUAAUCUGAGAUAUAGCAUUUGUUACGCAUCAAAACACCCCAUCAAAAGAACUUGUGGUGACAAAUGCAACUUAAUCAAGACAAAUUGACAACUGAUUAAAUCAUACACAAACUAUAGCUAUCAUGAUAUCAGCACAAACCUAUUUUCCUGGAAUGAUAUUGAUCACUGUUGUGCUAUCAUGAUAUGAUUGCCCCUUUUUUUUUUCUUUUUUUUCUUUUUUUNNNNNNNNNNNNNNNNNNNNNNNNNNNNNNNNNNNNNNNNNNNNNNNNNNNNNNNNNNNNNNNNNNNNNNNNNNNNNNNNNNNNNNNNNNNNNNNNNNNNNNNNNNNNNNNNNNNNNNNNNNNNNNNNNNNNNNNNNNNNNNNNNNNNNNNNNNNNNNNNNNNNNNNNNNNNNNNNNNNNNNNNNNNNNNNNNNNNNNNNNNNNNNNNNNNNNNNNNNNNNNNNNNNNNNNNNNNNNNNNNNNNNNNNNNNNNNNNNNNNNNNNNNNNNNNNNNNNNNNNNNNNNNNNNNNNNNNNNNNNNNNNNNNNNNNNNNNNNNNNNNNNNNNNNNNNNNNNNNNNNNNNNNNNNNNNNNNNNNNNNNNNNNNNNNNNNNNNNNNNNNNNNNNNNNNNNNNNNNNNNNNNNNNNNNNNNNNNNNNNNNNNNNNNNNNNNNNNNNNNNNNNNNNNNNNNNNNNNNNNNNNNNNNNNNNNNNNNNNNNNNNNNNNNNNNNNNNNNNNNNNNNNNNNNNNNNNNNNNNNNNNNNNNNNNNNNNNNNNNNNNNNNNNNNNNNNNNNNNNNNNNNNNNNNNNNNNNNNNNNNNNNNNNNNNNNNNNNNNNNNNNNNNNNNNNNNNNNNNNNNNNNNNNNNNNNNNNNNNNNNNNNNNNNNNNNNNNNNNNNNNNNNNNNNNNNNNNNNNNNNNNNNNNNNNNNNNNNNNNNNNNNNNNNNNNNNNNNNNNNNNNNNNNNNNNNNNNNNNNNNNNNNNNNNNNNNNNNNNNNNNNNNNNNNNNNNNNNNNNNNNNNNNNNNNNNNNNNNNNNNNNNNNNNNNNNNNNNNNNNNNNNNNNNNNNNNNNNNNNNNNNNNNNNNNNNNNNNNNNNNNNNNNNNNNNNNNNNNNNNNNNNNNNNNNNNNNNNNNNNNNNNNNNNNNNNNNNNNNNNNNNNNNNNNNNNNNNNNNNNNNNNNNNNNNNNNNNNNNNNNNNNNNNNNNNNNNNNNNNNNNNNNNNNNNNNNNNNNNNNNNNNNNNNNNNNNNNNNNNNNNNNNNNNNNNNNNNNNNNNNNNNNNNNNNNNNNNNNNNNNNNNNNNNNNNNNNNNNNNNNNNNNNNNNNNNNNNNNNNNNNNNNNNNNNNNNNNNNNNNNNNNNNNNNNNNNNNNNNNNNNNNNNNNNNNNNNNNNNNNNNNNNNNNNNNNNNNNNNNNNNNNNNNNNNNNNNNNNNNNNNNNNNNNNNNNNNNNNNNNNNNNNNNNNNNNNNNNNNNNNNNNNNNNNNNNNNNNNNNNNNNNNNNNNNNNNNNNNNNNNNNNNNNNNNNNNNNNNNNNNNNNNNNNNNNNNNNNNNNNNNNNNNNNNNACAUGUCUAGCAUCAUGUUUCCAUCUCUUUAGGUAAUAUCUAGAUGGUAAUGAAGGCACAGCUAACUCACGAAGUAGUUUCAGUGCAUGUGAACAAAGAAUCCCUUCAAAUUCAAAUCUGUUGCAACUACAAACAAUCGACUGAUUUGAAGGGCAAUAUGUUACUGACCUUCUCAAAAAUGGAUUGCCCGGUCUUUCAACUAUAUAUCUUUGUAUUAUGCCAUCAUCACUUUCUAACUCCAAUUUCAGAUCUAAACAUUUUUUAUACUCACCCUGAAAGUGAUAAAAAAUGUUUUUUGUGUACUUCUUUGCUGCUUCGACCUCCAUUUUCCAAUUUGAUAAAAAGAUGCGCUUUGUUUGUGACGUUGCAACCUCUGCAAGCCUCUCUUUUUCUCUUCGAUCAUCUAGUGCUAGUUCAUAUUGUUUGACCCACUGACGAAGAUAAAGGUUUCUAGAAAAGAACCUUUUCAGAAACUUAUUUAUGCUUUCACUUCUCUGUGUUGUUGUCAUGCCUGCAAAAAAAUUGAAGAAGGAAAAAACUUAUAAGCAAACAUAAAGCAUGAUGAAUACCAUGAGCAUAAUAACAACUAAUAAGUAGAAGUGUCAAAAACAAUUUAUACCUGCACAAAAGUUGGAUCGGCCAUAUACUUGUGCCCAUUUUUCACGUAUUUCAUACAAGCUUUUUAGCCAAACAUUCUCACUCAAGCCAAAUUUUUCGAGUAACAACUUCCAACAUGACUUAAAUUCUUCAAUGGUCUCUGGAUCAUACANNNNNNNNNNNNNNNNNNNNGAUUCAACCUCACAGUCCACUGCUAUGCAUAAGACGAUGGGUUCUGAUCAAUAGACUUUAUCAGAAUCACAAUUACCAGAAGGAGAAGAACAAAAACAUGAAAAAUUAACAGAGCUUCAUACUUACAAGAGAAACCAAAAGGGAAGAGAUAUGAGAAGGAGGAAGAACCCAGACGUGAAUGGAUCCGACGUGAAUAUGACUUUGAGUUGAUAACAACGACAAUAGAGAUGCUCCUCAGAAUACGAGGAGUCCUAAAUUUGUUAGGUUUGAGUAUUUUGUUUAGAAAAAGAGGGAAAGGAAAAAGAAAAGAAUUAGAGUUAGAAGAUAAUAUAAUUUAUAAACCCAUGUAGUUAACCAUGGUUAAGGUGAUUAGAGGAUAAGACACUUGGCAUCCAUAUAGAAGGGUAGGUAUGAGGGUGGGUAAGUUUGGGUGGGUAUGAGGGUGGGUAAGUUUGGGUGGGGAGCAAAUUUGCUCCCCAAUCCCUACUAACCAGCCUUCUUAACACACGCGUAGCUUUGUUUUUAUAGUAAACUACAUAUUAGUUACUGAUCAAAUUUUAGUUUACAAAUACAUUAUUUACACAUUUAAGGAUAAAUAUUAAUAAAUUAGAACAAAUUAAUGUCCACAUGCCAUCUGUAACUAUAUAUUUUACCAGAAUACCUUUCACUACAUAUUCUACUGUUACUGUCGACCAGAUAUGUGCCAGAUAUGUGCCAGUACCUGAAUUAAUAUGCUUUUACCGAGUACGAAUAUGCUAUUGCCAGUACUAUUGCAAUUUUUUUCCAGCAAUUCUCCGAAACCAAACAGAGAUGCUACUGUCGCGAUUGGAAACCUUCUGCUACUGACGAUUAAAUAGUUACUGCUACUACCGAAUGUACAGUAGCAUGACUCAUACUCUUCUAGAGCUAAGGUUUUGAAUAACGACGUAACAGUAGCAAACACAUAAUAGUAGCAACAAAGCCUUAAGGUUUCGACAAAUGACGAGAUAGUAGCAGGAAGCGGCCAACGUAAAUCUUGAACGGAUCAUGCCGCAAACCUCUUGGUAGUCGUCGAUGACAGAACCCCACCGAUCAUAUCUACCAAAAGCCUCUGCAGCCACGGUUUCUUACUCUCGAUCUUCAGCAAGACGCUAUCGAGGACCUCCAACUACUUGUGCGGCAGAUCAAGCUUGGGUCAUCAUCAAUCUGAGGGCACAAGGUCCCUCCCUAGGUGAGCAGAGAGAUUAAGAUGGCUUGAUUGGGUCCUGAUUGGAGAUUCCGACUAUUAAAGAUGUUCGGGUCGACCCGAAUUUGAUUGUGGACGACGGGGAUGUGAUGUCGUUGACUACGUGGGUGGCUAACAAGGCUCCGGCGCGGCUCAGAUCUGGAAUUACGGGUCAAAGCAUAUCGGCCUUUUGUGUUUGUACCUGAGUCUGCACAGAGAGAGAGAGAGAGAGAGAGAGAGAAGAAGAAGAGAAAAACCCGAUCUGAGUGCGUGGGGAGAGAGAGAAUAAAAAUUUGAUGGUAUUUGUGUAAUUCUGUGGGAAAAUUGAUCAUUUUGGUCAUUUCAUAAUUAAAAUUCGGGUCAGGCCCGUGACCAUUGGUUUUAGGCCUCAGCUUGUGUCCUAAUUUGUUUACAAAUUAUUGAAAGUGGGUUUUUUGUGUUUUGAAAUUUGGUUAUGUAGUACUUUGUAAUUUUCUCUUGUUUUUAAGAUAUUAGUCUAUUAACACAUGCUAACGCACGUGUUAAUUUGUUUUUAUCUUUUUUUUAUAAAAAAAAUUUUAAUUAAUUACAAAUAACUGCUAAUGCAGUUGGCAUUCAGCAAAAACUGUUCCACGUUUUUCUUCUUUAUUUUGAUUGUUUUUUUUUGUUUUUUGUUUUUUAUAUUUUUGAUAUUACUUUAUUUUGUUAUCAUUUUACAGUAUUAAUCAUCCUUAAUUUUUUUUUCUAUGUCAAAACUUUUCUAUCAUGGGUAAUAUGGGUAGUUUAUAAAAAAGACUUCACCAUUUCACCAUGACACCAAAAAAGGUAUCUGGUGAUCUUGGAUCCGGAUUCUCUGCUUGGAUUUAUGUUGCUUAGAUUUGCUUGGAUGUUUAUAACCAUUAGAUGAAGUAAGGAUGACAUGACGGUCUUAGAUUGUACUCAAUCUAAUGGUUAUAAGUCAUCCAAGAAAAUUCAAGCAACAUAAAUCUUAAAGAAGCCAAAUUCGGCUUUCUAAUAGUAGAGAUAUGGGUAAUUAUAUCGGUUUAUUACCAAUUUUAUAAUUAUUUUAUACCGAGUUUUUUUAUUUAUUUUUUAUCAGAUACAACUCAAAUAUUACAACUUCGUGAGUCAAAUUCAUAAUCUCCCACUUAUUAAAAUGAGACUAUGUCGCUAGACCAAAUAGUGUUUGACACCGAGUUUUUGAGUAUGAUUGUAGUUAUCAAUUUAUACAUCUCACUACCCACUUCUCUCUCCACAUAUCUCUUUAUUUUAUUUAUUUUGUCUUUUACCAUAAUAUCUCUUGUAUUUUAAUAGUCUGAAUUAACUCAAUAAUGGUAAGAUUGGCAAAAUACAUUUUGAUGAAGCUUUUGAACACCUGGUUAUUAUAGUCGUAGUAAUUGGUUUCCCAUUGUUUAAAAAGAAAAGAAAAAGUUAUUUUUCUCCCUAUGAGUUCCCUCUUGGGCUUCAGAAACUUUGGGCCAACUUCUCAGUCGGGGAAAGAUGGUUGAUGAGGUUUUCUUGACUUGCGGUAGAGAGCCUUGUUAAUUUCGAAAAAAGGUCGGGUUUCCUUUGGUGCGGUUGGUGCAACCGAUUUCUUAAAACACGGCAGAUUCAAAUUUGUCGACCAAGUAAGAAGCUGUCAUGUGUGAAACACCAACCAUGGACUGACUGGGGUUAAUUUAGUAUCUCAUUUCAAGAUUAAAUACUAAUGAUAAUGAUUUAAUUAUUUACUUAACUAAACCAUUUUUCGUCUUCAACCCAGAAUAAAAAUAAAACCCAGAUGAAGAAAUGAGUAGCCUCAGCACCUCAGUUCUGGAUUUUCACACUGGCAAAUUUGAGUAGUAUAAAGCUUGAUCCGAUCCUUUCCCUCUCUCGGAGACCUAUACGAAACCAAAGAAAUUUUGCAAGCAUUCAAUUUAUAGUUGAUGUUCUCAUCACAGUUGCAGACCCAAUAAGAAAUUCAAAGUUGAUAAGCCAAAAUCAAUCAUACUAUCAAAAUUGAAGAUAUGAGAUUUAAAAAUUCACAAAAACCAGAUUUUGAAACAACUAAGAGAAAGUGGGAUCGUACCUAACAGAGAAAUGGAAGGGCAGGCUGGGCAGCUGCUGGGUCUUGUUUAACUUAGGAAGGUUUUGGUGGUUGUGCCAGCAAAGGUUGUCGAUCCUCCUCGAACAAGUUCAGAGAUAAUGCCCAGACUCACACUCAAUGAGAGAGUAUGUAGUUUUUUUGUUUAUUUAUUUAUUUAGAAACACAAGAUUGUUAUACAGAAGAAAUUGAGGAUUAUUUCAGUUUUUGUACUGUCAUUGUUCACCGGUCACACUGAGAUUUUGUGGAAAUAAGAACUUUGUGAAGUCUAAUGUGGGGAGAACAAAAUCUCUUGCCUGACCAAUUAAUAGCACUACAUUCUUCCUACAUAUUAGAACCUCAUCUCACUAUGAUUACAUUCAUGUUCGGCCUCCAACAAUUCCAUCAGGAAAAACUAAAAGGGAUUCGAAUCGUUCGUUUAAAGAGGAUUGACUAUUAGCAGCAAAGGCUUUAGCAGAUCCAACUACUGAAGUUCUAGUAAUCCAUGCCUCCCAUUCCUCCCAUGCUAGCUCCCACUGACGGGGCAUCCUUCUCCGGCAGCGAGACAGCAACGAACGAGAGAGUCUGGAGUUUUGAUACACGUGGCAGCUUCUUACUUGGUGGUCCCAUGACCAACACAAUGACCUCGUUUUUUUUAUGGCUACGAUGGAUUUUCUACGUGGGCAAGCUUCUAUCACUCUAUCAGAGCACGAGUGAGGUGGAGCACAAAAAGCUUUUAGAGGAAGGUCCAUAUGGUUUUACGGUAAGACCUUGUUUUCCCUAGCUGUAGUUUACUAUUAAAAUAAAGGAGGAUCAUUACUAGAAAAUAAAAAAUAAGUAUGAAGGUGAAUACCAAAAUGCAAAAAAAGAGGAUGCCUAAGAUUUUGUUUAGGAUAACCCCAAGAAUAAACAAAUGACUAAUCACGCCUGAGCUUGACCUGUAGAGCAACACAAGAAGAAUGCAGUAUCUUUCUUCGAUCCUUUACUUGAUGUGUGUAUCAGUUAAGAAAUACCGCUGAGAAAUCCCACUAUCCACCUAAAAUUCAUCUAGUCCAUGCUUCAAGCUGGCACUAUAAAGCUCCUCAAUCUGGCUAGCCACUUCAGCCAUUGAAGGCCGCUUAUCAGGGUACUGAACGGUACAUUCAAGUGCUAUCUGUAAAAGCUGAACCAUUUCGUCCUCAACAUUCUGGUACCUGAGAAGCUCAAGGUCAAACACCUCCACAGUCCACUCCUCUCGAACAACAGAGUGAACCCAUCUUGGAAGGUCUACUCCUUCCUCAGUCAUGAGGGCUUGGGUUGGAGGCUUCCCAGUAAGCAGCUCCAAUAGCAAUACACCAAAGCUGUAAACAUCAGCCUUUUGGGUUAUUUUAUUAGUAUCUGUGACUUCUGGGGCACGAUAACCGGAUACACGAUUCGGAGUAGAGGCUGGGCUUGCAAAAUGAGCAAGGCAAAAGUCAGAGACGCAAGCUUCAUAGGACGAUGUGAGAAGAAUAUUUGAAGAUUUGAUGUUUCCAUGGGAGAUUGUUGGACCAUGAGAGUGCAAGUAUGUAAUUGCACGAGCAGCUCCAACAGCAAUGCCAGACCUUGUUUCCCAAUUCAACGGAGUCCUUCCUGAGCCUCUGUUCCCUGUGGUGAAAAAAUAAAACUAUCAAAUUAUAGAAAGUAAUCUUCAGCAUCAUUGCUGUCAUGGGACAUGAGGUCUUUCAUCAUAUAGCAAAGAACCCUGAACUUCAAUCCAAUAUGUGCUUGGAAGCUUUAUUAAUAGCUGAACAAUUAAACUAGUGCUAACCAUGUUGCAAUCAUAUGCCUUUAUUAAAAUACAACAAGUCAUAAUUUGUUAAUAAGAUGCAAAAGUUAUAUAUUUACGAACACUUAAGAAAAUAAAGUAUCACAGAACAGGGAGAGUACUUAUGUGUGGUCAAAAUAAAAUCAAGAAAAUCAACUUAACUGAUCUGUUUUUUCCCAUCAGCAAUUUCAUACCAGAAAAAUCAGCAUCCAAGGAAAACACUCCACCACAACUUAAUUAGAAGUAUGAUACGAUAGUCUUCAUGUAGAUUAAAAGACAAAAGCAUACAGCAUGGUUUGCAUUUAUUUUAUGUAAGUGUUGCUGGGAUGUGGGACUAACUGCAACUAUAUUUGGCUACUAUGAGACGGAACUCAUGCCAACUCUAAACACAUGCUUCUGUACAAAUAUGCAGCUAAGCCUUACUAAGAGACUCAAUGUUUUUAUGCUUCUACAAUCUAAAAGAAUGCCUAAGAUGGCUUCCCACACUAGUGUUUGACACAUGCAAAUUCAUCUUAAAUAUCAGUAUGUAGCCACUACAGAUCGAACUAUCCAAUGUCCCUCAUUCUUUUUAAAAACUAACUUAGUCUUGUUAUUAAAUCCAAUUCUUUAAUCCCUUUUGUUUAAUCCAGAAACAGAGCUGUCAAUGCUGAUGAUAAUCAGUUUGUUUUAAAUUUGCAGAACACAAACUUUAGGUACUGAAAAAUGGCAAUUUUGACUAUAAUCUACAUACAUUGCAUUAAGUAAAGCUGCAACAAAUAACAGAACAGCAAAAUCUAGAUGAUGCAAAUGGAAACCAUGAAAGAAAUGCUCACCAUGUAAAAGAGCAGACAAGCUUCCCAUAGGCAUGUAAUCAUAAACCAGAAGCUUCUCGUCUCUGCUAUAAUAGUAAGCCCUGAGUGGCACCAAGUUCACAUGCUCCAUAUGCCCAAUCUCAUCCAUCUUGUCCUUAAAUUCCUUCUCCGACACAAUUACUUCCUUCAACCUCUUCACUGCCAUGGACACCCCCAUUUCCAGAGCUGCCUUAUAAGCCGUCCCGAAAGUCCCCUUCCCAAGUACCUCAGCGGAUGCCCUCAACAAAUCCUCCAAAUCAAACACCUUCACCGCGUUCCCAAAAAACACCAAGUGCUUGCUAUUCACAUUCCCCUUUUGGGCGAUAGAGUACUCCGCACUAGAACUCUCCAAUGAUCCCUUUGCGACUUCAACCGCCUGACUACUCCGCGAAGUAGAAGCAACAUAAUUAGCACCCUGUUCCCCUUUUUUCUUUCUUCCACACAAGAAGUAGAAAAUGGCAACAAUGAUCAAGAAUCCAACUAAGCAACCUAUGACAAUCCCUGCAAUUGCUCCACCCGAAAGCUGAUUCUUAGAACUCUGAGUCCCAGUCCCAUUACAGGCCGUCGUCAACGGCUUCCCACACAGCUGCAAGUUCCCUGCAAAGGCCUCCACCGGCCAGCCCGAAAGCUUUCCGGGUACGGACCCAUUAAGCCGGUUAUAAGACACAUUGAACUGUCCAAGAAGCGGCAAAUCCAACUCCGGAAUCGACCCAUUAAGCUGGUUGCCCUCCAAAUGCAGGGACACCAACUUGCUCAACUUACUAAACCCCGGAGAAAUCUGACCGGAAAAAUUAUUGUGAGAGAGAUCCAACCUCUCCAUGCUCUGCAGACCGAAGAUAAACUCAGGAAUAGGGCCCGAGAAUCUGUUACCUUGCAAGUAGAGGCUGUCAAGUUUGAGGAGGUUGGCAAGGUCAUUAGGGAUUUGGCCGUAAAGCGCGUUUCUGCGGAGAGACAGGGCUCGGAGUUGGGUGAGGUUGCCGAGACCCAGAGGCAGAGGGCCAUUGAGUCCCCAACCGGGAGCGCGUAACUCGGUGACUCGGUCCGACACGCACGUCACACCAGACCAAGAACAGGGGUUGGUCUCCGUCACAUUCCACAGCGUUGAGCGACCUCCCACGGCAGCUCUGAAGCUCAACAGAGCCUCUCUGUCGGAAGCCAGAUCAUCGUUGGUGCUGGCCGUCAAGCCAAGACAACUGGUCAACAACAACACCAAAACAAAGGCCAGUUUCGGAGGAGGAGGCUUCAUUGAAACGAUCAGAAACAAAACAGGGUGGUAGCUAGGUUUGAGAGAAAGAGAAGUCGAAGUCGAAGUUGAAGUUGAAAGAGGACGACCGUGGCAGUUGCGUUUGUAUUAAUGCACACAUGGAAAAGCGUCCCUUGCUGAGCUGUUCACCAGAACCAAAGGAAAUGACCUCCGUCUCCCCCAGAUAUGUGGGUGCACUAUCUUUUUUGGUCCUUUUCGGAUAAUUCGAAACGGUUGACAUUUUAGAUCAACAGCCAAUCAAGGAACCUUCACAGUGGGCCCCGCACCCAAAGAUUUGAAACCUUUCCCGACGGCUUCGGUUGGUUAUUAUUUCAUUUGGGGAAUUUAUGGGGAUUUUGCCCUUGUUAAUUAAUUAAUUUUAAUUAAAAGGGAAAUUAGGGGAUUCAUUUAAGAUUUUGGUAUUUUUGGGCAAUCUUUGGCAAGAAAAGAGUUGAUUUUAGACGCGUCUUUCUUGAUUUGAUUUGAUAUUUUCCUACAUAAACAUCCUGGUUUCUUUUUUAAUCAUGUAUAAUAAUAAUACAUUAAGUAGGAGUCUCCAAAAUUUUUCAUUUCUUUAAUUCAAACAUGAUAGUAUGUUAAUUGCCAUAAUUGGUUUUUUAAGGGACAAGGUCGGCACAAGAUCUGGGCAAAUGCCGCCCACUAUGGUAAGAAAUCACAAUGUCUAUUGUAGACCAUCUUUUGCUCUUGUAAUGGUCUAUUGUUGUUUAUUUAAUUCAUUAAUGAUAUAAUUGAUUUUUUGUAGUUGGUUUUUGGGAAUUUAUUUAAUUAAUCCAUAUUCGAUCAAUGUAACCUAAAAAUAUUAAUUCAUAUUUAUUUUUAAGUAAAAGGGUGUUUCAUUCCAUUGUUGAUAGAUGUUAUAUUAUGAAUCGAUUCAUUGUCUUACGUAUAAAAGACAAAUAAGAUUGAGUGAUUCACGUAGGGUAGUACCCUCAUUACACAAUUUUGCUCACUCAAAAAACACAAGUGAGCUUAUAAUCACAUGGCAAAUUGACUAUAGGCAUAUUAAUCGCAAACCAGAAAUAGGAAACAGCAAACAAAACAAAACUCUAUGAUCUCAAACAAAGAUCAUAGCAAAAGUUUUUUAAAGUAAAAACAUAAAUUAAAACACCUCUUUGCCUAAUGAGAUUAAUUCUUGUUUAUUUGCUCUCAAAAGACUUGGAAAAUAAUUGAAGACGGAAGACUAAUGAUCAUCAACCAAUAAAACUCAAAUUUUUAUUGUUUAUAUUUAUAAAUAUCACACAAAUAUCAAUUUUACCCUCAUAUUUAACUAAAAAGUUAACGGAAGUACCAAACGUUAAAUGAAGCAUAACUUGAGGCGGAGAUUCUUCUAUGCACAGUUGUGGCGAUAUCAGAGCCUUCUAUUUAAUGGUGAGAAUGAAGUCAUAUAAGCCAUAGAUUAAUGCUUACUUAUAUAACGGUCAACGUGAAACUGAGUGAGUGAGUUAAAAAAAAUGGGUAAAAAACUCUCCGGGUAAAAAUUCAAUAAAGCUCUUCCUUUCCCCGACUCUGGCUAGCAGAGUGUACAGAGCGACUCUUCUCCGUAUGGACGGGCCAUAAUUGGCGGCAAAUGUGUAAAGUUCAAACUACUCGGUCGGGUCCGAAUGUUUUUUGAGGGGCUCGGGGUUUAGAUUUCAAGGUGCGAAACGCGAUUUCGGGCUUGGUUGACUACACGCACAAGGCAUCACCUCGUCUCAAGAUGUAAGCAUCAAUCGAGCAAGGCUGCUUGGUAAUUUGAUUCUGGUUAGUUUGUAUCUAUUUCAUUUUCAAUAUCUUUGAUUUUGAUGAUUUUUGAGAUCAAUUUUGUUCGUGCUAUACUGGGUGAUUCAGAUGUACUACAAAAAUAUUAAUUGGGGGCAUUGAUUUCCUUCUCUCACCGGUUAUAGGUUAGUGUUUGCCGGGUCUGUGUGCUUGAAUUGAAGUUUAAGAUUUGGGAAUAACUUGCUCCGGUUGAAUUGCUUUGAAUUUUAUUGUAGAUUUAACAUUUAACUAUUAGGUAUAUGUUUUAGAGAUAUAUGUUACCACAAACUCUCCAACACUACACCAAAGAUGCAAAGUUUAUUUCUUACCAUAUGUGCAGUGUAACCUUGUAAUGCAUGUUUCCUUUGAUUCCUUACUCUGUGACAAACAGAUAAUGUAUUCCUUACUCUAUGACAAACAGAUAAUGUAUCCCUUCAUGAUACUGUAAAUUUGUGUGAGAAGAAAUUGCAAAUGAUUCUUACAAGUUACAAAACAACUUUGUUAGUCCUUUGAAAAUCUGCAAUCUUAUGUUGAGUACAAGGAAAGGUACAAAUGAGAGGUGAGAUAUACAUGAGAGUAUUCCAGAAGUUUUCCUAUUGUUUUCAGAAGAUCGUAUGGUUCCUUUAUAUGGAGUUUGAGUGUUUGAUUGAUUGAUUCGUAGUGUGAUAGUUUAGGGUUUAAGAUUUCAAGUACACCUCUAUGUUCUAUGUAUGAAUUGGGGUUGCUACUUGCUAGUAAAUAGAGGUAUCACAGCCUUUAGUUUCCUGGCUACUGUUGGGAUCAUGCAUGAAAAUAGACAUUCCAUACCAAAUCUCUUGGUUAUUUUCCUUCAUUAUUUUUUUUUUUAAUUCAGGUUUUUUAAUUCAGGUUUUUUAAUUCAGGUAUCUCUAGGGGAUUCUUAAUGACAUGUGGUUUUGGGGUCUCCUUGAUUUGUUAGGUGUGUGUGUUAAGAUAUAACGGUUAUUAUUUGGAUGAUUUGCGCUAAAAUAAGCUGGGUCAAUGGAGAAGAGAAAUAUAAACACCUCUUUAAGUCUUAAAUGAGUCUAAUAUUGCAUGUAAUUCUUACAUUUUGGUUAUUACUUAGGUAAAGGUUUUAUUGUUAUUCAUUUCUUAAUGUUUCUUUUGCUACGUUGAAGUUCAAAUGCAUGACUUAGGCAUACUGUGAUGAUUCUUGCUAGUUGCUAUGGAUGAUAGUCUAUGAGAGAUACAACACCAUUCUGUUCAGUUUCUUAGUUUGAUGCGCAGGCUGUUAAUUUUUUUUCUUUUGUGUAAAAGUCCUUGCUCAUUUACACUUCCUUUUUUCUUUCAUUUAGUUGUUCUUAUUGUAGUUUGUUGGUACAGUGAACUUAAUUUAUGAAUCUAUCUCUAUUCUAAACUGAGAAUCUAACAUGAUUCAUGAUUGUUUUUGAUCUAAUUUCAAUCUGGUUCUUUCUUGCUAUCGCAGAUCAUUGUAUUUUCUGCAAUGAGCCAAAACAGCCAACCUCAGUAGCAGACAAGCUGACUGGACAGCUCUAAAGUGCUAUUGAAGAACUUUUGAAUUAGAUUGGAAAUGUAAUAUGUCUUGUUAAGACUAUUUUUGUAACCAUACUCAACGUCAGAUAGUAUGUUAGUGAUUACUAUUUGUUCUUUAUGGGAUCUUCUGCUAAAUCUCUUGCUUAUCUUUCAUACCCCCUUCUUGUGCAGUUGCAUACUUGCAUUGUUUGCAUAUUUAGACUCUGAGGGCAGUGACGACAUUGUGGGACGGCACGACAGCACUGCGGGGCUACACGUUGACACGAUGGCAUUACGGGAAUGUAUGAUGGCGCUGCUGGAAUUGUAAUUUUUCAUGAACACCAAUUGAUAUAGUUUUCAUGCAAUCUUGACCAGACGAAGUAGCGCACCAUAAACAUUUAUAGUGUGAAGCAAAGAUGACAUGCAAGGCAAUACUGUUCUUUUGGGCGAAAGGACUAGUGUCAAAUUUCAGUAUGUCUUUCUAAAAUUUGUCAUUUGGCUAAAGAUACCUGAACCUUCAUUUACUGUAAAAUUCUGUAAAAUAUGGGUGGUUGAUAUAAUUUUCAUGUAGCACGGGGCAGCUGUGUUGUAUUGAAUUUCAGCAAGACUUGGUAACUCCUAUUGAUCUGAAAUUUGUGGCGUUGUACUUCCAGGUGUGUAUUGUGCUGUGUUUGAACUGCUUUUGUGAGUGUUGGUUUCGAUCUCGAUCGGAGUCGGAUACGGAGUUGGUCAAGCGAGCUCUUAUCAUGUAGUCGAAGCUUGAGGGCUGAGCGUUGGACUCCUCUGCCGGCGACGACAGGAGUCGAGUAUUUUUGGGAUUUGGGUGAACGCUGAGCUUUUGCGUUCGAAGAUGGAGGAAGGCAUGGGCCUCUAUUGUUUGUAAUCUUGUGAUUCUGUAAGAUAGGCUCUGAAACGGUGUUUCGAAUGUCAUCGUUCAUAGAACAGAUGCCGACUAGAAACUUGUGCUUCAAUUUAUUGUUGUUCGUGAUUGAAUGGAUGAUUGAGUAUUGGGCUCUUGGGCUCUGAACUCCGAUCGGAAAGGAGGAGCAAAACAGGUGAGAGUUGGACUCCGAACGGUAAUCUGUGAAGAAAAUUGGAGCGCUGGGUUCGAGUGCUGAUCGAAGGCAUGGGUGCCCCUAGAAAAUUGUUGGGCGCUUCAACGUGAAGUUCCUUCAAUCGAAGUUUCCGGUCGAAGUUGACCGCUGUUCGAAGGUUCAAUUUAGCUGUUCGGAGCUUGAUGCAUGGCUGCCCUGGCGACUUUGUUGUUUGGGUGCCAAGAGUAGCUUGCUGUCUCUAAUGUAUAAUAGUUAUAACUGUUUUUUUUUUUUAUAAGAAAACAAGAACAUACAAACUACAGGGUGCUGUCUCUAAGACAUCCCGUUCCUAAGAAAUCAAAUCUAAUACAAUGAACAACUCUUUUAAGAAAGUUGUUCUCCCAAACUCUACCGGAGGAGUUUUGAUGUCCAUAGCUAGCAACUGCAUCCGUCGCAAAGUUUGUUUCUCUGUAGAUAUGAUGAAAUGAGAUUGAGCUGAAACUCUUUGCAAUUUUCCUAAUAUCAUCCAUAAUUUGAUGGAUUCUCCAAGGGGGGUUGAUUUUCUGAGUCAUAGCAUCGAUCACUAGUUUAGAGUCCCCUUCCACAACGACAACAGUAAACCCUUUCUCUCUCGCACUGAGGAGACUAUCCCUUAAAGCAGUGGCUUCCGCAACAGGGGCCGAUGUGUAUAAUAGUUAUAAUUGUUGAUGAAGAGCAUUUGCUUUGUGUUUCGAUCGGUAGAUUUGUCUUUAUGCAUGAGAAGAACUGAACGUCCUUGACUGGACUCCUUCCAUGCAUGUCUAAGACCAUGAUGAUGAUGAUGAUGCUCUUGUAUGUAUGUGGGCAAACUGAAGUACUAAACAUGAAUUGUGUACUUUAUUACUUUCCCAUCUUGUGAGUCUCUAGAUGGACUCUGCAUAAUAUGGACUUUCCAUUUGGGUUAAUUAGAUGGCAGCUUGAUAUCGUGCAUGACCCUUCGUGGGUCAAAUUGGCCGCUCGAUCGUGUAGAUAUGGUUGAAGAGCUGAGCGUUCAUGGGAAUGGGGCCGAUGGUGGGCGAGAUUAUUUUGUUUGUAACUGCAAAUUCAGAAUAAAAUAAAUUAAAUUUGUGUUCGUAACUGCAAUAUAAUUAUGAGAUUGGUAAGGAGAAUAGAAGUAUGAGCGUCGGGCUCUUAGUUUAUUGUUCCGGUCGAGUUUGUUGAUCAAGCAUGGUGUUCGCCCGUUGUAAAGAGCUGGGCGAACAAGCUGCUAUAUUCAAAGCUGAUAGCUAAUUUUGUGUUCGUCGAUCGAGCAAUUUUAGAAUCUUUAGUGAGCUAGGCGGUUCCGCAUGGGUGCCCAAAGAAAUUGCUGGGUGUAGAGAGUAGAAUUUCUCAUCCCGUAGGUUGCUUUAACUUGUCAGACUUGAAGGUGGAGUUGCUCUGAAAUUCAUAAUCAUCAUUGUAUGAAUGUAUUCGAUAGCUUGUUUUGUCUUCUUGUGCAUUUUUCCAUUCGCCAUAUAGCAAAUUUGCAUGGAAUUUGGUCUCCUUGCCUUGUCUUUUGUGGCUUUAAUUAAGCAAUGGUGAUUGCCUUGUUGCCUCGAUGUGAACACAGCUGUGCGUUCUCACGCAUGAAUUGUAAUUGAACCGUUCCCAUGCAAAUGUUGUGCGCUUGCCCUAGUAUUUGUAUCUUUGGAGGAGUGAGAUCGCUGGGGCCGAGUGCACUCAUUUGUGAAUAGUGCGCAGUGCCCGCAAGGGGUUGGACCCAUUGUAGAUGCAUAAUCACGAGCGGAUUGAUCGAGAGUAGAUCCAUUUUGUGCAUGGCCGAGCGUAAGUGAACUUUACCCGAACGAUCAUAGCUUUUCCAUGCGAUCCAUGCAAUGUGAGGUCCAUGCGUACUUUGGUAACUAAGGGGUUGGACCCCGUGCACAUGCAAUCAUCCUCCAAGCCUCAAUUUGCAAACAAUAUAUAUGGAGGAGGAAUAAUUAAGUUAGGCCAAUCGAGAGACUGAUCAUUGUGACCCGAGCGAAAACUUGUCCGACAAAAUUUGUUCUUUGAGGAGGUUUGUCCACGGUCAACUCUUUGGUAGAGAACAUGGCUUUUGGUGUGGGAUUAUGUGGUCAAACGUGGGAUGAAAUUUGUCCGGAGAGAGGGUGUGUGCGACGUGUCAUUUGUCCGUACGCGAUGACAUUUGUCCGUGCACAAUGGAUGUGAGACCAAUUUGUCCGCGCACAAUGGUCAUGCAAAACCAAUUUGCCCGUGCGAACUGAAUUAUCCGGAAAUGCUCAUGCGAAAUGAUACAUGUUUGAAGGAAAAAUAUAUGAUUUCACAUAUAGCGAGUUGUGCAUAUACAAUGUAUAAUUGAUUCACAAUAGUAAAUGCACGAUAUAUUUCUUAAUUGAUAUUAGAGCUUACUAUUUCUUAAACCAAUGUGUUUUCUUAUGGUUAUUAGAUUUGAUUCACCAUGUGCUUCCUUAAUGGUUAUUUUCUAACUAUAGACUAUUGCCAUUGUUCAUCACCAACACCUUUGAAAGAUGAUGCCUGCAAAGAAAAGGGACACACUAUUAGAAACCAAUAACAGAUGACCAAAUUGAUGCUUGCAAGCUGCAACACACUAUACUUUAAAAUGACUUUCACCAUCUGCUAAGGAAAAUGUCAUUAAUCUGUAAUAUCAGAACAUACAGAUACAGUUUAUGCAUCCAAAAAAGAGAAAUCCAGAUAAGGCUUUUACUUUUUCUGGUCUGAUAGAGAAGGGUGGGAUGGUCAGGAAAACCACCAUUUGGCACUUGAUUUGAUUAUGGGGUUCUAUCAUCCAAUAUCAAAAGGCCAACACUAUCUUGUUAUGCCUAAUUGCUAUAUCAGUGAAGCUUGUAUUUUUAGUUCAAAGUUCAAACCAACCUAAUAUAACAAGCCACUACUAAUUAGCAUAACAAAAUUUGCCAAGAAGCAAACACACCAAACCUAGCACUUAUGCUGCCCUUUUUCUGGCUCUCUUCGCUGCAAAUGCCAACAAGCAUGCUCAUAAAAAAUUCCCUCUGAUCCAUUUCAAGUGUUUAUCCAAGCCUCGAGCCGUCAUCUCCAUCUCAGGCUGCACAGUAAAAACCAAUUAUCAAGAAACUAAUCCCAAACACAACAACAAAGUUAGGAAGGAAAGUCAAUUUCUCAUGAUGCAUGUGUGCAUUGAUUAGAGGCCAGCCAGGUCAUUAAAAAAUAUUAUGUCUUCAUAUAUAUAUAUAUAUAUAUAUAUAUAUAUAUANNNNNNNNNNNNNNNNNNNNAUUCAACAAAGACUCACAAUGUCGGUUUGAAGUAUUUACUGGGAUUGAGCAUAAGAUAAUUUUCUUAACUAGAAAAUGUAAAACAAAAACCAUUAAACAAAGAGAAUAUAUUCUUAAUAACACCGUAACAAAGGUAAAAAAAUAUACAAGCGAAGACUAUACUGAAAAACUAUAAAGCAAAUGCCCUAAGAAAAAUAGCUCUCAGACAAUAUAGGAACAGGAAUAGAGGCUAUUAGUGCUAUGAGUCAAAAAUUGUUGCUUUGUUGUGGUAAAGUUGUUUGAUGAAUUAUAGAGCACAUACCGAAGACUCCUCGGGAGGGAAAAUCCGUCAAACAAGGCAUAUCUUUGACAGUUUUGCUACUGCUUCUGCAUGUUUACCUCGCAUCACUAAAGCCUGCAAUCAACAAGAAUAAAACAUAAAGUGCCAAAAAUUCACAGUUAUGUUUCCGACUGUACUUCAUGGUUUUUGGAGUACAUAAUUAAUAUAAUUUUCUAAAUUGAUUUUAGAAAAAUUAGGAAGUUCUAGACCACUGACAUUGACUAACCCAACUCAGCCGUAUGACUACAAUUAGUGAUAGCUAACAUGAAAGGAACAAUCAAAUCUGAAAAACUAAAAACUCCAAAUACAAUAAACUUACCGUCUACGAAUCUGUCUACGAAUCUGAUCCAGCCCUUCAGCCACAAAAUUUCUAGGGAAGUUUUUCACAAAAAGUUCAACAUUCUCAAAAGGAUAGUGGAUUUAAGCACAAGGCAUGUAACCACUCAUGAACCAUUGUUCAAACGCAUGAAAAGAUAAUUAAACAGGUCAAACAUCUAUAUCAUUAGGCAGACAUCAGUGGUUGAGAAAAUUGGUUCACUACAGAAUACUUUAUAAAACAUGAAAAACCAUGAAUUCAUAAUUGGUGAUAUACUGAAACAACUCCCCCAACUUUAUAAAACAGAAAAAGCCAUGAAUGGAUGAUAAGCCAAUAAGUAUGGUAACACAAUAAAACACACCAUUCAAACCAUAAAGCUGAGCCACAAACAAUAACAUUGUAGGCAAAGUUGAAAGAAAAGACGAUACAUUUUAGAAUAGCUGCAAGGAGAAUAAGCAAGUCUGAAUCUAAAACUACAUAAAAACCAAAAUGUGCAAUUAAUCAAAAACAUAAUUAUCGAGGAAUCUGAAGUAAAAAGACAACAACAUUGUAGAGAUAAGCCGGCUACCUGAAUCUGUUCCAGAUGAAAAAGGUGAGCUUCUUGGAUGGCGUAAGCUCCUUCAUCCAAGUAGUCUGGCUUUUGAACGAGUAAAAUAACAAUAGGGCAGGUAAUUAGAUCAUAAACAGUUCGGAUAUCAAAAUUCGAGCAAAGAAGAUCAAAAUUCAGAUUCACAAUUUAAAAAAUGAAAUAACAAACUUAGGAGAAGCAAGCACACCUGAAAAAAUAUAACCCCCUUACAGCCUCACACACACAGAGCACCACCUUCAAUCUAAAAUCCAAUUCCAAAACACAUGCAGAAAAAGGAAGCGAAAUACUUAUCAAAGUUAUGGAAACAUUCGAGUGACUACAAUACUCAAACUCGUACUCCAUCACUCAAACUUGUACUCAUUCUUCAGUCCAUCUAUUUACCUCAGGAUAAUAGCUGGUUUUACUGUUGAAGAUAAGUUAUACAACUGUUCAUGAUAAGUUUCAGAGAAAACCACUAUCGAAAAAAACUCGGCUUUCUUAAGGCAAGAAUUGAAGAACUCAAGUCAGUACUCACUUGUUUCAAGUCAUCUUCAUAGUCUUCAAUGUCAUCAUUUAUGUCAGCCUCUACUCCCCUGAACUUGAUUGCAGCUCUAUCAUACACUCAUACACUACAGAAAAUAAUUUAUAAUAAGCAACUAACUAAUCAUUAAAAUUUCUACAUGUUCUUGGAGAAAUUUUUUUUGUUUCCCCAGAAAAUUUAAGAUUUUUUAUGGCAAGCAAAAUAGUACUCACCAAGCAGCUGCAUGUGCUGUGUCGAAUCAACCUAUAGUGUGUCCAAAACAAAAUAAAAAAUAAAAAACCCAUCAGAAAGACCAACAUGGAUUUAAUUGCAAUGAUAAAACAGGUAUCCUUUUGUCAAUUCAUACAAAGAGGUACGGAAACUUCAAAGUGGCAUAUUUCAAUUCAUAGUUGGUGAUAUACUGAUAUACAUACUACUCCCUCACCUUAUAAAACAGGAAAAACCAUGAAUGAUGAUAAGCCAAUUGAGUAUGGUACAAAGAAAAACACACCAUUCAAACCAUAAAGUUGAGCCACAAAGAAACAUUAACAUUGUAGGCAAAGUUGAAAGUGACCUACAUUUUAGAAUAGCUGCAAAGAGAAUAAGCAAGCCUGAAUCUAGAACUACAUAAAAACCAAAAUGUGCAAUUAAUCAAAAACAUAAUUAUUGAGGAAUCUGAAGCAAAUAGACAACAACAUUGUAACAAAAAUUGAAAAAGAAAAAAAAAAAACGGACAGACACCCAUAUGGAGAAAUUGAUGUCAUCCAUCUUGAGGAAAAAAAUCAAUAUCAACGGAACCUUUAUUCUGACUCAGCAAGGAAAACAUUUUUUUUUUCUGAGGUGCAUCAGUUAUACACAGAUUAGUAACUCUUUAGAAACAUAGCUCAGUAAUAGAUUCAUAUACAGAUGGUGACAUGGUGCAUCCCAUCAGUUAUACACAGAUUAGGACACACAAUAUCUGAUCAAAGACCUAGUGUUAAUAAUACUCUAUUUACUGUGCUAUUGGAAUCAACCUUUGAAAUUGGGAAAGCCAUCUCAAAGUUCCCAUUGGAAACCCAACAUAACCAUGCAAGCAAUAGAUGUCGAAACUUCAAAUAUAAUAAGUUUGUCCAUCAAUAUCACAACAUUAAUAAAUCAAACUAUAGAAGCCUGUGCGCAAAGCUAUCUAAUGAACUAACUCUUCAAUCAAUAUAUACUAGCUUUUUUGCCCGCGUGUUGCUGCAGGAAACAAUCAAGUGUUGAACAGGAUUAGACAUUCUUAAUGAAGGAUUGGGAAGAAAAAUGAGUAUUGUAGAAAUGACAACUUAAUAUCCUCAAUUCCUCCUCAUUCUUAACCACAAAGAACAAAACUUCAAGGUAAUGCAGCUGAUGUCUUACAUCAAUUGUAAAAUUACUCUCCAUAGAAAUGUAUAUAUAGCAUCAACAUUUACAAUUUUCAAAAAAGAUCUGGUGCAUACAUCUUGGUCAACUGAGACAAUACUAAUUCACAUAGUUGAAUUAGACUCUUCCUUGCAUAGACACCUUUCAUACAUUUUUACAUUUUUACAUUUUUGAAGGCACAUGCAUGAUACUUACUACUACAUCAUAUAAUCCCUUUCAUAAAAUAUUUAAGAUUUACAGGUAAAAGGCAACUGGUCUGCCUAAUUUAUAACACUGGUUUCUUUCCAUAUUUCCCUUCACUUUUUAGAAGAUAACAGUUAUGCGCUGCCUAAACUAUUUCCUUGUCCAAAGACUUCUUUUGCAUCUGACAUCCAUAUACUUGACAAUUUCAAGCUAUCCCACAUUGAAAAAUAUGAACAUAUCAUUAUCUCAUUUCCCACAUGCAAAGACGACUCAACAUUAUAUCUAGUAAACUUCUGUCAACUACAGAUGUUACCCUGUUCAGAUAAACUUCUUGCAAUCAUUUAUAUAAUCCAGGGCUACAGCUAUAGAUAGAAUGAACCCAGUAACACAUAACAAUUUGAUUUUCAGGUAUAUGGUGUCCCUAAAGUUGCCUUCCUUAUUUUCAGGUAUAUGAACACCUAGAAUACUCGAUGCUAACAGGGUAACCUCCUUCCAUGUUGGUAAACUUAAACUACAUGACAGAUGCCAAAUUGAAUAUAAAAAAAAAACAAAAAAAACCCAAAAACUGACAGAACAAAACCAACUAAUUUUGUCAGCAGGGAAAGUACUUUACUUACCUGAACAAUUUGCACAUUUGUUUUUGGAUGAGUAUUAAAAGAGCUACACACUUAAAUUCAACCAAUCAAUCAAAUCAAAACCUUACUUUUUAAGUAUCUGAUCAGAUAACUCCAAUAAUGAUAAAGACAAAUCAAAUCCACGAUCAACUUCCUGCGUUCCUAAAAAGAAAAAAAAGAAAUAAAAGUUAGUGAUUAGAUCGGCUAAUAGAUUGAGAUAUCAAUAUGAAAUAGUAAAGAGAGGACAUUGGUACUGCACAUUCAAUUUUUCCUACAGAAGAAUCGGUUUAGCAAAUAAGACCUCAGACCAUGUAAAAAAAAAAAAAAAAAACACAAAAACCUACACAUGGAAAGAGUUCGAAACCUGAAAAAUCCUGUUGCAAGACUGAACUGUCACUUUACUAUUAAAAAACAUGUGCAAGUAAAACAGGCACAUACGUAAAGAUGAUACAUUCUCACAAACCAAUGCCUCGUCAACUUUUACUGGAUUAGCAUGUUCAUUCCCAAAACUAUGUUCUUCAAAAAAUUUCAUUCUAGAAGAUCUAAGUAAUGAAACAAAUUAAACCUAAAGAAAAAAAGGAAAAAAAAAUCAGCGCCAGAAAACAUAAAACAAAUAUUCAGUUGGAACAAACAUUGAAACGUAAAUUACCUAAAUAAGAAGACAAAAGUAAUAGAAUGAAGAACACUAAAGCAACUUACUAUUUUACCUAAAUAAGAAGGAAAAAGUAAUAGAAUGAAGAACACUAAACCCUGAUAUGCCGGCCCGCGCGAUGCCGCAGGGUUUUAUAUUUUUCUCUGCUGUGCAGGGUUGUUUUUUUUUCUUCAUAUGGCAAGGAUGAUAAUCUGUAUAGAAACUACAUCAGCAAAAUAGGAUAUAUAAAUGACACUGAUUUGAAAAUUCUACUUCCUAGUGUUGCAUUGAUUUCUCAUGGUUUUAAUAGUAGUUCAUCACUAAGUUCCUCGAAGACAUCCGAGCACUUUGGACACCUUCUGGUCCCUCCAGGCUUCUGUUAACUCUGCUUCAAAGUUGCUGAACUUCUCUUCAUCUCCUGCUCCUGCAAAGCUUUUUUGUGCUUGUUAGUCAUAUCAUUAAUUCAAAGUUUUCUAAACAUAACUUACUCAAGCAUCUAUUAAACAAACAUCAACAAAAGCCUGGGACAUACUUUCUAAAGAUAACUUCAUACCAUCAACACAUUCAACACCAACUGCUACCAACAGAAAAACAAAAUACAAAAAACAAUGCAAUAUACAAAUCUGUAGUGCACUUUUGUCCGGGGACAUACUUGUAUCAGUCACUAUUCUGCUUUCAUUAACUUCCUCAUCCUCACAGUAAGUCAUCCUCAAACUCAGUUGUACCAAUCCUCAUAUGUUAUGUUCAACCUGCACCCAUGUUCACACAUUAUUACACAUCAUACAGGAUUAAGACUCAAUUAGCUAAGUAAACAAAUAUGAAUCAGAACUACCAAUUGGAUAUAGAGAUAAAAAAAAAUUAAAAAACUUUAUCCAUUUUGUUGCAGCUAAGAAGACGUCCUCCCUAUGACUUUUAUUUGCCAACAAAGAUGUAAUAAUUGUAAUAAUAAACACAACCAAGGCUAACGAAUUUAUACCGAUGAAGAGAUUAUGGAAACCACCGAUUGAAAUACCUUAAUUUGUAAUGACUCUCUUUAAAUUUCUCCUUAGUUUGUCACUGAAAACUGCAAUCUUAUUGGCUCUGCACCCAAAAUGAGAAUAGAAAAAAACAGGAGUAGGGGUAGAACUAAAAGGAAAACAUGAGAAAUAUUGAGAAUUUGGAGCAGAUAAGUGAAAAAUAAAAAUAAAAAUAAAAAAGCAGCAGACAAAAGAUAAAUUAGUAAACAAUGAUAUUACCUUGUAGUCACCAGUCUGGCCUCCAAAAUCAUAUCAAACAUAGAAACGAAAGUGGGAACAGAGCUCUCUCUCUCUCUCCUUCCCAGACUUUGGACUUCGACCAAAAGAAAUCUGCAAUUAUAAAGGAGCAGAGGAAAAAUAAAAAAACCUGAUCGUAAAAUUGCAGCAAUUUGCUAGUUUACUCUAAAGAGGGUAAGAUAUGGUUGCUGCAUAUUUGAUUUCAAACCUUGUUGCAAAUAUAAACAUGCUUCAUUCUUAAGUAAUAAAGAUGCUUGUUACCAUGAGUAUACAUCACCUUUCAGGCAAUCUCGCGAAUAGGAGAAUGCUAAUUUUUUUCGAAGUAUAUCAAAUAGCCAAAUCUAACGGAAGUGAUGAAGUACUAUCAGAAGGGUAAAUAAACACAACAGGAAGGAAAUUAAUUACUACUCAACCAAACUGCAAGUAACCAAGUUACAUCCUAAAUCCUACACCACUGGACACAGUAAACUAACAUACAGGAGUACUCAAACAAUAAAUGGAAAUCAGUAACAAUUAUUCAUCCAAGUGACAAUGUAAUUCAGCACAAAAAGAAUAAAAACAUAUGGAAUAUUGAACACAACUGAGAAUGAUACUAUUUAACAUAAAUGGACUUCACGUUUUCUUUUCUAGCACUUCAAUACCUAAACAAAUGAAGUAAAUGUCAAUUAAGGUCAUUAUCAACUAUCUUAUAUAGAAUACUGGAAACUCCAAAUAGUAUGAAACAGAUAUUUACUAAUUACAAAACCUGGAUUGAAACAGAACUUGUUAAUGCUAAAAUUUCAAUAGAUAUCAAAUCAUAGCAUGUAGGACUAAAAGAAAGAGUAAAUUAACCACCAUAACAUAUUAAUGAUACAUUUGUCCAGUGGAUGCCCUCACCAAAAUUACUGCCUUAACAAAAAGCAAAUGAAGUUUUCUGAUCUUACCUUGCACCCCUUAAAUACUGCACAACUUCCUAACUUAAUGAGAUUUAAGCUGAUUGACAUUACAAACCUAAAGAGGAAGACUUUAUCACAGUAAAAGGGAGAAUAGUAUUACUACCUUGCGAACUGAUCAUCCUCAAGAAGCUUUGACCAAAUCUGCAAUCAAUGAAGAAGAAUAGUCAUUAAGACAUACAUCAAAAUUGUAAACUUGAUCUCUAACUACACCCAACAAAAUGCUUCCACCAAUACUGAACAAUAUUACACAGUACUCUACUGACCAAAACAUUCUAAUAAGACAACCCAGCACCUGGUAGUACUGUCCCACAAAGGACGACCCUACCAGCUCAAAUACGCACACGAAUACAAAAAAAAAAACAAAAAUACAUACAGAAAAUUACACACUGAAUAAGAGUACACAGAGACUGAAUCUGACCUGAACAACAUUAGCAGGUACAGGAUACGAACUCGCCAUUGCUUCCUCCAACUCUCAAAGCAUGCAAUCGCACUACACGAAUUUGAAAACUCUUUGCUAAAACCCUAACUCACUGAUUGGCCACAGAUCCGGCUAUAUCUCCGAAACACUAAACCCUGGCUUCACGGCACCUCGGGAUUCCCUAACCUCACUGACCUCAAACCUAAUCAAAAAUUCAAUGAAUGAAUCAUGAAAGAAAGUGACGACAGAACUGGAGCAGAGAGAGUCGAGCGGGAUCGAGAGCGAGAAAGAAAAAGAUAUGCAAAGCAGUGAGAGGGAUCGAGAGAGAAGAAUCUAGAGGGAUAAAGAAGAAGCCCAAGAGACCAAGAGACCAAGAGACCAAGAAAAAGCCCAAGCCCAAGUUAUACUGUUCACAGGAACAGUAAGGCGCGUGAGGCCGCAUAAUAUCUAGUUAAAUAUAUAUACACACACACGGAGCCAUUCAGAAGCAGAAGUCCGCACGUCCCUCUAUUCUCCACUGUCCGGCGCCGGCGCGCCUCCACCCGAGCAGACACCAGCGGCAUACCCGAUCACUUUCUCUCCCCGGCGAGAUUCAUUUGAAGGUCUGGGCAGCUACCUCCACCCAAAACUUCAGACAAGAUCGAUCUCGCCGGAAAACUGGAAUUCGGCGGACUCGCCGAGGAGAGAAAGUGAUCGGCGACGCCUCUAGUGUCCACUCAGGCGGAGGCGCGUGGUCAUUGGCACCGGACGGUGGAGAACGGAGGGACGUCCGCACUUUAAGCCCAGUGCGGACGUCCGCUCUCGAACGGGCCUAUAUAUAUAUAGAGGCCGGAUAUGAAGCGCACGUGCGUAAGUGCGCAUGGAGCUCCGUUCGCCACCGACGACGGCGCACCUCCACCCCAGCGGACUCCAGCAGCGUCCCUGAUCACUUUCCCUCCCGGCGAGUCCGCCGAAUUCCAGUUUUCCGGNNNNNNNNNNNNNNNNNNNNAGACAUAUUGAUAUCCACCUUGUCACUAAACCUAAGCACAAAUGACAUCCCAUAAUCAAUAUCAUUAUUAAUCCACUAAUCACUACAUCUUAGACAUCAUGCAACACAAACAGAUGUGACCAUUUUGCCAGUAGUGAAAGUGAUUAUAUUAGCCAAUCACCAAAAACACAUUCAGUUGCUGAGAAGGAAACAACAACUGCACGGAAUAUAUUAUACUACGUGGCAUGUAUCAUCAUAAGUAUUGCCACAGGACAACUUUGUGAGCACCCAACAGAAAAUCUGAAUUUGCUUAGCAUUUAGUAAGCAAAACAAAGCAUUCCAUAGUAUUGACUUAUAAAACUACUACCAAAACAUUGGUUUGAUCACUAAUCUAUAUGUACAUAUGUACUUCUCAGUAUUAUUUGUUACUUGAUUUCCUCACCAAAUCAUGAAUCACAUGGCUUUCCAAAAAGAACAUAUCCUCUUAUCCCAGCACCACCAAUAAGCCGAAAACCCAGAAAACCAAAACACCAAAUUCACAUCAAAAUCGAUCACAUUAUUAACCACAAAUUGGAUUGAAUAGCUCUUUAUGACAAAAUAAAAUUGAAGUUGAAAAGAUUACCUUAAGAACACCUUGGGGUGCUUCAGCAAGCUAUCGGAAAUCAAAUUCAAUGCAAAGAAUAUCCACCAUCAGAAUCAUCAUGAAAUAAACAAAAUCUCAAAAUCAGGAUUCAAUUUUGAAGAACCCACACAAUCGAUCAGCUAGAAAUCGAAUUACUUUACCUUAGUAUUACGGGUAUCGUCGUCGCCGGAGCCCAGCCCUAGAUUCGCCGGCUUCUUUCGUCAAUAGUCCGUCUUCUCCUACUUAAAUCCAAUAGCAACAAAAGCAAAAGAAACUAUAACUAUAUUAGUUUUCAGCAUAUAUAUAUAACACUAAAUGUAGAUAUAUAAUAUAUAAGCAACUUUAUAAAUAGGUAUAUAUAUAUAUAUUAAUAUUCCGGGUUGUCACACUCCACUGUCCUCAGAGAAAUUUCGUCCUUGAAAUCUAUAAAACCUUAAAUCUAAAAAUUAUGACUUGAACUUGAAUUCAGCCAGCCACUCCGAUAUUCGGACAACACCAUUCACUUGUCUAUUUCCACUAACCGAUAAUACUGAGACUAGAAACCCAUAAUCAAAACCUUAUAAACCCAGACAAAAAAGUGCAGGUCUAACAUGAAGAAUCAUGAAGACAUGAUUCUUCAAUGGUAACUCGACUAACAACCAGCCUUUCAUAUUAAAAAUUGAUACAACGGACAUAAUUCUCCUUUAUAAAUCAAUGCUAAUAUAGCGGCAGAUUAAAAGCAACUAUUAUGUAGCUAUCAUUGUAACUAUUGAAAGCUAUGUAACUGGCAAUGUAACUACUAUUUAUGUGACUUGGACAUGUUUCUGGCAAUGUAACUGGAAUGUAAGUAUGGAGCAACUAACAAUAUAACUACUCAUGUCACUGUUGAAAGCCAUGUAGCUGGUCAUGUGACUGAUUCAUGUAACUAACGUUUAACAGACAUCUCCAACUGGACAUAUAACUAUUAAAAGGCAUAUGUAACUACCUAGGUAACUAUCCAUCUAUAGUUACAUAGGUAGCAUAAUGUAGUUACAUAAGUCAUUUACAUAAUAAUUGCAGCGUGAUGCAGUUGCGGUUCCUGCUGCGUAUUAGAACAAAAAUUUAUAUUAAAAGCAACUGUUAAAAAUGCAUAUGUAGCUAUCCCUAUAACUAUUGAAAGCUAUGUAACUGGCAAUGUAACUACCAAUGUAACUAUCAAUGUAACUACCUUUAACAUGACAUGGACCUGUUGCUGCAACUGUUAAAAUGCAUAUAUAGUUGUCCCUGUAACUAUUGAGAUCCAUUUAACUGGCAAUGCAACUAGCAAUGUAACUAGCAAGGCAAGAUUUAUCACCAAACAUCAAUCUCAUUUAUCUUAUAGAAAAGCAUGUAAAGAGAAGGGUAUUUGACUAUCUUGAUCUCUUAAAUGUAUUUGAAGACACAUAAUAAUGAAACAUAUUAUACUUCCAACUACGCAAAAUUUAUCUUUUUUAGGGAAAAAGUUUUAACAUCCUCAUAAUUCAAACUAAGCAACUAACACGACUUUCUCCAUCUCAAGUCUGGAAGUAUCUGAACUCAUAACAAGAAAUCAAGGACGUACUGCACUAUAAAAUUGACGCAUAAACCACACUGAUGGAAUACUAUCAAGCUAACUUGAAAUCCAAACGAAAAUGUAGGAAAAAUACGAACAACACGAAUUGAAUCUCAUCAAAUUCAUCAUCAAAUCUAUGAAAAUCAAACAAAAAAACAAGGGGAAUAGAAAUAGUAAAUUGCAACUGAAAGGAAGAGAAGCAAGUAAAGUACAACAAAACAAUGAGCAGAUCUAACUUAAAAACACAGAAAAACCUGAUGUAGGAGCGCGGUCCAUGUCACCGGUUUGCUGCUUCAAAUGGUUCUCGGCUUCCUGGUUGGGCAUGACAAUGCUGGUGGAGACGAAGCUGACGGGCUUUGUGAAGUCGGCCUUUCUCUCUUUGCGGCGUUUCCUGGAGCCGUCGUCUUCGUCGGAGUCGGAAUCGGCGAAAAAGAGGAAGGACUUGAAAAAAAGAAAAAAAUAAUAUCAGUGAGAAAUAUCAAGUGCGAAAAAGAGGAAGGACUUUAACAGAAAAAGCUUACCUGAUAUGUUUCUACUCUUAUGUCCAGACUUCAGAUAUGGGGCAGUAUAAAACUGAUAGGUAUGACAGAUAUGGGGCGGUAUAAAACUGAUAGGUAUGAAACUAAGGUGGAGCGAAUUCCUUGGAACAAAUUCCUAAUAUUCAGAAUCAGUAAAAAAAAAAACAACACGGAUAAACUUGGAGCGAAUUCCUAAUAUUCAAUAGUAUCAUGAAAUUAAGGUGAGAAAAAGCCGAGAUGAAUAACAAAAUUAAAUUAGUUGAUGUGAUGAGUAUCAGUCCCAAGUAAUUACUCUAUACUACUCUCCUUUUGAAUAAUUCAAUGUAUUAUACAUAUACAGUCAUCUCUUUGUUUACAGUUUAUGAAAAGAAAGCACAUAGAACACGUAUCACAUAUUCAGAUGCAAAGAAAUAAUGAAGACUUGAUAUAAAUUAAUGUUGUCUUAUACCAUUGACCUAGACUAUAAUUUAAUGAUAUGUGUGGUAUCUAAUUUAGCAUUUUGACCAAAUCCAGCUAAAUCUUCUUCUGAGUUUACAUAAGGAAGCAAAAGAAUUAAAUGAGGUAUGGGGUUUCAUAAAUCCCAUUUGGUCACAGUCAAAUAAGAACCUUUGGGCCGAAAUACUCUGAUUGUUUCUGCAACUGGAGUCGAAUUGCAUAGAGGCAGACUGGUGUUGCUGUUCCAUUGCAGCAAUUCGAUGUGUGUGAUUUUGAAUAGUCCCAAAUGCAGGGUUGUUCUUUCUUCCGGUUUGAAUUUAUAGCUCAAAUUCAGACAAUGAUAUCCUCCUGCAUUAUUACCGGAAGGCUCUGCACAAAUACAAUAUCUAAAUGAAUUUGCAAAAAUUAAGAUGAAUUACUACAAUUUAAAUUAAUUAAUUAUCAGUUGAGUUCAGCUCACUCUCAUAGUUGCUAGGAUCAAUGUUAGCACAGAUUAUUUGCCAUUAUACGUGAUUGCAGCUUUGUCAUAAGCCCUACAAAAAAAAUGUACAUCAAUUCUCACUCCAAUCUUCAACUAAUUGUUUUUCUUCUUCCCAGAAACCAAUAAAUACAAUAUCUGUAUCGGUAUCUGUAUCUGCAGCUUUGCAAACACGGACCUUCUGCGUCGUUCUCACAGCAUCAAAUCAGUGACCUGCAAACCCGGAAGAACAAUCAAAGUCAAGCCUCAGAUGCUGAUGCCCUUGCCACAAACAGUGUUAAUCAUGAACUUGGUUUCAUUGCUUUUGACCAUCCUCCCAACCACGCCGCACAAGCCUUUUUGGAUGACAUUGCUGUUGUUUCUAGAGCUAGGAUGAGCCUCUUCCUCUAAUUUUAAGUGUGUUUGUUUUUCUGCUUUUGUUCUUUUUGACCUGUUUGUAACCAAAAAAAAAAAGGUCAAGCCUCAAAUGCCUCACUCAAUCUCAGACGUAAAACACUUGAGUAUCCAUUCUUUCUCUCUUUCUAUUCAAUUGCAAAUCCAGAGACAUUGAAAUGUGAAUGAAUUUGGCUAGAAAACAUAUCUUGUUUGCAUAUACCGGAUGUAAAUUGUUAUUGGCCAUACACAGCAAUCAAAUCUGCAACUAAAUAUUUUUGCUCAGUAACAUUCAACGGGUAGAUUUUUGGAUUUUCAAUCAAUUUUAGAUGCAUUGCAUUGCAUGCAUUUUGUCUGUGUAUAUAUUUCUGAUGAACAAUUAAAUCCUAAUGUGAGUUAUCAAAAGGUCUGCAAUCACACCCAAUGUGAAAAGUAAAAUAUACAGAACACAGACCUUCAAUACGGAAUUGAGUCCCAGCAACCUUCACCCAACCUGCAAAAAAAAUAAAAGUAUUCGCAAGACCCAAUCCAAAAUCCAACUGGUCAUGUGAAUAAAUAAUAAUACACUCAAACUCACAUAUCAAAAAAGGACUUCAUCCAUACGGUACUCAUUUAAUCACAUCGCAUACAACAUUGCAAUCCUAAAUUCUUAACCUCAUAAAAGCUGCAAGUCCUCCUAUCGUAUCUAAAGAUGGAAAAAUCUGUCUGCAUUAUAAUAUAGCAGCAAUCCUUCUUAACAAUGCAAUGGAGCUUCUCCAUUUUUGCAGCUCAUCAUCAGAAUUUUAUUUUAUUUUUACAUGUACAAAGUCUUUGAAGCCCAAUUAUUCUUCUCCGUUUAUUUCUGUUUUAAUUCACACAAAAAAUGCAAGCAGAUGAUGGAAUUAUGAUAUAUUCAAAGAUGGACAAUAUGAAAUGCAUAAUUAGAUGUAAAUAUGGAUGUGAUUCUCAGUAUGCAAAUGUCAUCCAUUAACAUUCUACUACAUGAUCAUCACCAAACCUAUCAAAUUUUACUGAAGCUAAAACACAUAUGCAUACUCAUAAUCUGUAAAACUAUCCACAUAUGUUACAAUAUCUUUCCACUCCUUUUACUUCCUUUUUAUUCAAAUCAAAAAACACUAAAUCAACAAAAGAAAAAGUAACCUGAAUUACAGAGACCAUCCACAAAUAGGCACAGCAACAGCAACCAACAUCUACCAGCAAAAUCAAAAAAUAAAUAGUUAGCCUUAAAGUUUAUACAGUGAACAUAAGGAGACAAAAUUCUUAUCUAAUUUCUGAUAUACGUAGCCAAUUGAGUAUGGUAACACUGUAAAACACAUCAUUCAAACCAUAAAGCUGAGCCACAAAAACACAAUACCAUUGUAGACAAAUUUGAAAGAAAAGACGAUACAUUUUAGAAUAGCUGCAGAAUAACCAAGCCUGAAUCUAGAACUACAUAAAAACCAAAAUGUGCAAUUAAUCAAAAACAUAAUUAUCAAGGAAUCUGAAGUAAAUAGACAACAACAUUGUAGAGAUAAGCCGGCUACCCGAAUUUGUUCCAGAUGAAAAAGUUGAGCUUCUUGGAUGGUGUAAGCUCCUUCAUCCAAGUAGUCCGGCAUUUGAACGAGGAAAAUAACAAUAGGGCAGGUAAUUAGAACAGAAACAGUUCGGAUAUCAAAAGAAGAUCAAAAUUCAGAUUCAUAAUAUAAAAAACGAAAUAACAAACUUAGGAGAAGUAAGCACACCUGAAAAAAUAUAACCCCCAUACAGCCUCACACACUCAGAGCACCACCUUCAAUCUAAAAUCCAAUUCCAAAACACAUGCAGAACAACAAACCAAACAGUUAAAGUAAAAAGGAAGCAAAAUACUUAUCAAAGUCAAGGAAACAUUUGAGUGACUACAAUACUCAAACUCGUACUCCAUCAGUCAAACUUGUACUCAUCCUUCAGUUCAUCUCUUUACCUCAGGAUAAUCCACAAAACAGAUGCUUGAAUUAAUUUUGGUUUAAAGAAAUGAUUGCUGAUCUAAAAGUGAAGAUAAAAUUCAGUAUGAAAGACGAAUUCCUUACCAGAUUUAUAGGAUCCAAACGCGAUUGUCUUUCCACUAAGCUCCAGAGCGGCACAUUAAUCACCAAAAAGAAAUUUAAGCACAUUUAACAGCAAACUCUAAUAGGUUUUUUAACCUUUACAAUACUAAAAACAAAAGUAAAGAAGCAAUCAUCACCUUCCCCGCAGCAUUGCCCUGUACAAAUGAAAGGAAAAAAUUGCAAAACGGAUACAGCAAUAAUGAACUUGAAGAGCAUGACCAAGUUGAAAAAUCCAUGUUGAUAAUAAGUAUCAGUUCAGUAGGCAGCUAUUCAUAUAGUCAAGUGCAUCAAUCAUAUUGCAUCAAAUAAAGUAUUCCAAGCAACCGAUUUUGAUUAAAAUCCUUAUCAGACUGCGGUAAACAUAUAAUGAAAUCAGAAAUUACUCACAGCAUUGCAAGACUGAGGCAAUAGAGAUCAGUGACACCAAUUCCCCUGAUAUAUUCUCCUAAUAUAUUUUUCAUCAGUGACAACAAUAUCAGAACGUAAACGAUAUCAAAACGAAAACGUCAAAGCUCAGUACCUAAAUAUCCUAAACUUUGGACCACAAUUGACAUGGGCACUUACAGUGAGAACAAAUUCUGCAGCUGAUAAGUUCUUGAGGAAUAAAAAAUUUCACAGUUGGGAUAAAAUCAAGCUAUCCAUAGCAUCUAUAUCAAACCUAAAACUCACUUUCCAAGCUUCACUUUUCGUAUCUAGCCUGUCUGAAUCCAAUUUAAGACCAGCUCUUUAUAACUUUCCAAAACAAACACCCAAUUUAUAACCAAUGCACAUUGCACUAUCAAAUCCAUAUAUAACUUGAAACUCAGAUUAAGCUAAUUACUACACAAAUACUGAUGGCCUCUAUUUUCUUUUUACAUCAAAACUCUGGCCACAUAUGGCUUGUGAUUUAGAGUGUGGAAACAACCAUUGUUAUCUUAGGUAAGUCUUAGUGCAGAUCACUUCAUUCCGAACAUAACAUAAGCUGUUGAAAGUGAUCAGAUAUAGAAGAAUUAUGAAUUCAUGAAAACAAGAACAGUCAAAAAGUGAAAACAUUGUAAAAUAAACUCCGAAAAUGAUCACAUGAUCUUUGUUCUAUUUAUCAAGAUUCAAAGUAAAAUCAAACAGCGUUUGAAACAUAUCCCAAAAGUGCAUGCUGGAAACUGUAGUGGUUUUAUAAACAGUAAAAUUUUCAAAGGCAGAGGAAAAAGUAGGAUGAAAGUAGAUCAACCUGCUAAACUUGGUUUUCCAUUUCCUUGAACAAGGCUGUUUCUUUUCUCGCCUUAACAUGCCCUUUCUCGAGCUCAAUCUUGCCUCUCAAAUGGUAGUUGUUGGCCUAUUUGUGACGGAGCCUCCUUCUGCAGAUGUCACCAAUAUCUAAGUCAACAACGAUCAACCAAGUGGUACAACAAUUAUCAAUUGCUUUACUGAACUAACAACUAACUAAAAUUAGAUCAGAUCAAUCUCACAAAAAAGAUUGUAAUUCAUUCACACAAGCAAAUCAAUGAAACAAUAAUUAAGUGCAGAUUACUAAAGAGAAAUGCUCUUUAACAGUUCAACAUAGACACUGCUGUUAUGGUUUUUUUUUUUCUUUUAUCGUCAGCUUCACAAAAACAAUGUUUCACCUGAGUUUAUUUGUGCCCCCGCGUUGCUGCGGGUUUCAAAAGAUCAUUUCAGGUUUCAAGUCUUUGAUGUAUUCAUGCUAGUUUGAGAAGUAAGCUUUGAGGGCUAGACAAUGAAGUACAAUACUCCGAUUGCAUAUGAUUCGCAAUAUAUGUAGUAGAACAUGUCGUAUUAAUAUGGCCACCAAAAAGUGUUAAAAAAUAUACGUGUUACAGAUUAAGGGUAACUUUUAUCAUCCUUAUUAGCAAGGGAAAGGAGGUCGUCCUUUGAAAUCUUGGCAUUCUCCAAGCCAACUCUUCCGUCUCCACGAGAUUUCUCUUGCACAACAAACCAAAAGAAAAUGAAUUGAAUAAUCCAGUAAACAAAUGAUCCAAUUUAUUAAUUGUAGAUAAGCAAUUCAUAAGUUCUCAAAUCCACACGUCCCAUUAGAACUCUAAAUCCCUUUUAGAGUAACUAUUUAAUACAACAAUAUCAAGCAGAUGAAAGCAUGAAAAUUAAAAAUCAAGCAAGCAUGAAAAUUAAAAAUCAAGCAGAUGAAAGCAAAGUUUUCUUUCUUUGAAGCCACUAUAUAAUCGAUACAGUUUUCGUUAUUUGAGUACAUUGCAUGUAAAGUUUGUAACUUUACCUGAAAAACUGCUUAAAAAUGAAACUCAAAUCAGCAAGCUAUAUACUGGAAUUCGGUGCAAUCGAUCAUUGAGGUGCUAAACUGCAAAACAGACAAACGCCGAAUCAGCUCAAAUCAGGUAAUGGGAACGGUUAUCCUUCUGGAAAUGAUAAGCUCAAUCUCAAACAAUAUAAAAACCACACAAAAACAGAAUGAAAAAAUUUGAAAAUUCAAAAGCACUCAACUUAUCUAUUCGAUCCGAGCAGAGGAAGAUUGGGAACUUCCCAAAUCUAUAGUCCCACGAAUCCAUCUUGGGGAAAAUUUAUAUUGCACUCUUUGCAUUCAAACACCAAAUUUCAUGCCACCAAAAAAAAUUCAAAUGAAAACACAAUAAAAAUUCAAAUGCAAACGCAAAAGCCAAUAAAGUCGAGCAGAACAACAUCAAGAAUAUACCUGAGAAACUAAUAAAUUGGAUCCCGCCCAAAAUCAACCAAACUCGACCAGGCACAUGUUAACAAAUUCUCCAUAGAUUUUCACUCAAAGAUAUCUCAUCGGCUCUACACCGAAANNNNNNNNNNNNNNNNNNNNAUAAUCAAUCUUCCCCAUAUCCACAAAAUAAACCAAAAAAAAAAAUAAAUAAUAAUAAUAAAUAAUUUAAUAGCUGGUUUUACUGUUGAAGAUAAGUUAUACAACUAUUCAUCAUAAGUUUAGAGAAAACCACUAUCGAAAAAAACUCAGCUUUCUUAAGGCAAGAAUUGAAGAACUCAAGUAAGUACUCACUUGUUUCAAGUCAUCUUCAUAGUCUUUAAUGUCAUCAUUUAUGUCAGCCUCUACUCCCCUGAACUUGAUCGCACUUAAUCGCAGCUCUAUCAUACACUGCAUAGAAUAAUUUAUAAUAAGUUACUAACUAAUCAUUAAAAUUUCUACAUGUUCUUGGAGAAAUUUUUUGUUGAUUUCCCCAGAAAAUAUAAGAUUUUUUAUGGCAAGCAAAAUAGUACUCACCAAGCAGCUGCAUGUGCUGUGUCGAAUCAACCUAUAGGGUGUCCAAAACAAAAUAUAUAAAAAACAACAAAAAAAAAGAACCCAUCAGCAAGACCAACACAGAUUUAUUUGCAAUGAUAAAACAGGUGGCCUUUUGUCAAUUCAUACUUGCAUUCAAAGAAAAAGCGGUACUGAAACUUCAAAGUGGCAUAUUGCAAUUCAUAGUUGGUGAUAUUCUGAUAUACAUACUACUCCCUCACCUUAUAAAACUGAUGAUAAGCCAAUUGAGUAUGGUAACACUGUAAAACACACCAUUCAAACCAUAAAGCUGAGCCACAAAGAAACAUUAACAUUGUAGGCAAAGUUGAAAGAAAAGACCUACAUUUUAGAAUAACUGCAAAGAGAAUAAGAAAGCCUGCAUCUAGACCUACAUAAAAACCAAAAUGUGCAAUUAAUCAAAAACAUAAUUAUUGAGGAAUCUGAAGCAAAUAGACAACAACAUUGUAACAAAAAUUGAAAAAGAAAAAAAAGGAACAGACACCCAUAUGGAGAAAUUGAUGUCAUCCAUCUUGAGGAAAAAAUCAAUAUCAACGGAACCUUUAUUCUGACUCAGCAAGGAAAACAUUUUUUUUCUGAGGUGCAUCAGUUAUACACAGAUUAGUAACUCUUUAGAAACAUAGCUCAGUAAUNNNNNNNNNNNNNNNNNNNNAAAAAAAAAAAAAAAAAAAAGGAAGGACAGACACCCAUAAUCCUUGAUCGAACUAGAAAAAUAUAAAAAACCAAGCAAAUACCAAAUACCAAAUACAGAUGUGACAAAAUAUGAUUUUUUCACUCACCUUGAUCCAGCAUAAAGGAUUGAAACCUUUGGAGCUAAUACCGGCAUUCAUCACCGUUGCUAGUUUCCAGCCAGCUCCAAUUAUCUUUUCAAUUUUGUAAUUGCUUUUGGUAAAUCGAAAAUCAGUGACCUGCGCGCAACUUCAAUGAUAAAAAAACUGUGAUUUAAAUCGUUGUGUUUGGCCCUUAUACACAAAGUCUGAUAGUUAUAGUUGAUCAAUUUCAAAUUGCAUGCAACUUUAUAAAACAAAUCAUCAAAAUUUUGCAGAACCCCAAAUGUAAAGACAUUAGUUUUAUAUCAAAUAACAUUGUAGGCAAAGUUGAAAGAAAAGACAUACAUAAAAGCUGCAACUGCAAAACAUAUUAACAGGGUAAGGAGUAACCUCUAUGGAUUUUUUUUAAGCUUCGAUUUGAAUAGCUGCUUGCUAUCCAACUCUAUGUUCUUUCACUCUCCAAUAGGCGUAAUGUGAAUCAUUUCUAGAAUCCUUGUGUCAUUGUAAUUCCAGAAAGAAAAUCUUGGUUUUAUGAGCUUCUUGAACACAAGAUUGAAGACCAGACUGCAUUUUUCAAAUGUCAAUGAGACUUUCAGAAGAAAAAAAGAAAGGGCCUCAGUAUUGUGUUUGAUAUGACAUAUUUUAAAAAGUUACCUAUCAAUGACAAAGAGACCAAUAACUUACAGCCGAACAACAAUUACUGUAAAUAAGUAUGAAAUUCCAGGGAAAUCCUCAUCCAAGUAGACUGAAUUACUUAUUGAUUCUAAAUAAGCUCCCUGAGACGGCUUAAAUAUCCAUCAAAACCCCACGACAGCUUAAAUAUCCAUCAAAACCCCACCCUGACUCUAAAAUAACUUCUAGGUACAAAAAAUUUCCGGCACCAUUAUAUAGCCUUGUUUCAUUGCUUUCAAAACUAUCAAGGAUGCAGAUAGAAGGAAACAUACAGAUAGAUGCAACCGCAGCAUGUAUAUCAAACCUAAAACUCACUUUGCUUCAGUUUUCAGAUCUAGACGGUCCCAAUCCAAUUAAUAACCUUUCCAAAGCACCCCUAGUCAGUCCCAAUCCAAUUAAUAAGCUUUCCAAAGCACCCAAUUGCACUAUCAAUCAAAUCCAUAUAUAACCUGACAGCACCAAAAUACACACCUUAUAAACCCCAACAUAAUAAAUUAUAAGUAAACAAUGACCAUGAAAGAAAACAUUAAAUCAAUAAUUAAUAAAUUAUAAUUAAACAAUGAGCAUGAAAGAAAACAUUAAAUCAAUAAUUAUACCCAGAAUUGGCUUUGCCAUUCAAAAUCCGCAGCCUCAAAACAAGAUCAAAUUCUGAUUACUAGAUAAAAACCCUAAAUCCAACCACAGCCGAAAUCUCAACCCCCAAUUAUCCUUAACAAUUACCCAAUUUCCCAAUUCCCAAACCCAAACCCUAUUUGACAGAGACCACCCACAAAUAGGCACAGCAACAGCAACCAAAAUCUGCCAGCAAAAUCAAAAAAUAAAUAGUUAGCCUUAAAGUUUAUACAGUGAACAUAAGGAGACAAAACUUUCUUAUCUAAUGAAACAUAAAAUCAUAAAAAAUUGAAACAAUCUAAUAAACUUUUCAUAAAACUCAAACCACAUGCAGUUUUAACUAACUGAAUAUUACAAUAAAUUUAUUUGCGAGCAUGUUGGACCAAUAAAAAAGAAUCCAAAACAAACCCGCCACCUGAACAUAACAGAAUACCAUAAAAUUCAUAAUUGAAUAGAAACAAUGAAAAGGAGUUCUGGUGUUGAAGAGGCAUAAUAAAGUCUCCCAAAAUAAAUAAAAAAUAAGAGCAAUUACUACAAUAAAGCAUAUCUUCAUCAACCCCAGUACACCAUCAUUAACUCAACUAUAAAGCAAUAUUGAGAAAACUGUUUUCUGAGCAAGAUACUUGAAACAUGAUUGAAUUGAAGUUUUAGCCGUCAAUUUUAUCCACAAUACCACAUGGGAAACAGAUUAUUCGCAUGUAAAGGCUGCAACUGCAAAACAUAUUAACAGACACAGGUAAGAAGUUACCUCUAUGGAUCAAAACAAAAAGAUAUAACAGGUUUUAAUGACGUUAUCUUUGAAUUUAUGGAGUGACAUUACGAAAUUCCAGGGACUCCUCAUCGAAGCAAGACUGAAUUACUGAUUGAUUCUAAAUAAGCUCCCUGAGACAGCUUAAAUAUCCAUCAAAACCCCACCCUGACUCUAAAAUAACUUCUAGUAGGUUCCGGCACCAGUUAUAUAGCCUUGUUUCAUUGCUUCCAAAACUAUUAAGAAUGCAGAUAAAAGGAAACAUACACAUUCGUUAAUAACAAAACAUUGCAUCACUCAGCCUUUGUAUUAGCAAAAUGCAUAUACAUUAGGAAUGCAUAUACAUUAGGAAGUCAGAUGUUCUGCACUACAACUGAAGCUACCCAUAUGUUCUGCACCAUAACUCAUGUUUUGCAUUAGAAUGUAAGAGUAAUUUUUUUUUUUUGUCGAAAUACCCUUUUAAUGAAGCUACCCUUUUAAGAAUUUUUUUUUUCUUGUCAUACCCAACAAUAUGAAGCUACCAUUGAUCCAAGGUUCUGCUAAAUACAGAUUCUCGUUAAAAAGUUAAAGAUUAAAAGAUAAUAAAUGUUUCUGAACAAUGGGUAAUACUGGAUUUUAACAGGUAAUUCCACAACUAAGAUUCCAAAAGCACACAAAUCAAUGAAUAACACCAAUCAAAAUUCAAGCUAAAAACUCCAUAAAAUCCCAGAACAAAACUGAGCCUGGUCAUUGCGUAACAUACUUUGGUGAAAACUGGAAGCGAUAAAGGGCAAGUCUGCAAUUCAAUAACCACCUAAAAAUCACUAACAUUAAAAAUUAAAAAAUAUAACAAAUCAACCAAAGCACAAAAUUGAAAUCGCAAACAGAUAAGAAAAACCAAUACCCACAAUUUUCGAUUCAUGGACUUUGGAUAAGCUAACAGUUCGCAUUCUUAUUUUGCUGAUCGAUCUCAAUGGCCCCAACACCUUCCUCUUCGUGUAGAGACUCGUGUCGAUAUAAAAUCCCAAACCAAGCCUGAAUCUAAAACCACAUAUAAACCAAAAUGGCCAACUAAUCAAAAACAAAAUGAUUGAGGAAUCUAGGCUAUUUAAUGAGAAUAACAAAAAGUUAAGCACACCAAAAUUUAAUUACUGAUGGCGUGGAAUUUAGAAAGAAAUUACUGAGCCGAAAUACUGAUUGUUCUUGCAAAUGGAGUUGAAUUACAUAGAGGCAGACUGUUGUUGCUGUUGUUGUUCCAUUGCAGCAAUUCGAUGUGUGAUUUUGAGUAGUCCCAACUGCUGGAUUGUUCUUUCUUCCGGUUUGAAUUUACAGCUCAAAUCAAGACAAUGAUAUCCCCCUGCAUUAUUACCGGGAAGAUACAAUAUCUAAAUGAAUAUUUGAAAAAUUUAAGAAGAAUUACUACAAUUUAAAUUAAUUAAUUAUCAAUUGAGUUCAGCUCACUCUCAUAGUUGCUAGGAUCAAAGUCAGCGCAGAUUAUUUCCCAUUAUACUUGAUUGCAGCUUUGUCAUAGGCCCUACAAAAAAAUGUACAUCAAUUCUCAGUCCAAUCUUCAACUAAUUGUUUUUCUUCUUCCCAGAAAUGAAUAAAUUCAAUAUCUGUAUCUGCAGCUUUGCAAACACGUACCUUCUGCGUCGUUCUCAGCAUCAAAUAAUCCCAAAUAAACGUACCUGUAAAAUCAAUCAUUAAGCUGUGUAAGAGAUUACAAAUGGGGCACAGAACCUUUCUCAUUGGCAUUUCAUGUGACCGUCGGUCUAGACGGUCAAAAAAUUGAGGUCUAAAUAGGGUUGACAACAAAACAUACCGGACAAUAAAAUGAGUGAUAAUUAAGAAAAGGGUUUACUUAACUUUUGCCUAAAAAUUGGCAGAUCCGAGCCUCCCAUCUCCCACACUUAUGCACUGGCACUCCUCUAUAUUUUGAGCCGCCUCUAGGGAACCAGGUACUUUGUUGGAAAAGUACAUGCACACAUUCCUCCUUUGUUAAAUUGCUCAUUUGUUCAGCAACAUAUUACAAAAGAAUAUAAUCAAUCUUCCCCGUAUCCACAAAAUCACAACCCAAAAAAAAAAAAAAAUAGAAUAGCUGGUUUUACGGUUGAAGAUAAGCUAUAAAACUGUUCAUAAUAAGUUUAGAGAAAACCACAAUCCCAAAAAACCCAUCUUUCUGGAGGCAAGAAUUGAAGAACUCACCUCAGUACUCCAUGUCAUAGUCUUUAUAGUCUUCCAUGUCAAAAUUCAUCUCAGCCUCUACUCCCUUGAACUUCACCGCCACUGCAAGACCAACAUGGAUAUUUUCUUUGCAAUGAUGAAACAGGUGUCCUUUGUCAAUUCAUAGAAAAAGAGGUACUGACUUCAAAGUGGCAUUUCAAUUCAUAAUUGGUGAUAUACUGAAACUACUCCCCCACUAUUUUACUCCCUAGUUCAAUCGAGUGACUAAAAAAUACCAAAAGUUGAUAGGGACGCAAGUUACCAACAACAAAAAAACACUCAGAGCAGCAUAGCUUUUUGCACAUUAAAUGCAGUAAUCCUUAAAAUCUUAUGAUGGUAUAUCAUCACAACAGAAAAUUUUGAAAUAUGCAUGAAAUGAAAUGAAACGUUCAAAACCUUGUAGAUAUCUUCUGGAGGUUUGGCCUCCAUGACCUCAAUAUCACUAGCAAGGGUAAGAUUACCUUCACUGAGUUUAGCGUUAUUGAUAAUGUCCUGCAUUGCUUCUCUUUCUUCAUCUUCUGACACCAUCUCAUCAUUAAGCUCAAAAUUGCUACCCUGUAAAGGCCAACGGGAAAACAAGCAUCAGAAACACACUAUAAGAUACUAAUGUCAAAUUCACACCUUUCAGCCAGUGUAUAAUUUUCUAGAGCACCUACUGCAUUCAUAUGCGCAGAGAGAGAGAGAGAGAGAGAGAGAGAGAGUAAUUUGAAGAACCGCUUUACAAAUAUAAAUUCCAUGACUUACAUGUCGGGCAAGGAUGUGACAGAAUUGCUUUUUACGCAGCAGAUCAUCACAAGAUGUAAAGACUUGCUUUACAAACUGCAAACAUACUCAAAAUUGUUAGCACCAAAUCAUAUAACUUGUAUAAUCUUCUGUCAACUUCCCUAGUCAAUUAACAAAACACAUGCCAUUUUUUUUUAAAAGCACAAACCUCCUUAUUGUCAAGGAAAAGGGCAAUCAGAAGUGCAUUUGGAUAUUCUUCAAAUUUCAGAUUUAUCAUGAAUGCGAUAUCCAAAACUAACAUAUCAUCUGGUNNNNNNNNNNNNNNNNNNNNUUGGGCAAAUUCUCUGAAUCAAGGUACAGUCCGCUUACCUUGCCAAACUGAUGAGGUCAAGACAAGUCCUCUUAAAAUUUGUCUUAUCAACAUGCUCGACUAAAGAUCAAGGUCUUCAACCUGGCAUUGGACAUUUGGACAAGCUAUCAGUACCAGUCCCAAAAAGAAAGGGCUUGUCUGGCAAAGAAUGUUGACAAAUUAAUAUUUGGUUUUACCACCAUUAAAAGGUCAACAGCUUCCGGUUCGGCAUUGUGCUGCAUUGCAUUUAAGAAUUGAUUAGAGCCAAUAUAUAUACAUUUUGAAUACAUUUUCCUAGGAAACACUAAUAGAGAUGUGCUACUAAAUUAUAUUAAUUUCCAACUCUAUAGAUUGUCUAAAAAUGCAUGAUACAGAGCAAGAGUUUGAUUUAACUUUAUUGUGUAAACUAUUAUUCUGGGAUUCACUGAAGCUGUGUGACUAACUGUGCUCCAAUUAACUAUUUUUGGCACAUCAUCCUGAGUCAAAUUUUUUUAUUUUUUUUUGGUUACAAGAGGGGCCUAAAAGACCCAAACACAAAAACAGAAAAGACUGAGAACUGGAACAGACUCCAGUCCUUCUAGCUCUAACUACACCAUCAAGAUCAUCAAGGUAGGCCUGGACAGCAUGCACAGGAGGGCUGUUGAAAGUGACAAGACCAAGAUCAUGAGUGAUGCUGCAUUUAGCAAGGGAGUCGGCCACCAUAUUGCAUUCUCUGAAAAUAUGAGAGAGCUUAACAUUCGGUAUUUUGGACAUGAAAGAAGAACAAGAAGAGAGAAGAGACCCAAGAGGGUGCAACUCAAAGCUCCUCUUCUGCAUAAGCUGCACUAAAACUGCAGAGUCAGACUCAACCUCCAUAUCAGAACAAUAAAAUUUAGCAACCAGCUUCAGGCCAAAAAGUAAACCCCAAGCUUCAGCAUAUAAAACCUCACCAACCCCCAAAUUAAUCUGAUAACCAAAGAUCCAAUUACCAGCAUGAUCUCUCAGCACCCCACCAGCCCCAAUUUUUCCAGAAGAGGAACUUCUAGUACCAUCAAUGUUCAACUUCAAACAAUUUGCAGGAGGUCUUAACCAAGAAAGAUAAGUGACAUUGAACAUAUUGCUACUGCUUGGAUUAGACUGAGCACUAGUCCAUUCCUCAACAUAGUUCCAAAUGACUAAAGCAGGAUCUCCAGGCAUAACAAAACCAGAAUUAAAGACAAUUUUAUUGCUCCAUUUCCAUAAGAACCAGCACACAAAGACAAAGAGGUUGCACCAUUUGAUACCAUUCUUGACCUUGGAUUGACAAAACAAUUGAGCAGAAAUCCAAUUAUCCCAGCCCAAGAUAAACGAGUUAGAAAUGUGAGAAGAGGGGCAAAUAGAUUUCCAAACCUCUUUAGACCUGUAACAGUCUCUGAAUAAAUGAAGUAAGCUCUCAUCAGCAGAGUUGCAAAUGGGACAAACUGCAGAGGUAGUAAAUCUUCUUCUAACUCUCUGAACAUUAGUAAGGAUUUUUUUGUGAAGCACAGUCCAGAAAAAGGUCAUUAACUUAGGAGGGCAGUUGAGCUUCCAAACAACUUUCCAAUAAUGAUGUUGAGGCUCAGCCAUAUCAAACAAAGAGAUAUAAGCAGACUUGACAGAAAAGACUCCAUUAGAAGUAGCCUUCCAAAUUAGUUGAUCAUUACCACUAUCUUCAAAACCAGUAGAGAAGCUGAUAAUUUGAUUAACAACUUCAGGAGGAACUACAUCAGAAAGCAUUUCAAUAUUCCACCCAGUAUCACACCAAAAAUCACAAACAGUAGAGCUCAAGUUAAUGACAGCAUGAGGUAAAGCAAACUGAAGAAGAGGCACAGACAAAACCCAAGUAUCAGACCAGAAUUUGACCAUCUUGCCAUCACCAAUGCGCCAAGAUAAAUUACUUCUCAUCAAUUUAGUACCAUAAGCUAUACUCCUCCAAGUAGAAGAACAAUCAGCAGGAGCAAUGUAAUUUUGAUCAAUAAUAGAGCAAUCAUUAAGAUAUUUUUCAGAAUAAAUGGAAGCCCAUAAACCUGAAUCUUGCUUAAAAAUUCUCCAACUGGCUUUAGCUAACAUGGCCUGAUUCAUAUCCUCAGUUUUCUUAACCCCCAAGCCACCAAGACACUUAGGCUGACAAACAGUUUCCCAAUUGACUAAAUGAACUCUUUUCUUCUCAUUGUUAUCUCCCCAGAUAAAGUCCCUAUUGAGCUUAUCAAUUCUUUCACACAGACUCACAGGGAAUUUAACAGUUUGCAUAGAAUAAAUGGGAAUAGAGGAGGUCACAGAUUGCACAAGAGUGAGCCUACCAGCCAUACUGAGAGUUUUACAUUUCCAGCUAGCAAGCCGGCUUUGAAUUCUAACAAAAAUACCCUCAUAAGUAUGUUUGUUAAUUCUUGUAUGAAUAAGAGGGACACCAAGGUAUCUACCAAGAUCAGAAGUGAGAGGAGAUCCACAUUUUCUACUGAUUUCACUAGCAAGAGAUUUACUAGUAUUAGGAGAGCAAAAAAUAAGAGAUUUUUCAAAACUUACAGCCUGACCAGAGAGAGCACAGAAGGCAUCCAAGCAGCCUUUGAGCACAUGAGCUUGAGUAGAAGAUGCCUCAGCAAACAACAUCAGAUCAUCAAAAAAGAGGUGGGACACCUUAGGGCCAGAUUGGGAGGCUCUGACUGGUUUCCACUUACCAGCAUCAACAGCAGAACUGAUAAUGUGAGAGUCUUUCCAUGCAAAGAACAAAAAUGUACGGAGAUAAGAGGAUCCCCUUGGCGAAUCCCUCUCUGAGCCUUAAAAGAGCUGGUCAAUUCACCAUUAAAACAGAUUUGAAAACUAGUGGUAGUGAUGCAACUCAUAAUCAGAUUGACAAGAUGAGGAGGAAAUCUGUCAUAAGCUUUUGAUAAGUCAACUUUCCAAGCAAAGAAGCCCAGCAUACCUUUAGACUUUUUAAAUUUGAACAUCUCUUGAGCAAUCAUAAUAUUGUCUGAAAUUUGUCUACCAGGAACAUAGCUGACUUGGUUUGGACUAAUGAGAUGUUGCAUCAGAGGCCUAACCUUAGCAACAAUAAUCUUAGAGAUAAUCUUGUAAACAGUAGUGCACAGGCUGAUAGGUCUAAAAUUGACCAUAUGUUGAGGUCCAUCAAUUUUAAGAAUAAGGGAGAUAAUAGUAUGAUUCAGGCCAGAAGGAAUUGAACCAGAACUAAAAGCCUCGUUAACAAUUUAAAAAAUCUCACCAGAAUAGACAGACCAAUGGUGCUGAAAGAAAACGGCAGGGAAGCCAUCAAAUCCAGGAGCCUUAAGACCUCCAAUGGAGAAAAGAGAAUUCUUAACAUCCAUCAAGGAAAUAGGCUGAGAGAUAUCAUCAAGGAAGCAUUGCUCAAUUUCAGGGAAGGAUCUGGAAAUAGAGAAUCUGCAAUUCACAAGAUCCCGUGCAGAAAACAGAUUAGCAAAAAAAUCAACAGCAAUAUUUUUCAUAGACUGAGCAUCAGAAAACCAGUUGCCAUUGCUAUCAAACAAUCCUUCAAUCUUAUUUCUUCUCCUUCUGACCAGAGUAGUCAAAUGGAAAAAUUUAGUAUUUCUAUCCCCCUCUUGAAUCCAUUUAUCUCUAGACUUUUGCCUCCAGAAUAAAUUCUCCUGGUUAAGAAGCUGCUCAUAUUCUUGAAUUAACUCAGCUUCCAAAUUGAUGAGAAAAGGAUUGCUAAAUCUGUCACAAGUUUUUUGAAGACCCCCAAUUCUGGCCAAAAUUUUCUUUUUUCUCCAAAAUAACUGACCAAAAACCUCCUUAUUCCAAACUGUCAAAGUAGAAGAUAAAGUUUUCAAUUUAGAAGCAAAAUCACCAGAGAGGCCAUUCCAUGCAGAAACAACAAAAUCAGAGUAGUUGCAAUGAGAAAACCACAUUGCCUGAAAUCUGAAAGGCCUAGAAAUAGGAUUAGAACAAAAAUUUGACUCAGAUUGCAUGAUGAUAGGGCGGUGGUCAGAUCUUGUUUUAGGAAGAUGUUGAAUAAAAGCCUCACUAAAAAUAGUUCUCCAAGAACUGCUGCAGAAGGCCCUAUCAAGUCUUUCUUUAACUCUACCAUUGGACCAAGUAAAACAUGAGCCUAUAAAACCCAUGUCAAUCAAAGCAUGACUAUUAAUCCAGUCUCUCAACCCUCCAAAACGACCAGAGAGAUGACCAACACUCUUAUCAGCAGCAGAAAUUAAUUCAUUAAAAUCACCAAUCAGAAACCAAGGGAUAGCAUGAGUAGCAAUGAGAUUAUCAAAAUAAGGCCAUAGAAAAGCCCUAGAAGAAUGAUUAGGACUUGCAUAAACAACAGAGAGCGUCCAAUCAGGUUUACCAGUCAUAGAGACCUUAACUGAGAUGGACUGAAAAUUCUCAGCAAUAAAAUCCACAUGGAUAUUGUUUUUAUUCCAAAGAAUCCAUAAACCACCAGAAAAACCUCUAGCCUCAACCACUCUAUAAUCAGAAAAACCAAUGGCCUUUAAAGCAUUCCAGGCCUUAUUGAACUGAACUUUAGGUUCACAAAUAGCCAAAAUAUCAACAGCAUGCAUUUUAACAAGAUCAGAAAUAGCAGACCUAAAAUUUUCAUUCCCUGCACCUCGAGCAUUCCAAAACAAAACUUUUAACAUUGGAAAAGAGGAUAGGAAAGAGGGAGUAACCCAAUUAAGUAGAAUGCAUUGCCUCUCCAUCAAGAGAGGAUAAGCUUUCAUCAGCAGAAAUUCUACCAUUAUCUUCAAAAAUAGAUUCAACGAAGGAAUCAGUAUCCAUGGAACGAGAAUCAGUCAUAUCAAACUUAGGUGGAGGCUUCUCAGGGGGAUUAAUACCUAAAGAGGCCUCAACGCCACUAUCUAAGACAUUCAAACUCACAUUAUCAAAUGAGAGCUUUUUUGAAAUAUGAGGUUGCUGCUUAGAAGUAGAGCUGAGCCCUUUGGACUUUCUUUGGUACUGAAAAUCAGCCUUAGAACCACUGCUACUACCCACAGUGGAAACAUCUUUCAUGGGAAUUCUAGGUUUCAAAGAAGCAGAGCUGGUCCUAGCCUUAGUGCUGAGAGGAGGCUUACCAGAAGAAAGGUUAGGCUCCUUUAGAACCACAGAACUGGAGUUAAUAGGGCUAGAAGAGGCCUGCUUCUUCUUCUCAAAACUUUGCCAUAAUUUUACAACUGGAGGAGUGGAUUCAGGUAAAACAGGAGAGUUGCUCAGAUCAGAAGCAUUAGGGACAGAAUCAUGUUCUUUAAGCUCUUGAAGAACUGAAAAUCUAGAGCCUCCACCUGAAGACUUCUUGGAUCCACUUCCAUCAUUAGAUUUCUUCUUAUUCCUGUAGCUCAUAAGCAUCCAUGGCCCCAUAUCAUCCUUGAUCACUUCACAUUGAAGAUUAGAUUUAUCAAGCUGCAUAGAAACAUCAGAAGCAACAGAUUCUUCUACAUUCUCAGGGGCAGACACAUUAUCACAUGAAACAUCAUUGGAAGUAGCAGGAUUGUCAGUGGACCUAAUAGAAGGGCACUUCUCCUUAGCAUGACCAAAACAACCACAUUCAAAACAAAUAAGAGAAAUCCCCUCAUACACCACAUUAUAGGCUACAGAUUCAACUUCAACAAAAGGACGCAGAGGUUUGCUUAAAUCAACUUCCACACAUACUCUAGCAAACUUACCCCUAGUUUAUCCAACAGUAAGCUUAUCGACCUUAACUACAUCACCAAUGAUUUUUCCAAUUUUGGCAACAGUAAAUUCCUUGAAAAACUUCACAGGCAAGCCAAAAAUCCUAACCCAGAGAGCCAUUUUUCCCAUAGAUUCAGUAAGGGGAUCAAACUCAGGCCUAUACUGCCUAACAAUCCAGGGACCCUCGCACAGAGCAUAAUUCAUAUCCUCUUCAAGAUUAAAUUUCACAAUAUAAUAGUCAUUAGGCAAAUCAAUAAGUUUCCAACCUCCCUUAACUUGCCACUUACGUCUUAAACCACGAAGAAUGAAAUCAAAGGUGUUUGUAGAAUUAGGUUUUCCCAUAAGCUUAACCACAACGGCACAUCUCCAAUCAAAAUCAAGCUUACUAUGAACUUUCCCAGAGAAAGAAACAUUCAAGCCAUGCUUACCCUGCGUGUAGGAACAGUCAUCAUCAGUGAACUCAAAGUCUUCAGUCAUAGUUUGAUGGUAGCGCUCCGUGGAGUUUGUGAGAGUACUAGCAUAGGACUGAGUCAGCUUCGCAGGAGCUGAAAUCUGAAAGCCAGGAACCGGAUCCUCCAUUCUUAGAGCUUCUAGGUCAGAGCUGAUAUCACCACCAGCUUUCAAGCGUUUUCGUUGCGCCAUAACAAGAUCCGAGGAUCCGCCGCUUCCCAGAGGAGCGGCAGAGAAGAUGAAGGGUGGAUUCGCCACCAGAAAUCACAAAAAACCCAGGAAAAUCGACAAGAAACGAAGAGAAAAUUGGCCAAUACGAGCAGGAGUACAGAAACGGCUAAUUUGGGGAAGGCGCGUUCUCUAACUUUUAGCUUUUAGUUACUUGUGUAUCCUGAGUCAAAUUUUUGAUUGCAAUGAAUCGGCUAAUACAAGAUAAAACACUAAAACACAAUUGAACAGACAAGCACAACCUGAUUUCAUAUUCACAACCCAAUUUCAGAAGCAUUUCAUUAAAAAAAAUGUUUAGACAGGAAAAAUACAAACUUGUUUCUGAUCUUACCCUCGUGUGAAAAGCAACUAUUUGUUGUACUAGCUCCAUUAGAUCAUCAAACGGGGUCUCAUCACUCUGCAACUGAAACAGCAAGUUAGCACCAAUGCUCAAGAGUUAACAUACAUAUAGCAUGAAAUUAAGAGUUUCUUAUCUUGAUUAACUAACACAUGUUACAACAACAAUUGCAACAUUAAGUGAUACAUGAUACAAGCAUUGAAAGAAACUGCAAAAUAAUAUUUUCUAACGGUGUACUAAUUUCAAUGUACAGAAAUGAAGAAUGAUCGAGAUUAACUUGUCAUGCUACCUCAAUUAAAUUUUCCAACAAAUGAAGCUAAUACAUGUCCAAAGGAUAAAAAUUCACACCUGUCGCUUGGCAUAUUCUUGAGCAAUUUCAGCAAUUUCUCCAGCUAAGUUCCUGAUUACAAGAUAGUCACAAUAGUGAGGAUAUAUAUAGUCCAUAUACCUAAGGGAGCUUAACAAAUAUGCAAGGACUAAAAUGAUGAAACUCACAUACCACAAAUUGCGUAUCAUUCUGUUAGAAAUUAAAAGAUUCUAACCUUCAUGUCCUCAUGAACCAAUAUCACCGUCUAAACUUUAAGCUUUCCUGCACAAUAAAGCAAAUGAAAAUAUCAAACACACCAAAACCACAGUUUGAUCUAAUUGAACUAACCCAAAAGAUUGAAAUCCUUGAUCUAACAAAAAAUAUUAAAAUCCAACCAAAUACCAAAUACAGAUUUGACUAAAUAUAAUUUUUUCACUCACCUUGAUCCAACACAAAGGAUGAAACCUGUGGAGCUAAUACUUGCAUUCAUCACCGAAGCUAGUUUCCAGCCAGCUCCAAUUAUCUCUUCAAUUGUGAUUGCUUUUGGUAAAUCGAAAAUCAGUGACCUGCAAACCCGGAAGAACAAUCAAAGUCAAGCCUCAGAUGCUAAUGCCCUUGCCACAAACAGUGUUAAUCAUGAACUUGGUUUCAUUGCUUUUGACCAUCCUCCCAACCAUGCCGCACAAGCCUUUCUAAUUGACAUUGCUGCUGUUUAUAGAGCUAGGAUGAGCUCUUCCUCUAAUUUUUCGUAGUUUGUUUUUUCUGCUUUGGGUCUUUUUGACCCGUUUGUAACCAAAAAAAAAAAAACCAAGCCUCAGAUACCUCACUCAAUCUCAGACGUAAAAUACUUGACUAUCCAUUCUUUCUCUCUUUCUAUUCUAUUGCAAAUCCACAUAGACAUUGAAAUGUGAAUGGAUUUGGCUAGAAAACAUAUCUUGUUUGCAUAUACCGGAUGUAAAUUGUUUUUGGCCAUACACAGCAAUCAAAUCUGCAACUAAAUAUUUUUGCUCAGAAUUGUCAUCAUUAACAUUCAACGGGUAGAUUUUUGGAUUUUCAAUCAAUUUUAGAUGCAUUGCAUUGCAUUGCAUGCAUUUUAUCUAUGUGUAUAUAUUUCUGAUGAACAGCUAAAUCCUAAUGUGAGUUAUCAAAAGGUCUGCAAUCACACCCACUGUUAAAAGUAAAAUAAACAGAACACAGACCUUCAACACGGAAUUGAGAACAUGCAACCUUCACCGAACCUGCAAAAAAAAUAAAAGUAUUCGCAAGACCCAAUCCAAAAUCCAACUGGUCAUGUGAAUAAAAAAUAAUAACACACUCAACGAUUCUGCAUCCAGGAACCCAGAAAGAGAGGUAGAGUGCCUAGAAUCUUGUACAAAAAUAAAAAAGAGAUUACCUUUCUCAUGAAAGCCAAAGAAGAACGAUAUCUAUAAUUCAUUGACCACUAUACAAAAAUUUGUGAGCCAGAAGCAUAAUUCUAAAUGAAAGCUAAACAAACUAAUGUAAGUAUAAAUUUGGCGAAAGAAAAUUCAGCUACCUUUAUGACAAGUAUAGGGUGGAGGUGAGAGAGAGGAUUAAUCUCCGUGUUAAAUUGUUUCUCCAAUCGAGCUGCCAAGAGGUAUGAAGUACAAAAAGGGGUUUAAUACCAAUUAGCUGAAUUCAAAAUCAUAUAUUACAUGGCGGGCUCUCACCUUGACAACACUGUGUAAAAGCAGGACUUGAAGUCACAGGAGGUUGAUCCUCUACAUCAGUCCUAUUAGCAAUCGAAAUUAUGCAAGUAAAGCCUAGGGGUCUCGAAGGCGCUCCACAAUCUGAAGAUGAAGCAAUCAAAAAAAAAAAACAGAAAGAGGAUAGAUCUAAGUGGGCUACCUGAAUUUGUUCCAGAUGAAAAAGUUGAGCAUCUUGGAUGGCGUAAGCUCCUUCAUCCAAGUAGUCCGGCAUUUGAACGAGGAAAAUAACAAUAGGGCAGGUAAUUAGAUCAGAAACAGUUAGGAUAUCAAAAUGAGUGCAAAGAAGAUCAAAAUUCAGAUUCAUAAUAUUAAAAACAAAAUAACAAACUUAGGAGAAGUAAGCACACCUGAAAAAAUAUAACCCGCUUACAGCCUCACACACACAGAGCACCACCUUUAAUCUAAAAUCCAAUUCCAAAACACAUGCAGAACAACAAACCAAACAGUUCAAGUAUAAAGGAAGUGAAAUACUUAUCAAGGUUAAUGAAACAUUCGAGUGACUACAAUACUCAAACUCGUACUUCAUCGGUCAAACUUGUCCUCAUUCUUCAGUUCAUCUCUUUACCUCAUGAUAAUCCACAUAAUCCACAAAACAGACGCUUGAAUUAAUUUUGGUUUAAAGAAUGGAUUGCUGAUCUAAAAGUGAAAAUAAAAUUCAGUGUGAAAGACGAAUUCCUUACCAGAUUUAUAGGAUCCAACUGCGAUUUUCAUUCCACUAAGCUCCACAGCUGCACAUUAAUCACCAAAAAGAAUUUUAAGCAUAUUUAACAAAAAAACUCUAAUAGUUUUUUAACCUUUACAAUACUAAAAACAAAAGUAAAGAAGCAAUCAUCACCUUCCCAGCAAAUGAAAGGAAUAAAUUGCAAAACUGAUACAGCAAUAAUGAACUUGAAGAGCACGACCAAGUUGAAAAAUCCAUGUUGAUAAUAAUUAUCAUUUCCGUAGGCAAUUAUUCAUAUGUUCAAGUGCAUCAAUCAUAUUGCAUCAAAUAAAGUAUUCCAAGCAACCAAUUUUGAUUAAAAUCCUUAUCAGACUGCGCUAAACAUAUAAUGAUAUCAAAAAUUACUCACAACAUUGCAAGACUGAGGCAAUAGAUCAGUGACACCAAUUCCCCUAAUAUAUUGUUGUGCUCUAACCUCCUGCAAUAAUUUUCAUCACUGGCAACAAUAUCAAAACAAAAACGUCAAGUCUCAAUACCUAAAUAUCCUAAACUUUGGACCACGAUUGACAUGGGCACUUACAAUGAGAACACAGUGAGAACAAAUUCUGCAGCUGAUAAGUUCUUGAGGAAUCAAAAAUUUCACAGUUGGGAUAAAAUCAAGCUAUCCAUAUAGAUGCAACAGCAUCUAUUGCAUCUAUAUCAAACCUAAAGCUCACUUUCCAAGCUUCACUUUUCAUAUCUAGUCGGUCCCAAUCCAAUUUAAGACCAGCUCAUUAUAUUCACAAACUUUCCAAACAAACACCCAAUUUAUACCCAAUAAAGAGUCCAGAUCAAGACCCCCAUGGUAAAAUACCAGCAUGGUUGAGCACAGGAUGAUAUCUAGCUACUAUAUAUUACUACGAGUAGCCGUGACCAGAAAUGUAAAAAAAUUCAUCUACUAUGUAGGUCCAAUUCCACAGAUACAUAUAUCCAAACAUAAAAGACACAGUGACCAAGUUUACAAGGGUCAGUGACACCAGAAACACAGGUCCGAAGUGAGAGAUCAAACAACCCCUUUCUGGAUAGCUUUGAACUAGAGAAAAAGGCGGGCAUCUGCUUAACCCUACUUCACUAAAGAACUGAGAUCAAAGAAGAGAAGCAAAAUAUCUAUCCUGAUGCUUAAUAGGAAUUUGGUGGGUGGGAUCUUAAGUAUACCAAAGUGGUCCCCGUUCCAAUCAAACCAAUGCAAGUGAAAGAUACACAAUUAUAUCUAGAAAAUAUCCAAGCUAUCAUGAUGUUUCAUUAAAAAAUAAAUCUAAAUUGGGAUAUUUCUGAUGUGAAGUCAAUCUUUUAACAAUAUGUUAUGUCGAAUAAUGAAUUUAAGAGAGAUGAAGAAAAAGGAGCCGCAGUUGUAGGUUAUGUUGUUUGAGACCUGAAUAUUCCAAAAUGAGCACUCAAUCAACCCAUUCUCUCUACUUUUCCAUUUGUAGUCUUUCUCUAGUAACUAAUCUCUUGUUUCUUUCGACACAGAAAAAUUAUUGGUAGCAGUCGAGAAAAUAAAUACUUCAUAAGACAGUAAAAAAAAAAUUCUAAUAAUAGCAACCAAAAUUGAAAAUGAAUAUAAAAGUUGGGAUUAUAAUGAAACAGCUAUAAGCAUCCGGUAUGUCACAAUAAAGAGACAAUACCUUCUCAAAUGCUACAAUCAAGUUAUCCCUUGCAGGUGAAAAGGGAUUAUCCACCGUCAUGCUACGAAAAUAUUGAUAAACAGUGACCACCUCAUCGCCUGAAUAAGAGGCCAGUAUAGCAAGCUGAAGUAUAAUGAGGAUAACAGUGAAAGAUCAGAAAUCAUAUGCAAGCACAUCAAUGGAAAUAAUGGCAGCUACUGUGUUUACAAAAGUAAUAAGAAAAAUAACAAGACAACACCUGAUGAUGAGGAUUCCCACUUGAUGGCGAACAAGAUGCAGCUUGCAAGUAGUAACUUGAGGCAGCAGCAUACUCACGAGUUUUGGAGUCCCCCUCUCCAUACAGUCCUUUGUAGCGUGCAAGGUCACCCAAGUAAAUCAAACAGCGGUGACAUGAUAUCAAACCUUUCUGUCCAUCUUUAUCCAUAACAAUUCGAUUUUCAGAAUCCUCAGACAAAUAGCCAAGAGGAAGCCCAUACUUUGCUCUGAUCUUCACUAUUAAAUCAUGAUAAAAUCCAGUCGCUUCUGAAAGGAAUGUUUUAAACUGCAAUCUUAUUUUUGUAAUAUGAUCAGGUCGAGUAGGACCCUUCAAACUUUGUGAUGAGUUUGAACCUGUAGAAGCCAUAGCAGCACUAAAGUGUGCACGCAAUUCGUCGAUCCACUUGUAAUGUAACUACCACAAAGCAUACUCAACAUUGUGUUGCUCUGAAAAUGCAUGGUCCUCUAGAAUUAUAGCUUCAUAAUUCUCACGUAUCUGUUGCCAGGCAUUGGGAUCUGAUGGAACUCGCGCUUGGGCAGACCUUCGACGCCUGCUCUCCAACUCAGUAAUCUGUAGAAGAAAAGUAUGUGUAAAAGAAUGCAGAUAACAAGGCAUAAACCUGAAGAAAAGGCUUGCCCACACAAAGAUUCCUAUUGUAAGUCUUCCAAAUCGAUACUAUAAACAGUAAAAUUUUAAGACACAUUAGCCCAGACAUGUUAGAACAAAGUAUGGAGUGCAUGCAGCACACAUGCAGUUUCAAAACUGUUAUCCAGAAUAGAUAUACCUUGUCAUACAAACGCUGAGCACGCUCCCAUGGUGGAGGAGCAGACAUUUUAUCAGUCUGAAUGAUCAUCAUCCAUCAAAUAUGUUUGAUCAACUGCAAGCAGCAUCAAAUCUGCACAAAUGAAAAUAAAGAAAAACAAACUCACAUCAGAUAACGAAGGAACAAUCUACCAAAUAUAGCUUCAACCAUAAAAAUCAUCCCAUAGAUUCCAGUGAAAGCUUUAUAUACUACGACUAGCCCCUCCCCGUAAAUUUCAAAAUCCUAGAACCAAAUAAGUCCUUAAGGUCACAAUGCUUCGGACCGUGUUGGGUUUCCAAGCAAACCCUAAUUUAACCGGGUCGAGAAACCAUAGCUGGGUUUAUAAGGAAAAAAAAUAAAAAUUGGAAAAACUGUGACGAAAAAGAGCAUGAAAGCACAUAGAAAUAAAGAAAAAUUUGAGAUCCGCAGAAGCGAAAAACAAGAAACAAAGAUCAAUCGGCUCCAAUUACAAGAAUUAGAAAAGGAAGAAAAGGUACAUGUGUAAACCGGAUCUACGAAACGAUUGAUGAGACUAGAGCAUCGGAUGGAGAAAGCGAAAGGGAAGGAAAAAAGAAAGUUUGGUGAGAGAAAAGGGAGAGGAGGACGAAAGGAGAGAGAGAGAGAGUGAGGGUGUGGUUUGGUUUCUUUUGGUUUUUUGGGUUCAAAACGGGGAUGAGGUUAGAGAGGCAAUUUCUUUAUGUUUUCUUUUUUCUAUUUAUUUCAUUACCACUACCUAAAAUACGAGGACUUCUUUUAUUUUCCAGCCCAGGCGAACAAAAUAUAGAACACAAUAAGAAUCAGGCUUCUAAUUACCAUGACAUCAUCAAUGGCCAACAAAAUAUUGAAAUCCACACUUUGUUCUAAAUCCAUCUUUAUGUCAUAAUAAAACAGUAAUUCAAUCCUAGAAGAUAAAAAUUCAUCAAAUCUUCAAAACUAUUUCUAGUCGUGAAGAGCAUGAAACCCACAAAUAUGUGAUUACAGAAAAAAGAACAAAUUGAAACUUAUUAUUAUUAACUUGACAGAAUCAUAUGGAAAGUGGGUAGUAAUGAGCAUUAAAAUUGAACAUAGAUACCUCAUCGAUAGAUUUCGAGUGACCUAAAUUAGAUGAGUGAAAGAACACUAUUUUACUCCCUAGUUCAAUCGAGUGACUAAAAAAUACCAAAAGUUGAUAGGGACGCAAGUUACCAAAAACAAAAAAACACUCAGAGUAGCAUGGUUUUUUGCACAUUAAAUGCAGUAAUCCUUAAAAUCUUAUGAUGGUAUAUCAUCACAACAGAAAAUUUUGAAAUAUGCAUCAAGUGUCAGAUCUAUGACAUGAAAUGAAACAUUCAAAACCUUGUAGAUAUCUUCUAGAGUUUUGGCCUCCAUGACCUCAAUAUCACGAGCAAGGGUAAGAUUACCUUCAUUGAGUUUAGUGUUAUUGAUAGUGUCCUGCAUUGCUUCUCUUUCUUCAUCUUCUGACACCAUCUCAUCAUUAAGCUCAAAAUUGCUACCCUGUAAAGGCCAACGGGAGAACAAGCAUCAGAAACACACUAUAAGAUACUAAUGUCAAAUUCACACCUUUCAGCCGGUGUAUAAUUUUCUAGAGCACCUAAUGCAUUCAUAUGCAGAGAGAGAGAGAGAGAGAGAGAGAGGAAUUUGAAGAACCGCUUUACAAAUAUAAAUUCCAUGACUUACAUGUCGAGGAAGGAUGUCACAGAUUUUCUUUUUACGCAGCAGAUCAUCACAAGAUGUAAAGACUUGCUUUACAAACUGCGAACAUACUCAAAAUUGUUAGCACCAAAUCAUAUAACUUGUAUAAUCUUCUGUCAACUUCCCUAGUCAAUUAACAAAACACAUGCCAUUUUUUUUUUAAAAGCACAAACCUCCUUAUUGUCAAGGAAAAGGGCAAUCAGAAGUGCAUUUGGAUAUUCUUCAAAUUUCAGAUUUAUCAUGAAUGCGAUAUCCAAAACAAACAUAUCAUCUGGUCCAGGAACCAAUCUGCAGUACGACGAGAUACAAAUUAAAAGUCAACAAAGCGACUCAUUAACAAAUCACAAUGACACCUUUCAGAACGUCAUAUCAAACAAUUACUUCAAUAAGNNNNNNNNNNNNNNNNNNNNNNNNNNNNNNNNNNNNNNNNNNNNNNNNNNNNNNNNNNNNNNNNNNNNNNNNNNNNNNNNNNNNNNNNNNNNNNNNNNNNNNNNNNNNNNNNNNNNNNNNNNNNNNNNNNNNNNNNNNNNNNNNNNNUGUUUCUGAUCUUACUCUCGUGUGAAAAGCAACUAUUUGUUGUACUAGCUCCAUUAGAUCAUCAAACGGGUCUCAUCACUCUGAAACUGAAACAGCAAGUUAGCACCAAUGCUCAAGAGUUAACAUACAUAUAGCAUGAAACGUAAGAGUUUCUUAUCUUGAUUAACUAACACAUGUUACAACAACAAUUGCAACAUUAAGUGAUACAUGAUACAAGCAUUGAAAGAAACUGCAAAAUAAUAUUUUCUAACGGUGUACUAAUUUCAAUGUACAGAAAUGAAGAAUGAUCGAGAUUAACUUGUCUUGCUACCUCAAGUAAAUUUUCCAACAAAUGAAGCUAAUACAACAUGUCCAAAGGAUAAAAAUUCACACCUGUCGCUUGGCAUAUUCUUGAGCAAUUUCUCCAGCUAAGUUCCUGAUUACAAGAUAGUCACAGUAGUGAGGAUAUAUAUAGUCAUAUACCUAAGGGACCUUAACAAACAUGCAAGGACUAAAAUGAUGAAACUCACAUACCACAAAUUGCGUAUCAUUCUGUUAGAAAUUAAAAGAUUCUAACCUGACAUAUUCAUGUCCCCAUGAACCAAUAUCACCGUCUAAACUUUAAGCUUUCCUGAAAGAAGUGGACAUAUAAAGACAUCAUUACACAGCUGUUAUAUACGACAAGUUCAAAUAGUUAUGCAAUCGACAAAAGUAUAACGCAGACACACCAAACUUCAAAUAAUAGACAUACCCGUUCUCCUUCAGCAGACAUGGUCAGUGCCAAAACCGACAAUAUAUCCGCAAGGUAUAUCUGCAUGCAAUACACAGUAUAUUAUUUAAACAAGAAAAAAAUCUUAUUAUUAUGGAAGUGGACAAGGCACCGAUAGUUAAAGCAUACCUUCAAAUCUGAAUCGGUCAUUGUUUCAUAGUAUGCUUUUAGAGUUCCGUAACGGCUUUGGUACUGAGGUCAUGGAACUAGUUGAGGUACGAAUUUCCUGCCUACAAGAUGAAAUUUGAUGUCAUGUCAAGCCACACAGUAGUAUCUGAUCCAUAUAAGCAAAUAUUUUUGCUGACGAGUUAAUAAAGUGAAUACUGGCCAAAACUUAAAGCUUCCGUAUCAAAUAAAGUGAGGUCAAGUAAAUUGCAACCCAAGAGAAAAUAUAGCACAUACAAAUCGUGGGCUGUAAAUUACUAAAAAACACAGGCAGAAGAAGGAAGAAAAGAGAGGUCAUAGAACAUACCUCUAGCGCAACUUUCUGUAGUCCAGGAUCAGAAUCUUGAACCCUCUCCGCGUACAAUUCUAAUUGCUGCUUGAGGGCCAAAUCUUCAUCGGACUGCACAUAACACAGAUACAAAUUCAGCGAAACCGACUAUCCUUUGUAACCAAUUCAAAAGCCGAACCCAUUGCAUUUACUUAACCAAUACAGCUUGAAUCCUCAGAUUUUUCGAUUUUAGAUAAUACAAACUUGGAUAAACCGAAAAACAAGAAAGAUGGUCUAGGGCAAAACAAAAUUGUCAAAACCGUAAGAGAUGGAAUUGCAUACCAAAUCCUCGUCUUUCUUGUCAUCUUUCUUUUUCGAAUCCUUUGGGGGCGGAGGUUUGGUGGGCUCAUCGUGCUUGCCGCUGCCGCUUGCGGUGUUGGUCGGUUCUUGCCCGCUUGCGGUGUUGGUCGGUUCUUGCCCGCUUGCGGUGUUGGUCGACGACGAUGCUCUCUUUCUCUACGUUCAUAGUUUCUUUCCUCUUGAACAAGAAAGUGUGACUCCUUCGAUGCCGCUACCCACACCUUAUCUCCGUUUUAUUGGGCCUCCAGACCAGCCGGCCCAUACAAUCUGAUCAUUGUUUUUUCUUUUUCUUCUUUCUUUUCUUUCCAUUAAGCAGUUUAAAAAAAAAAACAGAUUUUAUAUUAGUUAAAACUGUUUUAAUAUUCCCGGAGUUUUAAUAUCUACUAGUUAAAACUGUUUAUAUCACAAAGACAUAUUCCCAAUACAGAGCCUCCCUCUCACCCAUCUGCACUCAUCUGCAGAUUAAAUAUUUGUAUUUAUGAUCUAUAUAAAAAAAGUUAAUUAAUAUAUAUUAUUUAUUUACAUUAAAUAUAUGUAUAUUUAUUGAGUGUGUUUGCUAAGUUAUUCAUGCCAAACCGGUACGUUUACUAAGUUAUUCAUGUCAAACCAGUGCCCAGAAUAUUAUCUCAUCUCAUCUAUGAAUCAUAAAAUGUGAUUACACACUCUCACGUAAAUGAGAUAUAACAGCCCAUCUAAAAAUUUGGUCAACCCGAAUCAACGUCACUUAUCACACUCUAAAUAUUACCUAAACUCUUUUCUGACUUAUUUAUCUUGAUUGUUUCGCACACACUCUUACGUAGAUGAGAUGUGACUUAUUCACCAAUUAUCGAUAACGUUUUGAGUCCGGAUCCACUCGAUCAACCUUAAACCAACGUCACUUAUUACACGAAAACGCUAUUACCCACCUUUUCUUAACUUAUUUUUGUCGAUUCUUUUGCACACACACUCUCACGUAGAUGAGAUGUAGUAGCCUAUCUAAAAAUUUGUCUAAUUUAACCUCCCGACGAUAUGGCUCCUUAUAGGGAAGAAUAAGCACAAAUAGGGUUGACCACCUUGAUCAGAGUCAAAACGUUAUCGAAAAUAUGUGAUAUUUCUACCACAGCCGUAUUUCACUAUACCUAUCACAUCCUACGGACGAUUUUUCAAAUUCUGUUUGCAAGAUAUAGUUGUUUCAUAAAGGUGUACACCUGCAUAAAACCUACUAUACAAGUUAUACCACUGUAACAGACACGUUGUGGUUUCAAUGACUAAAAUUAAAAAAAUUAAAUCUUGACCGUUUGAUGUUAUCAGUGUAUUUAAAUACGGCUAUAGACAAAAAUUUACUAAUUUUCGAUAAUGUUUGAAUCUCGAUCCACUCGGUCAACUAGUUGGCUUACUAGGAUUUUAUUGAAUAAAACGUACUAAAUUAAAAAAACGUUAAAUUUGACAUCAUCAAUGUGAUUACGGAGGAGUAAUAAGCAUUUAAGCAGUCGUAAUAGGCUCUUGGUAAAGAUAUAGAUCCCGUCCGCCGUCGUUUCGAUGUCGGUCAAACCAGUCAACACCAUGCACCCUUCUUCCUCCCUAAAGGUAGCCCUGUCACGCAUAUAUCAUUUUCUCAAAAUUUUUACAUGGGUAGAAAGAGCGCAUCACCCUAAGUGCGCGCUAAUUUUCACGGAAUUUUUCGAACACCUGAGCUAUUUAUUACCAUUUUCGCAAGAUUUUCAAGAUAACAUCUUCAAUACACGAUGUAUAUCUUUACAUACAUACAUGGAUAAUCAAGAUUAGAGGAAAUAAUAUAAAAAUAUGGUGGUCAAACAUAUGAAUUGUUAUGAACGGUUAAGAUUGCGUCGUGUAAAUACACGUCGUGCAUACAAGAAUUUUCAAAUAAAAAAAAUAACUUAAUAGUGAGAUUUGACCCACGUGGCACAUUCAGGGCCGCACACCUGUUCAUGUCAUUAAAGUCUUACCUUUUUUUUUCCACCAUUUCAGAAAUUUAAAAAUUUAUAGAAAAUAGCUCCGAUGUUAGAAAAAUUCACCGAAAAAUGUCACGAACCACUCACGAGACCCACUUCACAACUAGGUCCGUAAAUUUGAGGAUUGUGAUCAUGACAAACUAGAAAAUAUCCUCGACGUCCGUAUACUUUAGAAAAAUGUAAUAAAUAGCUUGGGUUUCCGAAAUACGUCUUGAAAACUCUCACAUACUCUGAUACUCAUAAUGUCGCGUACUUCGUUAUAAAACCGUUCGAUUUGAGUUUCCUUUUAUUUUCAGUUUAGUUUUUUCUUGAUAGGUGUUUAGGAACUUAGGGUUGACUGAGUUGACCAAUGCCCAAUCAAUGACGAAAAUAGGUAAAUUUUUUAGCAUAGCCGUUUUAUCUCCUCAUGAGACUAUCGAACGGUGUCAUUACCCAAAAUACGUUUUCUCCACAUUGUUGUUGUAUAAUGUGUUGUUGUCCACAUAACAAAGUAACAAAGUUAAACAACAUUAGUCAGCAUUCUAAGAUUUAAUUGAAUGAAAUGUGUUAAAAUGAAAAAACAUUAAAUUUGACAUCGCUAAUGUCACAACAGAAGCUCAUGUGGUAGAUAUUGUAGCUCUAACCUGAAAUGUACAGGUCUUAAAUCAUCAUGUAAAAAUGUCUCUAUACUAUGAUAUAUAGAAAUGUGACAUAUAUGCUUGUCAAAAUACAAACUCAUUUAUUGUUCCUGAUCCGGAUAUUGGGACAUACAUGAAGGUGAACUUAGAUAUAGAACAUCAUUGCCUUACAAUAACUAGUUAUCGUUCAAACUUGAGCACUACUUCUAUAUACACACUUGUCUUCUAGACACAUAGAUCAUUAAUCCAAUGUAAUAAUUACAAAAGAAGCACACUUUUGUAGGUUUCCUAUACCAAUGCCGACACAUUGUUUUGGCAAAAUGUUAAUUCAUACGGGGUUUAGACUAUUACUUCAUUAGUGAUGUCAAACUUUAUUCACUCAAAGGGAACUAUUGAUUAGACACUCUUCAAAUAAAGGAGACAAAAACUAAAAAUGCAUUCAAUCACAAAGUUGCAGAAGUAAAUACUCGUUACAUUACUUUCUCUUUAUUCAACAUUUCAAAGUGAUCAACCACUUGUAGCAACUCUUCUUUAGGUUCUAUGCUUAUCUUAACAUAAAUUUACAAUAAUCAUGAAACAGAAAUAAAAAAAUCCAUUUAGAUGAAGAACUAUAGUUAUCUAAUGAGACUGCAAAUGUAAGAUAGUUUAUAUCAGUAUUUUGUCCAGCCAUUUCUUCAGACAGCUAAGCAGAAACAAUCGGUAGCAUGUCUUCAAACGAUGAAGCAACAUCGAUCGACAAUCCACACAGCAAUACCAAUUCACAUAGUAGAAGAUAAUCUGCUAUCUGAUAUAUAGGUGCCUAGAGGAUUAAUCUUCAACUCAUCUAUUAGAGUCCAAGAUUCACUUGAGUCCUUAUCAGCUAAACCUAAUGUUUAUCACUUUUAGUUAAUCAGGUAAUUAAGUUAAGGAUUAAUUUCAGUUUACUCUCAUCAACUUUAGGUCGAUAAUCAUGUUAGUCAUUCUUCUUUCAAUUUCAUCAAAAACACCCCUCAACUCCCAAUUUUCAUCAACCGCGCAUGUCCAAACCUCCAAUCUCCAUCCAAUUCCUUUGUCAAGUGAUGACUUGAUAUCAAGAAGAAAAGAAAAAAAGAAAAAAGAAAAAAUAGACAAAUUGUAUUCAAUCCUAUCAAAAUCACUAAGGUUAGAGGGUUGUGAUGGGAACGAAGAUGUGUUCGAUAUGGGGGAAAAAUGGUCCGAAAGGUAACUUUCAGAAUUUGAUUUUCUUCUUGAUAUCAAGUCAUCACUUGACAGAGAAAUUGGAUGAAGAUUGGAGGUUUGGACAUGCGCAGCUGAUGAAAAUUGGGAGUUGAGGGGUGUUUUUGAUGAAAUUGAAAGAAGAAUAACUAACAUGAUGAUCGACCUAAAGUUGAUGGAGGUAAACUGAAAUUAGUCCUUAAGUUAACAAACAAGUCUCCUACUUCUCGAAUGACAUAAAGUUCAACAGAUAACAAUAUAGAGUCCCAAUUAAAGCAAAGCAAAUUGAUUGCCAUUAUCCACCUAAACGAUUGCACACAAAAAAACCUAGCAUUACUAAAGGGACAAUUGAUUGCCUCACAAAGCACCAGAACUUGCAUUUAUGAUCCUAAAUUCUACAAACACCCCCACAUUUUGCCUACAUUUGGUCAAUUAAACAGUACAAAAGCAGUAUAGUUAAAAUCACAGUGAUUGCAGCGGAUGCUAAAACAAACAAUGAAACAUAGAAACACAAUCAGAUGAUGAAACCGAACAGAGUAUCUCUUACUAUAGCAAAGCAAUUAAAACCAUCAUCACAUGUUCGCAAGACCAAAGCCAAGCGACGCACCGACAAACAUCAGUACAGACUUGAAGCCCGGAUAGGCCCAACCUUCACGUUUUCAAACCCAGCGCCGGAUGCCGUCCCAGGUCCAUCCCCACACGUCCGGGGCCGCCCAGCUCUGCCCCAUUGAGCACCGCAUCGGGACCUGCUCAACCCGACUUUUACCCUUUUGGUAAAUCAGGUAAAUUUUGAGAAAAUAAUGCGUGGUAAAUUAUAAUAACUGUUAACCGUAAGCUACCUUUUCUAGACACAGUAAAUUUCGUUAAAACUUAAACUGCAAAUUGUUGGACUCUUAAGUCUCAAGUCUCUCUCGGUGUUUCGUUUGGAUCUGGGAUUUCAAUUCCAUUCUUUCUUGGUGUUUUGUUUUCUGGAAAAGAGAGAGAGAGAGAGAGAAUGGAGCAGAUUCAGUCGGCUUUGGAAGCUCACCUGGACCAGAUGGCGGAUCUUGUCCACACAGUUUCCGCGGACUUCCGCUCUGGUCUUGGACCCGCUUUCGAUAACUUGAUCGGUUUCUUCCAUGCUAUCAACUGGAAGGUACCCACCCCUCUUUAUCCCUUUUGUUCUAUUAUCUCUUUCUUUGAAUGCAAAUCUAAUUCUUAUUUACUUUCGGAUUUGCAGGAAACAUGGUUGAUGUGCUUAUUGGCAUUCCACUUUCUAUAUUUGGUAACCGCCAUUAUCUCCAGAAAGAAUCUUAACUUCCAAAUGCUUUUGUUCCUUACCGCCUGUAAGUCCUCUUUCUAUCUCUCUUGUUUUGGCAUUGUGGAUGAAUCUCUUUCAUUCUGAGCUUUACUUAUUUACUUGUUAAGGAAAUUUCGUCUUCAAGACUAUCUCUAUAGUAAAAGUACUGUAUUCAUUGUUUCCUGAUUAGUUGAAUACUUAUCCUUUUCAAAAUAUAGGCCAACUAUUUCCUUGAAACCUUUUUCUUCCCUUGAAACAACAUACAGCUUAAUUGGAGGUGGGUUUUUUUUUUUCGUUAUAAGUAUGUUUAGAAAUGUUUCUAAUGGAUGCGGAACAUUGGCUUCUGGCCAGACCUAGGAUGAAGCACAUAAUAUUUAUAUGCUUUGCGGCUAGAUAUGUGUCCUUAUUGUUUUGUUACAGCUUCUAUGGUUGUAUUUUGCAUACUUUAACAACAGAAUAGUUGAUGAUGCAAAACCAAGUUGACUGCUAAAGGUAGAAGCAUGAUUGGGAAGGAUAAGUGGGAACCUUUGCUCCAAGAUCCGAGUUAAUUCACACUCAGGUUAUUUAAAAAAACUAUCAGAUCUGGCAGACAUAUGAUUGGGUUUGUUGCCUUACUUCAAAAUGGGAGAGAUGCUUGUCAAGGAACUUGAGAUUCUACUUGAUCCACUCAACAGAAAGAAAAUUUGCGAAUGUGAUCAUAGUUAUAUAAGGCCACUCCUGACCAUCAAUCGAUUGUGUGGCUGGCCAGUAGAAACAGUAUGUGCAGCAAGUGCCGUGUACUGCUUUAAUUGGGAAAAAAAAUUUCUUUUCAUGAUUAGAUCCUCUUUCUUUGCUCGCAUAUCCAUGAAAAUGAAUUUAUAGUUAUUCACAUGUAACAGAAGACAUUUCCCUGGAAUUUGGGGUUGUCAAAUCAUGACUGACAUCCAAUUAUAAAACUUUUGACCAAAUAUUCGUGAAAUUUUUCCGUGAUGCGUGGAUUUUAUAAACCAGUAAAAUAGUCAAGCUCUAGAGUGAAUCUUUAAAGGAAGAGAUCAAGAAAUGUGGAAAUUUUUGUUCGCGAAUAUGCAGAAAAUUAAUCCACCUUGAAGCUUCUGAUAUGUGAUGUUUUAGGAAAUGCCCCUGGAACUUCUAAUAUUUGGUGGAUAGAUGCUUCAGUAAAAUUUGGUAUGAGUUGUACGGCUGAGAAUCUCAUCCUCCUCAUAUCCUUUGUAAAAGCUCUUUGACUUAAAAUUGUAGGUUGGUGGUUUUGGCAAUUCCCUUGCCAACCAGUACUUUCUACAGGGACUUGUGGAAUUGCACAGUCAAUGAUAUUUGGCGACGUUCUGCUAGUGUAUGAGAGCAAGAGUGAUGCAUUCCAUGUGUUUAAGGGUUUUUCUUUAAGCAAGGGUACUGAGGAUGUGAUUUUACAUGAUUUUAUGUAGAUUUAGUUGGGAGCAAGAAGGUGGAUGUGGUGUAUUGCAAGUGCUUCGGGUUAUUCCAUUUUCUUACAGAAUUUCGAGAGCUAUCUGUUUAUGAAUUGUCCAGAUGGAAGCUCCUUUGUUUUAUUUGAGGAAGCAUGCCAGCGCUGGUAGCUCUAUGUUGAUUUUUUUUUCUUUCAAUUUACAGAGUUUCUAUUUGCUUUCUAGUGAACUCUUGUCUAAUAUAAAUUAAGAACCACGUGUUUAAACUCUUGUUGGUUGUAGGAAUACUUGUAACUUUAGUUAGGGAAAACAUUUUAUGGAUGUUUCCUUUGAAUCCGGAAUACUUAUAUGGACAGUGAUAUUAUGCAGUGGCUGGAGUAUAUCUUGCUGAGAGGUUCAAUGGUUUACUGCGCCAGAACUGGAGAAGUUUCGCCAGCCAGAAUUACUUUGAUUCUAAUGGAGUUUUUGUGUCAGUACUUUGGUCGGGGCCUCUUCUUGUGAUUGCAAUCAUAAUCUUGGUUAGUAUCUGCAAUUACUUGCUAUAUUUUCUUCCACUUUUAAUCAUUAUGUAGUUUCCUUCUAUGCAACUAUUUACUUUAGCCUGACCUCAGAUUACUGUCACAGAUAAACACGCUCUUUUCCCUAUGUCAUCUGAUUGUCAAGUGGAAAAAAGCUGAGCUAAGACACCGUGCACGACUUUCCCAGAAUAAGCAGGAUUGAGUUCCUCCCAUGAUGGAUAGCUGAACAUGGAGUUCUUUUCUUCUUUCUCUUUCUUAUUCUUAUUUUUGGGGGUGCUAUGGUUACGAUGUAGAUUCUUCUUGGGGUAGUGUUUCCCUUAUAGUUAUGAAUGGUGUCAAUGACCAACCAAGUAAUGUGCUCAAGCUCCUAAUACCUUUAGUUUAUCUUUUGUAACAUUAUUUUCUUGACGAAGACUUUUUAAUUUUUUUAUUUCUUUAUCCAUAGUGAUCGCUCUUCAUUUUUUUGUCAAUGUAUCAUCUCUAGCGUAUUGUAUUGGACUAUUUUUGGUAAUUGAUCCCUAUAUACAUAUGGCACGCGUUUUCUGCAUGCUUUAUAUGAAAAUCAAAUCUCUUGUUAACAAUUGAGUAUAUGUUUUUUUUGCUUUAAAACAUUUGAUUGUUCCUGUGAAGUUGUGUGGAGGCCUAAAUCUCUCGUUGAGAGACAUUGCUUGCUUGCGCACAAUUUUAAUUAAGCGAAUUUUCUCACAUAUGCGCUUCCUAUUUCUUGCCUUGGUGGUCUUCCAAUCCAAACCUCUCAUGCUCGUUGUUGUCAAUAGCAUGAGGGAGAGCUCAACCUCACACUUAUUAUUGAUUUCGUAAUAAUAAAAUAAAUGUCUGUUUCUCAUUAUUGAUUUCGUAACGCUCCAUUUUUAGCGGAAAUUAAACAGAGCCCGUUGAGUAGAAAAUCGCAACGGUCGCCAGUUCACCACCAGAAUCUUCCAUUUGUUUUCUUUCUCCCAACAGCCCUAAUCCCAAGCAAAGCCGCCAUGGCCGGAGAAGAAGAAGAGCCGAAAAUCCCAGUGUUCACAGUCCUCAAGAACGGAGCGAUUCUCAAGAACAUGUUCAUCGUGAAGCCACCGCCACACUCUCAACCAAUCGCCUCCGAAGAAAUGUUGAUGGUGGGGCGCCACCCCGACUGCCACAUCGUGCUGACUCACCCCAGCGUCAGCCGAUUCCACCUCCAAAUCCUCUCCGAUCCUUCCUCGCGCAAGCUCUCUCUCACCGAUUUAUCAUCCGGUAAGUCUUUUCCCUUAGGGUUUUGGCUUUGAAAUCGAACUCAUCAGGUAAGUCUAAUUGCAGUGCACGGGACUUGGAUCUCGGACAAGAGGAUUGAGCCAGGGGUUCGAGUUGAGCUGAGGCAAGGCGACACGCUCAGGGUUGGUGCUUCUAGCCGGCUCUAUAGGCUUCACUGGAUCCCACUCAGCCACGCCUAUCAAGACUCACUCAGGGUCUGUACGUGUUCGUUUCUAUUUUGGGAUGCAGCUUAGGUGUUUGUUGAAAUGUUCAUGACCUCUAUAUGUCUUGCAGCUUCUGAAUUCUUCUGCAAUGGAGUCUUUGUUCUCUGAUGAGCCUCAAGGAGGAGAUCACAGUGUUGACAACUCUGAGGUAAACAGUUUCUUGAUUUCUUUUAUUUUUAUUUUUCUCAUCUGUUUAGGUAUAAACAUAGAUUGUAACGUGUUUGUCGAAAUGAUUUCAAGGAUUUUCUUUCGCCUUUGUAUGUGUAAUGUGUUACAGGCUGUGAAUAUGUUGCCAAUUGAAAACGCCGAAUUUGAAUCUACUGAAUCCAUUUCUGAGGUUACAGAAUCUCUAGUCUGUGAUGAUAAUUUGGGAUUUAUUGGGAGGAAGGAGAUCCCAUCAGCUCCUCCACUAUGUGAACAUGGUGGCCAGAACUCAUCUAAAGUUGUUGGCCAAGAGAACGAAUUGUCAACCUUCUGGGCCUUUGGAACUGAAUCGGUGAACCUGUUUUAUCCUCUUGAAUACUCUACUUCUAAUUCAGAGGAACACCAGUACCUGCAACUUAACUGUGUCACAGGAGGUUCUGAACUAGAUAAGAUCCCAGAGAGUUCUUCUUCGCAUGAAAAAGGAGAAUCUUCUCCUAUUGUUCAAGUGUUGGAAAAAGACCAGGGACAGAGUGAUAUAUCUGCUCUUCUUUCAGCUGGACCUUUUGUGAGACAGAAUUCAUCCUUGCUGGAGACCAAAUAUCAACAAGUCGAAGAAGAUAGCAUGAGCCUCGAAACAAAUUCAGACUUGCUGGUUAAUCUGGAUGGCAAAAGCUCUACAACGAAAGACCAUGGACAGACUGAUCAAUUGUGUCUAUCUUCUGAACCUCUUCAAUAUUUUGAUGAGAAGGAAGAGGAUGCCUGUCCUGCUGCACAAAUAUCUGGGAGAACUGACGGUCAGAGCUCUUUGAGCAAAGACCAUGGACAGACUGAUACUGACUUUUGUCUUUCAUAUGGACCUUCUGUGAUGGAGAACUCAUCUUUGCUGGUUGGGGAGAUCAACAAUCAACCAGAUGAAGAGGAAAACACAGCACAUAAACCAACCUUGUUGGUUAAUCUGGAUCCUGAGAAUACUAAUGAAAUCAGAUGUCUUAUUGAUGAAAGACAUGCAGAAACUGAAAAGAGAAGUGUGUCACCCAAAAACCACCAUGAAGAGAGGGAUAUCAAGACCAUCUCCUCUGUGCCUCCUGUCGAAGAUUCUACCGACUCAUUUUCACCAGAUGGGGUUCUCUCAGAGACAAUAGAUAACAAAGAGAAUCAGACUCUGCUAUCUAUCUGUGUUGUAGUAGGACAGCCUGAAUCAGAAUUCUGUAAAAGCCCUCCCCUGACAUCCGAAGAUAAGUCAAUCUUUGGAGAAAACAUUUGGGCAAGAAGAGGUAAACCUGCUUGUGCUGUUCGUAUUCAAACAGAGAGAAGUAGAGAAAGAUCAACUGUGGAGGCAGGAAUUGAGAAGAAUUUUGAUCUGGAGGUGGAAAUCUUUACUCCAGACAAGGAGAAUCUAACACCAAAUACAAAUACCCUUCGUCUGAGAUCUUUGAAAAAGAAGAACGAGGUAGAAGUUAAGCUAGAUGAUAGUCAAGAGGAGCAGGAAAUCUUUAAUCCUGACAAGGAAAACUUUACACCAAAUACUCUUCAACUGAGGUCCUUGAGGAAGAAGGGUAAGCUAGAAUUAACCAAUUCCAAAUCCCACAGAUCGUCUGUGUCGAAGCAAAACUUAAUCUCCAAUAUCCCUAAAGAAGAUCUGCUGGUGUGCCCAGGAAAAGAUAACCAGAAACUGAAGGAUCUCCAAGGAAGACAAUCAGUAGAAACUAUUGCCAGGAAUCAAGCAAUGCUGGAAAAAGAGUUGAUGCUAACAAAAUUAGGCACGGAAAGGAUGCCAUUCCAAUCAUUAAAAACUUCUGCAGUCAAGAACAGCAGUUCAGAAGCUUCAGUCUCUGAUGUAGCUACUAAAAGCAGCACAUCUCUCACUUGUAGUCGAACAAAGGAGCAGGUCAAGAAUGCACUCUCUGUAAGUUGAUUAACACUAAAUGUUAAACAUGUUUCAACAAUUUAUUCCUAUGGUGCAAACUAGCUUUAGCAAGUAUGAACUUAUUACUCAAAAUUUGAUUUUCAGAAUAAAUUUAUUGGAGAAGGAAAGAAGGGUUGGACUAUGGUUGCAGACACUAAUACUCUGCUUAACAAGGAAUCAAGGAAAGCAUUGCAACUUCUACAAGGUCUUAAGGGGACUCAUUUGAUCAUUCCAAGAAUGGGUAAUGAAAUUUUGAGUGGUCCACAUAUAUCAUUGACAUUGCCUGAAUAUGAUAUUGUACAACUGAUACUAAUAAUUGCAAUUGCUUUUAUCUCAAUCAGUUAUACGGGAACUGGAUUGCUUGAAACAGUGUGGCAGCCUGUUUACAAAGAAAACAGAGGCUUGUUUGGUUCUGGAAUGGAUUGAAGAGUGUAUGGUAAAAACAAAUUGGUGGAUCCAUAUCCAGAGCUCACUGGAAGAUGGAAGGCUGAUGGCUCCAACCCCUCCUGCUUCUCCGCGGUCUCUAUUUAGUGAGAACGGUUUGGAACUUACUUCUGGAACAACAAGCUCGUUUCCCUUCCUCAGGCGUUGGAGCUCUAUGGAACUCGUUUCGCCAGCAGCAGAAGAUCAUAUACUUGAUUGUGCUCUUUCCCGUAGGAAGAGGAGCAAUGAGCAAUUUGUCCUUCUAAGUAAUGAUAUCACCAUGAAGAUCAAAGCCAUGGCAGAGGUAAUACUGCAUCUCUAUCAAUUAUCUUUGUAUCACAUAAUCCAGGUUCUAAACAUGUCUGUAUGUUUCAUCUCAGGGUUUGAUUUGUGAGACAGCUCAGGAGUUCCAUGAGAGUCUAGUGACCCCAUCUUCGGAGAGGUUUAUGUGGGCUGGUAGCUGUCCCCGCGGGCGUACUUGGUCCUACUUAAAUGAUGUACUUUUGGCGGGGAAGUAUGAUCACUGCCAACUGAAGAAGUCAUCAAAGGGAGAAGGUGCAAAAGGUCUGAAGCUCAUUUUGCUCCACAGUUCUCAUUAUGGGCAGAUCCAUUAGAUCAGCUAAAACUCUUUAGCCUGUACUGCAAUAGGUCGACUGCUGUGCGGAUUUAUCGUUUGCUUCUAUCAAUCACUUGACAAUGCAAUUGAUAUGAGCCUGAAUUUCUGGACAAAAAGUUAUAUGAUAUGGUAUCUUCUACAUUCUAAUAGAUAUGAUGCAAUUUAUGUUUGAAGCUUGGAUAAAAAGUAAAAGGCACAAAAUGCAAUUUGUGCAUAGAAUAAGAUUUGUUGUCUUACAUUUUCAAAUUACAGCAGUUGAAUGACAACAGUGGUGCAACAGAUGAUACAGAAGUGAGCUCUGAUGGCGUUCGAUUACUUGGAUUAUAAACUCUUAAGCAGGAGCAUUCACCCUAGGCCUGGAGAUUCAUUUACCUUUUUUUUUUUUUUUUGGUGGUUUCAAUUAAUAUUUUCAUGUCCUUUUUUUUUCAUUUCUGUUAAACCUAUGUGUAAUAUAAAGUUCCUUUUUCCAUUCCAAAGCAUUCAUCAGACAAACAAACUGUUGUCUCUUCAAGAAGACAGCAAGAUUGGCGAAGCUACACUGGAGUACUGCCGUCAUUUGGUCCGACUAUUCUUACGGCGGUGGCCUUGUGUUCGGAUCCUUGCAUCCAUAAUUAAAGGAAAAGUAGAUGGAAAGCAAGUGCCAUUUUGGUAGUGCAGAGAAUUAAAGGAAAUCACUUAUUCAAGUUUAAGAAAUCACAUAAUACAUAGGGAUCACCUAAACUUACAAUUGUUACAGAAAAUGAUACUCCUGGUCCAAGUAGUCGUCAGUGUCACUCGACCUGUUUGGAAUUUGACUCGCCUCCAGUUUUGUGAGUGUAAUUACAGGACCCUGGCAUGAGAAAAGAGAAUGAACUCUCUGAAUCUUCAAAUGGGGGUCGAGGGAACUCAUGAAAUCCAUCAAAAUUACAUGUGUCAAAAUUCAACGGCGAGAAAUAACAAGUAGGAUCGUCGACACUUUCUUUCACAUCCAUAAUAUUCUGAACCAAACCACCGGCACUUGGAAGAGUGGAACCAAAAUUGAAAUUGAUGCUACCAACUCUGUUUGGUGCUUCACUACCUUCCCCAUGUUCAGAUGCCCCAACAGCAGUUUUUGUUUCAUCGAGGGGAAUGGCAGGAGUGUGACCUUGGAACAGGGCAAUAUGGCCAAAAAGCUUGUCUUUCCUGGAGAAGGUUGUGCCACAAGAACAAAGCCACUUGUCCUUACCACAGUGCUUCUCAUGAGUCUUGAGAUCUGCAAUAACGGAGAACUUCUUGGUGUUGCAUCUGCUGCAAGUGUAACUUUUGUCACAAUGGGUUCUCUUGUAGUGAUUUUUGACACAUAAAAUGGUCUUCAAAGGCUGAAACUUCUUGUGAUCCUUGUUCCGCUUGCAACCAGCAUAAGGGCAUGAAUACCUUUUGAUGAGUGUUGGUUCAGAACUAGAAUCUUUGUUGGGCUUUGCAAGUGCAGCUGGGGUUUUGUACUCGUCUCCAUGACCUCUCAUGUGCAUCCUUAAGUUUGCAUCCCUCUUGAAUCCCUUUCCGCAUAUAGCACAGAAAUGAGUAUGUGGUGCAAGGAUUUCUUCUUUCUCUAGCUGUAAGAUUUCGUAAGUACCAGGUGGAAGGUUCUCGCCUUCAUCAGCAUCCUCUUCAUCUUUUGAUUCAUGUUCUUCAAUGUGGUAGUUUAGCUCAGUCCCAUAGUUACUGAUCGGGUCAGUUUGGUUGGGCUGCUCAGGUAACUUGCUUCCGCAAUUCAUUUGCAACUUAACAGAAGCUUCAGUUCCUGCUCCAGAAGAAACAAAUGAACCACCAAGCUGCCCGAACUGUACCGCAGAUGCUGAGGCGCUGGAAAGGGUAUGCUUGACGGAUGGAAGAAGACUACCUGCCGUAGAGAUCAAUUGAGCUAUGAUUGAAGUAAGAUCAGCAGUAAUGAGCUGCUGUUGUUGAGCCACCAGCUCAUCAGGUCGUCCUAGAACUUGUCCUCUCCGGCCAACAAUCAAAUGCACUAAAUCUUGGAGCUGAUGGAUCUUUUGUUCCAGGAAGGAUAGAUUGGUCAACAUUGUACUCGGAUCCCAAUCUUGAAUCUUACUGGCGUGAAAUAUCUCAUUCAUCUGAACAUCUUCCCCAUCUGCAAUUGUUUUCUCAUUGUUGGAGUUGUGAGGAAGUGAAGUUUGAUCCUCAGAUGGCUGGCUGAGUUUCUGGAAGGAUGGUUCAAUCCUAAUGCCAUAAUCUAAAAUGGAGGGAUCUUCCCACUUGUUUUGAUGCUGGUGUGCACUGAAAUUGGCAAACUUUGGCCGAUCUGAGCAAGUCUUAUUUCUUAAAUCCUUUGCCCAGGUGUCUGCACAAACCUUAUCUUUAUGAUCCAUUUGUCAACUUUGCUUGCUUAACCUGAGGCGACAAAAUCAAACACCAAACCAGCCGAAUUUAAUACGGGAUGAUAGAAAAUUCAGUCACAGCUCAUUGCAAAUAAAAAGUAAUUGAACUAGUUUGUAUUCAGUAAAUUGGCCAAAGAAAAAACAAAAAAGCAGAGUAUUCAGUAGACUAUCAAAAAAUUGAGCUGGUUAUAUCUAAAGGAAAAUCUGAUAAAAAAAUUACAGAUCAAUUCAAAGAAGAUCCCUAAAAUCUGAGUUCAAUAUGGCUAGCAUACAGAUAAUUUUCUUUUUUCAUCUUUGUAUAUGGCAUAAAAGCUGGAAUCUUUUUCAGUAUGACCUAAGUAGGUAAAAUCAGUCAUUUCCUCUCCAAAAAUCAUGUAGGAAGGAACCCCAAAUCCCACAAAAAAUAUCAAGUCCUAAUUGGCAAAUCAGAAUCAAUAUGAGUGUAACAGGAUGAAAUAGCAUAAGAUUCUAGCAAAUACAAAAAGCUAAAUAUACAAAACCCACCAUAUAAUCAAUCAGAGAAGCUGGAGCAGCUAACAGAAAGAAGUUUAAGAAGCCUAGAAUAAGAGAAACUGACCAGAUUGGAGAUGGGGGGUGGUCUGGUGUUACAGACUCGUACUUGAAAAGCCAAAAUGGAGGAGAGGGGAGAAAAUGGGGUUGCAAUCUCUGUUCCCGUCAACCCCGUCAAUCGAACCGUCCAUUUGUCGCGUCUGAUCUGAUUGAUCAAGUUCAAUUAGUGCAAAAAUUGACUUUUGGUAUAUACAUAUUGACUGGGCGAGCCGGUGGCGGUCUUACAUGGUGGAUCAGGUCAUCCUUGUUUGUCCUUGAUUUUAAUCCUAUCCAUUCAGUCAAUAUCAAAAGGUCCUAAACAUGACACCUCGUAUUUCUGGAAGAGGCCUCAAUUCCCAUAUAUCCAAACGACAACCUCACCAGCAACUAGGGCUCCUCCGGGAUUCCAUCUUUCUUCGACUUCAGUUUUACUGUGUGUUUGAAUAUGGGUGAAUUAUCAAGAAUUUAUCAAAAAUAAAAAUUUCUAAUUUCUUUGAACACUUUUCACCAUUUGGAUUAUUAUCCAAUGAAAUUUGUAAUUUCUAUGGGAAAAUAAUCGUGAAUUUAGGAGCUUAAAUUCCCGACUUGAAUUCCUCCCAAAAUAGGCAUCAUUUGUUAAUGAGUGCGGCUAUUGGGACCUCCAGAUUUGCUCAUUGUACCUCCUUGUCUCUUUAUACCUCUUUUUUAUUUUUAAAAAAUAAGCAUUUGCUCAUUAGACCUCCUUUCAAAUUCUUAAAAUAACCUUAGGUUUGUUAUUCAUAUAUAUUUCAAUAAUUUACUCAUUAUACCUUUUAUUCGCUCUCUAGAUCUCCCACACUUUAAUUUUUUUUUUUGCAUGAAAACAUCUAUUUCAGACCUCGAUUGCUUGAUUUCUUUUUUCUUCUUCUCUUUUUUCAUGAAAACCUCUUUUGCAACCUCAAUUCCUUGUUGUUGUUGUUGUUUUUUAUUUUAUUUUUUUGCAUAGAAUGUCAUUAACCUAUAUUAUUUGAUCAAGUUGUAAGAACAAUUUUUCAAUGACAACAAUUUAAAAAAAUUUAAAUUAUGAAUUGUUUUCACAAUCAAUUGCAAAGCAGCAAAGCGAUGUUUGUGACCGAACGUAUAGUAAGUUAGUAACUACAAAAGUAAGAAAAUAGGUAUACAUGAAGCAAAUUUGAUGAAAUAUUAAAGCAAGCUAAAGACCCAGAAACCUUUGACCUAGAAGAAAACCCUAAAAAGGCCAAUUGCGUCUUCAUCAAUGGAGAUUCUUCCAUUUGGCGUAGUAGUUCUUUGCGAUUGAGCAACGGUUACACUUAGAUUUAGGGUUUAUAGACUCCUCACAUUUUGUAUCGUUAACUUGAAGAAAAAAAAAAAAAGGAAGAAAACUAAUCUGAUUACAAUUUUUUUUUUUUUUUUGUGAAAGUCAAUGUCUAUUAUUGUCAUUUUGUAUGAGGUUAUAUUUGUAAUUCAAUAAGUCAAAACAUGUGGAGGUAUACUGAGCAAAUCUGGAGGUCCCAAUAGCCGCACUCUUUGUUAAUUCCCUCAACUAAGGUUAGUCUAAAUACUAAUUCUUGUCAUUUUAAAAUUUUACAUUAUGAAAUCUAAACAAUGUAAUUUAAAUUCAUUAAAUUUUUAUUCCCAUGACUUUAAAAUUUAUGUGGAAAUUAGAAUUAUUUCAUCCAAACACAAUGUUAGGGAAUUCACGAGUAAUUGGGAUUUUCGAAUUUGAAUCUCGGGAUAAGAAUGUACAAUUUCAGCCAAACCCACCGACAAAAAUUUGAAAAUCUAUGGGUUUAAUUGGACAUAUUGGUGGGAUUUAUAAUAUUAAGAAGAUACAGCAAAAGUUAAACUACUCUAUGGGUUGUUUUGGUCUGCCAAAAUGAAUCUUUAUCAUCUACUAGCCUUCCUGCACUGUGGAAGGGCUGUGCUUGCGCGUGCGUAUGUUAUUUUUUGUCAUGAAAUACGUUUUGCAUAUGUAUAUUCUUUCAUUCAUUUUUACUUCAUUCUGUGUCAUACAGAAGGGAAAAAUGUUACACGUUCCCUAACUUUUAUAAUAUGCAAAUAUAUUAAAUUUUGCAUAUGCCUACAACCAUAUUCUUGACUUGAAAAAAAACAUAUUAUUUAUACAGAAACAUCCAUUGGUCUACUAAAACAUGUACAAUUUUUAUGACAUGAACUCACAGGAGGCUAGAAGUGUUUAAUAAGACUAAUUUAUUAAGAGUAAUUUUAAAUACACACCCCUAAUCUCUUAAUACAUACCCCUUACUUAAUACAUUAACCAUCUAGUUUUUCAUUUCAAUAUUAUACUAAAUACACAUCCCAAACUGUCUAAAAUACUCUCAAUAUCUAAAACUAAAAAUAAUAUGUUAUUUAAUAUAAUUAUUAUAUAUUUUUGAACUACCUAUACAAAUAUAAUUGUAUAUAUUUGUUUUUUUUUUGGUAAGAUAUAUUGUCAUAUGCAUAGACAAAAUUUAAAAAGAAACUUCAUAUUUUAAAAACAAGGGAACAUGUAACAUUUUUUUUGUACGAAGUUUAACACACGACGAACUACAAGGAAACACGCAUGUACAUAUGUAAAAUAUAAUUUAUAACUUUUUCAUAUACGCAUAUGUGUAGAUGCAUGUACAAGGAUUUGUUUUGGAAGAGUAUAAACGGGUGAUGGCUUAGUUGAGUUCAUGCCAUCGAAAAUGUAUAUAUGUAUGUGUGGAGCGAUGGAUGUGUUUGUAAUUGGUGAAGGAUACUAUUGUAGAUUUCAGGGGCAAUAUGGAUUAUCACGCUAAAUAAAUUUUGAAUGAUACUAUGGUAUCAAGUUGAAGGAUAGGUAUCAAGUAGAGGUAGAUAUGAACCAAAGAAUGUUAAAAGGAUACUACUCCAAUAUCUGCGCAUUUAAGUUGGUGUGCACACUCAAUGAUAUGCGCCCGGAGUAGUUUAAUCUCCUGUUGGUAGAGGUUGAUACCUAUUUAGAGUCAUACCUGAUCAUAUCUAUUAAGUUGAUACCUAUUCAAUCUUUUAAGGGUAAGCAAAACCAGGAGGGUAACCAUAUCCGUUAAUUGAAUGGUACUAUUGUAAUUCUGAAAAACAAACCCUACACAAAUAGUAGCAAUAAAGUUAAUUGAAGGAUACUAUCCGUUAAUUGUAUCCGUUAAUCUAUACAAAUAUAUGUACAAUACAGUUCACAUGCUCUAAUCAACUACAUCUCAGCCAUCUAUUUGUCAACCGUCAUCGCUCAAACUACAAAUCAACAAUGGAAAACAUAUUGUCAUCUGACUUUGGUCCUCGAUAUUUAUAUUUCUCCCUUAUGACAAUAUAAACAUGUUUCUCCUGUAUGACACACAACGAAGUAAAAAUGAAUGACUGAAAGUACAUAUGCAAAACGUAUUUCAUGACGAAAAAAGACAUACAUUCCGCACGCACAUAGCGCGUGCAGGAAGGCUAGUCUAUUAAUAAAGCCAUAAGGCUUUUUUGGCUUUGUCAACGAUUAAAAUUUUAAACUACCUAUAAUACUCUUGAUUAAUUAAAACUUUAAAAUUUGUCUUCUAACAGUUGAAUGACAAAUUAGUAAUUGCAAAUAUUGGAAACAAGAAAAAAAGAAAAACAAGAAAAAAGAAAGUUUAAAACGUGGGAGGUGGGAGAGAAAAGUGGGGAGGGAAAUAAGACUUUGAGUAUAACUGUAAUAGUAAAAAAAAAUCACACACGCACAUAAUAAAUAUAAUAAUAUGUUAUAUUUAUUAGAGGUGUGUAUUAAGAGAUUAGAGGUGUGUAUUUAAAAUUUAUCAUAAUUUUUAUCGGUACCACCACGAAAAAAAACAUAGUCUUUAAAGAGGCUAUUAUACAUGCAUCUAUACAAAUAUAUGUACAGUAAAAUUCACAUGCUCCAAUCAACUACAUCUCAGCCAUCUAUUUGUCAACCGUCGUUGCUCAAACUACAAAUCAACAAUGAAAAAUAAUAAAAUAAGAUAAUGGCUUUGCUCCUCAGUUUUUAUAUUGUCAUGUCUUUCGAAACCUUUUUUUUUAUUCAGCUCCAUUUUCUUGUACAUUCCUAUAAAAUAUAAAGAACUAUACAAACUCAAAGAUGGUAGUAAAAAACAUCCAUUCAAACAAGUCUAAUUUCCACCUGGCAAAAUAAUAUGGGUUUUGUUUGAUAAACGGAAGGCUAGGUUACAAAACUUGUUUUUUGCGCAUAUAUAUGUAUUUUGACGCAUCAUAAAAAACUUAUCACCUUAUUCUCAAAAUAUAUACAAAAUAUCAUGUUUGGGUAAGGGAAUAUAUUUUUUUAUGCAUAUAUUUUGAGAAUCACCUUAUUGACAAUAAAAUAAACCAGUGGUGCGCAAAAUAUAUAGUUUGCAAAAAACUUAUAUACCCAAACUUAUACCACAAGUUUGAUUUCCGCGCAAAAUAUAUCAAACUUACAUACCCCUAGUUUUUUGUAUAGUUUUUUUUGCCAUGUAGUGUUUUUUUACUUAUAUACUGUAAUUUGCAAACCCCUCUACCUUAUGUAUCAUUUUACCACAAGUUUUUUUUUUUUUACCUAAAAUUUUGAGUGCGGCUCUUCCGCACGUAUGUCACAACAUUCUGAAAGCCCAUCAAUACUAUGUGCGUGUGUGAAUUUUAUUUAUUUAUUAUUUUACAGUUAUGCUCAACGUCUGAUUUCCCUCCCCACUUUUCUCUCUCCCUCUCACAUUUUAAGUUUCUUUUUUUCUGUUUUUUUUUAUUUCCAACAUUUGCAAUUACUAAUUUAUCCUUAAUCUGUUAGAAGACAUAUUUUAAAGUUUUAAUCAAUUAAAGAUAUUAUAGGUAGUUUAAAAAUUAAACCGUUGAUAAAAUCAAAAAAGCCUCCUAGUUUUAUUAAUAAAGAUUUACAGCUGUUAGUAUACAUAUGCUAAGCACAUGUGUUAUUACAUGUUCUAGUUAUUUUACUGAAAUGCCUUAGUUAUAGCCCAUUAAUAUAAACUAUCUGUAUUAAUAAUUAAGUCAAAUCCUAAUGGUAUAAAUGAAUAUUUUAGAUGGCUUAUUUUAGAUGUGCUUAUCAGACACCAUAUUAGACCCGAGCCUGGCACCUCUCUCUCUUCCUCUCCGCCUGCCUUCGCCAUCUCCGGCGUGGCGUCGCCGAAUCCGGCCGCCGCAUGCCGCGAAACCACCACCAAAUCACGCCUCUCUUCAAUCUCUACAAAAUCCAGUCCUCAAUUCGCACAGGCAUCCACUCACGAGGGAGAUCGACGUCGAAGAUGCGCGGCUGUUUUCCGGCGAAUCCUUGAGAUUCCGGCCACGAGCCGACGAGUGGAUGGUAGGGUUAGCUUCCCUUCUUCCUUCUUCACAUUCUGGUUCUUUAUUUUCCUCGAUUUGAACCCUAAUCCUAAAAACCCUCCUUUUGUUUUUCUGGGUUUCGAAUUUGUUCUCCGGCGACCGGCGUUCUUCAUGCUUCAGCGAUCAUUUACAACUCCGACGAGUCUUGCAAUAUUCUUUUGCGGUGAUGUUGAGCCAAGGCAAAGCUUGGUUUUUCGGCUGAGGUUGAGUUUAGGCAAGAAGGUGCUCCGGACGAGAGGAAGUUCUUGGGUGAGUGUUAAGUUUUGAAUUUGGGUGUUGCUGGUGUUGUGUUGGUUUCUGUUGGUUGGUGUUUCUGUUGGGUGAGUGUUAAUUUAUGCAAUCUUGACUAAUGCAGAGCAUUACAGGGAAUGUGAACCCCUGAGCCCUGAAAGUAUGUUCAUUUUUCAUUUUUGUGUGAUAUGUGGUUAAGGUAUUUGGCCACAUUUGUUUUGAAUUCAAAUUUGAAGGUUGUGGGGUUUUGUAUGGUAAGUUCUUCAAAUGUUUAUCUGUAGAGCUUUCUACUUGUUAAAUGUGGUGACUUGAUGUAUUGGUUCAUACUGAAAAUACUGUGUAUCUGCAAAUUGGUAUGAAGUGGUGAUAUAAUGAUUUUGGUCCCAAGCAGAUUAUGGGAUGUCCAUGGUACGUUGUGGUCUAUGAAGAUGUCUUCGUUUUAUCCUUCAUUCAAGUCCUUGCAAAGCAUACUGGUAUUUGACUUUGGUUUUCUUUUCUCUUUUAAUGAAUAGGCACUCAGAUUUAGGUUGGAUGAUGAUAAUAUACAUGAGUUGAAACACAUAAUCUAAACAGUAUUUGUGGCUUCCUGUGGUUGUGUUAAAUUAGCUUAAUCUGAACUGUGAUUUUGGUGUGAGUGUUUCCUCUUCUUCUUCCCUUUUUACUUUGACACAAAGUUGAAAACAGCCCAAAGUUGGAAUCUUUUCAAUUAUUAAAGAAAUAAAAACUUGUCAAGAUCUUCAUGGCUUUGGAAUAAAUUUGUUCAAAAUUUCUGUCCCAAGCUUACUAAUUUCAGUGACCAAGAAGAGAGUGAUCUGUAGUAAUGCUUUGAUCUGUAGUUAUCUGUAGCAAAGCACAUGAAGUUGUCGAGUUCUCAAACCGGGGAGAUUGCCUCCAGCUACAGGCAAUCUUACAGAAAUCACAUCUACCAUUUUGUAAUGAUAUAAUGUUGUUUUUACAUAUAUUGCGUGUCCUAUUGCUAUUUUAUCAACCACACUACACUCCACCACAAAAUUCUUGAAAAAUGAACAUAAACUAUGACAAUUUUCUUUUUUCUAGUUUCAUGAUAGCCAUGGUAGAAGAGAUCAAAGAAAAUGAACUAGGUUUUAGAGUAAUGAAAAAACGAAAGAGAAUUGCAGAGAGAAUGAGAACCACAGCUUUGAUUCACAGCAAAAUAUCACAAUCUUCUACCUUAAGCAAUGAGCACACAUCUGUUUAUAUAAGAAUGUGUGGCUACUACUCUUACAGCUCUAACUACCUAACCGAAUGUACAGCUGUAUCCCACAACCUGUUCUACUCUACACGUGUCUGAAGCCUUCUAGAAACUUUAAUUGCUCUUCUACAUUUUACUGCUUCUGAAAUUACUUUUACAAUACAGUCAUCAUCCUCCCUGAAGCUCAGCUAGGGUGACUAGCCUGAGAUUGGUACAAUGUUAGUAUCACAUAUUUGAGUUCACAGAUUUUGCAUUCAGUAUCUACCAGUUUGCGAGUUUAUCAGGAUGAUAUAGGAGGAUUGCAUUUUGGAUUCCAAAUGCUGAAUCUCCUAGGUUUCUUCUGUUCUGGCAAUUAUUGUUGUAGAUUCUGGAAGUAAAGCUUUAAUAUGUUUGAGUUCGAAUGAUGAAGAGGAUCAAAGUGACAUCCCAAAUACUCUUUUUGGUCUCCAAGCAAUCAUCAUCGAGUGUUUCAUUUUUCACGUUGGGUGGUUUUCGUACUUUUUAUUCUGCGUGUGAUUAUGUAGCUUUAAUCUAUCAAUAUUUGAUUCAAUUGCCCUCCUCUUUCUACAGGAUGUAUCUAUCAAUAUCUAAUUCAAUUGCCCUGCUCUUUCUGCAGAAUGUAGAUGUGAAUUUGAUCGUUACAGAUGACUGCAUGCCAGGAAUGACAGGCGCUCAUCUCAUCAUAAUGAUUAAGGUAAGCUACAAGGCCUAACAACAUUAUAAUAAUUUUGGCCUCUCAAAAUUGGUGCAUUAUCUAGGCUAAUGAUAUUUGAUCUUUACGUUACCAAGUUGUAUGUAUUUCACAGAUGCAAAUGUAGCCCGUGAUUUCCAAAUCCUCCUAACACCAUCACCAUCAUUUUUAGCUCUCAAAAUUGAUGUGAUAUGACUAUAUUUUUCUUUUACAAUUAAUAAAUCUUUACUUAUGUUUUCAGAUACUAUAUAAUCUGUUGCUAUGUGUAUGAUCCCUUUUUGGUGCAGCUGGGAUGUGUGAAUACCACCACCUUCAUUUAUUGCAACAAUUCAGAAGUACCUGAAAAACAACAUUAAGGGACUGGUGAGAUUGGUUCCUGGACCGACAAGCUUUUCUUUAGGUAAGAUAAAAAUCCAACAUUAUGUUUUGAUCCUGCUCAUGGCUGGGUUAGGAAACAUGCACAGUUUUAUGUCAAACUCAAUGUGGUACUUGUACUGUAAUACAUUAGUACUUUUAGUGCAAUUAGUAAUUGAAAAGCAUUAGUAAGUUGUGAUAUCUGAAACUUACAUUAGUGCAGUUAAUUAUUUGUAGUCUAAGUAUAUGAUCUAUUUUCGACAAUUUCUUUUCCUCUUGUGUUUAAGUUUCUUGAGGUCAGUCAAAUGCCUUUAUGACAUUCUUUGUUUACCAGUCUAAUUAUUGGUCUAAUACCUAAAGAGGAACAGAAAUAAGUGUUAUUCAUUUUUUUUCUUCAGUAAACUAGCUGUGUUUUUUAUUUUAAAUGCAAAGCAAGGAUCAUAAUGCACAACAGUCAUGUUAGAAAGUAUUUUAUUUAACAGGUCUAUAUUAUAGAUAAUUCCUGUUUGUUUAUCUUUGAGCUAAAUUUCAUGUAUCAAUGCCUUUGGUGGACUAAUGUUAUUUAGACAAAUGAUGUGGCUGAAUUGGAAGCUAAAUUUGGUAGUGAUAAAUGGAAAGCGUUAGUUACUGGCAAGUCUUCCAAGUUACUAACAUUUUGGUGAACAAAUUUGUUUGUUUAGCGCGAUUUCUUCCCAUGUACAGAAGUCAAACUAUUACUAUGUAAUAGGUGAAUGACACGAAAGAGGAGAAGAAGUAAUUUGAAAGGAGAGAGGUAUGUUUUAUUUUGUUUUUCUGAGGUAUGCUUCAUAAUUUUUAUUGUUUAACUUAUUUUAGAUUAAUUGGAUACAAGAUUUAUUGAAAAUUUGUUUGACUUAGACGUGUAUCGUGAUUUUGAUACCAGAAGUGAUUAAAUUUCACGUGCUUUGGUAUACGAUGUGGGAAUCACAGAUUUGGGAGAAUGUAUGUGAUGGGAGUUAUCUGCGGGUGCUAACUGAUAUUAUAGUUUCAUUGAUUCAUAAUAUCUUCGCAAUUUUACUCGUCUUCAUCUACCAAUUUUAUUGCCUAAUUCUUCUUCUUCCUUUGUUUGUCUGGGAAAAAAUGACGAUGGUCAUGGAGGAUUGGAUUUAGCAUAGUGCCAUGCUUUCAUUGAAACAUAAUUAUAAGAAAUUAGGGCUUGGUAGUUUAUUCAGACUAUAACAGUUCCGAUGAACAGUCACUUUUGACGGUUAUACGAUUUCAGAAGAUGAUCUAGUAUUGGGUCAAUCACGCUUAAAAGAAGUGGACAAUAGUGGUUGUAUUAGCCAAAACUCAUCCACGUAUUAUUGUAACACCUGCUUACGACUAAAGAUAAUAAAGCCUAUAAAACAAAGAGCUACUAUCAUUUCUUUAUUAUAGAUUGAGAUCUUCAAACUUAAUGCACAAAUAGAUGGAAUUGCAGCAAAUAGCAUCUUUCUAGUCGUGGAAGUAAAUCUCAUUAUGAAAGGUUAUCUCUAUCCUUUGAGCAACCGAACGGGAAGACGAUGAAUAGUAAGUUUAUUUGAUGCUAUAUGUAAGAUGCACUUGAAUAUAUGAAUAGUUGCCUACUGAAAUGUUACAUAUCAACAUGGAUUUUUCAACUAGGUCAUGAUCUUCAAUUUCAGUAUCGCUGUAUCAGCUUGCAAUUUAUUCCUUUCAUUUGUACAGGGUGUCAAUGCUGCUGGGGUUUUGUUUUUAAGGUUCAUAAGUUGAUUGUUUCUUUACUUUUGUUUUACAGUAUUGUAAAGGGUAAAAAAAGAAAAAAAAACUUUCAGAGUUUGCCUUUAACUGUGCUUAAAAUUCUAUUUGGUGAUUAAUGUGCAGCUCUGGAUCUUAGUGGAAAGACAAUCGGGUUUAGAUCCUAUAAAUCUGGUAAGGAAUGCGUCUUUCAAACUGAAUUUUGUUUUCACUUUUAGAUCAGCAAUCCUUUCGUUUGACAAAAAUAAAUUCAAGUAUCUGUUUUUUGGAUUAUCAUGAGGUAAAGGAAUGAACUGAAGAAUGAGUACAAGUUUGACUGAAGGAGUACGAGUUUGAGUAUUGGAGUCAGUACUUACCACCAGGUAACAACUAACGGUGUUCUGAAUCACUUCAUCUUCUAUCUCGUGGUUUCCAGAUUUCAACUUUUGGUGGACAUGUUUCUAUUUUUUAUAUUUUGGUUUUGUAUCCGUAUGGGUCUCAGUUGUGUGGUUGUGAUUUGUUGGCAGAUGAUGAAUCACUACAUCCUCUGCCUCUCGGUUUCCAGGUUUCAACUAUAGGUGGAUUUGUUUCUUUUUUUGAUUUGGUAUCUGUUUGGGCCGCAGUUGUGUGAUUGUGAUUUGCUGCUGAUGAUAAUUACCUGCCAUAUUGUUAUUUUGCCGAGUGUUUUGCUCUAUUGGCCUCAACGUAUUGGAUGGGUGUUUUGCUUUGAGUUUUUGUUGGUCUCAUGGAUGCGAGAUUAUCAGUUAUGGGUUUUGAAUGUACAUUUUUCUAUUGUAAUUGAUUUCUGCUACUGUCGGUUCGUUUGUAGUUUUGAGCAAUCUCACAAUCUUAAUAUUUAUUCAGGCAGAACUAAUCAUUGAAUUUCAUUGGUAGCUUUUGUGACAUUUGCUUUAGAUACGAAAUUUUAAUAUGAAGUCUGUAAACCCGAUUUGUGAUAGUAAUUAUCACUGAUAUUGAACAAUUUCUGAAUUCGGAUCAAACCAAUCAGCAGAAAGAACAUAGAAAAUUGGAAAGAGCUUCAAUUUCAAGUUCUUGUGGCUUUAUACACAAAUCAUUUCUUAAAAUUUUAUUACAUGUAUCAAGUCAUGCCAAGGGAAGUGUGACAUUUAGGAGUUGUGCAACAGUUGUACUUAAAAACUGUUGGGUUCACUCGAAUGUUUCCUUAACUUUGAUAAGUAUUUCGCUUCCUUCUUAUUUUAACUGUUUGGUUUGUUGUUCUGCAUGUGUUUUGGAAUUGGCUUUUAGAUUGAAGGUGGUGCUCUGUUUGUGUGGCUGUAUGGGGGUUAUAUUUUUCCAGGUGUGCUUACUUCCCCUGAGUUUGUUAUUUCGUUGUUUAUAUGGUGAAUUUGAAUUUUGAUCUUGUUUGCUCUCUUUUUGAUCUUGUUUGUUUUGCUUUUUGGUGAUGAUUUGCGCUAGAUCUAGGGUUUACGAAUCGUUUUUUUUAUAUAUGAAUAUCAGUUGUUCGUGAUUCGAUCUGAUGGAUUUAAGUUCUGUGAUAGUUAGAUUUGUAUCCGAUUUGGAUUUAUGACUGGGAAAAGGUUGCUUAAUCGGAAAAAUGUUGUUCGUUGAUUGGAUUGAUUAAUUGAUUUUGUUUCCAUUUGAUAUGUUGUUUGUGACUGAAUUUGAUAUGUUGUCUUCCUCUGAGGUAAUCCGGAGAGUGAGUGUGACUCUGUCUUCAUGAGGUUCAUACACAGUGGAAAAUAGAGAGAGACGAGGUUCAUACACAGGAAAACAUCAAAUCUUUCUAGUUUUCAUUUCUAUUUUUUUAUCAGCACUCUAAUUUCCUCAAUUUUUUAUAUCUUCUUUGUUUUCCCCAAAUCGCUAGAAUCCUCCAAAGCUUUGUCUCUGAUCAAUUUUUUUUUCCCUGGUUGAAUUGAUGGCGGUGUGGAAUGUUGAUUUUGGGUUUUGGUUGUUUUUCGGUGAUAUCCUGUUCGUCAGUUUUCCAGGUACGCUUAACGCUCUCAAAUUCUACUCUUUUCGGUUUUGGGUUUGCAUUUUGUCGUUUUUAAUCUGCUACCAGCUUCUUUUUUUUUUUUUCUUUGAUUCUAGUUUUUGCUUUUCUUCGAUUCUAGUUUUGUUCAAUCCAUACGAAUCAUAAUGCAAACCUCAUGAUAGUUAGAUUUGUAUCCGAUUUGGAUUUAUGACUGGGAAAAUGUUGCUUAAUCGGAAAAAUGUCUGUGAAAAAUAGAGGAUAAGGAAUCACAUUAAGCUUGUGAUUUACUGUUUGGCUAAGUUGAGAGCAUGAUUAGCAAGAUUGUUGAUCUAAUCGGAUCCUGAUCUGUUUGAUUUGUGAGGAUAUGAUUUGAUCUAGUAAAGGAGUAUAUCCGUCGUUGAUUGGAUUGAUUAAGUGAUUUUGUUUCCAUUUGAUAUGUUUGUGACUGAAUUUGAUAUGUUGUCUUCUUUUGAGGUAAUUCGGAGAGAGUGAUUGCGACUCUGUCUUCAUGAGGUUUUAUUCACGCUAACAAUUCAGGAAAACACCAAAUCUUGCUAGUUUUCAUUUCUAUUUUUUGAUCAGUACUCUAAUUUCCUCAAUUUUUUAUAUCUUCUUUGUUUUCCCCAAAUCGCUAGAAUCCUCCGAAGCUUUGUCUCUGAUCAAUUUUUUUUUCCCUGGUUGAAUUUGAUGAUGGCAGUGUGGAAUGUUGAUUCUGGGUUUUGGUUGUUUUUCGGUGAUAUCCAGUUCGUCAGUAUUCCAGGUAUGCUUAACGCUCUCAAAUUUCACUCUUUUCGGUUUUGGGUUUGCAUUUUAUCGUUUUUAAUCUGCUACCAGCUUCUUCUUUUUCUUUUUUUUCCUUUGAUUUUAGUUUUUGCUUUUCUUCGAUUCUAGUUUUGUUCAAUCCAUAAGAAUCAUAAUGCAAACCUCAUGACAGCUAGAUUUGUAUCCGAUUUGGAUUUAUGACUGGGAAAAUGUUGCUUAAUCGGAAAAAUGUCUGAAAAAUAGAGGACAAGGAAUCGGAUUAAGCUUGUGAUUUACUGUUUGGCUAAGUUGAGAGCAUGAUUAGCAAGAUUGUUGAUCUAAUCGGAUCCUGAUCUGUUUGAUUUAGUAAAGGAGUUUAUCCGUCAGUUGAUUGGAUUGAUUAAUUGAUUUUGUUUCCAUUUGAUAUGUUGUCUUCCUCUGAGGUAAUCCGGAGAGAGAGUGCGAUUCUGUCUUCAUGAGGUUCAUACACAGAGUGGAAAAUAGAGAGAGACGAGGUUUUAUCCACGCUAACAAUUCAGGAAAACAUCAAAUCUUGCUAGUUUUCAUUUCUUUUUUUGAUCAGCACUCUAGUUUCCUCAAUUUUUUAUCUCUUCUUUGUUUUCCCCAAAUCGCUAGAAUCCUCCAAAGCUUUGUCUCUGAUCAAUUUUUUUUUUUCCCUGGUUGAAUUUGAUGAUGGCGGUGUGGAAUGCUGAUUCUGGGUUUUGUUUUUUUUUCGGUGAUAUCCUGUUCGUCAGUUUUACAGGUAUGAUUAACUCUCUCAAAUUCCACUCUUUUUGGUUUUGGGUUUGCAUUUUGUCGUUUUUAAUCUGCUACCAGCUUCUUCCUUUUCUUUUUUUUUUUCUUUGAUUUUAGUUUUUGCUUUUCUUCGAUUCUAGUUUUGCUCAAUCCAUAAGAAUCAUAAUGCAAACCUCAUGACAGCUAGAUUUGUAUCCGAUUUGGAUUUAUGACUGGGAAAAUGUUGCUUAAUCGGAAAAAUGUCUGAAAAAUAGAGGACAAGGAAUCGGAUUAAGCUUGUGAUUUACUGUUUGGCUAAGUUGAGAGCAUGAUUAGCAAGAUUGUUGAUCUAAUCGGAUCCUGAUCUGUUUGAUUUAGUAAAGGAGUUUAUCCGUCAGUUGAUUGGAUUGAUUAAUUGAUUUUGUUUCCAUUUGAUAUGUUGUCUUCCUCUGAGGUAAUCCGGAGAGAGUGAGUGCGACUCUGUCUUCAUGAGGUUCAUACACAAAGUGGAAAAUAGAGAGAGACGAGGUUUUAUCCACGCUAACAAUUCAGGCAAACAUCAAAUCUUGCUACUUUUCAUUUCUAUAUUUUGAUCAGUACUCUAGUUUCCUCAAUUUUUUAUAUCUUCUUUGUUUUCCCCAAAUCGCUAGAAUCCUCCAAAGCUUUGUCUCUGAUCAAUUUUUUUUUCCCUGGUUGAAUUUGAUGAUGGCGGUGUGGAAUGUUGAUUCUGGGUUUUUGUUGUUUUUCGGUGACAUCCAGUUCGUCAGUUUUCCAGGUAUGCUUAACGCUCUCAAAUUCCAGUCUUUUCGGUUUUGGGUUUGCAUUUUAUUGUUUUUAAUUUGCUACCAGCUUCUUCUUUUUCUUUUUUUUUCUUCGAUUCUAGUUUUGUUCAAUCCAUAAGAAUCAUAAUGCAAACAACUGUAUUGUUAGUGAUUAAUGAGAUAAUACAGUAUUAUUGUAAAGCUUUGGUACUUUUUUUCUUUUUUUUUUGGACGGAAAGCUUUGGUUCUUUGCAUGUCACAUUUCUAGUAGCCCUUGGAUUUUACAGGUAGUUUAAAGCUUCAAGCUGGUAUAUUAGAAUUUAAGUUUCUUAAGAUUAAAAGUUUCAAAUUUUGAAAACCUUGAGAUGCUUUUUGUUAAAGUACCUUUGGCAGUAAACAAAUGAAAUGUAUUUUGUACUGGAUGACAUUUGCGUACUGAGAAGCACAUCCAUAUUUACUUGGUUUGAAUAAUACUGUGAGUCGGAGGCAUAUGGAUAUGCUUUUAAUAUCUCUUCUUUAUUAGAAUCCGAAUUCCAUCAGGCCCUCUCCUUGACGGACACCCUUGAGAAUUUGAAGGUUGGAUGUGGUUAAGGUAUUUGGCCACAUUUGUUUUGAAUUCGAAUUUGAAGGUUGUGGGGUUUUGUAUGGUAAGUUCUUCAAAUGUUUAUUUGUAGAGCUUUAUACUUGUUAAAUGUAUUGGUUUAUACCGAAAUGCUGUGUAUCUGCAAAUUGGUAUGAAGUGACGAUAUAAUGAUUUUGGUCCCAAGAAGAUUAUGGCAUGUCCAUGGUAUGUUGUGGUCUAUGAAGAUGUCUUCAUUUUAUCUUUCAUUCAAAUCCUUGCAAAGCAUACUGUUAUUUGACUUUGGUUUUCUUUUCUCUUUUCAUGAAUAGGCACUCAGAUUUUGGUUGGAUGAUGAUAAUAUACAUCGAGUAGAAACACAUAAUCUAAACAAGAAAGAAAGACAAAAAAGAUAUCAGUAUUUGUGGCUUCCUGUAGUUGUGUUAAAUUAGCUUAUGAACUGUGAUUUUGGUGUGGGUGUUUGUUCGUCUUCUUCCUGUUUUACUUCCACACAAAGUUGAGAACAGCCCAAAGUUGGAAUCUUUUCAAUUCUUAAAGAAAUAAAAACUAGUCAAGAUCUUCAUGGCUUUGGAAUAAAUUUGUUCAAAAUUUCUGUCCCGAGCUUACUAAUUUCAGUGACCAAGAAGAGAGUGAUCUGUAGUUAUGCUGUGUUCUGUGUUGUUAUCUGUAGCAAAGCACAUGAAGUUGUCGAGUUCUCAAAGCGGGGAUAUUGCCUCCAGCUACAGGCAAUCUUACAGAAAUCACAUCUACCAUUUUGUAAUGAUAUAAUGUUGUUUUUACAUAUAUUGUGUGUCCUAUUGCUAUUUUAUCAACCACACUACACUCCACCACAAAAUUCUUGAAAAAUGAACAUAAACUAUGACAACUUUCUAGCCCGCAGCAUCGCGCGGGGUCUUUUUUCUAGUUUCAGCUCUGUUUUGAGUUCACAGAUUUUGCAUUCAGUAUCUACCAGUUUGCGAAUUUAUUAGGAUGAUAUAGGAGGAUUGCAUUUUGGAUUCCAAAUACUGAAUCUUCUAGGUUUCUUCUGUUCUGGCAAUUAUUGUUGUAGAUUCUGGAAGUAAAGCUUUAAUAUGUUUGUGUUCGAAUGAUGAAGAGGAUCAAAGUGACAUCCCAAAAGCUCUUUUUGGUCUCCAAGCGAUCAUCAUCAGGUGUUUCAUGUUUCAUGUUGGGUGGUUUUCUUACGUUUUAUUCUGCGUGUGAUUAUGUAGCUUUAAUCUAUCAAUAUCUGAUUCAAUUGCCCUGCUCUCUUUCUACAGGAUGUAUCUAUCAAUAUCUAAUUCAAUUGCCCUCCUCUUUCUAGAGGAUGUAGAUGUGAAUUUGAUCGUUACAGAUGACUGCGUGCCAGGAAUGGCAGGCGCUCAACUCAUCAUAAUGAUUAAGGUAAGCUACAAGACCUAAGAACAUUAUAAUAAUUUUGGCCUCUGAAAAUUGGUGCAUUAUCUAGGCUAAUGAUAUUUGAUCUUUACGGUACCAAGUUGUAUGUAUUUCACAAAUGCAAAUGUAGCCUGUGAUUUCCAAAUCCUCCUAACACCAUCACCAUCAUUUUUGGCUCUCAAAAUUGAUGUGAUAUGACAGUGAUUUUUCUUUUACGAUUAAUAAAUCUUUACUUAUGUUUUCAGAAACUAUAUAAUCUGUUGCUAUGUGUAUGAUCCCUUUUUGGUGCAGCUGGGAUGUGUGAAUACCCCCACCUUCAUUUAUUGCAACAAUUCAGAUGUACCUGAAAAGCAACAUUAAGGAACUGGUGAGACAAUGUUCCUGGACCGACAAGCUUUUCUUUAAGGUAAGAUAAAAAGCCAACAUUAUGUUUUGAUCCAGGUCGUGGCUGGGUUUGGAAACAUGCACAGUUUUAUGUCAAACUCAAUGUGGUAGUUUUACUGUAAUACAUAGUACUUUUAGUGCAAUUAGUACUUGAAAAGCAUUAGUAAGUUCUGAUAUCUGAAACUUACAUUAGUGCAGUUAAUUAUUUGUAGUCUAAGUAUAUGAUCUAUUUUCGACAAGUGUUUAAGUUUCUUGAGGUCAGUCAAAUGCCUUUAUGACAUUCUUUGUUUACCAGUCCAAUUAUUGGUCUAAUACCUAAAGAGGAACAGAAAUAAGUGUAAUUCAUUUUUUUUCUUCCGUAAACUGGCUGUGUUUUUUAUUUUAAAUGCAGCAAGGAUCAUAAUGCACAACACUCAUGUUAGAAAGUAUUUUAUUUAACAGGACUAUAUUAUAGAUAAUUCCUAUUUGUUUAUCUUUGCGCUAAGUUUCAUGUAUCAAUGCCUUUGGUGGACUAAUGUUAUUUAGACAAAUGAUGUGGCUGAAUUGGAAGCUAAAUUUGGUAGUGAUAAACGGAAAGCAUUAGUUAUGGGCAAGUCUUCCAAGUUAUUAACAUUUUGGUGAACAAAUUUGUUUGUUUAGCGCGAUUUCUUCCCAUGUACAGAAGUCAAACUAUUACUAUGUAAUAGGUGAAUGACACGAAAGAGGAGAAGAAGUAAUUUGAAGGAAGAGAGGUAUGUUUUUCUCUGUUUUUCUGAGGUAUGCUUCAUAAGUUUUCAUUGUUUAACUUAUUUUAGAUUAAUUGGAUACAAGAUUUAUUGAAAAUUUGUUUGACUUAGACGUGUAUCAUGAUUUUGAUACCAGAGGUGAUUAAAUUCACUUGCUUUGGUAUACGAUGUGGGAAUUACGGAUCUGGGAGAAUGUAUGUGAUGGGAGUUAUAUGCGGGUGCUAACUGAUAUUAAGGUUUCAUUGAUUCCUAAUAUCUUCGCAAUUUUACUUGUCUUCGUCUACCAAAUUUAUUGCCUUUGCAAUUCUUCUUCUUCCUUUUUCUCUGGAAAAAAAUGACGAUGGUCAUGGAGGAUUGGAUUUAGCAUAGUGCCAUGCUUUCAUUUUUAACAUAAUUAUAAGAAAUUAGGGCUCUGGUAGUUUAGGUCCCUACUUCUGAAUUAUGACGUUGUGCUUCAAUGUAGUCGGGUACCCUGCUGCCGUCUCAGCCAUGAGAGUUCAGUACAGAUGAUAAUCUAUUUUUCGAUAAUUCAUUACUUAACCGUGGCUUUCCUCUGUCGGGUGGAUUUCUUAUGUAUAUUUUUUAAAUUCCCAAUUGGGUAGUGUUUUUAAGGUUCUUCUGAUCGUUCCUAACCUCAAAUGGUUGUUUUGUGUGCGUGUGUUUUGUAUACAUAUGGUGCACUGUUUCUUUUUGAGUGCUCAAUCUUUGUUGCAGUUUAUGGUUCUUCAUUUAGAUUUCGCUCGUAAAAAAUGAAGAAAAAUUUGGAAUGAACACAAUCUUUGUCUGAGUGAUAAUUGUUGUAUUAAAUAGUUACUCUAAAAGGGAUUUAGAGUUCUAAUGGGACGUGUGGAUUUGAGAACUUAUGAAUUGCUCAUCUACAAUUAAUAAAUUGGAUCGUUUGUUUACUUGAUUAUUCAAUUCAUUUUCUUUUGGUUUGUUGUGCAAGGGAAAUCUCAUGGAGACGGAAGAGUUGGCUUGGAGAAUGCCAAGAUUUCAAAGGACGACCUCCCUUUCCCUUGCUAAGAAGGAUGAUAAAAGUUACCCUGAAUCUGUAACACCUAUACUUUUUAACACUACCAGAACGUCAGUGCUGGUGGCCAUAUUAAUACAACAUGUUCUACUACAUAUAUUGCGAAUCAUAUGCAAUCGGAGUAUUGUGCUUCAUUGUCUAGCCCUCAAAGCUUACUUCUCAGGCUAGCAUGAAUACAUCAAAGACUUGAAACUUGAAAUGAGCUUUUGAAAUCCGCAGCAACGCAGGGGCUUGAUAAACUCAGUUGAAACAUUGUUUUUGUGAAGCUGAGGUUGUUAAAAAGAAAAAGAAAAAAACCAUAACAGCACUGUCUAUGUUGAACUGUUAAGGAGCAUUUCUCUUUAGUAAUCUGCACUUAAUUAUUGUUUCAUUGAUUUGGUUGUGUGAAUGAAUUACAUUCUUUUUUGUGAGAUUGUUCUGAUCUAAUUUUAGUUAGUUGUUGGUUCAGUAAAGCAAUUGAUAAUUGUUGUACCACUUGCUUGAUCGUUGUUGACUUAAAUAUUGGUGACAUCUGCAUAAGGAGGCUCCAUCACAAAUAGGUCAACAACUACCAUUUGAGAGGCAAGAUUGAGAUCGAGAAAGGGCAUGUUAAGGCGAGAAAAGAAACAGCCUUGUUCAAGGAAAUGGAAAACCAUGUUUAGGAGGUUGAUCUUCUUUCAUCCUACUUUUUCUUCUGCCUUUGAAAAUUUAACUGUUUAUAAAGCCACUACAGUUUCCAGCCUGCACUUUUGGGACAUGUUUCAAAACGUUGUUUGAUUUUACUUUGAAUCUCAAUAAAUAGAGCAAAGAUCAUGUGAUCAUUUUCUGAGUUUAUUUUACAAGGUUUUCACUUUUAGACCGUUCUUGAUUUCAUGAAUUCAUAAUUCUUCUAUAUCUGUUCACUUUCAACAGCUUAUGUUAUGUUCGGAAUGAAGUGAUCUGCACUAAGACUUACCUAAGAUAAGAAUGGUUGUUUCCACACUCUAAUUCACAAGCCAUAUGUGGCCAGAGUUUUGAUGUAAAAAGAAAAUAGAGGCCAUCAGUAUUUGUGUAGUAAUUAGCUUAAUCUAAGUUUCAGCUUAUAUAUGGAUUUGAUAGUGCAAUGUGCAUUGGUUAUAAAUUGGGUGUUUGCUUUGGAAAGGUUGUGAAUUUAGAGAGCUGGUAUAAAAUGGAUUGGGACUGACUAGAUAUGAAAAGUGAAGCUUGGAAAGUGAGUUUUAGGUUUGGUAUACAUGCUGUUGCAUCUAUAUGGAAAGCUUGAUUUUAUCCAAACCAUGAAAUUUUUGAUUCCUCAUGAACCUAUGAGCUGCAGAAUUUGUUCUUACUGUAAGUGCCCAUGUCUAUUUGUGGUCCAAAGUUUAGGAUAUUUACGUACUGAGACUUGACAUUGUUGUCACUGACGAAAAUUAUUGCAGGAGGUUAGAGCACAACAAUAUAUCAGGGGAUGAUCUAUUGCCUCAGUCUUGCAAUGCUGUGAGUAAUUGUUUUUGAAUAUUCUGAUUAUUUUAUAUGUUUAGCGCAGUCUGAUAUAAGAUUUCCCUGACAGGUUAGACAUGCUAAUGUUGUAUUUCCUAAACUUCUAAAAUUUUAGCUGCUGAUUGAAGGUUCAGCUUACUUCAUUGAUGCCCACCUGAUGUUAUCACAACUCCUUUUUCAUGUCUUUUCCAACACCCCAACCCACCCCCCCCCCCCCCCCCCCUUUUUCCCCCUUUUUAGGCUUAUUUUAACUUUUUCUUGCAGUUUUGUUGGAAAUCCUGAUCUUUGUGGCUGUUGGCUCAAUUCUCCGCCUUGAGUUCCGUCCAACAGAGAGGUAGAUAUUAAUGCACAAAGUGGUAGGACUACUCAACUUCUAUGCAUGCAUUUGUUAAUUUAAAAGUGAGAAUCUAUUGCAUGCCUUACAUGGUCAAAAAGUUAGAGUUCUCUAGGAAAUUGGAGCAGGUAAUGAUGUCAUCGAAGUUUUGUAUUGCCAUUCUUAUAGAAUCGUGGACAUCCAACCAAAAUGAUAGUUUAUGAAGUUAUAGAAAUGAGGGAACUGAUGUGUUUAUCAGAUCAAAAAAUAAGGCAUUUUUGGACUAUUACCAGUGUGAGGCAACUAAGUCGAUAUGAAGGUUAAAGAUACGGACCAUAAGUCUAUAUAUAUAUAUAUAUUUUGAAAUGAGUAGUAAUAUUAUUGAUAGCGACUUUUUUGCACCAUCCCUAUAAGUAUUACAUACUAUGUGGGAUGUGAAAUAUAAUUUUAUUUUAUUUUUAUUUUUAUUAAAAAACAAGCUUUAUAUUACGACAAAAACAAAGAACAAGGAGGCGGACAAGGAGACACAAAUAUAAUGGAAAACAAAACAGAAGAUUUACUUCCUUCACGGAAAACAAAACAGAGACACAAAUACACUCACUUUUCCUGGAAAGGUGCUCUCUUUUUUCCUACUAUCAUUUUGGUCUAUUAGAGUCUGCCAUUAACUGUGUUUAAAAUUCUAUUUGGUGAUUAAUGUGCAGCUCUGGAUCUUAAUGGAAAGACAAUCGGGUUUAGAUCCUAUAAAUCUGGUAAGGCAUGCGUCUUUCAAACUGAAUUUUGUUUUCACUUUUAGAUCAGCAAUCCAUUCUUUAAACCAAAAUUAAUUCAAGUGUCUGUUUUGUGGAUUAUCCUGAGGUAAAGAGAUGAACUGAAGAAUGAGGACAAGUUUGACUGAUGGAGUACGAGUUUGAGUAUUAGAGUCGGUACUUACGAUCAGGUAACAACUAACGGUGUUCUGUAUCACUUCAUCUUCUAUCUCCUGUUUUCCAGAUUUCAACUAUUGGUGGACAUGUUUCUAUUUUUUAUAUUUUGGUUUGGUAUCCGUAUGGGUCUCAGUUGUGUGGUUGUGAUUUGUUGGCAGAUGAUGAAUCACUACAUCCUUUGCCUCUUGGUUUCCAGAUUUCAACUAUAGGUGGAUUUGUUUCUUUUUGGGUUUGGUAUCUGUUUGGGUCUUGGUUGUGUGAUUGUGAUUUGCUGCUGAUGAUAAUUACCUGCCUUGUUGUUAUUUUGCCGAGUGUUUUGGUCUAUUGGCCUCAAUGUAUUGGAUGGGUGUUUUUCUUUGAGUUUUUGUUGGUCUCAUGGAUGCGAGAUUAUUAGUUAUGGGUUUUGAAUGUACAUUUUUUUCUAUUGUAAUUGAUUUCUGCUACUGUCGGUUUGUUUGUAGUUUUGAGCAAUCUCACAAUCUUAAUCUUUAUUCAGGCAGAACUAAUCAUUGAAUUUCAUUGAUAGCUUUUGUGACAUUUGCGUCUGUAAACCCGAUUUGUGAUAGUAAUUAUCAAAGUUAUCGAACAAUUUCUGAAUUCGGGUCAAACCAAUCCGCAGAAAGAACAUAGAAAAUUGGAAAAGGCUUCAAUUUCAGGCUCUUGUGGCUUUAUACACAAAUCAUUACUUAAAAUUUUAGUAUAUGUAUCAAGUCAUGCAAAGGGAAGUGUGACAUUUAUGAAUUGUGCAACAGUUCUACUUAAAAACUGUUGGGUUCAUUCAAAUGUUUCCUUAACUUUGGUAAGUAUUUCGCUUCCUUUUUACAUAACUAUUUGGUUUGUUGUUCUGCAUGUGUUUUGGAAUGGGAUUUUAGAUUGAAGGUGGUGCUCUGUUUGUGUGGCUGUAAGGGGGUUAUUAUUUUCCAGGUGUGCUUACUUCUCUUGAGUUUGUUAUUUCGUUUUUUAUAUUGUGAAUUUGAAUUUUGAUCUUCUUUGCUCUCUUUUUGAAAUCCGAACUGUUUUUGAUCUAUGUUGAUCUCUUUCCGAUUGUGACAAAAUUUGCUUUUCAAUUUUUGGUGAGUUUUGUGGUUUCAGGUUAUGUAUGAAUUUGAUAGUGCAUUGAGCAUUGGUUAAAAAUUGGGUGUUUGCUUUGGAAAUGUAAGAUGCACUUAAAUAUAUAAAUAGUAAGUUUAUUUGAUGCUAUAUGUAAGAUGCACUUGAAUAUAUGAAUAGUUGCCUACUGAAAUGUUACAUAUCAACAUGGAUUUUUCAACUAGGUCAUGAUCUUCAAUUUCAGUAUCGCUUUGCAAUUUAUUCCUUUCAUUUGUACAGGGUGUCAAUGCUGCUGGGGUACGGUCUCAGCAAGAGGCUUAAAAGCAUCGAUUUCUUUUUUUUAAGGUUCAUAAGUUGAUUGCUUCUUUACUUUUGUUUUUCAGUAUUGUAAAGGGUAAAAAAAGAAAAAAAAACUUAGUGUUUGCCUUUAAUUGUGCUUAAAAUUCUAUUUGGUGAUUAAUGUGCAGCUCUGGAUCUUAGUGGAAAGACAAUUGGGUUUAGAUCCUAUAAAUCUGGUAAGGAAUGCGUCUUUCAAACUGAAUUUUGUUUUCACUUUUAGAUCUGCAAUCCUUUCGUUUGACAAAAAUUAAUUCAAAUAUCUGUUUUUUGGAUUAUCAUGAGGUAAAUGAAUGAACUAAAGAAUGAGUACAAGUUUGACUGAAGGAGUAGGAGUUUGAGUAUUGGAGUCAGUACUUACGACCAGGUAACAACUAACGCUGUUCUGCAUCACUUCAUCUUCUAUCUCGCGGUUUCCAGAUUUCAACUUUUGGUGGACAUGUUUCUAUUUUUUAUAUUUUGGUUUUGUAUCCGUAUGGGUCUCAGUUGUGUGGUUGUGAUUUGUUGGCAGAUGAUGAAUCACUACAUCCUCUGCCUGUCGGUUUCCAGAUUUCAACUAUAGGUGGAUUUGUUUCUUUUUUUGGUUUGGUAUCUGUUUGGGCCUCAGUUGUGUGAUUGUGAUUUGCUGCUGAUGAUAAUUACCUGCCCUAUUGUUAUUUUACCGAGUGUUUUGCUCUAUUGGCCUCAAUGUAUUGGAUGGGUGUUUUGCUUUGAGUUUUUGUUGGUCUCAUGGAUGCGAGAUUAUCAGUUAUGGGUUUUGAAUGUACAUUUUUCUAUUGUAAUUGAUUUCAGCUACUGUCGGUUUGUUUGUAGUUUUGAGCAAUCUCACAAUCUUAAUAUUUAUUCAGACAGAACUAAUCAUUGAAUUUCAUUGGUAGCUUUUGUGACAUUUGCUUUAGAUACGAAAUUUUGAUAUGAAGUCUGUAAACCCGAUUUGUGAUAGUAAUUAUCAAUGAUAUCGAACAAUUUCUGAAUUCGGACCAAACCAAUCAGCAGAAAGAACAUAGAAAAUUGGAAAGAGCUUCAAUUUCAAGCUCUUGGGCUUUAUACACAAAUCAUUUCUUAAAAUGUUAUUACAUGUAUCAAGACAUGCCAAGGGAAGUGUGACAUUUUGGAGUUGUGCAACAGUUGUACUUAAAAACUGUUGGGUUCACUCGAAUGUUUCCUUAACUUUGAUAAGUAUUUCGCUUCUUUUUUACUUUAACUGUUUGGUUUGUUGUUCUGCAUGUGUUUUGGAAUUGGCUUUUAGAUUGAAGGUGGUGCUCUGUUUGUGUGGCUGUAAAGGGGUUAUAUUUUUCCAGGUGUGCUUACUUCCCCUGAAUUUGUUAUUUCGUUUUUUAUAUUAUGAAUUUGAAUUUUGAUCUUCUUUGCUCUCUUUUUGAAAUCCGAAAUGUUUUUGAUCUAUGUUGAUCUCUUUCCGAUCGUGACAAAAUUUGCAGCGUAUCAUCAGCAAGAAUAGGGAAGGCAAAUCUGGAUUUUCGGGUUACAGGUAAAAUUAUUGAUAAAUUUUCUUUCAAAUCUCAUCGUCAUUGUUUAUCUAGAAUCAUUUUGGGGGUUUAUUAGGUGAAGGAAAUAGUUAUUGUAUUAAAGCAUGUUGCUUUUCAAUUUUUGUUGAGUUUUGUGGUUUCAGGUUAUGUGUGGAUUUGAUAGUGCAAUGUGCAUUGGUUAAAAAUUGGGUGUUUGCUUUGGAAAUUUAAGAUGCACUUAAAUAUAUGAAUAGUAAGUUUAUUUGAUGCUAUAUGUAAGAUGCAAUUGAGCUAUAAAAAAUCUCUUAUUUGUUGCUCUCCUAAUACCUGCAAAGAAAUUUCUUCGGAUAUCAGUAGAACUUGUGGCUCUCCUCUAACUAAUGAUCUUGGAAAAUAUUUAGGCAUGCCUUUUAUUCACUCUUGGGUGAACAAAAAUACUUAUUCAUGUAUUUUUUACAAAGUGCAAAAUAGGAUGUCUAGUUGGUAGAGUAAGGUGCUUAAUAUGGCUGGAAGAUUAACUUUAAUUGAAUCUGUUACUUCUUCUAUUCCCAUAUAUGAUUUGCAGACUGUUAAUCUGCCUAUUAGUCUCUGUCACAAAUAGACUUUCUUUGGGGAGACACAGAAACUCAGAAGAAAAUUCAUCUGGUGAAUUGGGAUUCUGUUUGUCAGCCUAAAUAUAUUGGUGGUCUUGGUAUUAAGAAAACCUCUGAAAUGAAUCAAGCUAUGUUGGCAAAAGCAAGUUGGAGAUUGUUUCAAAGGGAUAAUGGUCUUUGGGCUUCUAUUUAUACUAGCAAGUAUAUACAAGACCACAAUCUUUUUUAUGAUUCUUAUAAGCCUCCUGCUGAUUGCUCUAAUACUUGGAGAAGUGUUGCUUAUGGUGCAAGUUUACUUAGGGAAAUCUUAUUUGGCGUGUUGGUAAUGGUAAAGACUGCCUGAUUUUGGGUGGAUAACUGGUGCUCUCGGUCUUAUUAAUUGUCAUUUGUCCUGCUGAUAUUAACAUUGAUGCUACCAUUUGUGAAUUUUGGAAAGACCUUGGGACGUUGAUUUGUUAAGUUCCUUACCCCCUGGUGAUAUAUAUAUAUAUAUAUAUAUAUAUAUAUAUAUAUAUAUAUAUUGGUAUAAAUGAGCAAUAGGCCCAGAAAGAAACAACUAACACAACAUUGAGGAAGCAGAUGCCUUUAGCAUUGAAAGUGCUAUUCUUAGCCAACAAGUCAGCGGCCAUAUUUCUUUCUUGAUGAAUGUGCUUAACCUGGACUGAUUCGAAGUGCUGCAACAUUGAUCUGCAGUUUGUCACAAUUGUACCCAAGGGGUGAAGCUCCAUAUCAGAAUUCUGCUAAAGGUUAACAAGAACAGCAGAAUCUGAUUCUACCUCUAACUUGGAAAUCUUCAUGUUCAAAGCCAUUUGAAUGCCAUAAAAAAGACCCUAGGCCUCAGCUUGUAAAACAUCUCCAGUACCAAUAUUAAUCAUGAAACCACCACUCCAACAGCCAGUGCUAUCCUUUGUAACUCCUCCUAAACUCAUCUCACCAGACCUGGUCCUUGAACCAUCCGCAUUUAAUUUGUGAAAUCCAACAGCCUGGUUUAAUCCAUGAUAAAGCCUCCACAUGCCCCUAUCAUUUGCGCUUUGGACUUGGCAGAAGCAUAGCUAAGAAUAAUAUCAGCAGUAUUGUAAGGGUACUGGAUUUCCUCAAAAAUACCCUUGCAUUUCCACUUCCAUAGAAACCAGCAGGAGAAAAUAAAGAAGAUAUUUCAAUUCAGAUUAUUAAUAUGGCAGCCAUCUUGCAUUAGAUUAACAAAAAGCCAAUCAUCCCAAUUCAAAGUAAAGACAUUCCACAUAUUGGUAGGAAUGUUGAAGGAGCUCCACACCAUCAUAGCCAUAGGACAGUCACGAAACAGGUGGAUCAUAGUCUCAGGAGUAUCCUGACAAUGAUGACAAGAACUCCCAGAAAGUCAUCUAUUGAAUCUCUGCACAUUAGUUAGAAUCUUACUAAAGACAAAAGUCCAAAGCAAAAUCUCAAGCUUGGGAGGGAUAUUAAUAGACCAGUUCUUCAGCCAGGGACAAUUUUCAAUGCCAUGAUCAUCAUAGAGAAGCUUAUAAGCAAACUUAAUUGUAAAAUUUUCAGAAGGGGUUCCUCCCCAAAUGAUAGUCCUGCAAAUCACAAGUAGAAAUUGGAAUAGCAGAGUAAUGAUGUCUACAACUUCAGAAGGUAAAGAAUUUAGGAGUAAAGAACUAUUCCACAUUUUGUCAACCCGGAAAUCAUAGCAUUCAAAUCAAUACUGGCACAAUCCGUAAAUCAGCUAAAAUACCAUUGUGACCAUUUGUUAACCCAGAAUUUAGCAACAAACACAAUACCGGACCUAGCAUGGAAGCAGUUUGUAGGAUUCUUAUAAUUUUCAUGGAGACUCCUACUUAAAUGUAUUAUUAUACAUGAUUAAAAAAGAAACCAUGUUGUUUAUGUAGGAAAAUAUCAAAUCAAAUCAAGAAAGACUCGUCUAAAAUAAACUCUUUUCUUGCCAAAGAUUGCCCAAAAAUACCCUAAUCGUUAAUGAAUCCCCUAAUUUCCCUUUUAAUUAAAAUUAAUUAAUUAACAAGGGCAAAACCACGGAGACCAUUUAUAACGUUUGCCCAUGACAUAAUAACCAACCGAAGUCGUCAGGAAAGGUUUCAAAAAAGGUCAAUGCCCACUAGUCCUAAUUUUAAGAAUUUUUUUCUCACCAACAAAAUCAGAUUUUUAAAAGGUUAAUGCUCAUUAUCCCUAUUUUUAAGAAUUUUAUUCCCACCAACAAAAUCAGAAUUUUAAAUUCUCAAUAGCCAAUUUAAACAAGAAAAAGACAAUUAUACUCUUAAUAAAUUAAAUAAACUAUAAUAGACCACUAUAAGAACAAUAGAGGGUCUAUUCUAAAAUUGUAAAAUAAAGAUUCAAUGACCUUUGACCGGACACUGGCGACCGUUAACUAUAUUUUGACUACUAUUGAUCGGACUUUGGUGACUGUUGAUCAGAUUUCGGUGACCGUUGACCGAAUUCCGACGAUGGUGUCUAUUGGGGGUAGUAAAGAGGUCUAUUGAGGGCAUUAGGGGGUCUGUCAAGAUGUCUAUUGAGGGUAGUAGGGGUCUAUUGGGGGUAGUAGGGUGUCUUUAGGGUUAACAGAGAGUCUAUUAAGGGUAGUAGAGGUCCUAUUGGGGGCAAUAAGGUGUCUUUCGGGAGGCCUAUUAGGAGCAGUAAGGGGUCUAUUAGGGGUAACAGAGAGUCUAUUGGAGGCAGUAGAGGAGUCUAUUGAUGGCAAUAUCUAAAAGAUAAAAGUAAAAAAGACUAUUGCAAUUGUAUAUUUUUUUCUUUACAGUGUGUUAAUUAACUCAUUUUAGGAUGAAAGUGCAAGUUGAGCCCAAGUCCAUAGGCGGAGUCAGAAACUAGAAAUGAGGGGUGCCAUCAUUAACAAAUUUCUUCAAUUCAGCUAGAAUUCAAAGGCCAAAUACAUGUAAAGCCAAAAUUUUGAGGGGUGCCAUGACACCCUUUGAUCUAUAUGUACCUCCGCCUAUGCCCAAGUCAAAGAACAUGCGUUAAGCUCAAGCAACACCGAUGUGUCAAUUUUGCUAUCGAACAUAAUUGUUUUCCAACUUUCAAAAUCACUUUAACUAAACAUAAUAAUCUUAGAGCCAGCAUCAUGUUUUCUCAUUCAAGUAGGUGAAUCAACUCUCAACUUGAAAACAAAAAUAUGAAUACAAAAAGACAUACAUAAGCACAGCAAUGAAAGAUUGACACAAGAAUAAGCAUAGCAGAGACUUGAAAUCCAACCAUUCCAUUAUCAUAUAGCUAUUUAUAAGUCUAGAAAUAUACAUCUGAUGAUACCAUGUAUGGUCAAUUAGAGAGGCAUAUCCAUCUAAUUUAACUAUAUACUAUAGCAUGGUCGAUUGUUCACAAGCAUGUGAACAGUUAAACCUUUUUUUUUUUUUUUUCAAAAUAGGUAAUUUAGAUUUUUGUAAAUAGGCUCUCUCGGCAAAGAAUUUUUUGCCCUCCAUUUUUGACUUUUCUUCUGCCUCCUGAAUCUUCCGGAUUGAUCUUGUCUCUUCAGACCUCAGACCUCCUUUAUUUUUAUUUCUCUUAUCUCUCUGUCUUUGCAUCUCAGAGAAUAUUGCCGAUUCGUUUCAUUUCUUUCACUAUUGUUCCGUUUUGUGCCUAUAUACUAUUACUUGGUUAACUAUUUAUAAACACUGUAAACUCGGACCUUUUUACCCUGCUGAUGGGCUAUGUAAUUCCGUAUUUACCCUUCGUUUCAACUCUAGGUAUAAUUUUUUUUUCCGCCGCUUCUCGCUCUCUCUCUCGCCCAACAUUUUUUUAUCUUUCUCACACUCUCUUGACUCUUCUCGAACUAGCUCCAACAUUUCUCACAAAACAUAAGAGUCUAGACAUAUUAAUAUAUUACCGUGAUAAUUUAUUACCCCGUUGUUUUACGGAACUAUUUCUGUCAUUUUCUUUUCUGCUUUGUACACGUACAAAUCAAAACAAUUGGAGCAUUUAUAUUUUGGGUAGAACACAAGACUGGCUAUAUAUUUUGUUAUAUAAAUGUUGUUUUUGUGAUAACUCUUAUACAUAUGUGGAAUAUGCAAAAUAUGGAUAUUACACUGUGCCAAGGUGCGGGUAUCAACUCUAGUAAUACCAUGAAGAGAAGGACACGAGUCACACUCCUCUCUCUAUACACCCGAAUUUCAAAGCUGCUCAUUCAAUCACUAAGGCCCACUCUCUUCAAUUUCAUCCUUAGAAAAAGCGAUCUCGAUGGUUCUUUUCUUCUUCUCCAUGCCCAACCUUCCACCAAGCCCCUCAACCUCAUCUACUUCCGCAUCGGCUGCUCACUCUAUUUUGGCUUAUAGUUGUUUUACGUCAUUUUGAAAUAUCAAAUGAUUAUGAAAUUAGUUGAAAUUUUGUAAAUAUGUUUUUUGCAUAUGAAUUUAGAGGAUUAGCGGUUAAAAUCGUUAAAUGAAGUUAUUAUUUUUGUAAAAUAAUAAAGAGAGAAAUUCGUCUGAAUGAUAUAUGAAUUUUUGCUCCUUAUAAACGUUGAUAUAUCAAGUUUUGAAAAUAUCAUUUCGGUAUCUCAUGUUUCGACCUAAGAUUGGUAUAUAUAGAAUGACCAAUUUACCCAUUAAGUUUUUUUUUCCUUAUUUUUUUAUAUUUGUUUUCACAUUCCAGAAAUAUUAAAAGAGGUUUUGGAAUUUGAUGAUUUGGGUUGACCUUUAUAAAUUUGAAGAAGAUUGAAGAGGGGAAACAUACAGAAGUUUAAUCCUUAUUGUUUCCGCUGACACUCAAAGAUCUUGUUGUUGCCGUUGACAUUUAAGGAUGAUUGAGAUGAAGAACUGAUUAUUAAUAGGGAGAAAGUGACGAUGAAUUUUUCUCUACGUUCCUAAAAUUAUAAAAAGCCAAAAAAAAAAUUGGAAUAUGAAAACAAAGAAGAAAAACUAAGCAAAAAAAAAAAUUUAAGGGUAAAUUUGUCAUUUUCUUUUUGGUAUAUAUACCAAUCUUAGGUCGGGAUGAAAACAUGAGAUACCAAUAUGAUAUUUUUAAAACUUGAUAUACCAAAGAUUAUAAGGAGCAAAAGUUCGUAUACCAUUUAGACGAAUUUCUCCAAGGUAAAAUGUACUGUGACUUUAUUUUAGUUGAAGUGGAUAACUCAAUUUCUAAAGAUAUCAAGAUUGAGGAGAUCUAGAAACAUGUUUACUUUCAAGUUUCAUUUAAAGACGACGAAGUAAACUGCAAUUGUUGUCUCUUUCAGUUUGGAUGUAUAUUAUGCAGGCAUGUAAUAUAUGUUUUGAUUUGUCAUAAGAAAACAGGAUUCUAAAUAAAAAAAAUUAUGAGAAGAUGGAGGACAUAUGUGAAGAGAUGUCACACAAGGGUUAAAUUAAAUCAGUUAUGGCGGAUGAGCUAUUAGACCUGAAUCACAAAGGCUCGAUAAGAUACAUAAGAACUUCGAUGACAUUAAGAAAUUAGCAUAUCAUUCUGAAGUAAGUGCAUGAUUGUUUUGACUUGCUUGUACAACCUAAAUUAAGGAUGAGGUAUCCAAAAAUGAGUCCAAGAACUCUAAUGUACGUUUAUGGUGGUGCAUGCUUUCCAAACCAGGUAAUGGAAGUCUAUUUUCUUUUUAAUUCUCCGUAUUAUUUGGUUUUCACCAAUUAAGGUCUUUAGGUGACUAAUAGUACUGUUACAUGAGAAUUAAAUAAAUGUAGUUGGAAGUCAAUUGUAGUAGCUAGGUUUGAUUUGUGCACACUUGCAAUGAGGACAAACUGUUAUUAUUUGAACAAAACGACAAUAAAUGCAUUGUACAUGUGGACAAGAAUAACCAAUAAAACUAUCGAUCUUUUACUAAAAAAAACAUUAGCUUAACAAGUUUGUAUGAGCAGAAUAUUUCUUACAAAAAUGGUAUGAAUUGAAUGUGUUAGCUAGGCUAUUAGAGAAUGUAAAUGUCUGUUUAUAUUUUUAAGAUACACGGUGACAGUGCCAUGCAGAAACUGAAAGAAGAUACCUAUCUUGCCAUCCUAGAGAAAGUGUCCUUCCAUCAUCUCUUUCAAAAACCCUGAAGCCAGCUGCAGUACUGCUACCAUUACUACCGUCUCCUUCAAAUUGAAGGGGACAAUAAUGGGUCCUAAUUUUCAAGAGAAGUCUAGCUUGGAUCUUGGACUUGGAGCUUAGAUUGACUCCUUCAAAACCAUGACUCUCCAUCCUCGCUUUCCAUGUCUCCGUCGACUUUUCUGUUUUACGAUCCUCCAUAAUAUUGUCGUAGUUGAGCAUGCUUUUGAUCUCCUUCCCCAGAUGGUUCUUCUCGAUUCUCAGCCUCUCCGUGCUCUCUAGCGGUAAGCAAUCAUCUAAGGAAUCAAACAUGGCUGCAAAAUAAUGCAAAGACUCCAUGAAUCUCGACAAGAAACUUCGAGGACUUCUGCUUCCUUCUUGUUCAACCAACAUUACAAUCGAAGGGUUAAGUAAAUGUACAGAUUUUAACGAGUCGGAUAUCUUGAUAUCAUUGUUCAAGCUGUUCAAAUGAAAAACCAAAUUCACCGCAAUUGUUUCAUUUCUCUUCUUCCUCAAGUUUAUGAGAUUUGAGCCAUGCAAUAAUCCUUGGAAUUCAAAGACGAGGUUGCGACAUCCCUUGGAAAAGCUGAGCAAUCUAUUCUCCGUCUCCCGCAGUUCGUCCAAGCUUCUUCCAAACCCUGUAAUCCUAAGGGAUAUCCGACUGCCACUGCUUCCCUUUUCGGAAAGAGAUUGUAUCAAUGAAGGCCAUUGAAAGCCAUAGGAGACGUCGAAAUCGAUUACAUGCAAGGAACGGUUGUUCUUGUCUUCUUCUUUCUCAAAUGCCUCGAUUAUGGCCUGGUUGGCUGUAAAAUGAGCAAACUGGUAGUAGGGGGAAACCCGGUAGAGAGCAGUGAAGGCUACAAACUCUUCCUCAUGCGUUGGCUCCUUGGAAAUCAUGUCGAAGAAUGGUGAUUUUCGGGUGAGAAGCCUCGCUGCCAAGCCAUCUGCAAAGUAAGCCACAACUCGUUGCACUGAGUCGCCGCACAAGGAAACACUUUUAUACAACUCUGUAAGAUUCUCGAAAGCUGAGCUCACAUUGUUUUCAUUUACGGCAGUGGCUGUUAUGAGCAACAUGCGGAUUAAUUGGAGGCCUUUACCAUCUAAUUCAUCAACAAUAUCAUUACCUGCUCCUCCUCGUUUCUUCUUGUGCUCUAGUUUUAACAUUUGUUCCCUCAUUUGAAGAAGACUGAAUAUCUUCCCCUCACAACCUUCAUAUGAUGAUGAACUGAAAUCGCUGCUAGUAGUAUUAUCCCUUCUCUUUCUCUUUUUCAUUCUUUCACCGCCUGAGUUUGUAACAAUUGCAAGGCUGAGAUUCAAAAGCUCAUCCCCCUCCUCGUCUAUAUCUUCCAUACUAUUACUUCUCUCGAUCUCUCACUCUCGGACAAAUGAAUUAAUAUGAGAAAACUGAAUAAUAUACAGUAGAUGGAUGAAGUGGAUUGAGGGCAUUAAGAGAUGAGGGAUGGAAGACCUUUUAUGGAAGCAGGAAGCAGGAGAGGGUGGGAUGGAAUAUGUCAUGAUGAAAAUUCCUUUGUGUCAUUACAUGUGAAUGGAACAAAAGACAAAAGACAAGAGAGAUAUUGAAGAAUAUAACUUUUAUUUUCUUUAUGUUCUUUUCAUUAAACCUAUAGAGAGACAAGAUGCAUAAAUGGGUAUCUUUAUAUUCUCUAGAAUCAGUGUCAUAUAUAGCUAGCUUAGCUAGGUCAAGAAAACAAAUUGAUCUUUAAUCUUUUCUUUUCUUUUCUUCUUGGGUGUCAUUUUAUUAUUGAGGCUGCUCUUUGGAGGGUUAGGAAAAUGUUUGAUUUCUGGUGCUUAAUUUAUAAUGAUCCGUCGGGUAGUUCGGUGGAGGAAGAAGAUGCCGUACGCAUUGGACAAAAAAAAGCAGCGGGAAAAUUCGGGGUAUCAGAACCUACCGUCCUUGAACAAUUGAUUUGUCCUCUCUUAUCAAAAGAAUUCAAACAAAAAGAAAAAAAAUCGUCGUCAUUGUUUUUUUGCUUCUAGAGACAACAAUAUUCUCUUUCACUUGCUUGGUUUCCUUUUCUUGAUUCUGAAAAUGACUGCCAUUUGGAUGCUAAGAGAAAAUUAAUUUGUCAAAUUUAGGGUAAUGAUGCUCUAAAACAAGACUAGCUAAGUAAACUAAUGAGAGUGUGCAUGUUGGAGGUGUUAGCUAAGUGCCAAGUUAGCUUCUAUUUGAAAGGACCGCUACUUGUUCGUUAUUAAUAACCAAGGAUGCUCCCAUUCUUGCAAAGUAUCUAGUCCGACGUAUAUAACAAGAUAUCUUGAUCACCUUUGGUAUGUCGUUAUUAAUUAUGCUCUUUCGUGUUGCAAGAAUCUACACUCUUCAAUCUUUGGAACGAAGUUUUAGUGAUCAAUAAUGUACCAAAAGCUUUUUACUUUCUAUCACUGUGUAUAGUACAGUAUAGUCUUAUAUUGGAUACAAUGCUUGUACUUACCACUAUUUGUUACCAGUUGCUGGGUUUGGUUGUACUUGAUCUCUUAUCUUUGAAUUGGUUUAGUGUGAGUUUGAUCGUUUGUUCUCCGAACGAAAUAAGAUUUCUUGUGUAUAAGACAACAUUGUACCGUAAAGUCUUUAGAAAUUUUAUAGCAUUAAUUCAAUAAUAUAUCCUUGACUUGUUCAAAAGUUUGGCCGCAUGUUUCACACAUGUUCUUAAUUUGAGCUGAAUUUGUGUGUGUGUAUAUAUAUAUAUGAAGUAAUAGAUAUUGUAUCGUAGAAGCAUGUGAAUAUAAAAACUAGCUAUAGCGAUGUCUUCGAACAAAAAAGGGAUCAAAUAGCAGUGGAAAGAACAAAUUAGCUGGAGAAUUCACCUCUAGUUUUCUUGGAAAUAGCUGUUUGAACAAGUCCAACUGAAGACUCCGAUCCUAAAACUUCACAUAAAACAUGGAGGCAUAUAUAUUGAAGCUCUCUCGGUACGUUGUCUUGGUUAUGGAGGACAUGUAAAGCUUGUUUAAUGAAAUAGAAUAUUGGCCCAUAACUUAUAUUUAGCACAUACGAAAAUGCCAAAAUAUAAUGCACCUAGAUUAUUGUUUUGGUACAAGUAAGCAGAUUAGAUUCUGUUGGAUGAACUAUCAUGAAGUUGACAUAUGGCAAACUCUAGGAUGCUCGAUCUCUAGGUCUAAUAUAAUUUGGUUUACAUGCCUCUUCCAAGGACAGUCUCCUGAAGAACGGCAUGCAGUCUUCAAACAUUUUACAGAUACUACUGGCCGGGUUUCUGUAAACAAGGGCUUGUAAAUAAUAACAAUACCACUGAGCCAGCUAAUGCUAGAGAAAUCGGGAUUGUGUUUUUAGUAGGUAUGCUUGUUUUUUGAAUACUGUCGACCUAGUAUUCAAGAUUAAAAGUCCUCAGAUUGAGCUUUGAGUUCGGUAUCAGACGACACUAUUGUAUUCGAGUUAGUCGUAAAACACCAAUUUACCUGCGUGUGUGUUUUAAUCUCAGAGGGACAAUAGGCUGGUCUUGUUAUCAUAUAUGGGGGUAGCAAGGCUAAAGACAAUUUUUUUAUUUCUAGCAUGGCAACUAAACCAAGUAAGAAUGAGAAUACGAGGGAAGAAUUAUUUGAGUUAUGAUAUGUUAAGUAUGUCGAUAAAUACAUCACCCAAAAAACAAAAAACAAAAACAGCCAAUUGAUGAAUGAUUGGUUAAUUGGUUCCAGUCAAAACAAGUAAGCUGCAACCAUAUUUGUUAAAUAGUUGGGCAAUAAUGAUCUACAGCCUCAUAAUUCAUAUAUCCUCAUUCCAGCUUAGUAUCGAUGCAAAUGACCAUUUCUUUUUUCUCUUUUGUCUAAUAUGAACCGACUGAAUUAGGCCUAAUGUUUUAGACUUUUGGGUUCGGUAAACCAAGUUUUGGUAACAUAUGCUCACAAAUUAGCCGUCGAUUUUCUUUGUAAAGGACACGAUUCACGAUUGCAUUGUUGGGUUCCAUAGACCCAAAUAUCCUAGUUUUCUCUAUUUUCACCCAAAACGAUUACAUUGGGUUUUGCAACCUAAUCAUAGGUUUUACAUAAUACACAGGUGAUGCUAGUCAUGUAUUCAGCAGUAUUGUUUAUUUAUUUAAAUGGGAUCGAGAACCUACACGUAGCAUACAAGGGUAAUGUAAACAGCACGUCCUUAUCUUUUGAGGAUAGCACCAGGUAAGACACUUCUGCGCUUCUUUUGCAAUGCAAUCUGGAGGACAGAACCAACCACUGGCCAACUUGUCACAAUAGCAAUAUAAACAAGCAACCAUAACGACCACCUACUCUGUCGAGAUAGCAGAUCUAAGCAUCUUCUAACACGAGCAGUUACACCAAGAGGCGUAGUAGCUUGUUGAGAAGAUUGUACCAUAGAAGCUAAAGAAUCCGAAUCAGACUUUGGCUGUGGCCUCUGUUCAUCUUGCUCAACUGAUAUUUUUCCUUCUCCUGGUUCAUGUACAUCUUCUACCCUAUUCUCUUCUAUCUGUUCAUUUCCCACUGCAGCAACCAUUCCAUCUUCUGCAAUGUUUACAUAGGGACCCUGAUCUAUUGAAGAGUCCACAAUUAAUGGUGGGUUAGAACUUGCCACCUGGAAACACAAGAAAUGUAACAAUAUUAUUAACCUGCAAAAUUUAACCAGUAUGCUGCAGCAUGACAACAAGUAGAUCACAAAGUUAUAAGAACAUUAGUUCCAAUAACUUGUCAGCAACAAUUCAAUGUUCGACAGUAUCUCAACCAACAUACACCAACUACUAUUUCAUUAGGCAUUUGAAAUGAUGUGAAAAUAAAUUUAUACCUUCUUUACAUGCAUAUGUUGACUACUAUGUAAAACUUUUAAAAAUUCAUCCACAGCUCUUACCCACCUGCAAGGAAAAAAAUAAUACACCAACAAAUUUCAGAAGGGAAUUUCUGAUGCACUUUCCUUGAUAAAUGCACAAGUAGAGACGCCAUACAAUUGCCAACUUCAUGGAAAUGACUAUAAUAACCUUUGGGUCCAUGACCUUUAUGUGAUCAAUAGCAUUCCAGAUGUAAAAUGGGAAUGAGCUAUAUAGAUGUGCACAGAAACUGGAAAUAAGGUGCUAAAGUAGAGAUGAUCCAAAGUACCAGGACAAAAUGUGAUUUAACAGAACGAUCACACAGAACCAACAUGGGCAGCUUUGCAGGACAAAGAUGCUAUGGAAUACUAAAGGCAGGGCUAGACACUUAAAAAAAACUUGUAAAAUAACUGUGUAAUGGAAAACCCCCAAUCAACUUGGCUCUCCGAACUAAAAAGAGAGACAGCUUUGAUCUUAUUUAAUCCUUUAAAUGGUAUUUGCUAUCAGAGAAUUUGUUUACCAUAUAUGUCAAGUCAUCAGAUAAAGUGAGUUGAUGGAUGCAAACGGAGUAUGGCAUCCAAGUUGAAGAAACAACUACAACUUUUCAUAGAUGAGGCACUUAAUUGAAUUGAAUUAACCCUAAACUUCAUAUUAUGAACUGUUCAAAAGAUAUUUUCUUACCAUGAAACCAUACCAGAUAUUUCUCUUAGUUUUGGUUCUGGAAAAUGAAAAACCAUUUUGUAAAACAAUACUAAAAACUCUAUGAAUUACCAGAUAAAAACAGACAAAAGCUAGUGCAUCCUAAUAAUAUGGAGACAUUACCAGAUGCCAGCUGCAGUUAAUCCUUCAAAGAAAGCCAAGUGUCCUCCACGCUCUGUGGUAGCCAAUACAAUAUUUGUGUUUGCCCUAUUGAAAACAGAUGUCAAACAUGCACUUAAAUUAUGUGGAAAAGAGUGAUGAAAGAAAGAAAACAAUAUCUGGCAUAUUAAAAGAAACUCCACCUGCAUUCAUCCCAAGGAAUGGCUUCCCUAGUACAAACUGGAUCAUCCAAAGCACUUAUACAGAGUAGUGGCACUGACACAUUUCCUACGUAACUAGCACUGCUACAACGCCUGUAAUAUGUGUCCACAGUCUGGCACAACAGCAAACUCAACUUAAUCACACAAUUAAAUUCUGCUGAGCAAGAAAAAAUGGUAAAUCAUGUGCAUUAGUACCUCAAAUUUCCCAACGAGUCGGGUUGCAUGAUGGUCAAAAUCACGAAUAGAACGCGACUUUUGAAAUCCAAGAUAACAACAAAGCAAACAUUAGUAACGGCAGAGCAUGUGUCACUAUACACUCAAUGUUUCAACACUAAAAUAUAUUAAACACAACUGAAAUGUUUUCUCUUGGUCCAAGCUCAUCCCAUGAGACGUGAAUGGUAUAAAUCAAAUUUUUCAAAAGGGGGCAUGCCACAGGCAUGAAUCUGGACGCUGGGGCAUAUAAUUUCCAUGCCCAGGUGCUGCUCUUGAACAAGACAGCUGCCUUUUUAUUCAUUAAGCUGGUCAUAAUUUCGAAGUUCAUAGACAUUUUUUAAUGUUAUUUUUUAAAAAUUUGUUAUAUAUUUGACACUAUUACUCAAGUUUCAUCAAGUCAAGGACCGCUGGAACAAAAAUCAAAGAAAAAGGAAUCUAGCCAAUGAAAGGAGAAAGAAAAAGAACAAUGAAUACUGAAUAUUCAAAGCCAAUUACAAAAUGAAAGGAUAAAAGAAAAUGGAAAGCUAAUUACCAAAUAUUCUAAGCUAAUUACGCACGCUCAUUAUGUUCUUACAUUACCAUCAUAUGCAUCUACUUUUACCAAGCACAAAAGCAUAAAACUGGACAAUUCCCAACAUUUUUCCCUUUGAUAAGAAGUGGAAGAGAAAAAUAGAACCAAAAACCAACAGGUGUGGCCAAGGUAACAGCAAUAAGAAACAAAAGAAUCCACAGAACAUAACGAAAACAUACUACUGCACCCUUCCACUCUAGAUUGAUUAAGGAGAUAGUACACUGUUUGGACUUAACAAAGUCUUAAGCCCACAUGGCCGACAAGAACCUAACUUUAUUCCAAAGGUCCUCCCUGACUACCUCCCCUUUCCAUAGUCUUCAAAAACUGACAACUAACUGUUUCAGUGACAAAGAUGAAAGAGAACGUACCGUAAGUAGUUGGAUAAUCUGUGGGAUAGGAGUGAAUUCUUUGCUUCUUUAUGGGCUUUAGUAGAAUUAUAGCAUAUUUCUUUGAUGCCAUUUGUUUCAAAAUUGGAAUGCAGCUGUUAUCUACAGCCUAAAGUCUGGGGCUAUGGUGUUGUUUCUGGCUUUUGUUGGGUUGUUUAGUUCGUAGCUUUCUAAUCUAGUGGAUUUUCAAUGCAUUACUUCCUUAAUUAAUUCUGGUCUCCAGCCAAGAAAAAUGAAUAAAUAAAAGAAUCAUUCUAAACAUUUAUUGUUGGUGAAACCUCUGUUUCUGGAAGUGUCAAAUUAUCAAGCCUCCAACUAUUAAAUGCUCCUCUGAGAUUAAUGCUGGGGAUUAAAAAUUAAGAAUGUUGGAACACUUACCUUUUUUAUACCUUCCCAAUUAGCGAGGCGAGAAUAAAUAGGCUGGUGUCUGCAAUAAACAAUUUAAAAAAACAUAUUCAAAUAAACAUUGUUCGAUAAUCAAAACUUUUGAGGUAUUCAAGAAAUGACAUACGAGUAUGUAUGUAACAUAUGUAAGUAGGAAUGAAGCAUAUAAAGUGAUGCAGGAGAUCCAAAGUUUACUAAAUUAAUUAGGAGUUUAUUAUCUUUUAUUAUUUUCUUUAUUAUGUUUUAUUAUUCCUAAGUCUUUUUAGGUUCCUGUUUUUACUAGGGUUUGCUAUUGCCUAUAUAUCUAGCCUUUUAGAAUCUUGCAAGUCAGCUUUGUUAUUUUGAAUAAAAUUAUACAUAGAGUUUCUUUGGAACGUUCUGCCCUAGAACUCAAUAUAUCGUUCCUACUUUAAUCCUACGGCAAAUAUCUCUAUCAUAUCGUUUAUUUUUCCCUUGAUAUCUUCGUUCUCAAGAAUUUUACCCCUGAUCUAGCUGCAACACAGAAACUUUCAGUUUCUGCCCUGCAUCAUAAAGUACAAAUUACAUAAUCUUUUAGGAGCUAUUUACUGCCCAAUUCAAAAGGGAAGCACGUACAUACAAUUGUGCAUAACCUUGAAGGCCAAUCGCAAGAGCUCUGUCAUAAAUUUUUUGCAACAACCUACGGCUUAUAAAUCUAUCACCAAUCUGCAGAGCAAAACCAAAUAGGAUAAGUUUACAUUUAUAAGGAACUACUUCCGAUAAACAAGGACUGGAUUCCAUCAUAACUGUCAAUGAGCAUACAAUAUAUCUAUAAAUGUAAACUAUCUAUCUAUCUAUAAAUGUAAACUAUCUAUCUAUCUAUCUAUCUAUUGACAAGAUAGCAUAUAACUUUGAAACAGGUACCAGUGGUAAAUGCAACAGUUGGAUAUUUUUCUACCUGAAAAGGUGAAAGGAUAUUGAGAAUCAUAUUUAAGGAUGUAUUAACAGAUAUUUCCAUAUUGAGGAUAAAUCCACAUAUAAUCAGAUAAUAACAAAUGAUGCAUAACUUCAGGGAUAGUUUCAACAUCCGGGUACUUGCCCCUAUGUUCAUCCGAAUGCCAUCUCUAUUAUUCAAAUAAAAUAAAUGAGCCAACUCUGAGGCUCAAAAUAACGUCUAUCCACAAGCAUGCUUUAAGGUUCCCGAUGAAACCAAGCAUGCCAGUACGACGAUAAGUCACUUCCUCAUUGUAUAAGAAUCAUUCUGACACUAAGAUUAUAAUUAUUAUCACCCCAUGUCGUGGUUUUUUCUUUUUCAACAAUUACCAAAAAUAUUUUCUUCACAACAAAAUUAAAACACUAACCAGAAGGUCCCAAGGAGAACAUAUUGCUACAGCCCCAGCAACGGGAACACUAUCUCCAUCCUCUCCAAGAUAUUUUACCUGGAAUAAAUCAAAUUAGAGUUAGAGUACUAGAAACUAGAGAGGAAGUUACAUUGAGAUUUGGUCUAAGAACCGCGAACUACUAGAAAUGCAAGUUUAAGUAAGCCUUUUUCUUCUUGUUUUUUUUUUAUCAGGUGUAGAGCUUCAUAAAUAAAAAGACAGACUACAUACAACAGUGGACAAGGUAUAUGCCAAGGAAAAGCCAAUACAAAAACAUUUAGCAUACUACAGAAGGAACAAGAAUCCCUGUCCCUUUACAUCAUCAAAGACCUUCCUAUAUGUUUCCACUCCCACCCAACUCAGGUAACUGCAUUACACCACAACUCCCCAAAAUCUACCCUUCUUCUUUAGGGUUUAGAUAAGACAAAAUUAAAGUGAAAAUAAAAGACAAAUAGUUGCUUCUACAAAAACUUAGAAGAAUAAUAUAACGUGACCACAUAACAUACCAAAAUGUUGGCCCCAAUACUCGUUCCAACAACAAAUAAAGGAGCCUUGGGGUACUCAUGAUGGAGAUGAUUAAUGACUGCCCGCAGAUCCUCUGUCCAACCAGCAUUAUAAAAGCAAUCGGACUGAAACACAUAAUAAUAAAACACAGGGGGAUUACCUAUAUAUCAAUAAACCUAAUGAGAAGUUAUAAUAAAUUUGAAAUUGGCAAUAGCCUGAAAACUUAAUAAGGGAUAACUAAAGCAUGACCCACGGAAUUUCUGCAUUGUGACAUACCACUUCCAUUAGAAUAGAGAUUAAAAUAGGGACUUUCAAAUUUUGGAGCUCAAGAUGACAAUUAACCAUGAACAUAAGCCAACAAAUUGUGGAGGUGCAAAAAAGUGGUCCUGAAAUAGUUCAGCAAUACCACACGCCGAUUCUUUAAAAGUUGAUAAUAAUAUUGCAUAACUUCCUAAUUUCCUAUAUAAAGCCUCUCAAAGAGUGCAGACUGCAAUUUAUCCAUAAGAACUGAACUUAACAGAGUAUGAAAGUCUAAUUCCAACACAUCCCAUCUAGAUGCAAUAAAAUGCUCAUUUGGAUUGGUUUUUUUAUAUUUGUAGAAGCUGUUUGGUGUGAGAUGAUGUUGUUUGUAGUACAGUGAACAGCUUGUCCAGUUUUUCUUACAGAAGUAGGAAUCAGUGCUCAGCUAGGACAUGCCAUGUAGUUUAUCAAACAGGGCAAGGGUUACGUAAUACUUCCCAAGUUCUUAUUGAAAUUUUUGCUUUGUACAGAUUUAAUCCAUAUUUGUCACUCCUAUUACCUAAUAUUUUCAGUUUUAAACAAAAAUGAAUGUUCCUUAAAAAGUAUUAAAGAAAGUAAUAGCUUAUACUCCUUUCCCAAUACUAACAUGGUUCAAGUUGUGUUGUCAUAUGAUUAUACCUCCUACAAAUUACAGCACUUGCUUUAUAAAUUCCAGUAAUUGUGGUAGAACAAUUUUAUCAGUGGCCCCACCAUCGAUGGUUAGUAAGGUUCACUUAGGCUCAUGGUUUGAUCCCAUGCGGUCUGGGUUCAAACCACUUCACAGUACAUACCUUGGCACCUUACUAUUGACUAGAGUUUCCUGUCUCCAAAAGAUUGUAGGACUAGGAAGGAAGAGCAUGCUGGUUCAAUAAAAGCCCCAAAAACAUUUUGAGAGAGAGAGAGAGAGCCAGAGAGAGAGAGAUCUGUAUAAGGUAGCUAACUACGCUAAGGAGACAAUACCCAGUACAGUGUUUUGGAAAUAUCAAAUGUUAUUUUCCGGGGACAAGACAGCAAGAUCCCUAUACACUGUUGGUAAUGUCAAGAAAUAAUUAGUUCUUCAGUUUCCAACAAUUACCCAAGGGACCUCAUAGCUUUCAGUCCCUCCCUGGCCUCAGAUGAGGCAGGAAUCAUUUUCCUAAACCUGCAUUUACCGAGCAUGGGGCUAGAAAAAAAUUUCCAUUCCCAUGGUUUAAGUUCACAAGCAAACAAGGCUUAAAAGUGUUGAUAGAUAUGGAUAUAGACACGCAAAGUAAGUACAUAAGGAAAUUUAAAAAGAGCUGCUUACAGUAAUCGAAACACCACCUAAACCUCUGUGGUUGGUAACAACGACAUUCCAUCCCUUUUGCGCUGUGUUGAAAGCAAGAUGCUUAAUAUACUGCAGUACAAACACCAAACUGCAUUAGUCACUCAUCAUGUAUGCCAAAAAAAAAAACAUCUUUACAUGAAAAAGAAGAAAGCUUGAAAACAGCCCAAGAAGACAGCUGAUAAUAUCAAGAAGUAGAAUAAUGUACAGUAAACCCAGUGUGGCGACAAUCAACGUUCUACAUGAAACUUGCAAUUUCAUAUCUUUCAAAUCAAAGAACUAAUUUAGUAGUCAUAGAAGAGCUAGAGAGAGAGAGAGAGAGAGAGAGAGAGGAGGGAGAGAGACAGACAGAGACAGAGAGACAGAGAGAUUGUAUUUUAUACAUCUUGCGAGAUCAACAGAUACUCCAAAUUAUUGAUUCAUUGCUAUUUUUACCUGAGAUUCCAAGCUUCCACAUUUCCCCUUUUGAGUUUCAAGCAGCAUGUUAACAUCCAUUCUAACUAACUAGUAACUUGAUUUAAGCCAAAACCAUUUAUUUUCUUAGAGAAACCACUUUUAUUGAUCACAGAACUCUACGAUUACUGUGGACACGAAGCAUACAAUUAAGAAAAAAUAAAUUGAUAAACCAGAAAACUAGAUCAAAUGCAUACGGAACAGUAUAUACAAGACAGCUGUACGCCUUAAAAUCCAGUAGAAUAUUGCUAGAGACGCCAGAAUUACCCAGAAAGCAUUUUCAGAUCCAAGAAAAGAAGUAAAUAAAUAGGAAGCUUACAGGAGAUUCAGAGUCGCUUGUCAAUCCAGGUAUGGCUAGCACAAUUGGGGUUAUAUUAUCUUCCGGAAUAGCACUGGUUCUGUCAAUGUUACUUCCCAGAACUGGAGCAAAGAGAAAGGAUAUACAGUACCCGUUAUAAUAAAGCUCUACGUACACACACACACACACAUUUAUGUGACUGAGGAAAGAGGGAAGACUAAAAUCGCAAGUAUCAAGACUUCAGAUAAGAUCCACAGUAUACAUAAAUAAAGAAAUAAACACAACCAGCUACAAUACUAUCAGAUUAUAGACUAAACUAUAAAAUAACCCAAGUGUAACCAAGAUAGCAGAAACAGUUUAGGUCGGAUGUUCCAACUUCUAAUAAGAAAGGAGAUAAAAUAAUACCAAAUCACAAUAUCGUCGUUUGCCAAUUGAAAUAAAAGGAAGAAAGUUUAAUAUAGCUAGAACCCUUACAAAACCAAAUGAAACACCAGAAUCUAAUCUUUUCCUAUCUCCCCACUGUCCUUUCCAAUCCUUGAAAGCCCUUCUGUUUCUCUGCCAGUACAGCACCUAUAGAACAGCCAUUAAGAAACCACCCAAAAAAAUUUACAACCGCAACCAACUCUAUCAUCCUAACAAGGCUGCACAAUCCCCUGAAUUACCAGCUACUACUUCUGGUGAGAUUGAAUCUAGUGUCAUUAACCAAAAGAUACUAUCUCAUACAUACUUGUCCUUUUUUUUCUCAUCAAUCAAGUUCCACCCCAUAAAUACUCGUCCGUUUUUCUUCCAUCCUUAUUUGAAAUAUUUCCAAAGAGCAAAACCAAAAGAUAAUGAAGCAACUAAACAAUGACAUAAUGAACUUGUAAUGUCCAAACUGGAAUCUCAUAAUAAAAUACAUAGAGGGUUGCACUUAUUUAGAACACAACUGCUAGCUGUAACAAUGUUUUCAAUGAGGAAUUAGUGCCAAUUAAUACAUGAACAAAAUAUGCAACAUUUUACAAAAUGUACUACAAAACCAGGGAUCAUUGAAUACCCUGUCAGUACAAAGUAACACGGGUACAUAUUAGAAUAGAAUACAAGAACCAAAGGACAUGUAGCAUACAACAAAAUUUAAGACCUCAAAAUACUAUGAAAAUUAUGAAAAGAAGAGAACAGCAACCAAAUGUAUCAAAGAUGAAACAAAUGCACUCCUAUAAUACCUCUACAAAAUAAAUGCAUGUUAUUUAGUGUCAAGGGGUCAAUAGUUACCGUCGGAGUUCAUUAACCAAUCCAACGCGAUAGUUCCACCAUCAGAGAGAUAAAAAAGUUCUCUGAGAGAGAGAGAUGACAUUACUAUUUGUUAGACAAAAGCAUGAAUCAGGAAAACAAACAAUGUAACCUGUAUUGAUCAAAUAAAAUUUCUCAACAAUCCUACGAGCAAUAGGAUUUCUUAGGCUGCAUUUGUUCCGAUAUACAAAUCGUAAAGAACCAGAUUAAGUUUUCAGGUAGAAUAUGCAGUCCUGCCAGCUGUUAAAUUACAUAUAUAUGGCCCCAACUAGAACACAUUACUUGAUUCAGUGACAAUUUGCACUUGUUACUAAUCCAAUAUGGAAUGGAAUGGAAAGGAGCGGAGAAGAGUACCUUCGGUAGUUGAAAGGCGGAGCGCGGCCGGAGAUGCUGAGGAAAACGGUCUGGAGAUGAGGGCUAGAGAGCCAGGGCGUGACCAAAUAGCGGGAAUGGAGGACGCGGCACUUAGAAACGACGUCGUGGUAGAUGAGGGAGGAGGAGUGGUAGGUCAAGGCGACGGAGCAGCCUCGGAAACCGGUGAGGAGGUCAUGGAGGAAAUGGAAUUCGAGGAAGCGGUAGACGAACACGGCGGAGAUUGCGAGGAAGGCCAAGAGGUAGUGGGAGAUGGGGAUGAGGAGGAGAUCGCUGAGCAAAACCAGGUAGGGGUUGCUGCCUCCGGCGAGGCCCCACCAAUCUGCCACCAUUUUGUGCAUCGAGUGGAAGAGAAGUGAAGGCGUUAAGCUCGGUAGGUCAUGAAAAACUUUUAAAAUGUAAUUGUGUACGUACAAUAGGAAAACACACGAGGUGUGUGUAACAAAAUAUGGUGUGUCGACAUAUAUAUCAGAAACAUUUAUGCAUGGCGGAUCUCAUGUAAAGAGAGUUGUACACGGACAUUUACGCAACUAUUGAUAUUGAACUAUUCAGCCUAAUGUUUUUUUGAGGUGUAAGUUGGUGUGGCACAUUAUAUGACAAACAUUAAUAUUGUUUAGAAUAUAUUUUGAUGUUUUGUGUCGGCAUAUAUAACAAACAACCGAAAUUUGGAUAUGAUUUUGUAGAUAAAUUAUGGUUGAUAUUUGUUUGUCACGUCUCAUAUCUUUUCUGUUAGUAUCAUCUCAAAUCGUCUAUAAAUAUGGGGUUAUUGUUUUCCUCAUCUCUCACAAAUUAACAACACUUCUCAUAUCUCAAUCCUACAAAUCUCCAUUUUGUUUCUUUUUUAUUCGUCAAACUCCUUCUUUAAUGAAUCGUUUGACAAAAUGGUUAUUGAAAGAUCAAUAAGAGGUUGUCACGAGAAACCGCCAAAGAUCCAAUAUGAUGGUUGACACUGCCUAGCGAACCCAUAGUCUGGAAGACGAGGAUUAAGUGAUUCACAAUGAAGUGGUUCUUCAAAAGGUCAUCAGUAUACCGCUAGAACUCAAGAGCUUAUGGAUCAACGACUCAAGGCUCUAUGCUUCAUGGAUCUAUGUAGGUUUGAACCAAGUGUGUUUACAUAGACGGUAUAAAAUACAACCUUGGGUCUUCGACAAGAUGAUGUGCGACGUGACCAACUACGAUACAUAUUUGUUCAGAUUAAAGAUAGUACAUGAGGGUUGAUUUAUCCACUGAACAAAAGCUGACAUGCGCCAUGAGAAUCCUUGCACAUGGCAUCACAACUGACUUAUGUGAUGACUACAUGGAUAUUGCAAAAUCCAAUGCCAUUGAGAAUUUAGAACUUCACCAAAACAAUCUUGAACGUGUACCACGAGACUGAUCUUCACCAACCAACACCGGUAGUUUUGAGACGCCUGCUCGACAAAGUUGUAGAGAGAUGAUUUCCUAGGAUGGUCGAGAGCCUUGAUUGUUUGCACCGGAAGUGGAACAAUUGUACCACUGGUUGGGCAGAGCAGUGUAGAGGCUACAAGGUGUUGUGUUGAUCUUUGGAUGCUAUCAUGUGACCUGUCGGCGCCGAUGAUCUUUGGGGCGGAGGUUUCGGUUUGCGUUGUGGCUGGACUGAGCUUCUCGGUGAUUGGUGGCAUUGAUCUUGGGUGUGGAGGUGAGCGCCCCGCGUUUUCUCGGCAGUGUUCAAGGCGAAUCUAGGCGUUUCAUUGAUAUCUUGUAUCAUACCUUUAUUAUUUAUAUUGUUCGAGUUCAUCACUAUAGUUUCUAUCUAGAAGAUCACUUUCCUCAAGUGUUGCAAUUCUCCAAAAAUGUUCUUCUCAUGCUAGGAAUUCAACAGGGAGAGCUACUAUAGGAAAAUAUCUAGGUAUACACAAUGCAAUUUUCAAUUUUGUUUGGAAGGAUCCCUCAAACACAAAUUAAAGAAAUCAUGCUGAGUACAGUACUGCCAACGAGUUGGCUGGCUGGAAAAAAGGAACUUUUCCUCGUUACGGACACAUGAAGCGAACCUUACCAGUUACAAGUUCAACGUCAGAGGGUGAGAUACCUGUGCAAGUAGACACACAUGAUAGGUGAAAUGGACACAGAGAUAGGUCAUUGGGGUCUCAUAUACUUGGUAACUCGGAGGCUCAGGAGAGAUCAAACUCAAUUACUUGCCUUCAAAUCACAGUACCCCAAAAGAUUUCAAGUGUCUUCAGUGGUCGAAAUGGUAUUAUAGUCGGCAUAUAUUUAACAAGAGAAGCAACAUUUUGCAUGAGAAUCACGCAUCAGACAGGAAACACACAUACCCAAAACUGCAACAAAGAUAUACUCAUAUACCCCAGAGUGCUGUUUACACAAGUACCUGCUGAUUGAUCACGAAAAUUACGCCAUACUUAAAACCAACAAUGUCAAUCCCACCAUACCUAAUUUUUGGCAUCUCCCCGUUUUGUAUGAGGUACAUACAUUACGCCUCUAACAUGUAAACUAAAUCAUGUAACCUAAAUCACAAGUAGAAUCUUCAUGUAUAAUUAGUUUUUUUUUUUUUCUUUUUCCUUUCUCCUAUCUCUUCAUAAAACUACUGUCAACUGCAAUUCAACUUCCGGUUAACAAUUUGGAAGCAUUUCUACAUUGGCAAAUUUCCUUGAAUAGCAUCAUUGAGAAAGAUUGCCUUGCCUUUGCUCUGACCCUCUCUCCAAACCUUAUAUCUUAAUUCCUUGCGGCUUGAGACGUUCCAUAGCUUUAGCAAUGACAGUUUAUAGGGUCCCCUUAUUUCACCAAGUGGACUCAUACAAUACCAUGAAUCAGAACCUUGGAUUUCAACAGCAGGUGCUGUAACUGAAACCUUUAGCUCUUCAUCGUCAUCGCUCAACUCAGUUACCUUGCCUUCAGAUGUGCUAUCAGAGUUCAUCCUUUCUAGUCGAGCUACUUCAGGUUUCACUAGUUCUGCUGCCUGACCAGAUGGAAUGCAAGGAGACUGCGAGCAGUUAUUAAUUGUAGGAACCUUCUUCUUAGGUAUAUCCUUUGCAUCCGCCAGGUCUCUCUCAUGGUCGCCCUUUGAACCUGCAGGGAAGUCAAGAAAAUACAUAAACACAUCAACCUACAGAAGAAGAAACCAAAGGUAGAAUACUGCCCUUAUAUGUGAAUGCAGCAUAUCAGGAGCUUUUGCAGAAACGUAGUUGGAAUUGAUAGGAAUCAGGGAAUGAAGAGUACUGAUACCUUGAUGCUUGACAGCUCAUUAACAUAUUAGUAUGUUCUACACUAGAAAAACCAUAAAUCUGUUUGCUAGGGGAAACGGCUAUUUGUAUUUCUUACCCUAAAAAGUUGCUUCUAAUUUAUUAGUAGGGGUGAUUCGGAAAAAAUAGAAUAAUAAUAUACAGAGACAACUACAACCUACAUGAUCAAAGGAUGCUUAUGAGGAGUUCUGAUACCUUGAUGCUUGGCAGCUUACACACACACACACACAAAUUAGUAUUUCUACACUAGAAAAACCAUAUAUUUCAUUUCAAAAAAAAAAAAAAAACCCAAUAUAUUUGUUUGCUAGGGGAAAUGGCUAUUUGUAUUUCUUCAUGGUAUAAACCCUAAAAGUUGCUUCAAAUUUAUGUCGGGGUGAUUUGGAAAAAUAGAAUAAUAAUAUACAGAGACGACUACAAUCUACAUGAUCAAAGUUUGAAUUAUCUGCCAAUCAAUUCAUUCCACUUGAUACAUUUAUAUUUUUCUGUUUCACUCAUACAAGCAUACCAGUUCGAACCCAAAACUAUCAUGUACAAACUUAAAACCAUUAGAUGCUAUGGACCUCUCAUAUGGCAUUUAAAAAAGAAAUCAAGGACAUGAUCCAACUGAACAAAAAACAUAAACCAUACCAUCUGUACUAAAGCUCCGUUCAAAGUCUGAUGGAGGCUGCUUCUUAUGUUUAGCUGCUGCACCCUCCAGGCCUCUCUCCUGGUGUAACAGUGAACCUGCAGAAUAUUCAGUAAAAUAAAUGUCAAAAAUUCAAACAGCUCACAUGCUCAUCAUAGGAAAAGCAUGCACAUGCUCAUCAUACGAAGAAGCAGUAAAUCUUGAAAAAGGGAUGGUACAACAAGACGACCACUUACAACAAAUCAGAGUGAAUCAAAUCAUUGUCAAACUAACUCAUACCACUUGAUACAAUUUUAUUUCUGUUUCACUUAUACAAGCAUACCAGUUCAUACUUCAUACCCAGAACUAUAACCAUUAGAUGCUACGGACCUCUCAUAUGCCAUUUAAAAAAGAGAUCAAGGACAUGAACCACUUGAACAAAAACAUAAACCAUACCAUCUGUACUAGCGCUCUGUUCAAAGUUUGAUGGAGCCUGCUUUCUCUUAUGUUUAGCUACUGCACCCUCCAGGUCCCUCUCCUGGUGUAACAGUGAACCUGCAGAAUUUUCAGCAAAAUAUAUGUGAAAAGUCCAAACAGUUGACAUGCUGAUCGCAGGAAAAGCAUUCACAUGCUCAUCACAUGAAAAACAGUAAAUCUUGAAAAAGGAAUGGUACAACAAGAAGACCAUUUACAAGAAAUCAGAGUGAAUCAAAUCAUUUCACUAUAAAAUCAGAUUCAAGGUUCAUCACCAAACUAAUUCAAGAGAAAAAGUAGCAUUUUAUAACCAUUAGAAUUGUCAAGAUACAACAUUUUCCACAGUUAGAGAGAAAAAACCUUGUCACUCUCAGAAUAAGAUUGUCAAAAUUCUCUUGAUCCAGAAACUAAACUUCUAAUAGCAAGCAUGUCCAAAUUCUUAUUGGUAAAUGGAAACAAUGAUGACUAAAGAAUAAACUGUAGGAAACAAUACAGUACCAUUCACAUAGAUUUGGAACAAACCUGCAAGCUCUGUUCUGUCAUUUGUGCGCCAUGAGGUUCCAUUGGCUAGAGCAGUGCCAGGAGUUUGGGGAGAUUCUCUGGGGGCUGAUUCGGAAAAGCCAUCAUAUCCUUGUUUAUCCUGGCUAGGGGAGUACUCAGAAAUAGGAUCACAUUUUUCUAUGGCUGCAAUUACUUCCGGAAUCUCAUUUAACAGUCGUGAUUGUUCUGAUGGUGUUUCAAUUAGCAGCUUCUUAGUCAUGUAUGCAUCAAGCGUAGAGAAAAUAUAGGUCAAGGUUCACAUUGUUCAUUCUACUUUUUUUCCUUUAACUUCAAACAUAACUUAUCAGAGACAAACAAGGGAACAAUGGAAAAAAGACCUGUCCGCUAAACCAAUAAAAUCAGUGAAAGUGUGAAACCAUGAGAGCAUGCAGUACACUAGCAAGAAUACAACAAAUCACAUCAUAAGAAAACAUGAAGGAAAUACAAACAAAUAGGUACCCCUGUAUCCUGAACUAAUAUAAACAUCAAAACCAUAAGGAACACAGAACAGAACCUUUCCCAAUAGAUGGGCCACUUCUCCCUUCACAUCAUCAAACACCCUAAUAUCUCUCCCCCCACCCAAAACCAACCAACAAAGAACAUCUCCCACAAUUCUUCUGAAGAACUUAAUGGGCUCUCAUAUAGUAAUGCAUUACACAUUGCUGGGUCAUCCUAACUCAAACUAGCCUCCUAAAAAUCUUUCACAAUAGACACGCAGGGCAAUGAAGCAGCAGGUGAUUGCUUUAGUAUAAAUGGUCAGGCCCAAGGCUAGUAAAGUUUAUUGUAUCCGGGGUUUGAGAUUCCUGCAUUCAUUAUAUAGCUAGUUGUUAGAGUUUGACUUCUGAGCCCAGGUAAUGAAUCAGGCUUUAUGCGAUUUCUUGCUACCAAAGGAGCUUACAGGGGAGGACCCACCGACCAGUUACUAGGAAUAGUCAGGUCCAUGCUUUACUUCCAUGUCGANNNNNNNNNNNNNNNNNNNNAUAAAAAUAAAAUUGAUAUAAGGUCCAAACAAUUGAAAAUAGUUUUGACAGACAAUUUGAACUUCCAUAAAUGUAUAUUAUGACAAUGUCAAUGAAUUAAGAUUUUCCUACUUGUGUCAUUACUCCACCUUUUUUGCUAUAUAAAUUAACUUAAUCAAGGAUAUUCUCUCCUCCAUCCUUUUUCAUUUGCAUGGUCAAUGCGCUUCUGCAACAGAGUCAAUUCUCUUGCAAGCCACUGAAAUUUUUCACAUAUACAUAAAAGAUACAAAUAAAUACUGGAGAAUAAGAAUGUCAAGAUAAAAUCUGAGCUUAAAAAGCUGUUGGAUAGGAGAGUUGAAUAGCAAUACUUGAAAUAGCAGCAUAUGUAAUUCUAACCAUACAUACAAAGGCCUACUGAGUAGAUAGUCAAAUUCAUUCCAUAGUUACGUAGUGUGCAGAUAUAGACACAAGCAUUUACAAAAUGCAAGACACAUCUUUGAUAUUUUCAGAGGCCUAGGCAUUAUAUAGUCUGAUUCACUCCAUAGUUACAUAGUAGAAAUUAUUAACAGCAUUGGAACAUGUUGAUGGCAGUUAACAUGACAUCAGUAAAGCGGAAAAUGAAUUCUUAAAAGGAUGAAUUAUGAAAACUACAAGCCAAAACAGUUUCCAAGACGGUAAUGGACAUGCUUUCUUUCUGUACUUCUUCAACUUUUAGGCUGAAAAUUUGAAUAUGACAUUGUCUUUCUUCAAGCAGACUUUCUGAAAACUUCGUGAUGAAAGUUUUUUACUUUCUACUCUUUCAGAUCUCAUCAGGUAAAAAAGUGUUUCUAACCUUAGAGAAAAAAUAAAUAAAAAAUACAGUAGAUAUGUGCAGUUGUAGUAUAAACUAUAAAGUUUCGAUUUAUCACUAAUAGAUUUGAAUCAUAAUUACUAUCCACAAACAAUGAGGGAUGAAAAUGUCUUAAGGAAGCCUGCUGUCCAUUUGCUGGACAUCUGAAGCUGUUGCUACAUUUUGAAUGAACUAUGACUAAAUAAAAUUCUAUUUUGAGGUCGAAGCCAGAAACGUACAUGCUUUGUUAUAUUCUCAUGUAGACUUCUAGCCUUCUGUUCAAACUCCACCUAUUAAACAAGAAAACCCUGGUUAACUGGUUGCAAUACCAACAAUAACUGGAAAAAACUCCAGAUAUUAUACAAGCUAUACAAUCUAAAUCUUAACCAAAACGUAAAGACCAGUGAUAAAACUAUUAAUGGAAACCAAAUGCUUACAGAAUAAGAAACAAACAGUAACAGCAUAUUUGUGUCUCUGGGGUUGGCGACUGUUCCAUUUGUAGGCAAUCUAAUCUUACUGUAUUCUUGCCACAUCUUCUUUCAAUAUAAAAUCUAACUAAGUAGAUUCUAAUGUAGUGUUGUCUCAACUAAUUUCCAUACACAAUCUAAUAACUAGAUUCUAAUGUAUAUUUUGCCUCAGUUACUCAUAUAAAUCAUAAAGUAAAGUGACUUGGAUGAUUUAUAUGAUUUAUGGUUCGAUUUGAGAUAUCUGAAGAUUGUAACUGUAGAGGAGAUUUACAAAUGAUAAGAGCAUUUGGUCCCUGGAUGUGCCUAAUUAAAUGAGCUUUCUGCUGUAAAACUAAAUGUAUUCCAUACAAAUGAUAUAAUUGAUCCGAUUAGAAUAUCUAUGCAAUUGUGUUCAUAAAACUCAGAAACGAAGCACUUGACCCGGCAAAAAAUAUAAUUAAAAAAUAUCCUUCAAAAAGUUCAAACUAUGCUUGAAAUUAUAUAACUUAUAAUAGUUCAACAGUCUACAACAUCAUUACAGGAAGCACAAUAAAUUAAUUACUAACUACACAUAAAAUAACUUAACUUACAAUAGUUUGGAUUAGUCCUUGGGCCUAGGAAGCCUUUGGGAUACAGUGAACAUGUUCAAAAAAAAAAAAAACUUACAAUAGUUGGCUUUUUAAGGAGGCCAUUAUUUAUUCUCUGCUGUAGAUCUUCACAUUCUUCCUGCAUGUAAUACUCAACUUAGGUUUAUUCCCAAAAACAUAACUGCAAACUAUAAAUUUAUAGUAACUUCCAAUUGAUUCAUAACAUCAGGACUAUAAUUUUACGCUAUGAAUUAAAGAAGAAUCUUUAUGAGAAUUUAUAAGGCAUGACAAGCACACAAUGAAGUCCCAGUAAUAACAAAACUUUUACAAGUCAUAUCUAACAAUACUUAGGUUCUCACUUCUUACAUUGCUCCACUCUGGAGUCUGGACAAUCUCAGUUUCGGCACAGAAACUUUACCCAAAUUAUUUAUUUACCCUAAUUGUCUCUUGUAGUUUCUGUAGUAUAUACAUAUGGGAAUUUUCUUAGGUACCUACCUGUUUGUGAUACCUACAUUUACUAAUAUGACAACAAAUUUGUUGUCGUUUUGGUAAAAAUAGUCAUUACUUGGGUAAUUUUUGUUAUAUUAGAGAUAAUUACUUAACUUAAGACAAUUUACAAGUUUAUGAACAACUUGUUGUCGUUGUAGUAACUUGGUUCAAUUAUAUGUAAAUGUGUAAAACAAAUGUAGUACUUUUGUUGUCAAUGUUGUAAAUUUUACUCAGUUAACUUGUAAUUUUUGUUCAAUUAGUGGUAAAUGAGUGUGUUAUACAUCCCAGUACCGUAGACAACCCCUACACAUGUAUAUAAUAAAACCUUAAAUAACUUUGACCUUUGUAUUGGAAAUGGCAGUCUAUGUCUCUAAUUGGAAAAGGAAAACCAAACAGUCACAAUGAUAUUACCUUACAGAAGUCAUCAUCUGACAGCUUGGAAACAGGUAAAUCUUUGUGAGUACUGAAACAUUGCAAAAGUAUUUCUGUAUCCUCUCUGUCUGUCCUCAAACUUUCCUUUAUACCUGCCAGGAUAAGAAUAACACAAAACAGAACAUUAAUCAUAUAAUGAUGAUACACUGAGGAAAAGUGGCAGGAUCACAGUUUGUGCAUUCAAGAAUCAGCAGCCUCUUCUUUAAGUGUUGAACAUAUAAAAAUACCAUAUCACGUGUGUAUCCUGAUCCUUGGCUUUUUGCAUCAGAAUAAUCAUGAUUCUAGUCACUUAAAUGAAAAUAAGAGCAAAAUGCAUUCUGAUACAUGGAGCAUGCAUAUACACAUUGAACAUCUUUUGACAAAACGAGUUUCUGACUCUUUAGUUUCAUUGAUUCGAGCAUACCUAUUGGGAAAUGAACUCAAUACCCUUUCUAUUUAUAAAGGAAGCUCAAGCUAUAUCCAGUCAAGAUUGUGUUUAGCACAUAUAGACAUGCUUCAGCCUUAAGAACGUUAAAUUAAACUAACCAGUGGUUGAUAAGGUAAAUUCCUCUUGUUUUCUGUACAUAUUAUAUCUUUUCUAUAAAUUUUAAGAGACAAGCUAUAGUAUUGGAUGUAUAUCCUACUUUUAUUUUAUAUGUACUUGAACAAAAAUUACAAUGUUAUGAAUUAAAUUACAACAUUGAGAACAAACUUACCAAAUUUAUUUACACUAUUUACAUGAAGUUAAACAAAAUUACAACUAUGAGAACAAUUUGUUCAAAAAGUUAUAAAAUGGUUGUACAUUUUGUAAUUACAAUUAUUAGAACAAGAUUACAAACAAUACGACUCAGCAUUACCAUUUUGACUACAAAUAUGUUGUCACAUUUGUAAAUGUAGGUAUCACAUACGGGUAGGUACCAUAGAAUUUCCCAAAUUUUUAAUAUGGCAAGACAACCUUGAUGACAGAUAACAAAUAAAUCUCAAAAGAUUAAGCUGUUAGGAAAUAAGACAAUAAGGUAUGAUUAGUUUUGAGACCCUUUCUCACGUCCAUCCUGUGGGAGAAACUGACAAAUGAGGACAGAGUGGGAAAUGAGGAUUGAUUGUUUCGAACCUAGGGCCUCUUACAAAUCUACAACCCAAAAUCUGAUACCAUGUUAGACAAACUCUAGAACCCAGAAGUUUUGAUUUUUCAUGGAGAUAGUCAAUAUUUUAUAGCACUUCGAACCUGGACAUUUGAGAUCUUUUGUUUUCUCAUAAUAAGUUAUAGUUACACAAAUGGUAAUCUCUUCAUAACAAGACCAAUGCUACUCCCCCAGUUGACACCAAGACAAAUCUGUACUAUAAUAUCAUGGGUGUUUUACUGAAGACAUCUACAACAAGCAGAGUUGAAUUUUUCAGAAUUAGAAGAAUAUAUCACUAUGAUAAUUACCUUUAAUUUGCAAGAGCUGGUGAGAGUUCUUCAGUGAAUAAUCAUUUGGGUCACAUUUAACUCUCACAAAACUUCCUGUUACUUUCUCACCAAAAGUCUCCGGUUGCUUUAACAAUUCCUCCACUAAGGUCCUCUUCAGGUACACAAGCUUGAUGUUUUCAGGAACAAUGGAAGCAAAACAGCUUUUCUGCACAUCUGGUACUUUAGGGCUCAACUUGAUCUGCCUUUUACAGGUACCCAUAAAGCUCUCCUCAUUGUCUUCGGAACUACUUCCACUCUCAUCCUCCUCCGUUGACUCUUCCAGAUUGUCAGCAAAAUGGGAAGUCAGAAGGUUGUAUAUACUAUUUUUAAAAAAUGAUUUCCGUCCAAAAAGAGACUGCAAGGUUGCAUCGCAAAUUACUUUCUUCUUCUUUUCUGGGUCAAAAAGCUUGUUUUCUUUACAAUAGUCUGUAACUAUAGAGGUGACUUCAUACUGUGAUAACUCCGUGGAUGUAUCUUUACCCAUGGAAGCAAGGAAUUCUAGGAGAGACUUUGAUCCCCAUCCUAUAAAUUCUCUUUUCUUUGCUUCUACUUUUCUUUUAACUGAGCACUGUUUUCCCUUGGAUCUCUUCUUUUUGGUAACUGGCAUGUAUUCUUCUCCACUUUCCACUUCAUCGUAAUCAGAUACCUGAGGGUCACUUUCUUCAUCGGAUUCUGAAAUUUUUUCUUCUUUUUUACGAAUCACAUUCGAAUCAAAGUUAGACGUGUAAUUCUUUCCCUUCUUCAAAAACGUUUUUGCAGAGUAGACAUCUUCUGCAGACAAGCGUUCUUUCUUUUUCAUUAUCUGCCAAUAAUCCUUAAAUAAGUACUCGAAUGUAUUUAUAUCUUUGAAGUCAACUCUGCCCUGAAAUGGAAAAGAACAUACUGUGAGGUGAGAAUACGAAAAUCUAACUUAUAUCAUCAAACCAAAUAACUGACAGGCUCCACUUCCUCACAAAUAAACAAAUCGACAAAAACAUAACAAAAAACGACGAAAAAUAAAAAAGCCAACAAAGAAAAAGGGGAAAAAACAUUUUGAGAAAUACAUUAUAACCAAAGUUUGUUAAUCAAUGUACUCUUCCCUUUACAUAAGAUUUUGUUUGCAUAGAAUUCCACAAGUAUGAAGGAGCUUUAUUAAUAAAAAUUAACAAUACACCAAAUUCCUUCAAAGAGAUUACAGAAGAAUGGAAUCAACCAUCCACCGAACAUCAUUGGAAUAUUAUACAGGCAUUAAAAUGUUAACAGGGACACGGAUUGCCAAGAGUUUUAUUAAGCUCUCAAGCUUAUGCCUGCACAAAGGUCUAAGUCUUUGAGCUCUGAUAUGAUCAAAUAAUAUAAGAAUGGAAUAUACCAUCCAACGCCAUGCUAACAUUAUCUAGGAAUUCAAAUGGACGGGACAGUGUUCACAAAGUUUGCCGAGUAAAACUCAAAUGCCUAGGCUCUAUGAAGUAUAGCAACUGUAGAUCUGGAGGCUUACAUGAGAAAGAAAAAUCAUAUAGAAAAGCUGAGUUGUAUCAAAAAUCCAAAACUAAAUUUACAGCACUUGUUCAACAGUACUCCAAAAAGGAAAGAAAAUUUUCUUAGCUGUGAACUUCCCGUUGCCGCUAAGCAUCAAGGGUUCAUUAACUGUACAGUUCUAACUACUUCCAUAUUUUUGUCCAGACCGAGUCUGAUGGACUUAUAUGACAGAAUAUUGAAUAGAGAUACAAAUAUUAAUGGUCAAAUAGUAUCCACUGGAGCUGAGGAAUCAAAAAAUUCAGAGAAGGAAACAUAUGCAGUACCAUUAAUUUUUAAAGUGGCAAUUAAUUACCUUCAGAAAGGGCAUGGUAGCAAAUAACAAACUCAAAAACCUUGGAAACUUAUACACAUGGGGAUGUAUAUUGUCAAUGUAUUUCAGCAUUUGUGUAUGUAAAGGAAACUAAGAGUCGCCUUUCCUUAAAAUUAAUGACAAGUAAACAUACCCCGUCAGAAUCAACAUCCAAGUUGUCUUCAAUGAGCACUGCAAGCUUCAAACAAUGAUUACAAAAUCCUCUUUCCACUCUAUGAACCACAAACUCAGAGUCACAGAGGCAGCGUCCGCAAACAGCUUGUGGGCAGCAAAAGCAUUGAAAUUUCGCAGCUUUAUCGCACAAGAAGCAAGAAUGCCAUUCUGAAAUGCAACAUUCAUGAUAGUAAUGCAUAAAAAGGAUAACAUUUCAGUGACAAGAACAUGUCAAAGAGACAUAUAAAACAUUGAAAAUGACACAAAAACAUAAGCAGCAGCAGCAGCUUACUGCAGUUCCAGCGCUGCCCAGACUCCACAAAAGAUUCGUCUUUUUCCACACAUUCAGGAUGAUAAGCUUUAAGGCAAUUCCUGAAACAUGAAAACACAGUGCCAAAAGACCAAAAGGAAUGAGAAAGUAUGAAACUUGAGAAAAAAAAUAUAUAGAGAAUAAGACACUGACUUGUAGUCGCAGACCAUGAGCAGUCCCCCAUCUUUGCAGUGGAAGCAAACCUCUUCGCAAAUCUCUUCUUUCUUUGCUUUACUCUUCCUGGGCAUUUUUUUUUUUUUUGUUGAUCUUACAGAGAAAAGACGGCCCCUGAUUGAAGAGAGUCAAAGAGAAAAGCAAGCGCAGCAGAACUAGCUAAGACGUCUGCGAGAGAAUUGCCUUCGCGAUUGGUAUAGACUAAUAGAGAGUGAGAGUGAGAGUGAGCUUUCGGAAAUUGGAACCCACGAAAAUGCCCUGCACUCAAUACUAUAAUAUUUUUUGGUCAAAAUAGAGUCCUUUCAAGCUCCCUGAGAUAUAGAGUAUAGACCCAAAAAACCAAAAACAUAAAACUGUCGGUGUCAGAUUGUUAGGUGAAUCAUAGUGUUCAUACCCUUCGGUAAAGUAGACAAGAUUAGAUUAGGAUUUUAAACUAGAUUAGAUUAGACUAGAAUGCAUAGGAGAUAACAUCUCUUCAAGACAAUCUUGCGUUUGUGCGAUAGGAUUAGGAACCUAUAACUGAAAAACACGUUUUUUAGGGCGGAUGGCUGCCUUAGGCGAACUGGGCGGCCUUAUUUUAGAACAGUGUCUAAAAAAAAUUUAAAAAAAAAAAGAGCUCAUCGAGAAAUUAACUGAAUCAAUCUCGAAACCCAUCCUCCAUUUUUGAGAAUUCAUUCUAGACCAAAAACCACAUUUUCAUGAUUCUAGCAUCUAUCUUUACCAAAAUUGAAAUACAAUUUCAGAUCGGAUGUUGAUGAUACAAUCAUUCACGGCGGCAUUUAAAGAGGUGAUGUCGGUGGUGCUCACGAAGGUGAAGACCAUUGCGUUGUCAAUGUGUUACAGGUGUCGGCACAAGUGACAUUCAACAUUACGACAAUACCGGCUUGAAUAUGGUUGAAUACUACUGAUGGUGAGUUGAAGAUUGCACGGCCUCUGAAAUCUUAAGCGUUUAUAGCAUGCGAGUCAAGAUUGCAACUUCAAUUAAGAUGGAGCGAUAAUGUCGUUGGAAUGAGCAAUGAGGGGCUAAAUACACAUUUUCCCUGUUAAACUUAUAAAUUCAAUCAAAACUGUUGCUCUAUUAAAUUGCAAUUAGAGAUCAAAUGGUCAAAAUUGACAAAAGCCACAUCAACUUUCAAAUCUGAAAUUGACAGAAGCAUUUUGACAUCUCCAUCGGAGAUACUCUCUAAAUGACAUUUAGGAGUCAUUAAAAUAAAAAUGACACUGAGAGAAGGCAAUGUCAAAUUUUCCUUACUCUCUUAUACUUGUCCAAAUAGUACGCACACCAAGCAUACUCUUUUCAAAUGAUUGUUUAAUACAUUGUAAAUAUUCAAAUUAGACAAUUUUAUUGGAGAUGAGAUUAAUUAACCAAAUUAGCAAAUGCUAUUUUUAGCCUUGUCACAAGUUAAAUUUUGAAUUUGAUAAAAAAAAUUGACAUCUUUAUUGAAGAUGCUCUAAGGUCAUGCGGUUAGAUUUUCAAUCAAAACAAAGAUAAAAGAGAGAUAUUAAUGCUCAUCCUUGUCAUAUACUCGUUCACACGAAAUUCAUAAACUACUGGAUGAAAGGAUGAAGCAAUAUACAAAGACAAGGAUUUUGGGGUCAACCAUGCAAUGGUUGUAUCAUCAACUGUAUCAUGCUUACGCGUCGAUACAGAGUAUUGCUAUAUAUGCCAUUAACAAAUGGCAAUACAGCAUUUUCUAUUUCAAUUUUUGAAGAAAGAUACCUACUAGGUAGUACUUGUACACUCUAGUACAAGACACAUUAAGAUAAGAACUGGAAAAAUUAAGUAAAAGAAAGCUACAGUUAAAACUCUCUUGAUUUUGAUCGGGAUCAAUGGAAUGCAGCUGCUGCAGCUCUUGCAUUCUUAGCUGUUGGAAGAUCCGGGGGAGGAGAUGGUAACAUAGUGAGAGCUAGGAUACCACUCAAUACAGCGGCGAUGGCUCCAACCACAAAUGCCGGCAAAUUACCACCACCAAAUAGAGCAUCCCAUGGUCCACUUGCUACUGACACUACCAUCUGCAUAAAUCGAUCAAAAAAUUCAUAUGAGAAAUCGAAAUUAAUCAUCAAAACCGAAACCUCUUCGAUCUGUUGCAUGCAGCCAGCGCGCGCGAGGUUUAUUACCUGUGGCACAACAAUUGCAAGAUUCAAGACUCCUAAAGAAAGCCCUGCAAAAUCCAGAGAUCCGAUCCAAGUUGGUCAGUUACAGCAUUGUUCUUCAUGUGUAACGUACGUCCAUAUAUGAUGCAUCUAUAAAUAGUUUGGUACUGUUGGAAACUCUACCUUGGCCUGCACCAGAAUUGCUGCAAAAUAUGGAUGCUAGAGCAAAGGGAACACUGUAGGUUAUCUGUAGGUUCAUGUAUAGAAUAUCAAUGAAGAUCGAGAUCAACAGGAGGAAGCAGAAAGAAACAACACUAUAGUUGCUACAAAACAACACACCAUAACCAAACUGGGACCAAAAAUCAAUAGACUGUAAAAGUUGGCCCAGUGCAAAUAAAUAUUACAGAGUCGACCAAAUUUGGCUGGACUCGACAGAAGCACAAGCAUUGUCAAGAAGUUUCAACACGAAACGAAACCGCUUGCUGUAAAGUCUAAACUUGUAAACAUUAAAAUAAUUAAUCUCAUGGUUUUCCCAUAUUAAUUUGAUACGGCAUAUUAAUUUGUUUCAUAAUCUCAGACAACAAAAAUACUUGUUUCAAAACUGGGACAGGUUACUGAGGUCAGUAACCAGAGAAAUGUAUUAUUAAUGAAUCAUGUAACAGACCUAAUUAAACCACCGUCCAAAUACGUGAGUAUGUCAUAUGUAUGUAUGUGUAUAUUAGAAGUAGUUGUAUUAUUAUUUGUCGCAGCUAGGUCAGAUGUAAAGGUGUGGUGAAAUGUGUUAACCUUAUCUGCAUGCGUUUGAAUAGAAACCAAAAAAUGACGCAUGUAUCACGCAGAAAUUUAUGCCCAAGCUAGAGAGAGUUUAAUUAACUGCUACUUACCGCCUGAGGUAUACCCAGGAGAGCAAAGAGAGCCAGCGCACCCGCCUUGAUACCGGCCGGGGGCGGAGGUGGCUGAGCUCCGGAGACUGAAACGGCGCCGUGUCGAGCGGACUGAGCUAGUUUGGUGAUCAAGACAGUCAUGGCCAAACAGAUGGCGAGGAGAAAGUUGACAAGGCCCCACAAGCGCUUGACCCCACCAAGGGCACGCGCCAGAAUCUCAAUCCCGAGAGAGACGCAGCCCAAGACGACGGAGUUGAGCAUGAGGCCGAGGGCACCGGCUCUGACCCCCAAGUCAUACAGCCUGCCAUUGCCGACCUCACCUCCGUACACCUCCCUUCCCAUCCAGUCAGUGUCGAACAGUAAGAAAGGGAACCAUGCAAUCCAGUUGAGGCAUGUCACCACCAACAGGAUCCACAUCGGUCUCUGCAGCUCCUUAAACGCGGCUACAAUUUCGGUGAAGAAGGGCACCGCUGGUGCGAUCUCCUCAUCCACGACUUCCGGAGUCGGCUCCGGGACGGAUGUGAGUGCGAGGAUGGUGAGGGCGAUGAGGAGAGCGAUGGAGAGGAAGAAGCAGGUUUUGAGGUUGGCGCAGUAGACGUCGCAGGCUUUGGUCAUGGUGAAGGGGAGCAUCUUAUGGAGAUGAGUGUAGGACCCGGCGGAGAAUCCGAGGACGUUUCCGACGGCCAUGAAGAAAGAGUAGAACCCGUUGGCGGUUCGCAUUUUCCUGGUGUCGGAGCCGGAGAUGUCGGCCAGGAGCGCACGGCAGGGGCCUUGUAACAUGUUGUUGGCCACGUCGAGGAUCCAGAACCCGACCACGAACACGGCGAUGGCGCGUGGCUUGGUGGGCUUGUCGAGGGAGUCGCCGAAGAGGUGGCCGAGGUCGGCGGCGUAGCCGAUGAGGAAGACGGCGAUGGCGACGAGAGAGGAGCCGGCGACGAUGAAGGGACGGCGUCGGCCGCAGCGGUCACUGUGGUAGCCGACGAUGGGUUGGACAAGCAUGCCGGAGACGGGGCCGCAGAGCCAGAUGAAGGCGGCCCAGGUGUGGGGGAUGCCGAGGAGCUGGACGUAAGGGGUUAAAAGUGAGAGCUGUAGAGCCCAUCCGAAUUGGAUUCCGGCGGCAAUGGAGGCGACCAGAAUGAUCUUUCUCAAUGGGGUUGAUGGGAUAGUCUGAGGCUCUGGCUCUGGCUCUGGCUUUGGCUUGUGGAUGGUUUCGACUUCCAUGGUUGGGUGGCAACCCUAAUUUCUUACAAGCAAGCUAGGCCGGGAUGUGGAAAAUGAAGUGAGAUGGAGGGAGGAUGAGAGUGAUGAGUGAGAUCGAGGGGUGCAUGGAAAUUUAAGGAGGGCGAGGUGGUGUUGGAUCAAGGCAACUGGCAAAGGGUGGCGGCCUUAUCCGUUUAGGAGUUAAGCGUCACAGUCUGAGACUCAUGCCAAGUGUACAAAACGCCAUUACUACUCUGUUUCCUUUCUCGGAAUUCCAGACCUUGAUACCUUCCUUCAUUUUUAUGCAGUUUCAUCUCUAAUUUCAAACUAAUCAAUAGAUUUAUAAUUCGAAUCGAAGGUAAUCUAGUUACAACAUUUUCUUGCCAUCUAUCUCAUUUGGUGUCACCAUAAAGUCUUUCCCUUUGAUGUAUAAACUUUUCUUUCUCUUUCUUUUAUCUUUUUGGACCAAAAAAAACUUUCAUUACUUUCCAUCUUAACUCUCUUUGAUUUGAGGUAAACAUGUUCAAAUUGGUGUUGGAAGUUUUAACUUAUAGAUAUAAUUAAUGGCAUCUGUAAUGAGAACUCUUACGUUCUCUUAAAGUUUAAGGUAAAUUUGUUCAAAUUGCAUUAUAUGGUAGGUAGGUGUUUAUUAUAAAAGGAUCACCUGAACGUACUGUUGAUGUUAUAUACUUUUUUUUUUUUUUCUUUUGGGAUAACCGAAUCAUGCAAUUCAAAUAUUCAUUAACAUUUGCUCAAAUGGAAAACGUUCAACUAAUCGAGAGAGUUUAACGUCCACUACUUGGAAUCCGAGCCUUUUCCUUAUGAACUUCAAGAAUUACAUACCUCUUGUUCAUCGAGUAACUCAAGUCAUUGAAGUCCAACAAUUUAAUUGUUAAUAACUUACCAGGAAAGCUUAACUGUAUAGGAAAUCACAACGAUUAAAUGCUUAUCUUUGAAUUAAUUGUCGAAUCAACCUUUCCUAUUUUUACCAGGAUUGACCAAGUUUGGCCUGUGUUUUACCCAUCAACAUUAAUACUAGUACCCUAAAUGGAUAUCAAUAUAACAUUUAACACACGUGUAUACUUUUACUUCCAAUCUGCAUACACUUAACAUUUUAGUCGCAUAGCAAUGCAAUCCGUAUACACUUAAAUUACAAUUACAAUAUUGACAACAAAAGUUAUAACAUUGCUUUUAUACAUUUACAAAUAAUUGAACCGAGUUUCCACAUCAACAACAAUUUAUUCAUAAAAUUGUAAAAAUGUCAUAGGUAGAGUAAUUACUUCUAAUCGAAGUAAAGUAACCUAAAAAUGACUCUUUAGAACAAUGACAAUAAUUUUGUUGUAAUAUUUGUAAAUGAGGGUAUCACAUACCUGUAUGCACCUAAGAAUUUUCAUUUUUGAGAAAGUAUAUAAUUUCGUUAACUUAUCUAUGGCUAGAAAAGACACGUACAUCAAGUGAUGUCUUCAUAUUAGAAUCAUACAGGGCACAAGCCGCUAGCCUAUAAACAAUAUGAAAUGAAACUAAUCGAUCUAUCAACUCUAUGAAACGUAAAAGUAGUCGCCUAAAGACCUAAAUUGAUAUACAACUAACGAACAUAGAAUUAAACAGGAAUAAUCUUUAGUCAAAUCUAGACAAUUGUAGGACUAGAUCAGUAAAUUAGAUGAAACCCCUAGAUCUACUGAUGGGCUGGGCCAGAAUCAAGCAAUUCAAAGAUGGUCAGCAACCCGCCAUGAACAAACAUACAGCCUUAUACUUAAUUCAAUGUCGUUCCAUCCCGGUCAAAAAGCCAUCAUUUCAUAGCAAAACUAAGUUGUAAUAGUUGUUCCAACAAACCAAAACUUCACCACUGCCAUCAUGACUAAACGAAUCACACUCCCCUUCCGAACACCUCCGCAUCCAAUGAAACACCGAAAAUUCUUCUAUGCACCAAGAUGUAAGUGAACCGAGCGCGCAACUAAUAUGUAAUAUUUUGAUCUGGUCAUUUACGUCGCACUACAUACAUAUAUACUAAUACCGUUAACAAAAUUGAAACCUAAAAUAUAUAGUUUCAAGUGUUUCCAACUAAGGAGGUGAGACACUAGGUCGAAGACUCGAAGAAUAUGUACUCUUAUUAUGAGUGUUUAAUUUGAUCGAAUCAAAAAUGAAAUUAAAAUGAAAGAAAUUAGGGUCUUUAAUCUUCAUUCGAUCUUCUCAUACAGUGAUUUGAGCACUUACACAUUAAUGGUGCAAGUGCAUAUUGGUGUGUAGAAUCCGCUCCGAUGAAACACAAGCUAAACCCUCUUGCAAACCGCAACAAAACUUAGUAGUUGAUCCUUGACUAGAGAAUUGAACCACAAACAAGCUAGCUAGGUACACCGUCUAGAAGCCAUCACUCCCAUCAGUUCGGCAUGUGAGUGACACUGCCCAAAAUACCCGUCCGACAACGACAUACUAAAGAAGCGCCGCCGAACGUAGAUUAAAAUUCUCUACUUUUUUUUUUUGUCUAACUGCUAGAGCGACACAAAUUUAUAGCAGUGUGUAUAUAAGGUAAGUGGUUUUGAACACCAUACAAUGUUAUUAUUGGGUUUACUAAUGCUUUGGUUGCUGAAGCUACAACAUUGCAAGAAGGUCUCCAUACUAUGUUCUUGCACCGGUUACCGGUAUACAUACAAAUGUAGUGCAUGGUUGAAGGUGAUGAUUUGAAAGUUGUGAUUGAUUGUCUUCGGAGUAAGGUAAAUAGGCGAAUACCCCAUGGUGUACCGAGACGUUAACACAAGACAUCCAUCAGCUGACUUCUUUUUAUCUAUUAUGUUGUCUAUUGACUUGUCCAUCGGGAAGCGAGUUUUAUAGCUGAUUGGUUAGCUAACUUAGCUCAUGGGCAGGGGUGGAGCCAUGAUUAUAUAUUAAGGGGGGCCGAGUUACAAAGUGAAAAUACAUAAUAUUCAACAAUUGAGUAAUUUUAUAUGAAUACAAUAUCAAAAGGUAAUUAACUUUUAUGUAUUGGACAGUUAAAAAAUAAGUUACUAAACUGGAAAGAAAAAAUGAAAUUUGGAAUUCAUUAAAUACAUAGAGAAAUAACUGAAAUGAUUUUAUCAAUUACAAAGUAUUUGUACAUAAUAGAAUGAUAAAAAAGAAAUUAUUCAUUAUGGUGAGUUGAUUAAAUAUUAUGGAUAGAGUAUAUGACAAGAGUUGAUUAAGGUAGGAGAAAUAAAUUGGAUAAAUUAAACUUAGUAACAACAAAUGGUGUUUAUAGUUUAAUAGGAAAGGAACGGGGCCAAACCUCUAAAUUAGAAAGUUUUUACAUCUAAAUGAUCUAAUUAUAUCAAACUCCUUAAUAAGUAAAGUCUAAUACACAAGUUCAAAAAAAUUACAGGGGUGCCUUAGCCUCAAUAGAGCUCCGCCUGUGCUCAUGGGUCACAGUCUCCGUCAGUUCUUGCCUAUACUCUUAGUGUGUGUCCUAACAUUCCAUCUAGAUCAUCAAAAAAAACAAAAAAACACGGUUCUUUACGCUUAAAUGCUUAAUGAAAUAUACCAAAUUGGGCCAUACGCCACCAAAAAGAAAAUAUAUAUAUAUAUAAACGUGUCUUAGAAGUUAGACCACACAACCAAUCUUGGUAAAAAAGAAGCAGCAUCACAAUUUGCCACCACGAGUAACCAUUCACGCAAAGUAGGAUCCUCUAAUUUCCAACUCCAUGAUAACCAUUAAUUGUAAUUUGUUUCUUUCGAUCGUCAGGGAGAGAAGCGGAAGGUGGAAACCUCUGGUAAGUUGGGUAAAAUAAAUACUGCAUUGGUAGUGCAUCUGAUCCUCAUACUCAAGCUGGAGGAGUGGGACUGAUCAGAAGAGAUGCUACUUGUCACUAUUUAGGUUGUGAGUACCAUUCGAUUUCACAUGUUGCUUCACUGGAACAAGUUGAAGCAAUGGCAAUCAAGGAGGGCAACCGUAUCACUCUCUUGUCACUGAGCAAGGCCUUCCUCCGGUGAUGUUUGAGACCAACUUAAUCACCUCAUACGUACCCUCAUCUUCGGGUGUGAUGACAUUACCUUUUGUCUCUAUAUAUUAGAUGAAAGUAAAUUUGCCGACCAUCUUUUACUUGCCCACCUCAAUGUCCAUCAUCUAGAUUAGUGACACAUGUUCAUUUGAUUAUCAAGAAUAAAGUCAAACUAUCUGAAGAGACAUGUGUCACUAAUCUAGAUUGUGGGUAUUGAGGUGAUCAACUAACAACAAGUAGUCGACAAAUUUGUAUCCGUAUGUGUCAUUAAUCUAGAUGAUAGACAUUGAUAAUCAAAUGGGUAUGUGUUGGAAGCGAAUUUUCCAAUUUCUUUUUACUAGCCCACCUCAAUGUCCAUCACCUAGAUCCUUAUUUUUGCUCUCAGUCAAGCUAAUAUUGUGGCUUUUAAAUUAGUUUCUCAUUUUCUAGUGUUUCAUCGCUUGACUGGAGCAUCACGCCUCCUGCUUCUAUUUAUGAUAUAGUUACAAAGAGGAUAGUUCCUUCUCGUUGAUCAGAGCAUCUCCAACAGCUUUCCUAAAAUUUCUCUAAAAUGGGGAAACAAAAGCUAAAAUCUCCAAAAAAUUAUGAUCAAAAUCCAGCAGCUUCUCCAUUUUAGAGAUUUUGGCAUUUAAUACAACAAUAAAAUAUAAUAUAUCAUCAUGAAUUAUAACAAAAAAACAUUAUAUAUUUUAUUGUAACAAUAAACUACCCAAUCAAAUAUUUUAUUGUUGUUUUAAAUUCGUUGGAGUACGUGAAAAAUUUAAUUUUGGGGAAGCAAGGUUUUGCUGCAAAUUUAGGGAAUGAAUGCUUCUUUUUCUUCUUCAUCCCCAUUUUGGGGAAUGAGACAGGGAAGUUGUUGGACCUAAAAACAACUUUAUAUUCCCUAAAAUUAAGAAGUUCAAGAAAAUGGAGAAGCUGUUGGAGUUGCUCUCAGAUUCUGGUUAUAGUCAAUUAGAAAGGUGACCAAAUAUGUAUCAGUUAUAUAUGAACUGUCUCACAAAAAAGAGUCGUGCUGGUUGGAAACGCAAUUAUAGAUGAUGCUGACGACGGUUUGGUUUGGUGGUCUUGUUUCGAACCCCAAAAUCUGCAACAAUGAAGAGACACCAGAGAUCAUCUCCUCAUUCAUUGUUGACUUUGGAGCAAGAGGUGACCACUUGCUGUUGCCCUUAUUAAAUCAUCUUUGAUGAAGGAAGAGGUGUCCAAAUGUAGUAUAGUUUCUUAUUCAUUUAUCAUGUCUUUAUAACAAUAUAUAAUAUUCGGCCGACUGAACACAUAUCAGUUUAGUUAUCUGAAAACCUGGAGAACACACACAACAACAUAUAAUAUUCGACCGACCGAACACACAACGGUUUAGUUAUCUAAAGAUGUGGAAAACACACAACGGUUUAGUCAUUGAAAUGUGCAAAAAAAUGUUACUCCAUUGGGACGGUCACUGAGUUUGACCCAAGUAUGCAGUCGAUCAAAUAAAUGUCGAAUGAAGAUGACAUUCAUAGAUUCAUUCCCGUGUAGGAAACAAAAUAUGAGAGACCCUGUGUGUAUCAUAUAAAGAGUAUAGUGUAUACUAUAUAACUUCAUAUAUCUUCCCCUGCAACCAUAAGUUUCAUAUUUACAAAAUGCAACUGGUCUCACUCACUGGUUUCCAUCUGAUCAAAACUCAUGAAACACCUCCCUUGUGUCAAAUUUAGAGCGCCUAGCAGGGAAGAUUAUCUUUUACACACACUGAAGAUUAGAAAGAUGGACCAACACAUACUAGUAUUGAUGUGUGCAACUUAGAGCCUGCGCAUUGUGUCAACUCCAUCAAUGACAUCCAAGAACUUGACCCAGGUGAUAUCGGAGUCUAUUGGCCUGGACAACAGAUUCUCAAUGGGAAGUUUAUCUUUUGCUAGGAAUUCUCUGCUACUCUUACUCAGCCUGUGGUGUUUGCUUAACCUGCUGGCCUUUCCUGCGUCAAAAUUCUGACUUUUACUUGUUCCGAGCCUGAUGUUGUUUGUAGACACAUCCUGAAGCAUCUCCUGAUCUUCAGCUGUUAACACAUUCGUCCUCUGGUUGCGGGUUUCAACAGGUGACGAUGGCAUUCCACCAUGGCCAACCCCUGCCUGGCUGAUCAGAUAGUGUAGCAAGACUACUAGUUCACAAAUAUAAGCUUCAGUUUUUUUCUCAUUGGCAAUGGUGUAGAGUCUCAAUCCUCAGAGUAUCAGUCAAGCCAGUGCGCCAGCUCGCCUCAAACCUAACAAGAUGAAUUAGAAAAGUUCAAAGAAUAUAUGAAAACAGUUACAGAUAAACACACGAGAGACAUAUAUAUAUAUAUAUAUAUACACACAGGGCCCUUCCAAUGAGGGAUCCCUAUUUUAAGCCAUUUAUAGGGAUAUGGCAUUACACCAACUUCCCGAUUAUAAUUUUACAUCUCCACCGUUCAUAUCUUAGGUCUAUAUGAGUAGAUCACCUCUACAAAAUUUCAUAUGAUUUGGUGAUCGUUAAGACUUUCAAAAGUUCAAUUUAGUUUUAAUGACCUUCAACGGUUUUAGUUUGACAUAAGCUGGACCGUNNNNNNNNNNNNNNNNNNNNNNNNNNNNNNNNNNNNNNNNNNNNNNNNNNNNNNNNNNNNNNNNNNNNNNNNNNNNNNNNNNNNNNNNNNNNNNNNNNNNNNNNNNNNNNNNNNNNNNNNNNNNNNNNNNNNNNNNNNNNNNNNNNNNNNNNNNNNNNNNNNNNNNNNNNNNNUGUGUGUGUGUGUGUGUGUGUGUGUGUGUGUGUGUGUGUGUGUGUGUGUGUGUGUGUGUGUGUGUGUGUGUGUGGGCACGCUGAAACACUCACCUUGCAUUUGCCCAUUCUCCAACCCAUCCAAAGCCAUGAAGAGCUCUUCAAUAACAAAAUUACACUUGAAAUCAGUGAAAUUGAAGUAACAGAAAUAUUUGUUAACAAUGAAAUGGUCAGACAGAUAUAAGCAGGAAGAAAAAGUCCCCAAUAAACUACUUAAGAACUGAUCAUGGAACCAAAAGAAGUCUUACAUAACCAAGGAAGGGUAUUUUCACUGUCAGCAAUUUCAUGUUAGAAAGGAAAGCUAAGUGACAACAUUUUUCUUCCAUUCCACAUUAUGGCCCAUGGACACAUACAUUGAUAAGAAUUUUCCAGCUGUAGGGGAUUACAGGUUUAUUAGUAAGGGUUAAUUGCAAUUCAAUACAUGUGUUUUCAGUCAAACAACCCCUAUUAACUUACCAGCCUCAUGCAAAUAAAUUUUGACAAACAGCUCCUAUGAGCGUCACCUGUUUCUAUUACCUCUUGAGGUCGAGUACAUGGGGAUGGGGAAAUAAAUGCCCGGACAUUCAAAAUUAAGGGUUUUUUUAUUUGUUUGAGAAGCAAAUUAAGUGUUUUCAAUCUGCAUUGCGAAUAUUACUCUUCGGGCGAAAGAGUCAUUUACCAUUUCAAGGAGCAGGAAAGUUAACUUUUUACCAUUCUAUCACCCUACAUGUCUGUGCGCCCCAGAACCAAGGUUUGGCUUGCAUGAGGCCGGUAAGUAACAACACGAGGGAUUACUAAGGAUGCAAAAUUGCUGAACUGAAAUUGCAAGGUAGAAAAACAAAAAACAAAAAUAUAACCAACUAAGAAAUAAAAUAAAAAGCGGGUGCUAGAUGUUUCCAAGCCCAACUAAAGAUUUGAUAUAAGGUAGCGGUUUUACUUUGUUGUGUUAGUGGCAAUGGGAACAAGCCAAUCCAAAGUUCGCUUCAUUUCAGCUUUGAUUUGAGGAAUGGUGAGCUGCAAGAACAUCAUAUUUAGAGGUAAAGUUCUGCAUAAAAUGACGGAAGGAAAUUUCAUUUGGAACAACAUUGCUACAAAAAAACAUCUAUGAAGAUAGUAACAUUCUAAUUGGCAAUCAUAUACAGAAAGCAUACAACUCAACCUCAACUAACUGAAAUUUUGAGCGCAGAGCUGACUUGACACUGCAUGGUAGUCCCUCAUACAGAGUAUCUAUCACACUUUGAGGCACUAAACUUGAUCGAGACACCUGGUUACAUUUAGACAUUACUCAGCAUAAGGUCAUGAUCUCUAGGAUUCUAUAUUUUGCAUUGCCUGAAUCUCUUUUAACUUAUCAUUUUAAUAAACAUUGAUCGUGUCUGUAUUAUACUAGACUUUGCAACAAAAAUAUGAAAAAUCAUUCUUAUAUAUACCAAGAAUAAACCGUAAUGGGCAAUCUAGACCUUGUAUUCUUAUAAUACUUGGAAAAGUUAUAUUUACAGAAAAUAAAACAAUCAUGUUUCUCAUAGAUUUAUGACCCAAUGGAGCAAGACAGUUCAGGCACAUUCAGGUGAUAGACUAUAAAGGAGGCAAUUUAAAACAUGUUUCAACUGAAAGUGGUAAACCUAUAUCAUACUAUAAAAAAUAAAAAAACCGGUAAAGGCAAUAGCAGAGGAUGAAUCUAAACUUACAAGUGUGUUAAUUUGCGUAAUAAUAUGUGCGUAGUGUAAGGAAGGUCCAGUAGGCCCCAACCUUUUACAGUUACUCUGAGUACGUUUCACUGGUUCAUCAUCAUCUGCAAGGGGGAGGGGUAGACAUCAGGAAGCUUUCCACAUAUCAUGAUCACCUUCAUCUACUUAAAACACUUAAAUCUAUUAUCUUCUGUUUGACGAAACAGCAAUAUGAGAAAUGAAUAUCUGAUUCGAUGGUAAUAGAUUCUAUGAACGACUUUCUUGUGGUUCGAAUAGAGCACUGUCCUAUCAAAGCCUUCUAGAAAGUAAAUGAUAACAAUGGUGGCCUUUAAAAUGAGGAUAUAAAAUUAUAUUAAUCAUGAAUUCAUAAUAAAGGAAAUUAGAGAGUUCCUGGUCCAUAAUUGAAUGCAUACCAGGACUUCCAAAAGCUUCAUGAAUCUUUAAGUGUAAUAAUUGUACAAUGUCAACAAGCUUCGGCAUAACCUGUAAUCACAAGAUAUUAGAUAAUAAUUCCAUGGUUGUUUUGUUUUUUCUUUUUUUGGUAAAACUGGUUGUUUUUUUUUUUUUUAAAUGAUUGAUUUAUCAGGUGAAAGAUUAACUCACCCCAUUACUUCAUGAGAACAUGCAUAAUGACUAAAAUUUUCAGGAAACAGAGAAAAUCAAUUAACCUCUAUAUUCCAAUAUUAAAUUCUACAGCACUGUACAUUUGAAAUCAUUAUUUUCCUGUGGUCACAAAGGCAGAAGACAUUUUCCUCAACUGCCAAUGGAAAUGACACACAAGGGAAGAGGUAUCGAUCAUAUUAUUUUCUUUUUCUUUUCUUUUUUGAAGGAAAAUUAAUUGAGUGGCAGAUUUGUAACUGAGGUUUUGUAACAUUUGCAAACAAUAUAUACCUUUUCUUCAAGCUGGUGCGAACAUUUUAAUAUGGGUUUUAUUGGGUAGGUUUGUGCUCUAUGAUUUUUCUGUAAACUACUUUUGAUAAGAAAAUAGGUAUAUUGCAGUCAAUAAUUAAAUGAAUACUGAGGGUCAGUAACCUGUUGCAGAAAUAAUACUAAGAAAAAGAUAAGAAAUUAGGUGGUCUUUUCAGGUAUAGCUGCUGCCAAAUCUUCCGUAAGUGAAAUUUUCUACAUAUUCUAUGCAAAAUGUGCACAUAUUGAACCUAAAAAGACAGCUAUAUGAAGGAAUCACAAUUUUUACCUCUUCCAAAGUCUUAGACCAAAGUGAAUUUUUCUUUAAACUGUUUACAAGCUUCAUUUGAUUCUUUAUAUCUGCUUUUAAAAUCGCAAGGUUGUCUCCUGCACAUGAAGAAAUUAUGUGAACCAUCAAACAAAAGUAUACACAAGAGGACAAUCUUCUGGGCUGAAGCAAAACCAACAGCAGAAAUUUGAGGUAAAAUGGUGCAUAAGCCAAGCCAAACAAAUACAAACAGACUAGUUCCAAAAAAUUGAGUGCAUUUAUCAUGAAAAUCCUAAUGGACUCGGCAACUAGACUGCACCAGCUUGUUAGGAUAUCAGUGCUUUUGAAGUUUUCAGAAACCUACCAGCAGCUGCAAAAUAGUACUGUAUGUGACAACAAUUAGAAACAACUCAGAUGGAAUUAACCAAAGUCCAAAGACAAGGUUUACCUCUUCUUGCAGUAACUGAACUAUCUUCUUCAAGCUUAUGCCGAUAUUCUUGUUCCAAUCUAUCCAACGAAUGCAACUCAUGACACAGUUCCUGAAACCAAGAAACAAAGAUGAAUUUCCUUCAUUAGUGUUCAAAGGAAAAAUUCUUCCGAGCUCAGCUUAUCCACUGCAGUAUUCGUUCAUCAAUGCCUGUUCUCUACUCAAUUAUCUUGGAUCCACUGACUCCCAUAAUCUUGGGUUCUUACUAUUACAAAAACAUGAAAAGAGCAGUAUCUUAUGGUUCUGAUGAAGUUCCUGCCAACAUUUUUCUAUAAAGCUUGGGAAAACACCAGAUACACUUGAUUGGCGUCUAACGAUGCAAGAUUAAUAAUGACAAGAACUUAUCAGCAUUAAAUAGCAAAUCUUCUGCAGCUGAGUAUAAUGAAACAAGAUGCAUCACCACCGCUCUUCUACAACUUCAAUAAAAAAAUAACACCCAACUAAAAACUGGAGUAAAUGUCCACAAAGAAGAAAACAAUAAAUGGGUGUAUAUUGCUAUUAAUUCAAGGAGAGCUCCAAGAAUCAGAAAAUGAAUAUGUUCUCCAAUCCAGUCCUUUUAAGUGACUUAAAAGGUUAGGUACCAAUACAAAAGAUGAAGUGUGUACGGUGCAUACCCAUUUUCCGAAAAGGUCAAGCAACAAAUUUGUUUUAUCAGACUGUCUUUAAAAAUAAAAAAAUAAAAAUAAAAAAAUAAAAAAAAAACAAUUGUCCCAAACUGGAUAAACAUAUUCCAGAUAUUCAAAACUAAACCAUCAACAGAUGCAACUGUAACAAAGAGUGUAGCAUUUCCUAUAGUUAAUGUGCAAAAACUCACCGCGGUUGACUGAACUAAAUUUAUCAAAUAUUCCAUCCCUCUCUCUGCUUGCUUCUUCAAAUGAGUUUGUUCAGUAACCUUCGAGCCAAUCCUAUUAUAAUGAAAAUAAGAAGAUUAAACAUAUCUGAUAAUAGCGAUCCAAGAAAGUGAGUCAAAAUAUUGCAUUAGUAUUACUUGCUAAAAUAGCGAUCCAAGUUGUGCCAUAUUGGAUCAUAAGUGCGAUUUCCAAAACGUACAACAUCUCUGAUAAAAAUUCUCAAUUCUUCUCUGCCAUAAAUUGUGAAGGAGAAAGUCAUUAUUUUUCUACGAGGAUGAUCAAACAAUAAUUGAUACUCUUACCCCAGAAACAACUAAAAUGUGAUGCUGAUUAUGGAUCACCUCUUGUCAGCAGCGGCAAUUCUGAGGAGCUCAUCCAUAUCAGUAGAUAUUAAACUUUGCACCCCUUUGGAUGGGAGCAGCACCUCUUUUAAAUAUCUGAUAUUAUCCUCUGACAGGGACUGCAUUAGCUUCACACCCUUGACAAUUGAGUUUGCAACUUCAAAAGCCAAAAUUGCAAUUGUAUUCCCUUUUGUUUGCACCUCAGAAUAUAAAGUGGGGUCCCAAUUACUGAUGCUACUGCCGAACGUGUCCAAGAUAUCCAUUGCCUUUCCAAACCCAGUCGAGCUAGCUUUACCUAAAAGAGAGCUUACUGCUGAAACCUAUAGUAUGAUAAUGUUACUUAUAUGUUAACAACAGGUGGAAUUUGCUAUAUUCCUAUCAAAACUGAAGACUGUGUUCUGUAUUUAUAAUGUACACCCAGAAGAGCAGUUGACUGCAAAAUUUGCUAUCAGAAAUGCAGAAGUACAAGUCUCAGUUCGGUGUAUGAUUUAAAUUGCACUACAGUUUGUUACUCUAUUUUAAUUUAUUUUUUUGGGGAACGAAUGAUUCCUGUAGCAAGCUGCUAAAGCAAUUGUGAACCAAUGUGUAGCUACUCUAUUUUGGAAAAAUUAACAUUGACUAUAACGUAAUCUUGGUAUGUCUCUUUUUCACAAACUUAUAAUCAAGAAAGGCUACCAUUAUAUACGUCUUUAACAUAUUAUAAAAAAUAAAAAAACAAAACACCAUAAGUAACAGAAGUUUCAGAAUGUAUCUGUAAAUAUUACUUUAGCAACAGCGGCCUGUUUAGAGAAGCAAGCAGCUCCAUCAUUGAUAUCAAUUGGAUGUCCAUUUGUAAAUGGAAACCAAUUAGGAUUAUGAUCAUAUGCUCUUGGGCCAUUACUAGCAUGAUGGUAAUUUAUAGCUACAGUGAUAUCUUCUACUUUGGGCGUCCGUUUCACCUUGUUGCGAAUCCCACCCAUUACUGUAUGUGAAACACCCACAAGCUGUAUCUUGUUGUAGGAAACCAGAAUCGCCAAACCCAGAAAUGAGACUUUUGAGAGAGAAGCUUGGCAGGGAUGAAGAAAGACGGAGAUGGCUCGUUUGGGUUCGCGCGUUUACUUUUCUUUCUUUCCAGCUGUUGAGGAGAAAAGAUUGUUUUUGGUCAACUCACGAUUCUAGAGUAGACAAACCUAGGUUUUUUUUUUUUGAAAGUUAGACAAACCAGGUUAAGCAAGCUCAAUUUGUUCCCGAGUGGGACCCAUCGGUUCGUGCGCUUGCGGUGGUGGGACCCAUGUAGAUCCAUGUCAGUUUAAAUAAAAAUGGAGUUUGGUGUGUAACUUCAAAACAUAGAUAGUGUUGGAUAGGAGACCUACAUUGGUUGGUUGAAAUGACCAAGGCACCCUUAACAUUUGCAUCAGUGUCAUUACACUAGUGUACAUGAGUUAAUAUACUCUCUUGAUACAAAGGGAUCCAUUGUAAAAAGAACCACCAAUUUUUACUGGUUUUAAAAGCAAGAAAAGGGAUACCUUGAACUUUCAAUUAUUAUUUGAAUAUUCUGUACAUACACAACACUAAGGAAACUAUAACUCAACAUGCUUUUCCAUUUCCACAUCUACAGAGUUUGACUUACAUUGAAUACACUUACCUCCCUAGAUUUUAACAUUCAAAAAGCCAGUGAUUUAUCACUCAGCAUUUGCUUACUAACACAACAUCACCCUUGCCACAACCUGAGAGCCGCUUCCAAGGAAAAAUUGUAGCAGUUGGACCUAUUACACAUACACAUGGAGACUUCGCACGUCUGCCAAUCCUCAAAUACUUCGAAUUGUGUCCACUCGAUCAAUGAGAUCCAAUGCCUUGCUCCUGUCAAUAUCAAAGUCAAUGACAGGUACGGAAGAGGGCCUCCUUAUGGGAAAAGGAUCUUUCCUUCGCUCACUUGUUGGAGAGUGGCUACUACUUUUACUUAACCUAUGGUACUUGCUGAACCUCGUCCUUGCAGUGUCAAAUUCCUGACUUUUACUGAUCCCCGGUGUCAGUUUUCUCUUACUUACAUAUCUUAGCAUUUCUUGAUCUUCAACCGUUAAUACAGGGGAUGGACAGUUGGCCUUGUUUAUAGAUAACUGAAUUGUCCUCUGGUUUGGGGAGUAAAUUGGGGAUUUAAUAGGAGAUCUGAUUCCAUUAUUUCCAACCCUCACUUGGUUGACCAGAUGAUGUAGCCACACCACCAGCUCAAGAAUGUAAGACUCUGUUUUAUUUUUAUCAGCAUGGUGUAGUGUCUCAAUCCUCAACAAGUCAGUCUGACCAGUAGGUUUUCGGUUCAUCUCAGACCUAAAGAAUUAAGAUCUGUUAGAACUACCAAAACAUGACAGAGCAAUAAAUAAAUAUAUAAAUAAUUAAAAGCCAUCUGCAAGUCAGAACUCACCCAGUGUUUGCCCAUUCUCCGACCCAACCGAAGCCAUGAUGAGCUCUAAAUGAACACAUAGUGAAAAGCAACACUCAAUAUAUAGAACUAAAAACUUUGAACAUAUUUGAAUCAUAAAUGAUAUAGAGGGCACAGUAAUAAAAUUUGAUCUACGUUAAUAUUAAUUGGAAAGAACUAGAGGUGAAAAGCUAACCCAGAAAACAAAACAAAACGAUGACAAAUAAAAGUAGAUAAGCAGACAAAAUGGAGCUUUACUUGGUGGUGUUAGCAGCAAUUGGAACAAGCCACUGCAAAGUUUUCUCCAUUUCAGCUUUGAUUUGAGGGACUGUGUGCUGUGAGAAUAGCGUUUGAAGAGAAUAGUUAUAAACCAGGACAAGGAUGAGGAAAAAAUUGACAGUCAACUGUGAAGUGGAGAAAUAACAUGAUAACGAUAAUAUAACUUUGGUUAAUUAAUGUCCUUGAACUGCAUACACUACAGAUACCUCUUCCUUAACCUGAAAUGACUGUAGUUUUGAGCGCAAAGCAGACUUUAUACCAGGAGGCAGCCCUUGAUAUAACGUAUCUCGUGUGUUUGGAGGCACAGAACUUGACCGAGACACCUGGUUACAUUCAAAUGUUAAAUCAUAAGACCUUGACCCAGUAUAAAGCCUAUGUUUCCAAAAUGUUAAUCAACAAGAAAAAAAUUGAACUGCAGACUGCAGAGGAUUGGUUAUUGAACUUGUGAAAAAAAAAAAAAAAAACUUUCAUCAUAAUCCAGAAAAUUACAAUAACCAUGUGUUUAAACUGUUCUGAAAAACUGAAGUGGACACAACGCACUCUCACUGUCAUAGUUAAGUUGUUGUACCACUCUUAUGUAGACCAUAAUAAAAAGUCUAGAAUGGUAAACUUUCUAGCUUGUAGUUAAUAAAUGAUAAUAUCACCUUUCCUUCUCAAUUAGCAGAGGACUAAAAGAUUAAGUUUGGCAAGAUAAUAUGUGCGUAAACAAGAAGGUAAGAAGGAAACACGGAAGGGACAAGUUUAGUAGCACACCUUUUCCAAAUUUCCACCAUACAAAAAAAAAAGUUUGCAGUGCACAAGGAAAACACUCACGAGAGUAUCGAUUUGUGUGAUAAUAUUUGCAUAAUGCAAGGCAAGACCCGCAGACCCCAACUUUUUGUGAUGGUUUUGAGAACCUUUCACAGCUAUAUCAGUAUCUGCAAGACCAAACAAAGAGAUACAUCAGAUAAUAGUCAGUCAAUGCAAGAUCAAGAAUUGCAAUAGAGAAAUGAAAUUAUAGGCAGUAACUGGAGAUUAUAUGAAGAGAUGUUAGCUAUUUAAUUUGGAGUAUUGAGGGAGUAAUGGCCUUAUCCUAUAAAUUCUGGUGGACUUUAAUGUACGGUUUUAGAUCCUUUAGAAACCACAAAAAGAGAACAAAGCUGUCUACCCGUGUCAUUACAUACUCCCAACAUAAAGAUGCUUCUCACUUUGUAUAAGUGAACAAGGUCAACAUGAUUGUUUGCAAUCCAAGUCCAAUUGAAAUUUAUUUAGAAGGUAAAAACUAAAAUAGAAAGCCAGAUCUACAUCAUAUUUUUAUCAACAUCCUUUCCGACUCCCAAGGAGAAGUAGAAAGCAUCCUAGAAGACAACUGUCUAAAACUAUCCAAACUUUUGAAGCAUACCAGCAACACCAAAUGCUUCAUGGAUCUCCAAAUGCAAGUAAUGCACAAUGUCCACAAGCUUCUCCAUGACCUGAAAAUAGGAGAUACAAGAUUGGCUGUGAGAACUUGAAGAGAAAGCUUUUAACAAAAAAAUUUGCUCAACGUACCCUCCCAAAUUUAAACACCCUGUGACUAAUGUAUUUCUCAGAAACUGAAAGAACAAAUCAUUUAAAAAGACCAGCUGGGGGAAAUGAUAUUUUCUAAUGAGCUUCGGCAUCAAUUUAAGUUUCUUCAUCAGUCCUUUUUAGUAAUUUUCAAGAGGGUAUUUUCUAUUUUCUUAUUAAUGUUCAUUAAAGCAUGGAUAGGUGAAGUAAAUUUCUGACUGUAAAGAAAAGCUCCCACAGUUUUAUCACGUGAUUAUAGUUCAAUUGGAUUGGAAUUGACAGCUGCGCUGUGAGGCCAACCAUAUGGUAAAUAUCCAAUAUGAUAUUUACCUUCAAACAGUCAGCACUAAAGUCAAUUAAAAAAAGAAAAUGUAUCAUAACCAAGAUGAGAUAGACGAAAAAGGAAAAUUAGCUUAAUACCUCUUCCAGAAUCCUAGACCAGAGUGAUUUUUUCUUCAAACUUCUCACAUGCUUCCUUUGACUCUUCAACUCGGCUCUUAAAAGUGCAAGACUAUCGCCUGUGUCAAAAUACAGACACAACGAGAUAAAGUUACUUGAUAGUUAUAGUUUCAUGGAAUCAUGGCAUGCGAAAAAAGAUGUAGUAAAUUUCAACAAAACAAAACCAGGCUAAUCAUCGGAAUAAAAGAUGCAUUGACUUGGACAACCCAACAAGAGCAAUGUUGAGUCCCCCAGCCGGGAAAAAAAUAAUAAAAUAAAUAAAGCCUCACAGAAAAUAGUCAAUUUGCUAACUGCAUUUCUCCAGACAAGAUGAUAUUUCUAUUAUUAUUUUAAUUUAUACUAAAAGUUGUCAGAACUGGCAGUAAAUUUGACUUCGUACAGACAAAACACUAUCCAUUUGGACCAUCGGUAUGAUUAUACCCAGACAUACCAAUGGCUUCCCUACACAAACACACAUACACACCAGAUAGAUGGCACCUGUACCCAGAAUAAAUGGCAGAAAGAACCAAAAAGAAUGUUAAUACAAGUUACCUUUUUGGGUGGUAUUGGAGUUGUCCUCCUCUUGAAGUUUCCGCCGAUAAUCUUGUUCAAAUCUGUCCAAUGCGUGCAACUCAUGAUAUAGUUCCUGUAACAAGAAAGAGGUGCCUUUCCUUCAGUAAAUCUCCAAGGAAUGUAUCGGUCAAGUAGUAGGUUUCCAGUUGGAAAUAUUUAAAGCAAUACAAGACUUGUUUAUCUAUCAAAAACAGAAAGAAAAAUAAUUACAAAACAGGUAGGGAUUUCAUAGAUCACACACAACACGGAGCAAUCAAACAAGCUAUUGAACGUGUGGUCGACAAAGUCCACUGCUACAUUCCCAACUACAGUAUCCACUCAUCUUUGUGCUCCCUUCCUGCUAUAAAGCCUUCCAACUACAAGCUCUUUCCAGCACACUCAGUCACUAAACUUAGGUACAGACCAUGAAAUUUUAAUCCAAUCUCGUAUACAAUAGACUUCCUUAUCUGGAGACAUGAAAACUGCAAAUCCAUAUAUGCAGUUUUAAAUUACUGGCCCUCAAAUUUGAUAAAAUACCAACUUUUAUGAUGUCUUGCCUUUUAGGUCAAGAAGGGAAGAUUGCCGAGCAACAGAACCAAGGAUUUUGGUUCAGAAGGUACAAGUACUAGGUUCAACAGUUCAUCAGUUUUAUUCUCACCACAAUGUCCAUUGAAGAGCUGAAAUUCAUGAAACAUAGCAUAAUUGAACAUUCCAUACAAUUUACUGGAGAAUACAAUUUAUAAGAUUGGAUGAGGAAAAAAUUUUAACUAUGUUUUUCUUUUGCUCUCGAUCUUUUGUUCCUUUUACCAUUUGCAAAGAGGCUCAUUUUAUUGCUUACAAUUUCUUCUGAAGAGAGUACAGGGUGCAUCAGUCUCUCUCUCUGCCCUCCACCCCCAACCCAUUAACUAUCAGAAGAGCUUCAAGAACCAGUUCAAAAACGGUUUUGUCUCCAAGCUGAAACACAUCAGGCUCUCUGAACUUGCAUAUUCUUAAACUUUUGUGCUACUCAUUCUUUCAUACUGGAAUUAUCUAGGGACAUAAGAUGAUCUUGUAGAAUGAGAAGUACAGCUGCUACGAGUGAAGAAGAAAAUUUAAGUUUAGGAUUUCCUAGAGUGUCGAAACAAAAAGAAAUGCCCUCUCGGUCUAUAUACUCAACAUCUACAGGUAUUGACUAUUUGAGUCUGCAUUUGAUUUAUAGUUAGUCAAUGAGGAAUGCUUACUAAAACGAUACUUAAUGCAUCUGCAAGCUGCAAGAAUGAAGAGCAUCCUUCGCAACAGAAUCUAAUUUAAUCAUGCAGCAUUGUGAUGCAGCUCAACAACAAUACAAUUCACUACUGUAAUAAAAAACUUCAUACCAACCUUCGACGAAGAUCAAUUGGUUAUCUGUGGGAAGCUAGUUAAUUUUUAUUGACUUCUUAUAAUCGCUACAAAACCUCAUCUGCAUCUAUGGAUUACUGAUGAAUUUCAUUCAGCUUCUUCCCUUGUUAUAUAGGCAGACAAAUCUUAUUUCACAAAGGUGCAAUCAAUCCAAUGACAAUCAUAUACCCAUUUGUUUUCCCAGCAGAAAGAAUAUACUAAGCCAAAGAAAAUAAAAUAUAUAUAUAUGUGUGUGUAUAUGUACACGCCAGAUCAAGAGCGGACGUCCGCACUGGCCUUAAAGUGCGGACGUCCAUCCGUUCUCCACCCUCUGGCGCCGGCGACGGCACACCUCCACCCCAAAAGACUCCAGCAGCGUCCCCGACCACUUUCCCUCCCCGGUGAGUCCGUUCUUUUCCAGUUUUCCGGCGAGAUCACCCAAAACUUCAAACAAAGUCGAUCUCGCCGGAAAACUGGAAAAAAACGGACUCGCCGGGGAGGGAAAGUGGUCGGGGACGCUGCUGGAGUCUUCUGGGGUGGAGGCGCGCCGGCGCCGGCGCCCGGAGGGUGGAGAACGGACGGAUGUCCGCACGACGUCCGCACUUUAAGCCGAGUGCGGACGUCCGCUUCUGAUCCUCUCUAUAUAUAUGUGUAUAUAUAUAUAUAUAUAUAUAAACCUCUAGAAUAACAUGGUGCAGGUUGUUACAUGAACUCUAUAUAAAUAUAAACCUUUAGAAUAACAUGGUGCAGGUUGUUACAUGAACUCUAAGACAAGUCACUAAUGGACGCAAGUGAAAGAGACGAGCAUUCUCUUUACAUGCAUUAACUUACAGCUGUAUACUGAACUAAGGCCAUUAGUUGUUGCAUCACUAUUUCUGCAUCCUCCUUCAAUUGCCUCUGAGGUGUAAGUUCUGUACCCAACCUAAAUAUAGCACAGGUGACCAGCAAAUUCUGAGACGGAUUAAAUUGAGUAUAUACUAUUAAAACAAACAAGAUAUGUUAAACUUACUUCUCAAAGUAGCGAUCCAAAUUGUGCCACUGAGGAUCUUUACAACGAUUUCCGAAACGCACAACUUCUCCCGAAAAGACACUGAGUUCUUCUCUGCCAGGAUGUGACAACAAAACCAUAAAUUAUUCUCAUGUAUUAUUAUUUGAAGAUCACGGUAAUAACAAAGACAGCUUUUCUGAUCAUCCAGAAAAUUAUAGAUGGAAAGGUUUCACUGCCAACCUCUUGUCAGCUGCAGCAAUUCGCAGGAGUUCAUCCAUAUCUCUCGAUAUUAAAUUCUGUACCCCUUCGGAUGGAAGCACAGACUCUUUCAAAUGUUUGAUGUUAUCCUUUGAAAGGGAUUGCAUUAGAUUUGAACCCUUCACAAUUGUGUUUGCAACUUCAAAAGCCAAAAUUGAAAUUUUGUUCCCUUUUGUUGUCACUCCAGAGGUAAAACCACUACUAGGAUUCAGAUUUGUCAUGCUACUCCCAAGGGUGUCCAACACUUCCACAGCCUUCCCAAGUCCUGCAGUACCAGCCUUGCCCAGACGUGAGCUCACUUCUGAUACCUGUAAUCAAGCAUAACAAAACAAACAGAUAAAUCUACAAGUAACAAAAUUGAAAAAAUAAAGAAAUAAGAAUUUGUUAUUAUAGGUAUUUAGAAACAAAGCAGUACCAUUUACUUCACUACUGAUUCAAUUUCUACUUUAAACACCAACCACCAAAAUCCUAAUGUUGCCAUAUCUAUUACAGGAGAAAUUUAAAACAUCUAACCACUAACUUGAGGACUUACGUAUCAUGAUUAGAUCGAAUAUGAAUGGUGAUACACACAACCACAUAGAUGGUUUUCUCAACUUCAGUUCUCAGUAGGUUGUGUACAUACAGAAUUCCUUUUCUGGGAUCCCUAGUCAAAUAGUGGCAGGGUAAGUUUUACUUAUUCAUACAGAUCAGUUUUUCUCAUUAGAGUGUAGAAUCACCCUUAUGUUAAACUCAGGUGUGUGCGGUAAAAACCAGAUGAUGUCUUCUAGUCUAACGUUUCACAAUAUAAAGUGCACUAUAAGCGCCUAAGCUCAUUCUAAUAGAGCCACUAUUAAAGAGUCCCAGUCCCAUCAGAACUCACUAUCAGCGGCUUGUGGUUCCAAUGCUAUAGAAAAGAAGAUGCAGCAUCCAAUGACCAUUCAUACUGUUACGGAAAAACAGGUAUUACAAAGCAACAUAGGCAAGAAGAAGAAGAUAAUAACAUGUGAGGCAUUAGAAUUACCUUAGACUUGGUAGCUCUACUCUUUUGCGAUAAGGCUCUAGACAAAUGAGGAAUGCCGUCAUUGACAUCAUCCGUGAUCAUUCCAUAAGGCACCAUAGUAUUGGUCUCCGGCACCAUGAAAGGGUCUCGUAAUUGCUUAUCAGUAACCGGUGACGGUGUGGAGUUUCUGUUUACUUUGGCAGGCACGCCGGCAGAGACAUGUCCAUUAACAUUAGGAAGGAUUCCGGUGGAAGCAAUAUUAGCAGCGACAUCCUCAACAGUGGAUCUCCUCGACUUGGAGCAAAUCCCACCCAUUGUGAUGAUAACCCACCACCAAGUAUAUUUAAUGCAAGAUUCAAGUCAAAUGAGAAGCAUCCCUGUAAAACAAGAAUGAUCUACUCCAAAGUCUUGAAUAUAGAAACCACAGUAGCCAUUCUGAUCAGUGUUGGAUUUGCAGUCCAUCAACUCAGGUCCAGGUAGCUGCAAUACAGUGAAGACCCAUUACUCAAAAACACUAGAAAGCAGCAUUACAAGUAGAAUAAGGAUGAAAUCUGCAAAACCCAGCUGGGAAUUUCAGAUUUUACAACCCAAGACGAGUAUGAGAGAGAGAGAGAGAAGACUUACAGUUGGAUCUGUUUUGCAGGGAGAUAGAUGGACGAGGGUGCCCGAUUGGGAGUGUAAAGACAGGAGAGAGAGCUGAGGAAACCAAAAAUGAAAAGCAACGCCUGCAAAUUGUAAACAGGAACAACACAGUGUGUCUAGUGAGAGAGAAGACUGGGCCUUUUUGUUUCAACUCUCUUCUUUUCUUGUGUGGGGUCUGGUCAGGUCAGGUCAGAGGUAACUUGUGGGAGCAAAAGAGUGUGCGGGAGAGGAGGAGGAGGUAGUCAAAGCCCCAACUCCGGUCACCCACUGCCCUAAUUUAAAAAAAAUAAUAAUAGAGUUGCAUUGGGGAUUCAGAAUAAUAAAAGCAGACAUUUAAUGAAAAGGAUGGUGAGUACUGAGUAGUGACCAAAAGGGCGGUGAGUAGUGACCGGCCAAUGUUAGAAAAAAAAAUUUGGGAAUGGAAAUUCUUAUAUUUAUCAUCAAUAUCGCCAACCUUAGACAGAAAAAUGUUAAAUUGAAAUUAAAGUGAACCCAUCCGGUACUUGUAAGAAAACUAAAAAUAAUGAAAACACAACCUUUAAAGCAAAAUAUUAGUUGAACUUCAUAUAAUUAUUUAAAUAUUUUUUAGACAUAUAUAUAUAUAACUUUAUUAUUUAUCUAUGGCCAAAAAACAUAUAUUGUCUUUAAUACCACAUUCAUAGCCGGCACAAGCCACCAUUCAAUAUGACAGGUAGCCUUCAUUUUAAAUUUUCUCAAAUAUGAACCUACGUAUAGAUAAUAUCAUAGGCUUCUUGCGCUUUGGAAAAGACGUUGUAGUAGUAGUCUCCGCUAGACUAGCAAGGUCCGAGCGGUAAAAAACAUAACCAAGGAGAGGCAGCACAUUCAGACCAAAAAAAAAGGAGAGGCAGCACCGAUCCUGGAGAAAAGUAUAUUACGCUUAAGCAACAUAUGAUUAGAAAUAUCAUGAGUAAAGUGGAUGCAGAAUUUACCUCAAUGAAUUAUGUUCUGUCAUGAUCCAAAUAACUAGGGCUAUUUUAGUAAUCAAACUAGUUUUGAUUCCGAUUCUAUAUGGUAAAUAAACAACAUCAAUCAUAAUUAGUUUCAUUCAUGUUUUGAUUCCUUAUGGUAAGUAAACAGUGGAAUAGUAUGAAAUAUUCUCAUACCGAUUAUUGUUGAUACCAAUGUUGUUGAUACCGAUUCAUGAUAAUUUUCAUUUCAAGUUAGUAAACGUGCUCUAAGCAAUCACUAUAGGCUCGUCACUAAUUCUCAAUAGUGACCACUUAAUAUACUUGGUCACUAACGGGGUUUUAUGCAGCAAAGAUCUUCUGCUGUUGUACAUUAUAUUGCAUUCCUCUUUUCAUGCAUGUAUGCAUUCGGCUUUAACUUUUGGAAAGAAGUUUGUAUAGUUUUAUUUACAGUGAGUUAUGUAACUGUUUGUUCUUUUAUUGUUGUUUCUUACAGAAUUGGACAAGUAGCUAAUUCCGGGAACAUUGAACUCUUAGAUACAGCUUCAUUUCCAGGUACAUUCCAGCUCCUUUGUCUACUAGAAGCUAUAGGCCUAAAGUUCCAUUGAGCUUUCUACCUGUUUUUCCAUUAACUUGGUGCAUGUUGCUUGCCAAUGUAACUAUUACACUUCUAUGUAUUCUCUUAAAAGCUGUGGUGGAUAUGGCUGCAUGAUCAUGAGGUAUGUGCUUUUUAGUGUCUGCUGAGUUAUUAAUUUACUGAAUUAUGCUGUUAAGACUGUGUACAUGGUAAAAUUACCGAUUUAUUUAAGGCUACACAAAUUGAAGAAGAAUCGAGUGUUUAUGUAGGUGUAGCUUGGAAAGCUUGUUCUUUGUAUUUUUUUUUCUCUUGCUAUUCAACUGCAUUAAAUAUUAAUCUGGAAUCUAAUGUUUUAGUAAUUUCUGGACACCUUAACAUAACUAGAUAUCAAUGCGCCAUAGAAUUUGGCCUAUACAUAUAAUUACACAUUAGGGUAAGAGGCAAUCUCUAUGUGUGAAUUUGUUUUGUGAAAUCAACACAGAAUGUGAAGUUUUGUGAAAUCAAUACAGAAGCUUAAGUAGUUUUUGUUUUCUUUGUUGGUUGAAGGCAUGAGGUCGAUAUUUCAUAACUCAAGAAACUUCCUGUGACACAAUGAGGUCAAGGUGAGAAUUUAUGAGUUUGCUGUUUCUUUUAUCCAUUACAUUCUUGGUAUCUUUUUUCGUACUUCCAUUUAUCUUUGUUCCUCUCCCACAUUCAUAUACUUUUUUUGAGAAUCUGGGAUGUCAAGGAACAUCUGAAAAUUUUCAUGAGUUUCACCAUGAAGAUAUCGAUGUAAAAGCACUGUAGAACUAAAGCAAACUGUAAUUCUAGGUUGAGUGCCUUGCUACUACUUUCAAAAGAUAGGCUGUGGAAUUUUGUAGCUGUGAUAGAACCUGACCAAGCUACCAUCAAUAACUAAAUUACAUGGAUUAUCUGAUUAUGGACCAUACUGAAUUGUAUAUCUGUGGUUUAUUGAUAGAAAUUUGUCGUCUUGGGAUUUUGUCCAAUUAGUUUGCAUUCUGUUGUUCUCUGUACCAUUUUCUGUGAUAUGCAAGAUUAGCUUGAUAAUUUGUACAUGUUGACCAAUUGGUUAGUUGUGUAAACAAUUUUGCUCUGAACCCACAAUUCACAAUUCCUUAUGAAUUUUGUGCUCAAUUAUAUAGUGAAAGGUAUCAACUUAUCAAUCUGUCAAUUAUAUGUGCUUUUAGAACAGAGUUUGAGGAGGAUUGAUGUUUGUUGUAUGCUACUUCAAAAAAAUUUCUUUAUUUACAGUGUUCAUUUGUUGUUCUUUAUUAUAAUAUCUCUAUGGUACACUUCGGACUUUAUGUUAUUUGUUAACAGGACAAGAAAGAAGGAAGGUGAGAGAGAUGGGGAUCUUGGAGAAGGAUCUCGAGGCCCUGAAGGAGCAGAUUGAUAAGUUGAAUUUAGAGAGAGUUCACUUGAUGCUUCAUGUUUAAAGUCAUCAAUCGACUCAUCUGUCCCAAACGAACAGGUCAUUAAUAGAAUGGUCAUAAAUACCAGAUCCAGUACACAUGCUUAUCUUUAACCCUAUUGCACAUCUGGCUUACUUAUGAACUCAACAUCUAAUUACCUUUUAUUACUUCACAUUAAUGAAGAGCUGAAUAUACUUGGUUAAUCUGAUUUUUGUCUUGCAGUUGGUAUAUUUCAUCUGAUUAUGAUUUUGUAAGAGAAUUGUGAUUUACUGUUAUAUAUGCAUGCAUGUCUGCUUAUAUGUACAAGCAAGAGCUGCAAAUAGUAGUUGGAACUUGGUUAUUAUCAAAGUAACUCUAAAUCAGUAGGGAACUUUAAACCAUACCUUCACCAAAUCCAUGGGGCAUAGCAUCUCUGUAUCCCCAACUACUUAUCUUAAACUUUUUGCAAUAUCAGCAUCCUUCUUUUAUUUGCCAUUAAUUAAUUCUUAAAUCUCAUGUCUCUAUUCUAAAUAUUGCCUUCCUUUGAAUUUCAUUGUUUAAUGAUACAUUACUGGUUCCUUUAAAAACAGCUAAUAUUGUUUAAUCUACCCAGUUUCUCAGUGCCAGCCAACAGCAUCCAGAUCAACACUGACAGAAAACAAUCUAACAUUUGAAACAGCAAGGAACUUAUGUAAAGUCAUUAGUUCGAAAUAAAAGACCGCAGCAGCACCCGGGAAGAGAAGAGGUGCGAGUCCAAUUCUAUAAUAUGAAAUUGGGGGUUUCUUUUAGUUGUGUAGUGUAACAAUGAAAUGAUCAGUGUAUAGUGAUAUUAUUAGGAAGCAUACUUUGAAAACAGGGGCCUGCAACGCGCGGGCAUACAUCCUAUUAUUGUUAAUUAAUGGAAGAACGCUGGAGACCUAUGGAAUAGUUUUCGUUGGAAUAUGAAGGUAUGACCUUUUGAUGCCUUUGGUGUUUCAUAUGUACAAGAGAAGGUUAUACAUAGUUUCAAAUUGAUCGUCAUAAAAUAUUUGUAACCACAUGCUUUGAUGAAUGUAAUAUGAUGUAUAGGUAAAAACAUGAAAAAAAGAAAAAAUGAUAGUUUCUGAAGUUAUAGAAAAGAAAAAAAAGAAGAAAAAAAUGACUUUUGAUAUGUUUAGGUUAUAUAUCAGUUUGUAAUUGAAUUACAGUAAUUUAUGAGUUAAAUUUUCAUAUUAGUUGAUGUUGCUCAUCCAUUAAUAAGCUUAAAUUUAGGUGAAAUUAAACUGUUUUUUCAUAUCCUGAAUAUUUUGGUUUGUGCUUACUCGCAUCGCAGGUUCAUGCCUAUCGGAUUUCUCAGUGUGUUUUUUUUCACAAUUUUUUGUAUGUUUGUCAUUUAGCUAUUAUAUUUUGUAUUCAUUUUGAAAUUGUUGUCUACUUGUAUAAGAUUUUUAAUGUUCAAUUAUGAAAAUGAAAGCGGUGUUGGAUUCUGAAGAUGUAGAUUACAGUUAUCUACCUUUUAUCUAUAUUGUGUAUUUUAACAUCCAUUUGUGAUGGACACAAAUUUAAUCUACUGUAACAGACAUUGAUAUCACAACUAACUACUGCUUAUAUUUUUGUGUAUUAUUAUUGUUAUAUGAAUCGUCGAUUUUAACUUGCGGCAACGCGCAGGGACAGAACCUAGUGUCUAUCGUAUUUUAAAGUUUACGAUAUUUACGUACCGAGACUUAUUGCAGGAGGUUAGAGCACAACAAAAUAUCAGGGAACUGGUGUCACUGAUCUUCCCUCGGUCUAUUCCUUAAGCCCAUUCAAAUUCUUAAUAAAAAGACGUUAUUACCUUUUGUGUGAUUAAACCCACACAAAUCUCUCUCACGAAGCAGUGCCGAUCUCAGCAUUAUGUAAAUUUUCCCGAGAGAUAAUAAUUAGUUCUGGAUGUAAAUACCGAAAUAGAAGUGGAAACUUCCAAGUCCCCACUAACUUUGACAAAAAGAUGAGAAGGGUUAAAAAGAUACCGGUUAACGUCAUCUAUGUGUGAAAUGCGUGGGAAUAAAGGCUAGUUUCUUAUAGUAGGAAGCCGAUUAAUUUCAGAUGGAAUGAUUUCCAAAGUAUUUGGUAUGCACGACAGGGUCUUAGAAAAAAAGGCUCGAGUUGAGAGUUUAGUUUCAUUUUCAUCCGGCAACGCCUUGUAAUUAAUGCUGGCACGUUAGUGUGCGAUAUAUGUUGUUGGAUGAGUGUUUGGUGGCCUGCGAUGGGAGGCAUGAAAACAAAGCAAAGCAAACCGGCACAAAAACAAUAGGCCGGACAACACAGAAAAAGUAGUAAGCUGAUUUGAAGAGUAACUACCCUAUAGUCAAAAGAACAUUCCAGCCCCGAACAGAUAAGCAAGGUUGGCGUUUACUACAGAACCCUCACUCUCUGAUUGCCAAGCUGUACAAAGCCCUAUAUUUUCCAAAUGGAGAUUUUUUCUCCGCAGAAUUGGGGACCUAUCCUUCAUUUUCAUGGCGUAGCAUUCUUUCAGGCAGAGAGGUAUUGUCACAAGGAUUGCGAUGGAAAAUUGGCUCCGGAUCUCAUGUUAAUAUAUGGCAGCAUAAAUGGAUUCCUGACUCAUUUCCAAGAUGUCCUUCAUCUCCUCCGGCACAGGGAGCUCCUCAAUUGGUUUCAGAAUUAAUAAAUCCAAUAACUCGCAAUUGGGAUGUUCACAAGCUCAGCAUGUUCUUUUCACCUGCUGACAUUGAGUUAAUUUUGACCAUUCCCUUAAGUAACAGAAUGGUGUAAGAUCGACCUAUAUGGCACUUCCACAAGAAAGGUACAUUUAGAACAAACAGUGCGUAUUUUGUGGCUAGAGACAUUCACCUAGAAGUUGUAUUAGCACCUCCUCCUCCCAUUGAUCCAUUUGGUAAGCUUUGGAAAGAAAUUUGGAGUGCUAAAAUACCUGGUAAAGUCGGCAUACAUAUAUGGAGAAGCUGUGCAGGGAUUUUACCAACUAGAGAAGGUUUGCAACAAAAAGGUUACGAAGGGGAGAUGGGUUGUUUAAUGUGCCAGCAUCAUAUUGAGAAUAUUAUGCAUCUGUUCUUUCAAUGCCAAUAUGCCCAGAAAACUUGGAAUGUUGCUGCUAUUACAAUUGAUGUGUCAAAUCGUGAUUCUUUCAAGGAUUGUUUAAUGCAUAUGGCUAGCACUAUGACUAAGCAUACCUUUGCUAGAGCUAUGGUCAUCUUAUGGUCUAUAUGGAAGAAUCGAAAUAGUCAAUUGUGGGAAGGCAAGAAACAGAGGCCUAGUGACGCAGCUAUGCUUAGCCUAGGAUGGCUCCAAGAGUUCACAACAGCUAAUGUGACACCGACUGGAUCGAUAGAUCGUCGGCAACAAAAUUGGUCAGUGCCGGCGUCUGGAUGGUUAAAAUGCAACUGUGAUGGUUCUUUUUUGGCUAAUACUCAUCAUGGAGGCAGUGGUGUUNNNNNNNNNNNNNNNNNNNNNNNNNNNNNNNNNNNNNNNNNNNNNNNNNNNNNNNNNNNNNNNNNNNNNNNNNNNNNNNNNNNNNNNNNNNNNNNNNNNNNNNNNNNNNNNNNNNNNNNNNNNNNNNNNNNNNNNNNNNNNNNNNNNNNNNNNNNNNNNNNNNNNNNNNNNNNNNNNNNNNNNNNNNNNNNNNNNNNNNNNNNNNNNNNNNNNNNNNNNNNNNNNNNNNNNNNNNNNNNNNNNNNNNNNNNNNNNNNNNNNNNNNNNNNNNNNNNNNNNNNNNNNNNNNNNNNNNNNNNNNNNNNNNNNNNNNNNNNNNNNNNNNNNNNNNNNNNNNNNNNNNNNNNNNNNNNNNNNNNNNNNNNNNNNNNNNNNNNNNNNNNNNNNNNNNNNNNNNNNNNNNNNNNNNNNNNNNNNNNNNNNNNNNNNNNNNNNNNNNNNNNNNNNNNNNNNNNNNNNNNNNNNNNNNNNNNNNNNNNNNNNNNNNNNNNNNNNNNNNNNNNNNNNNNNNNNNNNNNNNNNNNNNNNNNNNNNNNNNNNNNNNNNNNNNNNNNNNNNNNNNNNNNNNNNNNNNNNNNNNNNNNNNNNNNNNNNNNNNNNNNNNNNNNNNNNNNNNNNNNNNNNNNNNNNNNNNNNNNNNNNNNNNNNNNNNNNNNNNNNNNNNNNNNNNNNNNNNNNNNNNNNNNNNNNNNNNNNNNNNNNNNNNNNNNNNNNNNNNNNNNNNNNNNNNNNNNNNNNNNNNNNNNNNNNNNNNNNNNNNNNNNNNNNNNNNNNNNNNNNNNNNNNNNNNNNNNNNNNNNNNNNNNNNNNNNNNNNNGUGUAUAUAUAUAUAUAUAUAUAUAUAUAAGACACAUGAAGGAUGUAUUUAAGUCUUUAACAGGGAGGGGCAUACACUAGUAGUUUGGAACUUAGAUAUAUUCAAGUUAUAAACAGUUUUUUGGCACACAGAUCAAGUUGCAUCUACCUAAAAUGCUCAAUGAACAUGUGUGAUGUGCAAUUUGUAGUUGAGAUGUUCUACUUAGAGAAUCAAUUGAGUAACUCUUUCAAUUAGCUCUACUGAGGAAGUUUUUAAUGUUUUUUAAUAGUUCUUAUUAAUUGUUUGAUCGAAGACAAAUACAUUAUUUUUCUCUUUUUAUUUUGGAGUAAUGACACACAAUUGUACAUGACCUAAUUGAAACAGACCGUCGAUUACUGUAUAAAGAGUUUAAGACAAUCAAGAAUUAUUUGUACAUACAAAAAUAAGACAAACUGUACACAGCGCGAGCGCGGCUCUUUCGCACGUGCAUGAUGCGUGCACGAAAGCUAGAUCUAAGCUAGAUCUUUUUAAAUAAUUCACUCCUUCCAUCUUCAACAAUUUUCCAUGAUUUUUUUUUGGUCGAGUAUUUGAAUAAUUUUUUACUGUCUAUUAAUGUUACUAAGAAAUAUUGUUACAUGUCAAAUGAUACAAUAAUGUAGCGUGCACUAUAGAAUAAAAUUACAAAAAGAUGUACAUUGCAUGUAACGAUAAAUAAAUCGUUAACUAAUGUUAACAGCCAAAAAAUAUUAAACGCACACGCGAGCAAUGCACGUGCAAGAAGGCUAGUUAAAUUUUAAAGUUAAUUUAUUUUGUUAUCAUUUUACGGUAUUAACCAUCAUUGAUUUAUUUUUUUUCUAUAUCAAAAACUCCUCUAUCGUGGGUAAUACAAAUAUGGGUAGUUCAUAAAAAAGGCUUCACCAUGACACCAAAGAGGAUGUCUGGCUUUCUAAUAGUAGAGAGAUCAGUUCUUUUUUAGUGUGGUGUCCCGCUUUGAAAUUAAAGUGUGGACCUCCUUAUUUCGCUCACUUUCAGGUCGCAUUUAGAACCUCUCGUGUUUAUUGUCGGAAAAAAAAUAGAAAAAAAACAAUAAAAUUGAAAAUCAAAUAUCUAGAGACGUGAAAAUCAUGAGCUUGUGUUAUCAACGGGCAGAGGCGACUAGUAUCAGUUUAGUGGCAAGUCUUGUUGGAAUUCUGUAGCAACAGGGCACUCUGGAAUAUAAUCAGGAACACAAGAGGCUAAUGAAUUAUACGUCUCUCGUGGUAAAAAAACAAGAAAAAAAAAGAAAAAGAAAAAGGAGAAUUAGUGGAGAAACAUCAUAUCUUUUUCUUCGAGCAUAAUCAGGUUUUAGAAGCAAUUUUGUUCCACCAGAAAGGUGAGACCAUCAUAUCUUUCAUGCACAAAUAUACCAGAAGCUACAUUAAGGUUGCCUGCUCCUUCAACAAAUAGCCAGACUACAUUGAGCUUUAUCCUGCCUGACUGCUAUUUACCUAGCUGCCACAAGAAGCAACCAGCCAAAAACAGCAGAUAGUUUAUUUCUCAAUUACCACUAAAGCUUCAUAUUAACAAUUCUACAGUAGUAAUUCUAAGUUUUUAACCAUGUGGACACUACAAAACCACCACAAUGACUUAAACAGGUUUAGUGACACACCUCUUUAGGCUCCUUUCACCAUUCAGAUUCGCCAUGAGGUCCUCCAAUUCAUCAAUGAUUGCAGAGUAACAGAAAAAAUAUUGCUCCUACAAACAACAAAGAAAGACGGUUAAAAAAAUUUGAGGAUAACAGUAUCACAUUAUCAUCAAAUUUAGCUAAACAACCCAAACAAGAAUCUUAAACUCUAUAAAACCAAAAAAUAGUAGAACCUUCAAGAUUGGUUAUCAUACACCACUGGACGCUGUUUGCCCAUACACCAUGUCAGACCCAGUUAAUUAUAACCACCAACAUUGAAGCACAAAGAUAUUUCAAGCAUAUAAUCACAGAAGAAGAUUCACAAAGAUGAUACUUCAUCAUAGAAGAAAAUUCACUAAAAGUGGCAUCAAUAAAAGUGUAUUAAGACCUAAGUUAACAGACCUACCAUUGCAAGUUAUAACAAAUCUAAGGACAUUAGACCAAAGCAAUCUUUUUGGUGAAAUAAUUCAAUUAAUCAAAUAAGAUAGUUUUCUGCAACAUGUUCUUUUGCAAGCCUUCUUACUGUUAAUCUAAUCAUGGAAGUACAGUACAGAGUAGAGAUGCUUGGAUGUAGGGUAAGAGAUACAAAGACCUUUGUUUCUGAUACAAAAUUGUUGUUUGAACAUCUAUAUGGAGUUAUUUCGGGAUUUAAUGUCAUUUUUAACCUGUGUGGAAACCUGAAGUAAUUUUACUGUGAUUUCAAUAUCUGUGGCUUUAUUUCUACACUGUAAUUGGACGUGUGUAGAAAUCACGUAUUUCUACGAUACUACAGUUUGAAGCAUAAAAGAGAAGUCUUAUUGGAGAAGAUGAAUAAUAAUAAUAACAUUAAUAAUAAUUAAACAAAACUAUGACAAACAGAGGAGAAUAUACCAGUGUCUGCACCAUUCCAAUACGCUCAGUCCUAAAAGUGGUUAUUGUAUUAGCAAGAUCUAAAGCAGACAUGUCCCCCGAAAGAAUUCUCUGAAUCGUAUUAUGAAUUGUGCAGUAUGUUCCAGUCCUCCCAAUACCUGCACUGAGAAGGUGAGCAAGUGUGUCAGACAAAUAAAUUACUUAUCAUACAUGCAGACGACAUAAAUGGAAGUAAUGAAAAUGAGUGCAACCUGCAGUGCACCACUACUGGGCCAAGGUCAGGUGGAACUUGAUAUAUUGUCUUCAAGAUUUCACGAACAGCAAUUGUAUCUGUGGGAACUCCAUGGUCAGGCCAUUCAGGAUACUGAAUAUGCAGCACAGAAAUUGGUGGUUCUUCUGACUACAAAGGAAAGCAGGGGCAGGCAGCUAUCAAUUUUAUGUUUAAUAUCUUUAAGAGAUUAGAAUAACAUAAUUCAAACAACAAUACAUCCAUAUAGUAAUAGUAGUACCCAAGAAUAAAAGUUAUAAGGCUUACAAAUAGUUGGAAAAUCAUACAAGGAACAAGGAACGAAUGCACGCUAUAUUUUCCAAGUUCAAAGAACUUACAAAUUAUGCUAUAAAAAGCCAAAGAAAUAAAUUUGUAACAUUCACAAUACUUCUUAUCUCAAGAACUUUAUGUACAAGAACCCAAAUAUAAAUCGUAUAUUUCCCCAUACAAGAAACCAGAAUCUACAGACUGAACUAAAGGACAGGCAUCUUAAGAUCAAACUCUAAACGUAAACCAACAAGAAAAAAAAAUUGAAACAAUGAAGAAUCUCUAAAGUUGAACAAUUUUUUUCUUCAUGUUUCUUUGAAACCAAAAUCCGACCUUUCCCAAUCAUUAUCAGAAUUCGGAAGUAUUGACCCUUGCGUGUGCAACUAUCCAAGAAUACAUUAAACUGUGCUAGAUACCUUAGCAUGUAUUCAACAACAUUUAUUUAUCAUUUAUUUAAAAUGUGAUAAGCUUAACAAGGAAUGUCAAAUUAAACCUCAACCACACCCCCCACCCUUAAAAAGAAAAAGAAAAAAAAAGCCCCUUCCCCAAAUUGCAUUCAUGCCACAUUCAAUUUUUACUGAUUGAUUGAGGAGUAUCAGAAAGAAUCAAUCAUGUCAUACGACUUUAGAACCAAAUAAGUGUUUAAUAUGAUGCAUGGGUUAUAUUUGUUUGAUUUACUUUUUAUUUAACAGCUGUACUUAUUCUGAAGGGAAUACAAAUGGCUUUACCUCUUUACUGUUGACCUCCAGAAGCCGCAAUGCUAUUGAAUUGCCAGUGGUUCUUAUCCACUUGGUGGAUAGAGUUAUGUUACCGAAUUCUCUAGGACCAUCUUCUGCCUGAAAAUAAUCUCCACACUUGACCAUCUGCACAUACAUGUAAAAAGAUAUACGAAAUUUCAGGCCGAAUAAUAACUGUGAACAUUAUUUCUACAACUAUACACAAAGCAAACAAGAACACUCGUACACUAGUACGAAUGUACUGUUAUGAUCAUAAUAUGGAUUAAAAGUUCAGUUGGUGCUAUCUCUCAUAAAGUUGAGGUGUUUCACUAAAGCUCAGUUGAUAUAAGUAGGGACUAAUUCGUUAUGAGAAGACAAAAAUAAAUUACUACCAAAAAUCUUUUUUCUUAAGAACUUGACACUUGAAACAUGAAACCUGAUAUGUCAAAGACUAUUGAUCAUUAUUUCUUUUAAACAAACUAGGGCUGAUGUUCUCUAAACGAUUCAAAUCACACAAAACACUAUUAGAAAAGUACCCUGUGAUAGUCGACCAAGCGAGUGAGCAUGACAACUACAGGGCACCGGUUCUCAAGUACCAUCUCCCAGAAAUCCUCAUAUGUGUGCGGAAGUGGACCUUGUGUAGCAAUAAACCUAGAAAUGUUUCCAGAGGAACAAGCCUACAUAAAGAAUCAACACUGAAAGGUCAUUUAGAGGCCAUUUCUCUCAAGGUACAAAAAAAAAAAAAAAAAAAAAAAAAUAAGGACAUAUAUUUGUUUUACCGAAAUGAAGCUGGCAUUGAUGUAGCCCCUUGCUUCAGGUCUGUAAUCUUUACAAGAGUUGAGAACUACCCUAUUCUGAUCAACUGAAGCCAACAACAACACAAUCUAUUAAGCUCUAAUCUUAAUGACUAGUAUUACAGUACAAGUGUAAUGUAGAGAGAGCGAAACUGAGACAUACAUGGUAACACAUCGGUGUACCGAUUUUUGCUGACAUUGACACUGUCAAGAGCCACAGUGCAACUUCUCUUCAUCUCCGACGCUGUGAUCCGCUUCCCCUAAGCAGCAUUCAUCACCAUUUCAAUAACCUAAUUUUAAGAAAUUGGAAAGAAAUUUGCGAGGACAAGAGACCUGUAAGAGAGCGAACUCUUGGUUUAUCUGGUGAGGCAUCUGGAGCUUGUCUUUGAGGAAUUUGAGGGCCUGGGAGCAGUAGUUGUACUGAUCGGGACUGAGUGUGAGCCUCGGCGGCGGAGAAUCGGCGGAGAAGGAAGGGAAGGGUUUCGAUGCCAUCGCCCUCAAUCGCCGGUGGCUGCGGGACCGCCUGGAUAUGACGUUCCCCAGUUUUCUCACUCAGAUUUUUGUUUCUGUUCCUAACAAAAUUUAAAUGCCCAGUCGCCCAAUCAGUGUGGGUGGCAAUGCUCACUAUAACUCAUCCAUGAGUGAUUACGCCUUCUUUUCUUUUUUUCCUUUUUUUUGAAUCACUUGAUUACGCCUUCUUUAACUUUAACUCAGUUAGAACAUUUCUUAAAAAUAAAAAAAUAAAUAAAUAAAAUAACUCCUCGUUAUAAUCAUUUCAUAAAGAUAAUAAUAAUUAGAAAAUUUUAAGUUGAAUCAUUUUGUUUGUCCGGUUUGGUAUCAUUUGAUCUACUGGCAAAAGUAUCAUUUUGGUUAAGAAGUUUAAAAGGUAAUUCAAUAUUACUUAAAUAGAGAAAGAGGACCUCUCUGGUCUCUCAACUAAGAUCAGGGUUUUCAGCGUUCUCAGUUGUGUGACUUUAUUUUCUCCAUGUCAGUUGCUCUUGCGACCAUCACUUUUGGACUUGGCAAUAUGUUUCCUUUUCACUUUUGCUAACGAAAGAGAUCUGAAUAGGGUGAAGAAAGGAGGGCCUUGACAAUUAUUAGACUCACUAUUACUACCAGCGGAUGGACAUACCUUAGAUGAGUGAUCUUCAUUACUAGAGAGUUGUGGGUUAGGGGUAGGAUCAAGAGGAGCAGUCGUGUUUUCAACUCUCUGUGUCUACAUGUCUAUAUCUUCUACUUGGGUAGUUGUCUUUUCAACUUCUAGUGUCUGGAUCUCUGGAUCAUAUGCCUUUGAAUGAGCUUCUGCUUCUAGAGUUGACAAGUUGAUGAUUUCAACUGCAUCUGUCAAAAUUUCUCAAGCGUGCAUGCAUGACUUCUUCUUCACCUUUUGAUCCCCCCUGUUCUCCAUGAUACAACUCUUCGAAGUAUGCCGAAGUAUGAGUUCUCCCCGUUAAGAGCAGUAUCAAAGGAGGAAAAAUAUUCGACCAAAAACAAAAAGGAGGAAAAAUAGCUUAUGUUUUCAAAGAAAGUGAAAUCCAAAGUGACAUAAUAUUUCAUAGUUGGUGGAUGAUAGCACUUGUAUCCUUUUUGAUAUUCUCCAUAUCCAACAAACACACACUUAAUCGCCCGAGCAUUUAACUUAAGACCUACGGUUUUUAGGAAUAUGUAAAAAAAACACAACCAAUCAUACGGGCAUAAAUAUCACGAGUCUCCGAAUUUUUUUUUUUGUUGAAUAAAAGGUUAGAACGGCGGCCCUCAUGUUAUAACCAUUAACAAAACCUCAGAAUACAAGGUGGGGGGGGGGGGGGGGGGGGGGGGUGGGNNNNNNNNNNNNNNNNNNNNNNNNNNNNNNNNNNNNNNNNNNNNNNNNNNNNNNNNNNNNNNNNNNNNNNNNNNNNNNNNNNNNNNNNNNNNNNNNNNNNNNNNNNNNNNNNNNNNNNNNNNNNNNNNNNNNNNNNNNNNNNNNNNNNNNNNNNNNNNNNNNNNNNNNNNNNNNNNNNNNNNNNNNNNNNNNNNNNNNNNNNNNNNNNNNNNNNNNNNNNNNNNNNNNNNNNNNNNNNNNNNNNNNNNNNNNNNNNNNNNNNNNNNNNNNNNNNNNNNNNNNNNNNNNNNNNNNNNNNNNNNNNNNNNNNNNNNNNNNNNNNNNNNNNNNNNNNNNNNNNNNNNNNNNNNNNNNNNNNNNNNNNNNNNNNNNNNNNNNNNNNNNNNNNNNNNNNNNNNNNNNNNNNNNNNNNNNNNNNNNNNNNNNNNNNNNNNNNNNNNNNNNNNNNNNNNNNNNNNNNNNNNNNNNNNNNNNNNNNNNNNNNNNNNNNNNNNNNNNNNNNNNNNNNNNNNNNNNNNNNNNNNNNNNNNNNNNNNNNNNNNNNNNNNNNNNNNNNNNNNNNNNNNNNNNNNNNNNNNNNNNNNNNNNNNNNNNNNNNNNNNNNNNNNNNNNNNNNNNNNNNNNNNNNNNNNNNNNNNNNNNNNNNNNNNNNNNNNNNNNNNNNNNNNNGGCACACUGUGCCUAAACCCAUACUGUAAGAACACCCUAAAUAUUAGGUAUGUCUACAAAAUCUAUGCAUUCUAACAAACACCAUUUAACAAAGAGUGAAUCAUUUAACUACUCUAUUUGCUUUACAAUUUUGACAACAUACCGAAAAAAAAAACUACUCAUGUAGAGCCAUAACUUACUAUGUGUAUUAGCUUUCCGGAUCUGUUGCCACUGGAAAUUACCAGUGACCCUAAGUUUCAUCUUGACAUUAGGCGGAUGCGACCAUUUAACAAAACAAAAAACUCACUGCAUCAUUAGAGCAAACUGGCAUGCUACAUGCACUUACCAGGACAUAGCCCACAUCUCUAAAUCAUGAGAUGGUAAGGAAUUAUUAAAAACAGUAAAUAAAAAACAACUGAAAAAUAAACUAUAAAGAAAAUAAAAAAGCAUGCAGGGCCCAAAAGGCCAGCCCAACCCAGAAGAUCAUAGCCUUGUCGAGCCCGACGUAAUUAAGUAUGCCCAGUGGACCAGUCAACCAGCCCUCUACCCCAUCUCCGACCCUUUGAUUUUCUUUGAAAGCUUUUCUUUAGUUAUUCCUCAUCGUCAACACAAGCGAGAAGUACCAUGUUGCUUGCUGCUGCUCUUUCUUGCAAGCAAGCAAAAACAUUUCUCUCGAUGUUUGAAUCAAAAUCUUAUCCAUCUAUUGAAACAAGAAGUGUAAUCGUAGUUGAAAACGAAACACUAUUCUAAUGAUCAUACAGAAAUAUAUACUAAAGUCAAUAAUUACAAGAAAUUAAGGUUGAAAUUAGUAGUAGUAGUAGUAGUAUUAGCUUCAUGGUUUAUCUGUAAUUUUCUCCAAGUUUAAACAGAUAAGUGUUGGAAAAUAAUAUUGGACGCUGCAUUUAUCUUUGUCUGCACAAAAUAGUUUUGAGAUUAACUUAAAUAUAAUCAGUAGAAAUAUAAAUGUAAAACUCUAUCCUGUUAUCUAUUGAGGUGUAUGUCUCUCAUUAGAAGUUGGAGACUUAUCAAGUUGAUUAACCUGAUCAACAUUGAGUUCUUGAGAUAAACCUAAAGACUUGUAUCUGAUAAACAUUAAGUGAACUCGGACUCCUUAUGGGAUGAGCACGAGUUAUAUUUCUAGGCCACUAUAUAUACAAGUAGAAAGUCCCUAUUCUAACUACGCUUUUCCUUGAGAAAUAACAGUCCCAUUCUGUGAAGAAACAAGUAGUAUAGCAUAGAAGAUUUUCCUUGGUUUUGUGUAUUGUGAGAUUGCAGUUGUGUUGCUGAGUUGCUGAGAAGAUGACUACCGUGAAUGGUACCCCAAUUGAUGCUGGUCCUUAUGGUAAUCACCUAGAGAAACUAGGAAACUCUUUAAGCUAUUGGUUUAUGAUUUCUACAGUACUGUGUUUGUGCUUAUUGUGAAACGAUCUUGACUUAAGAUAUUAUGCAAUUCAGUUUCAGGUAUAAUAUAUAAUAAGGAGAAGACAUUAUUAAUGAUGAAGCUCAUCCAUCUGCAGCUAUAAAAUGCAGAAUAUCCAACUGAAUUCCUUUCUGAUGGUCAUGAGAUUGGCUUCAACACAUACAUUUUACAUGCAUGAGAGUUCACGGAGGCUGUCAAGUUUCCAACAAAUAGCUUCUUCAGUGUCUUGUGCUGCAUUAAACAUAAUAUAUAUGGUUACAAAAUAUUAAUUCUUGAUCAAAAACACAGAAUAAGAGCAAUAGCUGCUAUCAGAGAUUGAAAAGGAAUGCUGGUAUGCCUUCUUAACCAGAUAUAUAAGUUAAUACAUACCUCCCAAAGAUCUCUUGCUUCAACAACAGUAUUUGGGGGGAGCCCUAUGUCUUCCCAUUGAGCUGUAAUGGUAUUGUUCUCAGGUCCUUGGUUGAUAAGGAGUAAAGCUACUCUGUACCCUGAAAGUGGUCCAGCCCAGAUCUGGCGGCAAUCAAAUAAAACAAUGGAAGUCACUUGCUGUCACUCUAUAGACACAACUCAGUAUCACUCUCAGCCUAGAUAUCAGAAAAAUUCUGGCAUUUCAAUUGUACCUCAAGAUCUCCUUCCAGUCUGACUUUUUUAGCUUGGACACCAAGUGGAUCUGUUAUAAUUAUAGACACAAAUAUACAAUCAAUUACAUUCAUCUGAAAGAAAAAUAGUCUAUCUAAAGGUUCUAGUUACCUUGGUUGACAGAGAUGACCUCUUUAUUUGCAACGAUCUCCAGAGUGUCUUUUGACAUAUUCCUCACAUCACAACCAAGAAGAAGGGGAGCCUGCAAUAGUAGUGAUUAUAAGUAAUUUUCGCCAAAAGAGAUGAGCAAAACAUAUAUGCUCAUUUUGUAGUAGAACAUCGAGCAAAGGAAAUGUUCAUGAGUUAGGUACCUUUGAUAUGGCCCAUAUGCUAAAAUGGACUACAUAUUCAUCUUUUGUCAUUCCUCCAUUUCCCACUUCAAGCAUGUCGGGAUCUGUUUAGAUUAAGAAGAUAUUACUCUUGGAAAAACUAUAUUCCUACCGAUAGUAUGGGUGAACAAGUGCACUAAAGGAACUCUAACCAUUCCAACCACCAGGCCUGGCAUAUUCAGCAUAAACUUCAUUCAUGUCUGCUCUGGAGACCAUACUGGAAUGAAAAUGCAAGAACAGUACAAUGGCAUCAUGGAUAAGCAACCAAUUCACAUAAUGGGAGCUUGAAUAAAAGACUGAUGUACUUAUUCCUAAACCUCACUCCUAAAAAAAGAAAAAAAGAAAAAAAAGAAAAAAGAGAACGAAUAGAAUAGAAAGAAAGAAAGAACCAGAAUAUGAACAGAAAGACCCUUCAGAGUUAAAGGAAGCAUAACUCUUUACCUCUCCCAUGAAUCAGAAAUGUCCUUUGUAGUUCUCCAGCUAUUUCCUAACUUGGCACCCCAUAAAGCAGGGUGCAUAUCUCCCCUAAUAGAUCAAACAGAAUAUAAAGUGAACCAAAAGAAGCUAAUUAAGACUACUACAGUAGUAACAAUUAACAAAUUGAAAUUGCUUAAUUUGCGAGCAAUAAGAUUACCACUCGCACAGAGAAAAGAAUAUGGGACGGCCUGCUUUCAUCAGAGCUCGGGUCAUUACAGGGUAUCUACAAGAAGAUAUCGGAACCUUUAGAGAAACUAUAUGGCAUAGAGUAGUCCUUUGAACAAAACGCAGAAUUAAUGAUCAACUACUAGUGUAAUUCUAGCGGUGGUAUUAUGAUAUAUAUAUUUUGUAUUACCUAACAGUUGGGUUUGAGCCAUCAUUAUAACAGUUAUCAUACUUUAAAUAAUCGAUGCCCUGGAAAGAAGAACAGGAUUAAGAGUUUAUAGUCAACUGCUAAUAGACAUGUAUCAUUGUAAUGGAAAUUACUAGAACAUAUUGUACCCAAGCAGCAAAGGUAUUGGCAUCUUGUUCUUCAUGACCAAGUGAACCAGGCAUGGUUUUGCUACAAGUGAAGUACCUGCCAAGCACAAUGCAUGUGCACCAAGCUGUUUAUUAACUGUGUGCAUAUAUCAAAAUUGAACAGCAACUGUGCAGGAAAUGUUUUCACUGGGGUCUGUGACUGCUAUCUUACCCUGCAUCUGAGUAGAUUCCUAUCUUAAGACCCUUGCUGUGGACAUAAUCCACAAGAGCUUUAAUGCCAGAUGGAAAUGCUGAUUUCUUGGCCACUAGAUUACCCUGGAAUAUCAAAUCUUAUGUUUAUUAAAUAUCUACUAAAGCUGAACUUGUUUGCCAUUGAAAGGAAACAUGUUAUACCUUGACAUCGCGUGCUAUUUCGGCCCAGCAGUCAUCUUUGAGGAAAUGAAAGUUUUCUGUCAGCACUUGGGACAAAAUGCUUGGGAGAACGAAAACAUAUGUACAAAUAUUGAAAAGAAAAAAGAAAGAUGCCGAUGUACCUAUGUUAACAUAGGUAUAUCCAAGUUUAGAAAGACCAGUGGAUACCAGAGCAUCAGCUGUCAAAACCACAGAAACAAAAACUGUCGGUAACCGCUACGAGUAAUCCACCAGCAUAUAUCGACUAACAAUACUAGAUUGAUGCACUUAUCACGAUGCGUCUAUAGCUUCAGGAAAUAUACAACUAGUAUGUGAAUAAUGAUUUAGGCAAAAGGUCAAGUUACCAGUUUCCUUGAUGGUUUUCUCCUCAAUUCGGCAGUUGAAGUGAUUCCAACUAUUCCACCUAAGCAAAAAGUAGAAACAAUUAAUCAGUAUGCUGCUAAGGUUUGAUAAUAGGAUGAGAUGACAUUAUUAGAAUCUGAAAGAUAGUUAUGUAAGGCUCCUGUUAUGAACUUUGUGGGCACUUGGCAUCUGUGCUUUUUUGCAGUCAAGAAACUUAUGAAGCUUAUUUCAGGUGUUCCCAGAAAAUAAUAACAGAGAAUACCCUAUGAGAGUUCAUAUUAGCUUACCCCAUUGGAGGAGUGACUCCAAGGCCAUUGGCAAGCAGAUUUCGCCUGAGAUGCGAGGCAGAAACACCCAUUAACUUGAAUAAGCAUAGGAUCACUGCCAUUACAAUCAUUGUGGUCGGCACUGCCUUCUUCCUCAUCGUCACUGUUCUACAGCUGCUGCUGCUGCUGCUUCUUCUUACUCAGUAUCACUAUCUCACUCUCUCCUCUACUACUGUCCACCGACCCUAUUUUUGUGCUCAGUUUAUCUUUACUUAAUUUGAUGGAAAUCUCCCUCUCCAGAAACGUGAUUUCAUUGUUUAAUGAAUUUGGUUGCCAAUCAAGAUCAAUUCUUGAAAGACUGAUCCGGAGGAGGUAGGGGUUUGAAAUGAUACAAAUUUUGUCAAUCACUUAUUAUUUGGCAUCUCAGUAUCGAUCAUCUAGAUUAAUGACACAUGUCUUUUUAAAUUAAUCUUUAUUCUUGGUAAUAAAAUGAGCAUGUGUCACUCAUCUAAAUGAUAUGUAUUAAAGUGAGCAAGUAAAAAGUGGUCGGCAAAUUGAAUGGUCUCUACUCAUUUGAUUAAUAGUUCCUCUUUUAUGUUAUUAACACACCUAAUUUUGCAAUCCACACACUUUAUGUAUUGUCCUAUCACUAUAAAUUUGAUUGUAUUUACAAAAUUACCCCUUAAAGAUUUAUAAAGGGGUGUGUGUGAAUAGCAAAUUUAGGUGUGUUAAAAGCAUCUCCAACAGGGCCGGUCUUGAAUGAUUAAAGACCCCGUGUGAAGAAAAUCUAUGGGCCCCUUGUAUCAAAUUUUUUAUUGGUAUAUCAAACUUUUUUUAAUUCAAAAAAUACCCUUUUUGUUUCAAAUAUGUUAAUAUACUCUUAAUAUUGUUAUCUUAAAACCCUCUAAUAAUGUUUUCACUUAAUUAUAUAUAUAUAUAUAUAUAAUUUUCUUUUCUUUCAAGGAAAGCCAUUCUUUUUCUCAACAUGGUCUAAUCAAUUGUAUUGUUCAUACUAAUCAUUUAGAUCAUGGAAAUGUCGAUGAUCCAAAAAAUGAAGCAACAACCUCCUAUAUCACAAAUAAGGACUUAAGAGUGAGUGGGUUUGACGAUAACCGCUCACACCAGAAAAAGUACACACCAAGCCUAGAUCCAAACUCGAAAAAAAUUGAUCUGGGUUGCUGGGCAUCCAGACCAAGGCACAUUUUGUAACUAUUGACCACCCAACGUAGUGCAACGCACCACCAUUCGCAGAUUUAGGUUGUUGCAAACCCAUAUCGGAUGACUCCCCACAGAGGUGCAUUGAUCUGGCUGAAAUUCUUUGCUGAAACACACGAUUCUCUUCUUUGAUCCCAGGAACCGUAGGGACAAUCUCACUACAUCCAACAACCGUAUAACAUGAUUUCUACCGCAGACCAUGUGACACCCUGACCCAAAAAUUUAUAUCAAUUUUAAAUUAAUAAAUCCAAAUCUUAAACGAAAUGGGAACUCAAAACUUGAAUAAUAUUUCGAGCAUUUGAACCUUAAUCAAUUUCAAGAACCAUGUAUACUGAUACAUAAAGCACUCAAAUUUUACAAAUCACAUAUUGACUACGUACAUUGAGUGUUGUCACCAAUAUAAUCAUUUAACCACAAGAUCAAACAUUUACAAAUACACAAGUAUACAGACAUGAAAUCAAUUUCCUACAUAUACUAUCACACCGACUAGUGUAUUAAAUUUUUAAUCAUUAACCAAACAUUGAUCGCGGCUCAAUUCUAACCACAACCCUCCCAAAGUAGUUUCAACCCUUUGGAGCAUAUUGCUCUCUAUAACCACAAUCACCCUCCCACUAAAAAUAUAACAUGGGUCUCAAAUAACCCGAUUUACGUCAUUAACCAUUAAAAUAUAUCAAAAUCAGACUUCUUCCACAUAAUACCCUAGAUUCAACUUUACUUGCCCUUAUCUUACCAGAAGAAAUCUAAAAUAAACUAAGCUUGCAAUCAUAAAAUAAACACAGCACCAAUAUCACCUUUCUGUCAGAAAGAAACUAAAUGGUCUUAAUGAUAUGUCCAACAUCAAACACAUAUUUCCAAAGGUUCACAAUAUAUCAACUAUACCUCAAAAACUUACACAAAUCUAGGAUUAUAAAAUGCUCAAUUUCAUACUAAAACUUCACUAGACCUUGUAAAUCAUCUUAAUUCAAACCAUAUCUCUUUACUUGUCCAAAAAUUAAUGAUUAUAAACUACUAACAUGAGAUUCAUAUUUGAAAUCAUUAAAGAAAUUGGAACAGUCUUUAGAAGAAACUACAGUAAUCAAUCACAUCCAGCCAUCAAUGUGAUCAGAUUUCAAAUAAAAGACUUCUAUCAGAACCACAAAAGAAAUUACCAAAUCAAGAUGCCAUCAAACAUCCCACGCACAUAACCCACAUAACUCGUUAGUUUUAACAUAGAGUGCGGUUAUUGGGACCUUCAAAUUUGCUCACUUGACCUCCAUUUGUUAUGAGUUAUUGAAUGACAAUUAUCUCCUCUUACGUAAUGACUAUUAAGGACAAUAAUCAUAUAAAAGGAAGUAUAUUUAUUCUCUCUAGACUUUCCAAUUCGAUAAUUAAUCGAUUGUAUUCUUUAUUAUUUUCUUUAUAUAUUUUUAGUUUCUAAUUUACUAUUUUCUAAAUUUUACUACAUAUUAUAUAUUUAAUUAGAGCUAGAACUAUGAUCAAUAUUGACCGUGUGACAUAAACUUUUCUAUUAUCAUACAUGUUGAAAGCAUAUAUAUACAAGAUGAAGGAAUAUAUAUAUGCAAAAACAAAUCGAUGAUAAAAAAUUAAAUAACUAUUGAAAUAAUUUCAUGUACAUAAAAUAGAGGAAAAAAAGAACAUACAUAGUAUACAAUUGUUAUCCUUGAUCGUUGUUUAGCACAAGUAAAAUAAAAAAAAAGUUAAUUUAUGUUAGAAUAUUUUCUUGUUGGUAAAUAUAAGUUUUUUUUUAUCAGAUAAACAAUUAAUAUGCUACAACGAGUCUGCUGUGAAUCGAACUCACCACCUCUCACUUAUAAGGAGAGAUGGUACUGGGCAGGUAAAUAUAAGUUUUUGAAACCCAAUACUUUGUGUUAUUUGAUUUUAAGAGAAAAAUUGACGUCAUUGAAAUUUUUUUCUUACAAAAUUGAUCAAAUAAUAGAGGUUUGGAGACAUUCUAUGGGAAAUAAAAAAUAUCAAGGAAUUGAGAUCGUGAAAGAGGUUUGAACGAAAAAAAAUAUUAAGGAAUAGAGGUCUCGAUGAUAGCAUGCAAAAAGAAAAAAUUAAAAGAAUGGGAGGUCCAGAGAAUAAAUAAGAGGUAUAAUGAGUAAAUUAUCAAGAUAUAUGUGAAUAACAUACCUAAGGUUAUUUUAGGAAUUUAAAAGGAGACCUAGUGAGCAAAUGCUUGUAAUUAAAAUUAAAAAAGAGGUGUAAAAAACAUAAAAGAUAUACUGAGCAAAUUUGGAGGUUCUAAUAGCCGCACUCUUUAACAUAUUCUAACGUCCUAACACUGACCCGAUUAACCACAAUAACUAAAAUUAAAUUGAUAUCAUUCUAUUAAACAUACACACAAGUAGAAUUCAUGUUAGUUAGCUCUUACCAAUAUGUAGACCUGGAUGAGUGGAGAGUUUUUUUACCCAUGUCGAUAUGAGACAACAUCUUAACAUCGCACUGUGGGAGUCGAUGAGCUCUCUCAUUUACCAACGGUUGAGAUUUCUUCCCGACGGUUCUAGAGAGACGAAGAGAAAAUUAGAGAAAGUGAGAGAAAUAGAGAGAGUUCUAGAGAGGAAGUGAGUGCGCGAGAAGUUUCCCCUCAAUCAAACCAAGCUCCUCGUUUUUAUCGUCUAUCGUCUAACGUAUAAAAUUAAAAUGCGCUCAUUUUAAACCUAAUGCAAAGAUUUCCAGCCACUCCUAUCUAACUCCCAUGUAGCGAUCAUGUCUAUUGUUUGCGGACCUUGAUUAGUGUACAACUCAGUAUAACUGAGAAUUAAAGAGAAGCAAUCUUCCAUCACUUGUCUCAGAAAAGGAUCAAGGAAAUCAAGGCCUCCUUGUCCUUGUUGUUAGGGCCCGCCUAACCUCAAGACAAACUAGAUAACUAGAUUGGGUGAUAAGGGAGCCCUUCUAGUGAGGACCUUUAAGUUGAGGACUUUUCGGUUUAUGGUUUGAAAUGCCCAAUUUUCGAUCACAUUUUGACAUCUUAUCCGUUCAGUUUUUAGGUUUAUAUGAGUAUAUCAUUUAUACAAAUUUUCACCCAAAUUGAUGUUCGUUAAGAUAACAAACUAUAUCAAAUUAAUGGACGAACCAAAUCUGUCAAAUAUGAACCGUUCAAGUUCAUAAUUGAUAAAUCACAUUUAUGAAUGUCUUAACAAUUUUCAAUAUAGCUGAAAAUUUGAAGAAAUGAUCUACUCAUAAAUACCUAUAAACUGAACGGUCAAGAUGUAGAUAUAAGAUCGAAAGAUGAGAUAAGCCGAAAAGUUAUCACCAAGUUCUCAACUUAAAAGUCUUCACUAAAAGGGCUCUUUCGGUGAUAAUACCCCUAGGUCCCGAAGGGCUUGAAAGGGAUAAAGUCAAAAAUCGCACCCUAGCCCAACUACAGCCAUGCAACCUUAAAGGAUAGGCUCAGCCUAGUCCAACAAGAUGUCAAGACUAGAUCCGACAGACGGGGCUGAUGUUCGACGAUGCCCGCUGCAACUCCGCCUUCAUUACUCUGCCAUCUCGUUAGCCAGACCGCGUCGCCACAAGCUUCGCAUACCCGCGACACCGCAUCGCCGCCUUCCGACAACGCCUCCAUAAUCCAUAGCAACCCAAAGAUCAGAGAUUCCCAUCCGUCAAAUUCGACCAUGUUUCUACAACGUCAAUCAAUGUCACCGGUAAGCUUCUCCAAUCUCUUGCAACGCCAGCUUUCAAACACCCAACCCCAUUACCAGAAUCAUAGUCAAGCACCCCGCACAACCAAACCCUGCCAAUCCAAAGCGAGACUACAUGGCCAUACCGCAAAAUCCGUCAGGCACCAAAGCUAGGAGGCUUCGACUAAUCCAAAGGACUUGUCUAGGCCAGCGGCUGCCGUCGAACGAGAGAAGUCUUGAAGGUUGGAAACUGCCGGUGGGAGAGAGUUUUGGCUGUUAGGGUUUUGUUAUUGGAAAUGUAUAUCUACUAUUUUUGCAAUUUGUGAAUAAUUCAAUGCAGCAUAAUUUCAACUUCCAACUUAUUGGUCAGUCACGACUCACGACACACAAAAAGAGGGAAAAGGGUUAUUUCUAUAGUUGGUGCUUGUGCAUAGCUGCUGGUUUGUCACCUCUAGUUGUAUAUGAGCAUUCGGACCAUUCCGGUGACAAAAUGAGACCCAUGAAAACUAAUAACGAAAAAAGAAAGCCAAAAUCCUUAGCAUCGCUGCUUCCAUCAGUGAUCAGUUCAUGAGCCUUGAACAACGGAACUACACAACAGAGGUCUCUCUCUUCGUCUCUCAUCACAAGUCUAAAUGAAUUCAUUGAUAUAUGUUAUUCUGAUCAUGAUGACGGUUUUCAUUCUUCAAUAAGCCUGUGUUUUCUUCAUCAUCUUUCUCAUUGCAUACACCCAUUUCUACACCAGUCAGCAUCUUGGCCUUCAAAGCCUCAGCCUCCCAAUCAGUCUUCACCAGCACAACAUAGAGAAUAGACACAGCACAAGCUACCUGUGCAGACAACAGACCAAACCAAAGUCCUGCAAACCCAAUCUUGAGCCAGAAAGCAAGUCCAACAGCUACAGGUGUACCCACAAAGUAGAAGGAACCUAAGUUGAUACGGGCACCUACGGCAGGGCGUGCGGUGCCGCGUAGGAUGCCGCAACCAGUAGUUUGGGGGCAGUUACCUAACUCACAAAGCCCCAUAAUUGGCAUAACUGAUGCAACCAAAACUUUGACGAGCUCGUCCUUGGUGAACAGGCCAGCCCACCUCUCUCUAAGAAUCACCGUCCAUGUCACAUUGAUGACGCCGAUCACAAAUGCACAUCCCAAAGCAACCAUCGCUGCAAGCUUGGCCUUGUAUGGCUUCCCAGCUCCGAGUUCGUUCCCAACCUAUAGCAUCGAAACAUGAAACAAAAUAACAUAUGCAUUAUAUUCUUUAAGUAAAAAUUAGAGAGAGUAAAGAAGAAAGGGGUAGAUGCAUAGUUCUACAUUUGCCUUCAAUUUCAUAUAUCCUUGCCUUCAAUAUUUAGUUAUUUACUCAAUAUGCGUAUAACGCAUCCACUAUGGUCAUUUCCGAAUCUACAAAAUGAGUUCCUCUUCCUCUGUGAAUUGGGGCAUAUUAAAUGGAAACCUAGAUACAAUCUACAGGGAUUACUAAAAACUCAUACCAUCUUUUGUCAAUGGAUAGAUCUGAAAACAAUCGACUUCACACCAUAAAUCCUUCCGGUGUCACAGAAAACACAUGCAGUAUAGUAGUAAAUCAACAAGAAAGACAAUCAUUGUCUUGUCAACAAGAUUGUGCUCAUGGCCACUAAGCUACAUAUUCAUAUCUUUUUGGGUCCCAAGUCCCAAACUCCCAACUCUAAAAUGGUGUGAAGGGUGUAAUAGUAUAUACAGGUCCUGCUGGUUCACUUUGUUUUGUUGGUUGAAUGGGGCUUCGUCAUAGAAGUGGUGGGAGGGGAGCUUUAAGAAAAGGAAGGAGCAUAGUGUAAGUAGUGGCAUGGCACUGCAUGUCCUAUAAUAAUUUUGUCCUGUCAUGCUUAUUACAUUACAUUACAUUACAUUACACGUUUGACCUAUCUGGUUCCAUAUAAGUGAUGAAAUCCCAUAACAGAUCCCUAAAAAGAAAGCAAGCAUAUCUCCCAUAAACCCUUUAGUUCCACCAUGGACAUGAAUUGGGAAUAUAUGCAACUCUAAUUGCCGUCUUUUUCCCCAUGUUUCUAUUUGGUCCUUUAAAGGACGACUAAUUAAUUAAGAAACCACACUAGCUAUCACAACUCAGAACAGAACCCAAAGAAUUUGUUCUGCAUAUAUAGAGAAUUGUUGAAAUAUCAUAAUCAAACACAUUCCUCAAAUAGUGGACCAACUGACCCAUCCAUAAACCAACAAUACGACAAACUCAACUGUGCAAACUACAAAGUGACCCAAAACAAACUUGGAACAAACUUCAAACUUCAAACUUCAAAUUGGAGGCAAUGCACUUGGUCUGGUUCAAGAAAUGAAAGUAGAAGCAAUGAAGAAAACCCAGAAAAAUUGCAAGUGGAUGAACAAAAAGAGCCCCGAAGAAAUAAAGAAAAUUAUCUUUGCAUACGGUAAAGCAUAAAAGCAACAGAAACCCAGAAAGAAACAAGGCAGGAUUGUGUCUGAGAUAUGAUUUGAACCAAUAAACUGCAUAGGAAAAGAGAAAGCUUACUCUGGCAGAAACACAGCCAGCCAGUGCCAUGGGGACAGUGUACAUCAUAGAGGUGGUCUGAAUAAGAAUCCCGGUGGCGGCGACAGCCAGAGUUGGGUUGGGCAAAUAGCCGGCCAUGAUUGUCACAAUCUCAUACCACCACCACUCCAAACAUAUACCCAAGCAGCUCGGCACCGCCAGCUUCAACAGUGGGCCAAGUCCACCAAACACCUCUCCAAUCCCAGCCGUCCAUCUCAACACCGUCAUUCCCUUCCCCCACCACACGUACCCCGCCAUGAGCACCACCAUGUUGAGAUUCGUGAGCACCGACGCCACCGCCACCCCGGGGACUCCCAGCCCCAUUUGCUUCACCAGGACAAGAUUCAGCGGCACGUGGAAGGCCACUGCCACCAGGGUGCAGUACAUCUGCGGCUUCGUCACCUUCUGCGACCUCAGGAACACCCGCAGCGGCUGCAGCAACGUAUUCGUUAACAGGUCCGGGAGGGAGUAGAGGCAGUAAGUUGCAGCCAUGGCGGUGAUGGCUCUGUCUUGCCCCGCGAAAACCAUGAUCCUCUCGAGAUUGAGCCACAGCACGGCGAUGGGUAUUGUUGCGAGGACGAGGAUGAGCACCAUGCGCUGCAGGGACCGAGUGAGGAGGUCCCAGUUCUUGUUGCCGUAGGCUUGGCUGCAAACGGGUUCGAGGCCAGAGGCGAGACCCACCAUAACAGAGUAACCGGUGAUGUUGGUGAAACCAAUGGACAGGGCGCCUCCGGCGAGCUCCAUGCUGCCCAGCCGGCCCAGGAAUACUACCGACACCGCGGCUCGGACGAACACCAGACAGUUCAUGGCUGUUAUGGGAAAGGCCAUGCCCCAUAGCUCUCGAAGUUCUUCCAAUACCUGAAAGUUGAUUCAUGUUUUAGAGAGAAACAGAGAGGGAAACUAAAACAGAGAGAUAUCAUAUUGGGUGUUUUUUGUUUUACCUGAGAAGCACAAGGGAAUUUGUGCGAGUAGAAAUCAUCAGGGUCUUUCUCAGUUGCCAUUUCUAUUGCAUGCGCAAGGGCUACUGCUGUUAAUAGAACAACAAGCAAUCUGCAAGAUCAAAAAGGUUGAUUUGAAACAGUAGGUUAGAGAGAACCCAACAACUUGGGAAUCAAACUUGACCCAGAUUCAACAAAGCAAAUGAUUAUAAACAGCAAGAAAUUUGGGCAGAAGACUUGCUUUCUGUUAGUUCUGCUCUCGAACCCAAAACAGAAAAGGAAGAGGCUCAAAAUGUAGAGGAGGGGGAAACAAACAAAUAAAGAGGAUGGAGCAGAAAGGCAGCGAACAGUGGAAUGGGUUGGAGUGAUUUCAGAUGUCAAUCAAAGCAAAGCAAAGCACAAAGUUGGGAUUCCUUUUGGAUGAUGUGCAAUUUCACUGAAUGGAGGGAAAAAGCAGAGCAAGGCACAGGGCUAAUGACGGCCGCUAGCUUACAUAGACUGGGAGGAGACAAUAGAAAAUAGACAAGACCAGAGUUGGACUAGACUUGAAGCAGUACUGAAACGUUACAAUAAGGCACAGAGAGACGAUGGAAGGAAACAAACGCUUUAUGAAUGGGGAGGUAAAGGGCCAAGGACUACACUGGGAGAAGCAUUUUCGUUCAUGCGGGGUAGGAGAAACCAUUGUUGUACCAAUCUAAUAUAGUAAUUUUUGUGUGCCCUUAAAUACGUGUAGAAUUAUUCCGAGCAUUCAAUACUUAUUUAUAUAAAAUAUUUAUAUAAAUAGGGUGGUGAUAUUAACACAUAUUUUUUUGUUAUUAACAUAUCUUAUCUAUGAUGAUAGCCAAUCAUGAAAAUGACAAGUUUGUAAAUAAAUUUGAAAUGUGUGGAUAGUAAAAUAAAUGAGGUAUGUUAAUAGCAAAAAAAGACGUGUUAAUAGCAUCAUCCUAUAAAUAGCAUUAUUGUCAAUGAAAUUUUCCAAACGUUUAUGUAUUUUGAAGCUAUAUAUACAUAUUUUUUGAGGAGAUGAUAUACGUAUUUUGAUGAUUUAUCUAAUAUCAUUUUGUUUAAUUUUAUAAAUUUCUUAUGAAAAAAACAUAAAACUGAGCUGUUAAACGUGGAGUGUUUUUUUUUGUUGGCACGUCCUCACGCCCGGUUACAUAUAUUUUAUUAAUAACAAUAUAUUGUUGCGGGGGAACAUAAAACCUGAACCUUGAGCUACAUUAGAUAAAUAGCUAAUAUUCUCAUAGAGAACAUUGUUCAGGCAAAAUUGAUUCAUGUGUGCCCAAAAGUCCAAAACUAUGAAAAUUGGCUUGUGUUUACAUAUGAUUUUAUUACCUUCAAUCCAUGUUCUUUUGUUUGUAGGAAAUAAUGCAAUGAGAGGAAAGCACCCACUUUUUGGUUGGAAAGUGACAAAGCUAGGAGCACAAGACGUAGAAUUUGGGCGAGAAAACACAAGUUGAGAUUUUCUGACUAACUUUUCCGGUGAACUAUUCCAACGAUGUAAUACCUUGAGUUUUUGUUAUUAAUUUCUAUUAUUAUUUUGGAAAUUAUCAAGUUAGAAGUUAGCGGGAUACGUGGCUCGAGAGAAGAGCAGGAGUGUUCGGAACGAUUAUUACAUAGAAGAGGAUUUAUCAUAAGGGUCAAACAGUUGACUUUUUAUCUGUUGGGUUUCUCGUAAACUUCCUUUUUCAAAAUUGUAGAGCACGACGAUACGAGUUCGUAGACACGUGGCACGCGUGAAACGGACAUCGUAUGAGAAAGUUACAUUCAGUUAAAGUUUAGUCGUUGAUUUGAAAGGGGGUAUAAAUAGAAAUAUUUUGGGGUAUUUUCAUAAAAACCCUAACUUCAAAAAAAUCAGAUUUCUCUCCCCAUUCUCCAUUUUUUUGCCACCAAACUUAUUCCGGCCAUAACUCGGUCGUCCGGUGACGGAUUUGUGCGUGCUUGGUACCGUUGGAAAACUCUCACUCCCCUUUUUCUAUUCAUACUAGCCUCACACCCUAUGGAGCACUGUGCACGGCGCAACAAGGCCCGCAAGUUAUUGUCUUCGCCAGCGGUGAAGCUCUGACCGAUUCUGACGACAUCGAGGUUUGAGGCUACCCGUUUCUAGAAGUUCUAGCUUAUCCUUCUGAGCAUGAUGAUACCAGCCUUGGAGCCCAAUUCGAAGCGUGGAGCUUUUGGGUUCAAAGUGUACCUUGUUUCUUUCCGACGACGUUUUCGGCUGAAUUGGCUUUUGGCCACCUGUAUGAAAAGUGUUUCAUUUGAUGUGAUCUACAAGUUUGUUAUUAAGAGCUUGCCUAGAUUUUGAGGUUGUAGGGACGGCGCGUGAGGCCCACUCAUCCCGUUUGUGGUGGUGCGUGGCCGUGCAUCCGGCAGGGGUUGGGAGGUCUGUGGUAAUUGUUAGCUUCUACUCAUCGAUAUGAGCACGUUGACAUGUCAUGAGGUUAUGUUUUGAUCAAGUAAUGCAUUCUAAGUUUAAGGUUAAGUUGAAAAUCAUGUAAGGUUAAGCUAUGGAGAUCAUUUGGGUACCAAAUUAGAUUAAAUGAAUUAAUUGAACAAUAUAUUUCUAACGGAAACCGUUCGUGUAAAUCACAAUUACUGAAACUCAAUUGAACUCUAAAUUGGAUGAAACUUUGCAGGAAUAUCUACACACUAUGUUCGAGACACUGAAUGGUGGAGAUGUGAAAAUGUGACGUAAAAAUGAGUGAAAUGAGAAGCACUACACUUUAAUUUCAAAGCGGUGUCCUGCUCUGAAAGAAAACUUUAUAUAUAUAUAUAUGCCUUUUCAGAUACAAACAUCCUUAUUUAUUCAAAAUGUACGGAUUUUCUUAAUUUGACCCACUUUUCUAUCCUAAUUUCUCAUCUUAACCGUUGAAAUAGUAGGUAUAUAUGAGUAGAUCAUCUCCACAAAUUUUCAGCUAAUUUGGUGAUCGUUAAAGUAUCGAAAAUGAAUUAAAUCAAUGAACGAAUUGAAACUGUUCAACCUGAACCGUUCAUGUUCUUAGUUCUAAAUCACAGUUUUGAAUGCCUUAACGAUUAUCAAUUUGGUUGAAAAUUUGUAGAGAUGAUCUACUCAUACAUACCUAAAAGCUGAACGGUUAAAAUGAGAAAAUAUGAUCGAAAAGUGGGUUAAUUAAAUAAAUCUGUACCUUUUGAAUAAAUAAAGAUAUUUGGACUUGAUAAUAAUUAUAUAUAUAUAUAUAUGUGCUUAUCUUGUCUUGCAAAUUAUUAUUCUAUAUUUCUUGUCAACAAUUUAACCAAAUAGAUUCACCUUCUGAGCAACUGUCCUUUCUAGAUGGUCUUGUGUAAAUAAUUUUUUUACAUAUAACUAGUAUAAGCCAACAACUUAUUGUAUGAACAUGAAACAAAGAAUUUCUCACAAAGCAGAAAUGUAUAUAAUCUACUGAUAUUUUCCUCAGUAGUCAAAUGAAACUAUUCUUAAUUUGAUUGAUGUAGUUUUGAUAUUAAUUAAUUAACUGAUACAUGAACAAAGAUAUAUGAAAGUCUCUAUUUUCUUGUCUUGACCACAAGAAAAAAAGAGAAGUUUAUGUUUGAUUAGAAAAGUUGCACGGACGUAGGUAUAAGGUUUAAAGCAUCUCCAGCAGCAUUGAUAAAUUGAAAAAAAUUAGAAAUUUAUCAAUUUUUAAAUAAAUUUUUGCUCCAGCAGUAUACUUAAGAAGUUGAUAAAUUUAGAAAUUGAUAGAGAAAAUUGAUAAAUUUAUCAUUCUUUGGGAGACAAUUAACUAAAACUUAACUAAUGUAUACAAUUUAGCAAUACUAUUGGAGCAAAAGUUCAAAAAUUGCUGUUGUAAAUUUAAAUGUUGAUAAAUUUAGCAAUAAAUUUAACUCUAUUACUGGAGAUGCUCCUUUGGAAAAUCCCAUCAUGAACAAAGAUAUAUGAAAGUCUCUAUUUUCUUGUCUUGACCACAAGAAAAAAAGAGAAGUUUCUGUUUGAUUAGAAAAGUUGCACGGACUUAGGUAUAAGAUUUAUACAUAAAAGAUAAUACAUAGAGCCCCUUAGGAAAAUCCCAUCAUGAACAAAGAUAUAUGAAAGUCUCUAUUUUCUUGUCUUGACCACAAGAAAAAAAGAGUGUUUGAUUAGAAAAGUUGCACGGACGUAGGUAUACGGUUCAUACAUAAAAGAUAAUACACAGAGCCCCAUAGGAAAAUCCCAUCGGUUUACAUUUUACACACACAAGACAUUUUAUUUUUUGUCACAUCCCGACCCUUAAAUUUUUACUUUAUUUACUAGCUUGGUUAUAAUAAGAAUUUUACAGUCUCCGUCAAUGAAUUUAUAGUUUAAUUGGUCCUUAGAGGGGUUUGGAGGACGGUUAUUUUCGGAGAAUUAUUCGUAGGAGAAAAAUACGACGACGAUAAAAAUUAUAAAUUUUAGCUAGUAAAAGGUAAUUUUUAUUAGGGUAUUAUUUUUCAGGGUGUUUUAUUUUUGGAGUUGGGUUUGUUGUGGAGUGGGUUUAAGUUGGACCAGGUGUGGGAGAAGCCCAACACCCACAUACUCCUCUCUCCUCUCCCGAUUUCCCUCCCCCAAAACCUUUCCCCCCCCCCCCCCCCCGCCCUGCCAGACUUUCCUGCCGUCCGCCCACCGUUCGUCGCCGCUCUGGUCCCAAACGGUCGUCCUCCGACCCAGCUUCCAUUCUAGGCCGGUGAGAGCUGCCCAAGCUCCGCCGUGAAGGAGUUCUCUCCCCCGAAGGCCCGACUACCGUGGUGGUUCCAUCGCCGGAACUCCCUAAUCCGGCCGCCAUAACCGGCGAUUCUUGGUCCGUUGGAAAGCUCUCCUCCCGUGCAUCAAUCCCUCCACAGAGCUCACCCUCUCUUGAGCUAGGUAAGGAGAUGUGUGGAGUUGAAUUUUCUAGGGUUUUUUAGGACGUUUUAGUUCGAUUACCUUAGUUAGGCUUGUAAUUGAUGUUUGUGCUAGUUAAGAAAGUUGUAGAGGGGGUUGAGAGGAAGAUGCUGUCAAAAUCUCAUAGACAUUGGAGGUUGCCGGAGUUGGCCUCUGGCCGCCGCUGUUUGAGAGAUUUUUAUGGUUUUAAAUGUGGAAUAUUAAAGGGAGUUUAUUGAUGUGAAUUAUGGAAUUUUUGGAGGAGUUUUGGUUAGGUUUGUGAAUUUCCGAUGUUUGGUAUUUUUGGCGGUUAAUUAAUGUAGAAUCCGUCUGUAGGAUUAAAGUCGUUAAAUCUGUGGGAGGUUGUAUAACGGCUGCCAAUUUUAGUAUUAAAGUUUGGAUCGUUUCGGUUUAGGAAUAUCGAAGUUAGGCGAGAAUAAGCGUGGUUACGGCUCAUAUUUAUUUUGCCUAUUUUUGAGUAACUAUUGGAAUUUCGGUUGGGAAAUUAAUAUUCUAUUUGGAAGAGGACGUGAGGAGGCUCGAGCAGACGAGGCCCCAGAUCGACAUCAGGCUUAGGCCUAAUUUACGAGUGGACUUUUGUUUUAAAUAAUAUGCAUGCUAUGGUUAUGGUUGAACAUUUAAAUUGUUGGAGUUUUGACGUCAUUUAAUUUUGACGCUUUUAUUUCUCUUGGAGAGUUACCGAAAAAUAGAAUUUUUCGGUGAGUAUAAAUAUGUAUAUUGAAGAGAGUAUGUAUAUAAAUGCUAACUAGCCAUAUGUGUAUGUCCACAUUAAUGGCGUAGCAUAUAGCCACAUUAUGGCGUGACGUGAGCGUAGUAGCCAUAUAUGAGUGUUUAAUUCAUAUAGAGAGUAUGGACACAUAUUUAUAUACCCGUCUGUCCACUUUAAUGGCGUAGUGUAGCACCGCAUUAAGGCAUGACAUAAGCGUUGGACGCGAGCGUAGUAGCCUUAUAUAGACCCAUGAAUUUAUAUAGGGAGUAUGAACGUGUGUAAAUACAUAUAUAUAUUUUAGAGCCUGAGAGGCUCGAUAUUUUAUGAGAUUAAAGUUUUAUCGCUUGCAGCAUGCAUUCGAUUUUUCCUUGGAAAUUGAUUUGGGGAAACAUAGAUAUUUUAUUUAUUAAUUUAUCUUUGUCCACUCACUCUAACAUUUUCGAAUGUUUUUCCCUGGACAUUUCGUUUUAAAACGCCCAGUCUGCAGAGUUCGGGUUGGAUCUAGUAGAAGGCGAGGCAUAGUCACCCGCAUUUCCACCACUUUUCAUCAGUAGGUUACCUAAUUAACCUACUCGUGUUUUCCUACUUCCACUAGUGUCUAGUAGCUCUGAAUACUUUGAGAUUAAUGUAAAUUAUUUUGGUGGUGUGCUCGGUCUGUCGAUUUCUGUUUAGAGUUUCUGAAGGAUAAGGUUUACUAUUUUAGCUGGAUAUUUAUGUGAUGUUUGGAUGUUGAUGUAUUGUUGAUAUUGUGGCGGUUGUGUUUGCGGGGAGCAGAUGGCUCCAGGAGUUAAGGUUGGAUGUGUUUUAGUAGGAGUGUAAAUUUGAAAUUUUCAGGUUAGGGUUGUCCAUUUUCAAGGGAGAUUUUGCCAAUUUUUCUGUAAAUCUUUUCUUGGGAGUGGUCCCCGCAUGAUUUACUUCGGGUUUCAGGAUGAAAUUCGGGGUGAGUCUUGAUAUUUUUGAGCUAUUCGUUCAACUACAACCACAAUAAUGGUUGUGGUUAGCUCAUAAAUGAACCAAUAUAUACAUAAGUAGAAUACUCAGAACUCUAUAUAAGAACCAGUCUUCUCAUAGUUGAGACAAGUUAGUGACGGCUAACCUUGACUCCAACAUUAAAAGAUAAAAGUGACACUCAAUUCAAGAUGCCAAGACGAGUUUCUCUCUGCUCUCCCUUAUAGACACAGCCGUCUAGGGUUAGGGUUUUCAAAAGAAAAUCCCUCGUCGUUUGGUGCUUCUCUCCAUGGCAGCUUCAAUUGCUUCAAUGACAGCAAGCCUUGUCUCCAAACUCUAUCUCGGAGAUGAACCUGUGGAUCUGGGAGAUCUCAAAAACCCUUCCAAGGGCUUCGUCGCACCACGCUUCUUCUUGGUGUGAUGUCUCAACACUGCCCAUGCAGUGGUGUUUGAUGCCUUUCGUAGUGCAGUUCGCGGUAUGUGGCGCAUUACCACUCCGGUGGAGGUGCAAGCAAGAGGAGAUCGAUUCUUGUUCACCUUCUCCAAUGAAAGAGAUCUGAAUCGGGUGAAGAAAGGAGGUCCUUGGGCUUACCAACCAACAAGCUAUGAUCUUGAUCAAUGAUUACAAUGGCUUUUCUGAUAUCAUGGUUGUCCCAUUGAAUUUUGUGUGGAUAUGGGUGGAAAUUGAGGGACUUCCGGUUGCCCUGAUGACGGAGGCGACGACUAGACUUGUGGGAGAGACCAUUGGUACCGUGCUGUAAGUCGACACCCUGGGUUUGAACAGAGGUGUGGCUAGGGUUCGUAUUAUUCUACUUAAUAACCCUGUAAGAUUUGAAAGGAGAAUUAGGGUUUCCCCUGAAGAUGUUAUUCUGGUCAAGUAAGUAUAAGCGACUACUUAGCCGAUAUCGUAUUUGCUGGAUGAUUAAUCAUGGAGGAAGGUCUUGUCCAUGUGAAGCUGAAGAUGCUGUCGCUGUCCAACCUCUGGCUCCGGCAGCGCCUCUUGCUCCGGCUCCUAUGGUGUUCAGGGUCAACUCUUCUCAGGUCUUAAUCCCACCCUCUCCUUUGAUACCUUCCUUCUCUCCCCUAUUUGGAAAAGAGAAGCGUUAUGUGCAGAUCAGGGCAAUCCCAGAAUUCCCAUCUCUGGUGAAACUAGCAGGAGUGAGGUGUAUGAGGGAAGAGGAGGUCCCGAAAGUAGGGAAGCGAACCAAACAUAGCCUUGCAGUGAUCCCAUUCCAACUGGAAACAAAAGUCUUUGAGUUCGUAGUUGGUUCUGAUGGUGCUCUAGGUAUCAUGAAAAAGUCACUAAAGAAGAGGGGACGCCCAUGCGACAGCAAGAACAAAAAGAGGAACAUGGAAGUGAUAUCGAAAUCCAUGGCAUUCGGGUAUGGUGAUUCCGAGUAGGAAGCCUCUCUAAAGGCAGAGGUGGAGUAGUCGCUCCAAGGAUGGAACAAAGAUCCCUACUCAACUUAAUAGGAGGUCCCCCUUACUCAUCGACGGACAAGUACACCGUUGAGUCUCUAGGCCUCAUGUUGAUGUUUAGGUCAUCAAUUCUGUUUGUGUAGGUUCAUUGCUUUCUAGUUGUAAUCGUCUACCUUUUUGGACGGCUUUUGUGGUUUUCCCCUUUUAGUCUUAGUUUUAGGUGAAUAAAGAGUUUACUCUGAUAGCUUGUAAUGGAGUUUACUCCUGCCUGACCUAGCAAUAGUUGGUCGUAUGGCUUGAAUGUCAAUGAAGUUUAUUCAUUUUCCUCAAAAAAAAAAAAAAUCCUAUAUGGGAACCGAUAUAUGUACCAUUCUUUUUUUAGGCCGAACCCACAUAUAUAUUUUUUUAAAGAAAAAUAAGUAUAAUAUAUAAUCCAACGUUACAACCAACGAUUAUAGUGGACAAGAACUGAAGGGUUCAAUAGUAACCUAACCUUAUCCAGAAGUGUCGAUACAUCCUCACAGUCAACCUCAAGAAGAAACAACUCUUUCAAACAUUAUAUGCAAAAACUACUAGUAUAUAUGCAUAGGUAACAUCCUCAUUACAUUGACAACAAGAACUAACCGACGUUUAAAUAGUCGUAGACAUAACACCAUAACCAUGGCACACCAAUGACACGACCCCGACACCAACCUAACAAAACCCUAAAUCCUCGCUCAAAAAGUAGGUCAACACCCUCGCUUAAAGAGGAAGGACAUCUAACCAUAACAAAAAAAACAAAAACAAAAACAAAAAACAGUAAAAAGAACAUAUACCAAACUAAAUUCCAGACUCAUACUUUAACCUAUCUAGGCCGAAUAUAUGUAAAAACUACCAGCAUAUAUGCAUAGGUAACAUCCUCAUUACAUUGACAACAAGAAUUAACCGACGUUUAAAUAGUCCCUAGACACAACACCAUAACCAUGACACACCAAUGAUACGAACCCGUUACCAACCUAACAAAACCCUAAAUCCUCGCUCAAAAUCUUCGCUCAAAAAGUAGGUCAACACCCUCACUUAAAGAGGAAGGACAUCUAACCAUAACAACAAAAAAAACAGUAAAAAGAACCUAGACCAAACUAAAUUCCAGACCCAUACUUUUAACCUACCUAGGCCGAUUAACGUAGCCUUGACACAAAGAAAGGAACAACAAAAACACUUUCGUCUUCUCCCCGAUCCAAGCUGCCGUUGCACCACCGCACCACCACCAUGGCCAAACUCUACUACCACCAACAUUAACCCAUGCCACGCCCACGCUAGCUUGUAUAGCUGCCAAAGAGUCAUCCCCACAAAACCCCUAAGCCAGAGCGAAACCCAGAAUAUCCAGAUUGUCUCCGACAUCCUUAAGGUCAAGCCACUAAUUUUGACAAAGUAACCAUCAAGCACACCUGACUCACCGAUCGCUGUAAGCCGCCCUUAUCCCAGCAAGAAUCCCUGAUCCAAACAAUUCACGGCCCCCCAAAAAAUCUUUAAUGCACCGUCAUCUCAUAUCAGGAAAUCCUGGAACAUGCCUCUCUGAUCGCAUCCUUCGAUCUCAAAUAACGUCAACCCACUAGACAAUCCCGUCCGGCCACACCCAUCAGACGUUGGCAUGGCCAGAGAUGUCACAGAGCCGCGGCGCAGCCAGACAAGAGAGAACUCGCACAUUGCAAAACCCUAGUUCUGCUACUUUUCCAGAGCAAUGAGUCUCUUUCUUUUUGAACCCACAUAUUUUGUGUUGUUUAUUCCAAGGAGGAUUAAGAUGCAACAUGCCCUGUCAUGGUUGGAGUAGUGAUGAUUCGGUGGUAGGUGUUAAGUCACUCGCAAACGACGAUAUUCGGUGGUGGUUGUGUAGAGUCACAAAUCUUUUAGAUUCAGAUAUCUUGAGAAAAUUAACUGAGGGAUUAGUUUUUUUUGAUCGAAUACGUUAGAGAACUUUAUUGAAAAAAUCAUCGAUUACACGGAGGGGAUGCAAGCAAACCCUGUAACUCCCCAGGAGGGGCACCGACCCAACGGGAAGGAGAAGAGCAACUAAGAGCCAAACGAGCUAGCUUAUGCGCUACCAAGUUGGACUCCUUGAAAACAUGACUAAAAAAAGAAGAAUUAAGAGACAACAGAUCCUGUUUAAUAUCCUCAACGAUCAUGCCGAAAGCAGAAUCCUCCACAUCAGACUGAGUAGCCUUUAACCAGAUUGAGACAGUCUGACUCCAAGACNNNNNNNNNNNNNNNNNNNNNNNNNNNNNNNNNNNNNNNNNNNNNNNNNNNNNNNNNNNNNNNNNNNNNNNNNNNNNNNNNNAAACUCUCCUUAGACACACACUCCAAACAUAACACCAACCACUCCAUCAUAGACAUUGGGUGAGAAACAACCUGAAGGACAGCAUGAAGCUUAGGAAACAUCAUCACUAAAUCCCGAAAAUAACAACAAUCACGACACACAUGCGCAGUACCCUCCUCCUCCUCAUUACAGAAGAAACAACCCUGGUUAAUAAAGACAUGCUUAGAUCUCAACGAAACAACUGUCGGAAGAAUAUCUGAAACGACCUUCCAGAUAUGCACCUUAAUCUUGCUAGGCACCUGUGAAAACCAAACACUCUUCCACAAAGAAACAGAGACCGAGUCUGUCGAGGAAGAAGGUUGAGCAUGGCACAGUUGCCUCGCAAGAUCAUAAGCAGAGCGUGUGGAAAAACGCCCUUUCAGAUCAUAGUGUCACACUAGUUUAUCCGGGCCAGCACGCUGACUCAAAGGAAUUGUCAGAAUCAGAUCAACAUCCGCCUGCUCAAAAUGUUCCCCAACCAAAUCAACAUUCCACAUUCUAUCAACAGAAAUAAAAUCACUAACCAGCAUAUUACUACUGCCCCUCUGACUUAGAGGCCGAAAGUCCCGAGGUCUAGGGAGCCAAGGAUCCUCCCAAGCCCGCACCGAACACCCGUCACCAAUUUGCCAACGAGUCCCAUUAACCAACAAAUCCCGGGCCUCAAAAAUACCACGCCAACAAGCAGAUGGCAUGGAAGGGUUAGGAGCAGACCAAAAAUCAGUAUGAGGAAAGUACCUGGCCUUAUACAACCUUCCCAGAAGAGAGUCUGGAUUUUUAACCAACCACCACCCCUGUUUAGCAAGCAACGCAAGAUUAUGAGCAUACAGAUCACGAAAACCCAUACCUCCCUCCUCCUUCGGACGACAUAGCCUCUCCCACGACAUCCAAUGAAUCUUUCUAUCAUCCGCUGUUCCACCCCACCAAAACCUAGCACACAUUUGAUGGAGGGAAUUGCAAAAAGUUUUUGGAAGUAGGAAACAGCUCAUCGAGUACGAGGGAAGAGCCUGAGCAACAACUCUAAUUAAAAUAUCCUUCCCGGCACUACUAAGAAGUUUACCUUGCCACCCUUCUAAUUUCUUGCUCAACUGCUCUUUGAUAUACCCAAAGUGAGGGAUUAGUUAAUGUGAUUAAUAGUGAUUGAAAUUACGGACUUCAGGUUUGAAGAUUUGUUCCAGAUGCUUUUGGAGGACUUUUGAGUUUACAAGGGUUAAUAAGUCUCAGAAAAAGGGAAGACCGGUAACAUUUUGGUUGACAUACAAAUUAUGUACACAGAGAAUUGAAUUGGUGAUCAGCUCGGAUCAAGAUCUUUUCCUUGGCUAAUUAAUGUUCUUGGUUAUCCUUAACUUUAAAUCCUAACCAUUGAUGAGAAAUCCAAGGGCCUCUGACAGGACACAUCAGCAAAAUGUACAUUACAUAGAAAAUUUCAGGAUUUGGUUAACACAAUUUUAACUUACAUUAAAUGUACAUUAAUUGGAUUUGCUUCUUAACAUUGAAAUUUUCCCCUUUUUCAUUUUCACUCCAAUAACCCAAUCUGACAAAACGAAGAAGGUCAUUUCAGGCCAACACAGACCAAACCUAGACCACCUUGUCGAAAAAACAAAAACGUUUCUCUCUAUUGCUUUCUCUCUCUAAAACUUUAUCUCUCUAAAAACAACUCCAUCGCCUUCGAUCGAGAUAUGAAAUCGAAUUCGUCUAAAUCUAAAGCCAUGAUCUUUCAGUGAACCCCAUCUCGAUUUCAAUCCCGGCUGCGAAAAGCCAAUCUGACAAAACUCUUUCACCUUCACCUCCUCAGCCCUCCCAGUCACCUGCACUCCCUUAAACUAAAGAAUUAUGAAAUUCAAAGCAUAUUUGAAUAUAUCUAAUAAUCCCUAUUAUAUAUAUACACCAGAUCUAACUCCCCAAAUGUGGAUUCCAAGAGCAAUCUGAAAAAUCCUCUGUGGGAUUUUGCUUAUGCUUGCGUUUGGAUAUCAAGAAUCCUUUUUCUUCUCUGGACGAUGAUCAAGAAGACCCAAUCGAUUGAAUGAUCCCUUAACUCUGUUGAUUUUUUUUUGGCGAAUAACUGUAUUGAUCUUGAUCCAUCGAUCAUAAUUUCAUAUGAAGAGGAGGGAUUUGUUUGGGUAAAGUUUAUAAUUGGUUGUGGGGUCUCCAUUACUCGAUCAACUUUGAGUUAUAGCUUUCCAGAAAGGUGUGACAGAGGAAUAUAGAAUUGCUUCGAUGAGAGACGAAGGAUUCAUUUGUGGAAAGGAGGAAGAUGGGAGAAAACUUAGGGUUAGUUUGGUGUAACAUCUUGGAAUUUCAGUUUUUUAUUUUUAAAAGGAAAUUUAUUUUUUGAGUUAUUUUUAUUUCGAUUUUUUAUUAUUUUUUUAAUUCUUUGUGGGUUUUGGAAUUUUUUUAAUUUUUGGUUUAUCAAAAUUUUCUUUCGAGCCCAUAGGAUUAAAUUAGACGUCGUUACGAAUUCGUAGGAUUUUUCGGAACAUCGUUUGGACAUCAGAACUAUUUUUAAUGAUUUUUGUGUGUUGGUUGUAUGAGAAUGAAGGAAAGUUGUUAGCUAUGGAAUUGUUGUCCGUAGCUACUCUAAAUGCAGGGUUCAAAGAGUUCUACUGUUAUUAAUGUGUGAGGUGGAAUUGCACAAUUGAGGUUUAGCAAAGAUGAAUGAUACAAGAAAUAAGGAUUUAUUAUGGGUUCAAAUUAUUUGGGUGUCCUUAGUAAACUUCUGAGUUUGAUCAUGUUGAUUGGAAGUGAUCCGCUGACUUUCUCAGAAAAAGGAUUUGGAACGAGGAUUGAAUGCACGUUGCAGUUCCAGAAGCAGAAGGAUAAAGAUUUCAGAAAGCGUGUCGCUGUGUUACUAAUUUUAGCUAGCGUCAGAAGUAGCGUUGGAUUUCAGGUAGUGUCUUUCUCGGGGAACCUUUUUUAUAAUUUGAUAAUUAGAUUAUUAUUGAAAUCGAUGAAUUGUUUGCCAUUGAGUGAUAUAACUCUUGGUUGUUAUUGUUUUUGUUAAAAGCAUGUGAUAUCGUUGAAAUAUAUGAUUGAUGUUUUCGCUUAUCAAAAAAGCAUGUAUUGAAUGUUAUGAUAUAAGUAUUGAUAUUCGUUGCAUACAUUAUGCAUUGUGAGGAAACGUGAGAAUAGUGAGUGGUGAUUAUGGAGAGGUGUGAAUGAGAUCAAUAGAAUAGAUACAUUUUGUGUAGUUGAAUUUCCUCAUGGGGACUUCCAGUAGCUAUGAUUAGCCCACCUGCGCAAAUGAGUAUGGAGUGUAUGCCUUUUCGACGUAUGAGUCGAUAAAACGAUCUUUCGGGUUUCGAGACUAGAGACCAUGAGAUUAACAAAAGACUAACAAAAAAUGUACUGGAGUUUAUAUAUUACUGAUUUGUUAGGUUGUAUAUUCGAGACAUCUGUAUGGGACGUGUAGGUACAAAUGUCUUGGGUGUAUGUUCUAAUUAGCCAGUAAUAGAGUGGAGGGAGUGCAUUAACAUUUAUGCAUCGUUUUUGUCGUUAUUUAUAUAAAGUAUUGUUUGUUAUUUGAUAACUUGAUUUUGCGACAUAGAUAAGAAUAACCUAAAAAGGUUAGGCCCUACUGAGCGUAAGCUCACCCCUAUAGACUUUUGUUCAGGUUUGUACGAGGUAUGCCACGUCUUACAAGAAGACUAACUGUGUCGUUUAGUUGACAUGUACGAGAGUCAACUAGGUUUACAAAAGAUUAGAAGUGAGAUAGAUCGCAAUGACUCAUCAUUUUGUCUUUGUAAUUGUUUUUGUUAUUGUAAACGUUUUAUUUUCUUUUAUUUCGAGAAAAGUAUUUGAAAUUGUUUUAGUUUCUUUUACUUUUCCCGCUCAUGCCUCGGGUUCGGCGUCAGGUGCUUGGAAACCACUGACAUUGCGUUCGCGGUGUGACAAUUGGUAUUGCUGUGACUUUAACAAAAAAAACUGCUGCAGCUGUACUGCGAAAAUAAUCAGCUAUGAAUUAAAACAGUUUUGUGUUUAGUAAAUAUUAGUUUUAAAACUGCCGCCAAGAUAAAAUUUAUUAAUUUCUAGUGUUUUUAGUGACAGCUGGUUUUCAAAGUAACAUUCAGGUUGCUUCUAAAAGCUACUGCCAGUGACCUGUAAUUUAAAAAAAAAAAAAAAAAACUGUUUUUACUUUCAUUUACCAAACACUAUAAAAUCUAAAAAUUUGGAUAGAACCUGAUUUUUUUAAAAAGCGAAGCUGUACCAAACUAGGCCUUAGAAGAGAAAGAAAACAGGUUGGAAGUUGGGUGACGUUAAGUUUCGUUAACAUUGAAAUUCCGAAAAGUGGUAUUUAAUGUACAUUUUGCUGAUGUGGCUUACCAAUGCCCCUUAGAUUUUCCAUCUACGGUUAGAAUUAAAAGCUGAACAUAAUCAAGGCCAUUAACUAGCCAAGCAGAGGAUCCUAAUCCGAUCAUCUCUCCAGAUGUGAAAAUGGCAAAUGGAGUGAAGUGCAAUACCUAGGUUUCUAUGGGUUUCAUUUUGGGUGUUAAUCUGGAAUCUUUGGUUUGAGAAUAGGAGAGAGAGACUAUUCAAAGAAAAAAAAACCAAAUAGGGGAGAUAUAUAUAUACAAGGAUUAUCAGGUGUGGACGUCCGUACGGGUUUUCCGUACGGAUUUCGGCCAUUUCUCCACCAUUCCAGCGCCGGCAAUGCCGUUUCUUAUCCCCGGCUUGAUCUCAGACCUCCCCCGACGGUGUUAGAAUGAAGAAGAAGGCCGGAGAGAUCGCGAUCGGAGGUNNNNNNNNNNNNNNNNNNNNNNNNNNNNNNNNNNNNNNNNNNNNNNNNNNNNNNNNNNNNNNNNNNNNNNNNNNNNNNNNNNNAGAAGAAACGGCGUCGCCGGCGCUGGAAUGGUGGAGAAAUGGCGGAAAUCCGUACGGAAAACCCGUACGGACGUCCGCACCAGAAACAGACUGUAUAUAUAUAUAUAGAGCUGAGUUGAAUUUACCUUUUAAAUUAUGACAUCUGGGACUAACUAACGACGUCAUUAACGUUGUGUAUGGUUACUUAGUUGUACUUGAAAUAUGAUAUACCAAUGUUUAUGUUUUAAAACUUGUUGUAAUGAAAUUAAUGGUUCAAGUACACUUACCAAAAUUUUCCCUUUCAUAUAUAAUUUCUAGUGAAGCUGAUCAAGGGUCAUUAGAAUACUGAUUGGGUUAGUAGAAAAGUGAGGUCCAACCAUACCGCAUCAACCAAUCAGGUGCCAGCUCUCUGCCCUUUUCCUCCCUAAGAGGUUUUCUCUCUAGAGACAACCACCUUUGAGAGUCGGUGGCAGCCACCCUCCCGUCAAAGGUGUUUGGGCCCAAUUUUAUAUUGGUGAUCUUGUAGUGACUAAACCCUAAACCCUAAAGAUAUUAUGUCAGAGGGCUCGGUUAGGAAAAUAUCUUUCCUGAUUUGAUUAGAGAUUCGAUUGCUUUGGAGACAAGUUAUUCGCAAACCGUAGACACCUAGUUCCAUAUAUAAGGAGGCCAAGGCGAAUGAGAAGCCCACCGACAAUUCAACAAAACUUUACAUCACUGCAAUUUGGACGCCUCUCCAAGAGCACCCAAUCUACCAAAAAAGCCUCUCCAGGGAGCACCACCAAAGCCUCAUUGCGAGCAAAUCCCGCUUCACUCAUCAUGCCUCAUCGCGAGCAAAAGUCCGCCCCAUUGUUAAUGAGAAAUCCUUGGCAAAUAUCCUUUUAUUUUUAUUUGUCACUGAAGUAAAUCCUAAGGAUCCGUCCUAGGUCGUUGUGAAAAGCCCCAGCAGCAGGACUGAAAGUUCCUGCUCACAGUUGUUGAAGAAAAGUCAAGAGAAGUGCGUGAAUGAACAAGAUCAAAGACAGGCACACCUCCUCAAGGUGCUAGCACGCUCGCACCAGAUUGUUGUUCGAAGGACCUAAAAAAUCCACCCCGAAAAAAGGGCGCUGCCAGGAGCUUGUCUUCUCCUCCUUCUCUGUUCCAUUCCCUUUCCUUUCUCCCUUUCCAUCUCUUUCCUUUAUGUUUUCCCCUUCAUUUCCAUUUCUCCCACUUCUAUGUUCUCUCUCAUAUUAGUUUACCACUUGGGUUUUAUCAGCUCUAAAUCAAGGUUGACAUGCUUUAUCGAUCACCUGCAUCUCAUGUUGUUCGAUUUCGCCUGAUAUGUUUGCUUUCGCUAUUCUCAGAGCUGGGUAUCCGAUCUGGAUCGAUUGUUGCCUUCUGCCUUUUCUCUUUCUUUUGUUUUGUGUCCCAAUCGGUUUGAUCGGAUUUGUGUCUGGUCGUGUUUGGGGUCGGCUGGUUUUGGGGCUUCAUUUAUAUGGGUGAUAUUUGCUCGAUCUAUGUGGUGGUUCGGCUCCUCACGGUGAGAGCCGUGGUGGCGUUCCAUCAUCGGUGUUGCACAACGCGGGUCCCUAUCCAGGCUUCCCUUCAGUCUUGCCGCCUCUGCUACGUACUAUCCCUCUGCUUCGGGUUCUUCAAGUGGCGUUUGCAGAAACAAACCAAGGACGACGUUCCAUCAUCGGUGCUGCACAGCGCGAGUCCCUGCCUCUGCUACUCUCACUCUUCUUCGGGUCCUUCAAGUGGCGUUUACAUAAACAAACCAAGGACAUCAGCGAUUACAGAAACACCUGCCUGACCUUUCUUUUUUGGCAAGUCGUUGGCUCUCUGACAACAUCUGUUGUUUGUUUUUGGCUUUUUAGGUGUUGGGCCAUGUUGGUUUGGGCAAGCUGUCACACCCUGACUCUUAGUUAUUUAUUAAAUAUUUACAUUUGCGUUAUCUUGAGCUUUUACUGGCUUCAUUAACAGUUUCACUUAUAAGGAUUCUAGAGUUGACUUUUUGUUGGGUGGUAAUUUUGGAAAAUUUUCUUAAGGGAUGUCGUAAAGAACGUUAAAUUGAGUUCGUGGACACUUGGCACGUCAAAAACGGAGUUCGUGCGAAAAAGUUAUGGUCUAAAAACCGAACUUACCUCUUUUAGGCUGUACUAUAAAAAGGGAAACCUACCAUUUUGGGGUCAGAAUUUUAGAAACCCUAAAAUCCUAAUCCAGCCUCUCUCUCGCACGACCGGGAAACCUAACCCGACCCAUUUUCGUUUUCUGGCCAUAUCUCUUUCGUCCGGCGUCCGAUUGAAGUGAGAUCGGCGGCGUUGGAUUCGUAUCUUCCUCCUCAAUUUUCCUAUGGUGGUCUUGCAGCACGGUUCGUGCCAAGGUGUCUUACAAUCCCUCCAAAGGGUUUGCACCGAUUCGAAGUGAGCAAAGAGAAUUGAUGGAAAAGAGAAAUUCAAAGUUGUUGUAGAAUUCAUUUCAUGCAAGGAUAUGUGGAGAUCUCAUACGAGUGGCGUUGCGGAUAUCAUCGGGCUUAUGCCUAAAUUUGUGAGUGAACUUUUAUUUUGAAUAAAUUGCAUACGACGAUCUCUUUAUAAAUAUCUCUUCUAUAAAUAUCGUUCUCAAGAAAGUAAGAAAAUUUUAUUUUAGUUUUGUUUAUUAUUUCUAUGAUUUUGGAGUUGACAUGGGAUUAUCCUUCUUGAUUGAUUUUCAUAUACGAUGUAGAUUUCUUAUUUGGACUUAUGUUAUAAGUUGAGUUUUAAUGGUUUACGUUUUGAGAGUAUUCCGGAUUUAAUUUUUUAUUGUUUUUAUUUGUCAAAUUUGAGAUAUAUAACAAAUUAUUAAAAAUUGGAUUUUUGGUAGUUCUUUAUUAUAAUUUUAUCGUUUAUUUGUGAGAUAUCGAUCUUGACGUUGAGAAUGUUUUAGCGAGUAUUUCGGGUUGUGAUAUUAUUUACGAUUUAUACUUGAUAAUUAAAUCUCGCUUAUUAUUAUAGAUUUGAGAAUAUUUUGACGUGUGAGACACGUCAUUGAGUUUUAUUUUAAUUUCUUAUGUUAAUUUCCAAGUACGAUAGGGAACCGUACUCGUGACUGCAUUUGCACGAUAUUGGGGGAAGCUUUAUGGAUUUAAAUGUUUUUGUAUGUUUUUAGUCACCAUACUAAGGUCGUUUUUAUUCAUUGCUAGCUAGCCUUUAUAUGUGGUUCUCACCAUAGGUGAGUCGAGCACUUAGCGUGAGACGCUACUAGAGCCUGGAAGAUUCCUCUUACAUGGUGAUAUCUCUUCCUCUUGUUCUACUUCUCUUUUUGUACGAGAUUUCUAGACAUAAAGCUAAAUGUUUGUAUGAGAUUUCUAGACAUAAAGCUAAAUGUUAUAUCAAAGUUGCAUGCAUUGAAGUUUUUAAAAUUUAAACGUGGAAAAGUAUUUAAAUUACGUUCUUGUUAAAUUAUUUAAUUUAUUUUUGUCCACUCACUCUAACAUUUUUCCAAUAUUUUUUCCUGGGCCCUUCAGUUUCAAAUGCCCAGUUUGCAGCUGGCUUAUUUGAGGUCGGGCGUACAUGGAGUUGAGGCAUAGUCAGAUACAGCUUCCGUUUAUUUUUUUAAUCGUUGUUUUUCUUUCCUUAUUAGAUAUGCUCUGAUAACCCAGUUAGUAAAUUAUUAAAUGUCAUUGUUGUUUUGGUUGUGGGAUUUGAAUAUCAUGGGGAGCACGGAGGCUCCAGGUUUUGAUGUUGGGUUGUGAUUUUAUAAGUGUUUGCAGAUGUUGAUUAGGAAGGGUUGUUCAUUUUCAAUGGAGGUUAUGUCGAAUUUUCGGUAGCGCCUCUUUUGGAGGUGAUCCUUAUAGGGUUCAUUCCGGAUUUCAGGGUGAAAUCCGGGAUGGGUCUUGACACAAGCAGGUGGACUGGCUUUUGGGUCUUUUUUGUCGGGCUGGGCCAAUUUCAUGCAGCUGGUUUGUUGAUCCAGUAAUGUGUGGUAACGACUAACGAGUUUUCAAAGGUUACAAAAGGUUUAUUGGUUUCCUCAUGCAUAUUGGUGUUCUUGAAUAUGCCUUGACUCUGGUCCACAUGAACGUAACGCAUAUUGGUGUUCUUGACUAUGCCUUGACUCUGGUCCGCAUGAACGAAAUGGUUUAGUGCUAGCUUUUGGAUUAACUUAAUUUUUGUUUUGCUUGUAUAGGCUUGUUUUCAGACUUGUAUCUACGUUUUUCUUUUCUUAUCGGGUUUCGUCUAUGAAACUAAAGGAACCGGCUUUUUUGAUUAUCCGGAGCGGAUUAUACGCACCAAAGUGCAUUUGCACCAUUAAUGUAUAAGUCAUUAAAUCGUUGUAUGCGAAGAUUGAAUGAAGAAAGACUAGAGACCCUAAAUUCCUUCAUUUCAUUUUCAUUUUUGAUCCGAUCAAAUUAAGCGCCUAUAACAAGAGUACCUCUUCUUCGACCUCGGGUUCUUACCUCUUGUGUUGGAAACACUUAGGACUAUUUUUUUUUGGGUUUCAGUUUUGUUGUAUUAGUAUAUUCGUACGUGGAUGAUCAGAUCAAAAUAAUGCAUAUUAGUUGCUCAGUUCACUUGCACCUUGGUGCGUAAAAGAAUUUUCGGACAAAUAAACCAAAAAAAACAAAAUGCAAGACCUAGGAACUCCCAAUAAUAUGCACAAAACCAUAACAAUACACACAAAACCAUAACUUCUAUAAAACACAAAUAGACAUGCAAUUCAUAAUCAAGCUCACGUAGAGAUGCAAACUGUAAUCUACAUCGAUUCAUUGCCUAAGCCCUCAACUUCAAUUGAACCCUAUAGUUUAAUGCCUUCAGCCCUAAGCAUUUAUCAAUUUACUUCCUGCCGGCCAAAUCCAUCUCGUUAAGUCCAGCACAUUUAUCAGUGUGAUCCAUCAGAUACUCGAGGGUAGCAAGUAGGACAUGCAGAUUCUACAAUAUCAGUACUCAUUAGCGGAAUUUGGGUUUGUAAUGAUGGUACCAGCGAUAUUCAGUUUCAAUCAUCACUCAUUGUGCAUAAUUACAUCUUUCAUGACUCAGCUCAAUCUGGUCUUCUACAAAGAUAGUGUAAAAGAAACUAUACUACAGAUAUAAACAAUUUUUACAUGACUGCUAGUGAAAAAUCACGCCUUAUUCUUAGAUGGGGGAACACAUUACAAUCUGGCUUUGCAGCUGUACGGAAAUGGAUUCAUAUCCAAAAAUGGUUCUUCUAUGCAGAUGAUGUAGAAUUGAGAUUCAACUCAGGUCUGACUGUAUAAGGGAUGCAGUUGCCUUCUCCAUUUUUCUAACCUGUUCAGAAGGCGACGCUCCUGAAAUUUGAAAUGAUGAAAUUGAGGAGGGAGCUACAAGACUAGUGCUGGUUCCACAUACAGGCCCUUCGAUUAUAGCCCUUGGGGAUGGGGGUUUCCCUAUCUCCGUAAUUCCUUCCAGCAUUUGUACAACUUUUCCCAUCAUUGGCCUAUGAGAUGGCUGCUCUUGUAUGCACCAGAAUGUUACCUGAAUUGCUCUCAUCACUUGAUCCAUAUCAACAUCUUGGUCAGCUAGCCUUUUAUCGAUGAUUCCCCUGAUAUUACCCUUCUCAAAUUCGUCAAAGACCCAUAUGGAGAACUUUUUCCUCUCUGUCUCUUCAGAAACUUCAAAAUUCCUUCUCCCACUAACAAUCUCUAGCAGAACCAUACCAUAACUAUAAAUAUCAGAUUUGGAAGUUAUUGGCAGAUUUGCUAACCAUUCUGGUGCCAAAUAACCUCUAGUCCCUCUAACACUGGUCAAAGUUCGGUACCUGUGGUCCUUUGGAUUAACAAGCUUUGCGAGGCCAAAAUCAGAUACUUUGGAAUUGUAAUUCUCAUCCAAAAGAAUGUUCUCAGGCUUUAUAUCACAAUGCACAAUGCAAUCUCGGCACUCCUCGUGAAGGUAUGUGAUUCCCCUUGCAGUGCCAAGGGCAAUCUUGAAUCGAUUCUCCCAACUUAAGAAUUUUCCUGACUGCUCUUCUUUGGCAAAAAGGAAAUCAUCAAGGGACCCAUUUUUCAUGAACUCAUAUACUAAAAGCCUAUGACGGCCCUCUGAGCAGAAACCAAUCAGCCUCACUAGAUUCAAAUGAUGGGUGCUACUAAUUGUUGCAACCUCCAUCCUAAACUGCUUUUCUCCUUGCUCAAUCCCCUCGAGUUGCUUUACUGCAACAACAGUUCUAUUAGCAAGAAUUCCCUUAUAUACAGCUCCAAAUCCUCCGGCUCCAAGCUUCUCCUUAAAUCCUUUGGUUGAGCGCUGGAGUUCUUUGUAUGAAAACUGAACUGGCGCGCCAGAGGCAUACUCAAGAAGAGCAUAUUGAGCAGACAAUGCACCAAAGCUUGGACUGUUUCUGCAAAACCACCACCAAAGACCACCCUCCAAUGCCAUCAAACCCAAAAGGGAAGCGACAACCACAAGAACCACUAUCCAUGCCCCCAUCUUCCAACCCUUUUUCUUGCCAGAACUAUCCAUUGAAGAGGGCGGAUUUAGAACCACCGGUCCACAAACCUUGAUAUAGGAACUGCUAGUCAAAGCUGGACUGUGAUACCCGCUGAGAUAACCUGGUGUCUUGUAGUAACAUAACCCUGUGCCAUCAGACAAAGAUGUUGAAGCAUCACAAGGAUUAUUAACAAGGCAGUUUAAUCUACAGGCUGAUAUACCCACAAAGAAAAUCUGUGAAUCCGUCUCGGGAGGGUAAGUCAAGAACCGAGUAUGAUCCAAAUCCAGCAUAGUCACACUCUGAGGACAGUCCUCAAUCUCCAUCUUCCUCCUACACCCUUGCCUGCUAUCCUUGGGAUCCACCGGCUCGAAAUUAAGAGAAGGGCAGCCACAAACAGGAUUGGAAUCAUUAUAACUGCAAAUUCCCAUAUUCCCACAAUAGCCAAACACCUGACACUGAUCAGUAACAGCUGCCCAUCUCUCGGUUUUAGUCCCGCUACCUUUAGCAGAGCUAUAAAUCCUUACAUUCCCAUCACUCUCAAGCUUCAAGAACCUCAGAAUAUCACCAGCCUCAGCAUAAUCAUUACUAUAAGCAACAAUAGCAGCAGUGGGCAGCUUGGGAUCAGAAAUGGUCAAAAUCCCAAUAGGCUGCAAUUCUAAAUUAGGAGAAGUCAAGUUGGGGGUAUUGCUAGUAACAGAGGAGUUCAACCCUUGAUUCCAAUACACAAUAGUAUCGUUCCACAACAGAGUCAGAUUCCCAUUCUUAAUGAGCUUGAACGAAUACAUACCCGAUCGCAAAACCUUACCCACAGUGAAGUUCUGGGACGGCACGAUCGUAUCCGUCGGGUUGUCGAAGCUGGACCAGACAUCAUCGGUGCCGUUACGGAGGAUAAGGUUGCCGGAGUCGUCGAGCAGGGCGGAGGAGACGCCGCGGCCGGCGGUGUUGGAGUCCCAGACGGUGCGGUUGGAGCCGUCCACGAGGCGGAGGGAGCCGGAGGAGAGGAAGUGGAGGGCGCCGGCGGAGUCAACGGAGCCGGCGGACCAGAUGGGAAGGGCGCCGGAGUAGGAGAUGGCGGCGAGGAGAGAAGGGGGUGAGGUGGGCGGGUCAGCGGGGAAGAAGCCGAAAGAGAAGGUGGAGUCUGGGGAGGACCAGGUUUGGUUGGGAUUGGAAGCAAAGAGAGAAGAGCCGGGUGGGAUUGUGGCGGCCCAGAUGGGUUUGGUUUGGAAUAGAAGAAGACAGAAGAGAGGGAAGAGCAGAAGGUGGGAUUUCUUGAUCGCCAUUUUGGGUGGGUGCUCUGUUGAGGAAGGAAGCUCCAGUUUAGUUAGUUCAAGGAGGAAGAGAGGGAAAGGAAGACUUUGACUCAGAAUUCAGAAAUGGGAGGGUGGGACUGACUAGUCCUUCCACUUCUUCUUCCGACUUCCUAUGUUUGAAUGUGUGUUUCUUCUUUGUCUCUGUUUUCUCUCAGACUUUUAACUCUUCUAGAAGACUAGAACAUCACCAAGAACAAGUCCCUGUUCGGGCUUGCCGUGCUGCACUGAGAAGACUCGCUUAUGAAAUCGUUGUAAGAAGUGUUAGAAAAUAUUGAGACAAAUAACACUUGGAUUUAAUUUGAGAUGAAUAACAAGAAAUACAUUAUGAUAUCUGUGUCUUGUUACCUAUUGAGAAUGUAACAUUUUUACCUUCAUAGUCCUAUGAUGUUGAUCUUAACUAUCUAAUUACAGAGGUGGUUUGCAAGAAUUAACAUCAACAUUAUAUAUUGUACAACUCAGUAAUAUUUACUUCAGAUUGCUUCUUAUUUGAUCAGAAGUUCAGCACCUCAAACCCGACCAAUACCGGUCUUUGAACCUCUCCAACGACUUGAGUAGCAAAUACACCAAGAAAGCUACAAAACUAUUGGGGAAGACUCUUAUUUAAACAUGCACGUUGCAAAACUAGAGGGGAAUAGGAAUUAGCAUAUGAUUAAAUUUGAAGCCGGACGAGUUGGCUGACAUUGAUGGGGUAAGCAUCGCCCUGGAGAGUAGAAGCAUACGCCUUGGUUGCUAUUUCAACAUUUACAGCUUCUGUCGGAUGCAACCCAUCAAAAUACAUAUAAGUCGUCCUAUCUACACAUGUCUUCCCACCUCUAUCGCAUGAUAUUCCAUUUCCACCUGCACAUUAUGCAUAUAUAACGAUUCAAUGAUCACCACGACGACGAUGGAGAUGCCAUUGUUUAAGCUAAGGAAAAAAGAAAAGGAAAGGUUAGCACCUUGAGAGACCAGGGAAACUGCACAACAAGGGUUGUGUGUGUCUUUAAAGCCUGUAAUGAACAUAAGGCAACACAAGACAUAAAUUAGAAUAUACAAUAUGUAAUGUUGCAUCAAAAUUUGAAAGCACGUACCGAUACUGAUGAAAUUAAAAGUACCUGUUCUGGAAGGAGGAGACUGUGUUAGAUUAGAUAUAAUGUUAUAUUGGUUAACUAAAACGAAAUUGAAGUCAGAUAAGUGAGCUUUGAGAGAGUCAAGCAAUGUCUUCAAGCGAGCGUUGUAGAGCUCGGCUGCGUAGUUGAGACCUGAAGGAGUGCCAAUAAUAUUUGGCCUGGUAAUCACAGGACUAUUGCCUAGUGGCAUUAGCGACGUUACAACAAAUUUACGACCUCCCAGACUGUACAAUUUCUGCAACAACAACAAGAUAACAAAGUCUAAACAUCAAACAAUGUCAAUAUUUGAUAUAUGUCUGCAUGUUUCUCAACGCACGUCCUUACCUGGAGUUUCUGAUCAAGAGAGGCUAUGAGAUUUGCAGUGAAGGUUUCAAUACUGAUAAGGAGGUACAAUUUCCUAAGGAAAUAGUUGAGCAUGUAAUCAUUUCCACCAACUCCUACAACAAUCAAGUAGCUCGGUAGCGAUUGAGAGCUAUUGCACCCUAGCUGUGCUUCUAACUCUGCCAGUGUCACCACCUCAAAGUCCAUAAUUUGUUGACUCAAGCUCGUUGCAUUACCCUGAAAUUUAUUUCAAGAAAUUAAAACUAACCAGCAGUUUAAAUAUCUAUGCUAGUGAGACAUGAUACUCUUAUGCAUGCUAUGUAUCUGCUAGCUCACCAUGCAUGCAACUGAUGGUUUAUACAAACUAGCUAGCAAGCACAGGCUUCAUGUGAAAACUUUUAAUGUUCGUCUACAUAUGAACGUAUGGUUGUGGAUAGUUUACAAAUCAUGAAAAACUUUUAAGUUAUUUAUCAACAAGAAGAAAUUAAGCUAGAUUAGGAGGAAGCGCAUGAUAGGAGAUGAGAAAUCAAAACUAAGAUUGAGUCAUGAGCUGAUGAUUAAUUGAAAGGAGAUGUUAUGAAAUACGCACCGCAACUGAUCCUGUAUCAUUAAGGAUACCAGAAGAGCCGGAGGCAUGGUUGACACCAUGAAGAAUUUUACUUCCUUUAGCGGAGGGGUCUUGAAAUGGUGGGAUUAAGGGAAGCUUAACCUGAUCACAAAGGAGAUCAAUCACAUUUUUACUGUUUGUGAAUCUCCCAGAAGUCCCAUAUGGGAAGUCGAUUCCAUAUGGCAAGUAAUUGGCUUUGGACGUGGUUUCCAAGUAGUUAUUGUUGCCAUUGUCCACCAGAGAGCUUCCGAACACAAACAUCCCUCGAAUCGUAUUGUCACUAACAUCUUGUAUGAAGUGACAAUCAACAGUAGUGCCUGCGAAAGCUGAAGAUACAGAAGCAAAUAUCAGAGAAAGAUACAAACACACCAGUUUUGAAACUUUUUUUGGCAUAUUGACCCAGAAGAAUCAAGCAACUUCUUGAGAGAAGUAAUAAUGGAAAUAUAUGGAUGUAUGAUGAAAAACAUGAUAUAUAUAUAUAUAUAUAGGAUCCCUCCCGAUCUCUAGAAAUAGUAAAAAUAAGAGAUCGCUUAAUAGAAAGGUGUAUAUAUAUAUAUAUAGGAACAAGGUCUAGAACAAUAAAGUCCAUAAUGCAACCCAAUCAAGAAUAAAAGUCAAAUGCAUCUUGCCUUCGACUGCCUAACUGUUUUUAUUCUUAUUGUUAUUAAUUCUGGGGAUAUGCGAUGAAGAUGAAAGACGCGAGAGGGGAUAUGGGAUGCAGCUUAUUUUCGGGUUAAACCGGUAUGUAGUAGAGGGAAGCAAAUCUGCUGUGCCCAAAAACCCUGUGCCAAACAUGUGCCACCUACCAAAUUCUGACACAUGUCUCUACCCAAAACAGAGCUUAACUCUGUUAACCACAUCGUUAGUUUUAAUAAAAAAUGGAUAAAAGCAAACUUAAUUAAAGAUUACAAGAAUCAAUAUUCGACUCUACCUCUUCCUCUUUCCCUCUUUGUUCUUACGCUUCUUUGUUCCUUCUUUCUCUGCUUCUCUGGAAAAAAAAAAAAACCCAGUAUAUUUCUCCUUCUCUCUUACGACAUAGCUGCCGUGGUUUUAGUUUUUCUUCUUGUUCGUCAUCUUUAUGGCUGGUUUUGGUCGACAUUUGAGUGAUUGACUGACGAACUCUGUUUUCAAAGGCAGACAUAUCUUCUGUUCUUGUUUGUAAACCCAUCCUAGUUUCGAAUCUAUGUUCGUCUAUCUCUUUUGGCCUCACGAAGGAGAGACAUGAUUGCGAUGAGAAGAACUGAAAAGGUAUUACGACGAAGAGGAGGAAGCACUACAAAGAUGCGGAGGAGAGACAUGAUUGAACCUGUUGUGUUUAACUCCCGUAAUGAGCUACUGGGCUUUUCUUUUUAUAGGUUAAAGUUUGAUUUUGACGAGUUAUGAUUGGAAUUGUUGGGAUGCUGAAGUGCACAUUAGGUAUUCAAGAAGUGAUGUGAGAUAUUGCUGGAGGUGAUAUCUAUGUGAUUGGGAGAAAGCUAGGUGUGCCUUGGCUUUGGUUUAUUCUUAUGAUGCUGAUUGUUUCCUUGGCUGAAAAUGAUGACAAAACUGGACUCUUCUCAAUUUCAUAUGACAAACCAGAUGGUCCCUUGUCUUUGAUUAGGCAAAUCAGAUCAUGAACUUACAUAGUUACAUACUUGCCUCCCUUAUAUCCUAAAUACAUGAGUCAUGCAUUCCAAAAUGGACAAUUAGCAUUCAGUACCCUGAAAACAAUCAGUUUUUAGUUUCCUGUAGCUAGAGCAAUGAGUCAUCACCAUAUGCAUCUAUAAUUCCUUGCCCUUUAAAUAACAUGGUUAUUUGGGUUUAGCUCAAUCAAACUUCUCAUCAGUUUUGAUCCCAUAAGAAAUAAAGCAUUCCAUUCUCAAAUUCCGGUUUACAAAAUUGAUGGGAAAAUGGUACAUGUCCACUAAAUGACAUUUACACUGACAAAAUGGUGCAUCUUCUACAAGGAACAAACAACACUUGUUCAACAUGCUCCAUUCCAAUGACUGGAAUCAACUCUUUUCUAACCUUGGAAUGUACAUAAUCUACUUUUUCAUUACCUUCAACAGGUUCGAACUCCUUUUCUUCCGCACUAUCAUCUUCAGCCGAAGUGUUCAAGUCAAUUCCAUCUAAAAAAUCCAACUUUCGACGUGAGUUUGCUUGAAUAUGAACCUCUUCGCAACUAUUUUCUGUGUCCAUAAGCUUCAGCAUUAAACCAAACAAGAAUAAAAUGAAUAUCAGUACAUAAAGAAUGAUAUGCAUUCCAGAGAGUAAGAUGACGAACAAGAAUAAUAUUUGUCAUCCACAAAUAUGAAAACAGAAGAUAUGUCUACCUAUGAAAACAGAGUUCGUCAGUCAAUCACUCAAAUGUCGACCAAAACCAGCCAUAAAGAUGACGAACAAGAAUAAAAACUAAAACCACGGCAGCUAUGUCGUUGGAGAGAAGGAGAAAUAUACUGGGUUUUUUUUUUUCAGAGAAGCAGAGAAAGAAGAAUAAAGAAGCAUGAGAACAAAGAGGGGAAGAGGAAGAGGUAGAGUCGAACAUCGAUUCUUGAAAUCUUUAAUUAAGUUUUUUUUUUUAUCUAUUUUUUAUUAAAACUAACGAUGUGGUUAACAGAGUUAAGCUUGUUUUGGGUAGAGACAGGUGUCAGAAUUUGGUAGGAGGCACAGGUUUGGCACAGGGUUUUUGGGCACAGCAGAUUUGUUUCCGUAGUAGAGAGAGAGGGAAUGAUUCUCUCUUCUUCACGGAUUCAUGUUUAUUUUAAUUUAUUUAUGACUUCUUUUUUCAUACAGUUCAUGGGAUUUGGCACCGUGUUGAUUCUUUAGCCAAAUACUAGACUACUAGACAACAACCAAAUUUUGCAAUACGAAGACAUAAAACAUUAAUUAUAAGGGUUCGUCUACUUGAUGUAUUAAUUGGUACAUUAAUGUAUCUCCAAAACAAAGUAAGAAAUGAUAUAAUUUUUAGAAACCAUAUUAUCCAACCUGAAAAUGUUAUUUACUCUGCAGAGAAACAUUUCUGUUAUCAUUCUAAUGUUAGUGCUAGUUACCCUAAAAAAUUUUGCAGGUUUGUUAAGCCUAUUCGUUGGCUUGCUCUUCCUUCUCAGACACUUAAGCUCAAUUUUGAUAGAUCUAUUCAGAAUCACUCUGCCUCUUCAGGCUUUGUUUUUAGAGAUGCAGAUCGUCAACCUGUUUUAGUUUCUACAAAAAAUAUUGGUCCUAAUGAUGUACUCACGGCUGGAGCUUAUAUGUUACAUGCGGGUCUAUUAGCAGCCUGGAUCCAUGGUUUUUAGAAAAUUUUGGUUGAAGGAGAUUCGCAAAUUCUUAUCAAUUCAAUGAAUGGUACAUGUCUUAGCCCUUGGAAGAUUCAAGUUUUUCUCAAAGACAUUCUCUUCCUUACCUCUCAAAUUGGUCGAGAAGUGAAUUUUGUGGCGAAUGCAAUAGCAAAGCUGGGACAUCAAAUUGGAACACAAGCCGGCCUGGAACAUAUAUAUCCCUUCCUCUUGCAUGCAGCUAGUCAGGUUUUCUAUUUUGACUCUCUAGGUGGUAGUUGUAAUAAAGGUUUUGUACUUUGAGGUUAUUUUUUUUUAUCUUGUCGAAAAAAAAAUGUAUCUCCAAAAGACUAGUUAUGUUUAACUAAUGAAUAAUAGAUGGUUAAUUUUUUGAAAAACUCUAGUGCUUCUCUAAUUUUUUUUUUUUUUUUUGUAAAAAUGAUAUAAAUUUAGGCCUCGUUUAGUUCACGGAAAAUAAGCAUGAAGAAAUAAAAGUUGUUCCUUUUUAACGUUUGAGAAUGUUGAAGAAAAUGAAAUACUUUCUUGAAUGAAGUGAAAAUACAAGGGAAAAUAGGAACCAUAGGAACCACUUUCCUCCAUUAAUUACUUGCAUUUAUUACUUACAAUACAUUAUUUUAUUGCUUUAUUUAACAACUUUUCGAUUGAUUUUCCUUAUGUUACCAAACAUCGGAAUGCAAAAUUAUCGAAAAAAUUUAUUUUCCUUCUCUUUUCUAUUCCGUGGAAAAACAAAAAAUUAUUUUUCUUUCCGUGAACCAAACGAGACAUUAAUGGUAGGACGCUCGAUCCAUCCAAGCCCACCCCCGCCAGUCCUGAAAUCACCGCGCCUCCUCCACUCUCUUCGACCACCUCUUUCUCAAUCUUCUCUUCUCGAUCCAUUUAAUUUCAUUUCAAGAGUAUGACUCGAGUUGAUAUUACCAUCAUAAGCAUCAACCCCAGAUGAAACUACUGGUGUUGCAACUGUUGAUUCAAUUUAUGAGAGUUCUUGGGAAUUCCUGCUCAACAAGUUCUUGAAAAUCGACAUGCGCUAUGAGUCAAGUAGUAGCGGGGCUCUUUAUUUGGCUCCGCAAAGUUUCAUCCAAAUUGAUGAUAUAUAUAGAAAGCUGUAAAUACCAUACCAGUCAACUGAACACAUAUUACAAACCGGUCUGCUGGACUUUUUCAUUCCCUACCAAACUUAUAAAUAUUACCAAGCUAUAAAGUCUUACCCAACUUAGCUAAAUCCUACAUAUUAGUACCUCUCUAGGUGACCACGAAAAGAACCAUGAAACUUAUUAUUGGUAUUGGUAGUGCAGCCAAAUAUAGAAGGAAAACAAUUAAAGAUGAUCACUGCCAUAUAUGCACCAGCCUAUAUUUGGAUUUGGAUCAACUGUUGGAUAUUGGUUGGAUAAACUUCAGUUUUGAGAGUGGAGACGAAUGCCUUGGUUGCUAUUUGAACGUUCACUGCUUCAGUUGGAUGCAAGCCAUCAAAGAAGACAUAACUGCUUCUAUUCAGGCACACUUGCCCUCCCCUUUUGCAUAGGAUUCCAUUUCCUCCGUUACUUAUUGUUGCCACUUCACAACACGUCCCUCUCAAAUCUCUGAAUCCUGUAACAGUAACCCCAUCAAAUUUGGACGAUACUUAAGCAUAGAUUAUAAAUAUAUAAAUAUGAUUUUUCUCAGCUGCGGACGUCCGCACCAAUGGUUUGGUGCGGAUUUUCAUUUUUUCACAACUUUUCGAUCGAAUUUCCUCAUCUCCACCGUUUAGUAUCUAGAUAAUAUUGUGUAGAUCAUCUCUGCAAAAUUUCAGCCAAUUUGGUAAUCGUUAAGGCCCUCAAACUCAAAAACAAAUAGGACGGAUGGAAUUCUGUCCAGUUCAUGUUNNNNNNNNNNNNNNNNNNNNNNNNNNNNNNNNNNNNNNNNNNNNNNNNNNNNNNNNNNNNNNNNNNNNNNNNNNNNNNNNNNNNNNNNNNNNNNNNNNNNNNNNNNNNNNNNNNNNNNNNNNNNNNNNNNNNNNNNNNNNNNNNNNNNNNNNNNNNNNNNNNNNNNNNNNNNNNNNNNNNNNNNNNNNNNNNNNNNNNNNNNNNNNNNNNNNNNNNNNNNNNNNNNNNNNNNNNNNNNNNNNNNNNNNNNNNNNNNNNNNNNNNNNNNNNNNNNNNNNNNNNNNNNNNNNNNNNNNNNNNNNNNNNNNNNNNNNNNNNNNNNNNNNNNNNNNNNNNNNNNNNNNNNNNNNNNNNNNNNNNNNNNNNNNNNNNNNNNNNNNNNNNNNNNNNNNNNNNNNNNNNNNNNNNNNNNNNNNNNNNNNNNNNNNNNNNNNNNNNNGAGAGAGAGAGAGGUACAAUUUACAUGUACAUAUCUCCAUAUAUGAGAUAAAAGCUUUUCAUGCAGGGAGAGCUGCAGAUGCAGGUGGCAAAAUUAAUCAAAACAGUCUCUGCUCCCGACAUCGUAACAGAGAUACCGAUCUUAUAUGGCCAUAAAUACGAACUGUAUCUGGCUAUCUGCCAUAGUUAUCCUGUCAUUCAAUUCAAUCCAACACUGCAUGAACUAUAAAUAUCUAUGAAGAAAACGAAACCCCGCCCGUUCGAUCUGUACGUUUGGAACUUGGACCAACUUUACUACUAGAUGGGGUAGAUAUAUAUAUAUAUAUUUUGAAUACAUGUAUGUAUGUUGUUUCAUUGAUCAGUCAUAUUGGUAGAGAUGGAAUACGCAACGAUGAUAAAAAUAUCGCGUGUGCAGCUAGCUAGCACGUACCUUUAGUUGUGUGGAGAGAGAUGAAGUGAGAUUGGCGGUGAAGACUUGAAGACUGACAUUAUUGGGGUUGGCCAGGAAGUAGUUGAAAGAGUAAUCGUUACCACCAGUUCCCACCACAAACAAGUAGUUACCAACUGAUGAUCCCAAGCUUUUACUGCACCCCAUCCCAAACCCUAACUGGGUUUUCAACUCUGGCAAAGUUACCUCCUCGAAAUUUCUUAUUUGCUCGUUCAGACUCAUUACAUGUCCCUGUAAUUGAUUAAGUAAUAAUGUGAAUAACCCAACAUCAGAAUCCAGGGUACAAAAUAAUUUAACCUAAUCUAGCUAGCUCUGAUUCAUGCCAAAAGCUGCAUAAAAGCUUACUCUAAUUGUGCCAUCCAUUACCUUUGGCCUAAUUAUUAAGCAUUUUGAGUACCGUAGCUACUACAGAAAGUAUUAUGCAAUAUAAAUUUUGUCUUUUAUUUUGUUUGCUAAAAAGAUGACAAUUGAGUUUCAGGGAGUACUACAUGUUUGGUGGAUAGUUAGCUUAAUCAGUAACAAAUUUGGUCGCUGGUGAUGAAGGAAUUAUCUUAGUUUCUUUUGAAAGUUUCGAAUGAGGACUAUAGUAGCUUUUGAAACUAAUAUAUGCCUCCGUAAUUCUAGAUUAUAUAUGAGCAUCAUUUCGAAUGAGGACUAUACUAAUCUUAUUCUACAUUUUCACAGUAAAAAAUACAAGAAUAUAUGAUUCAACAAAGUUAAUGGCUAGCACAUUCAAAUGAUGAAAGUAUGUAUAACGAAGAAAUUAAUGAAGCAAGUAGGUGUUGGUAUGUUACCGCUAAGGAGCCAGUAUCAUCGAGUAUACCAGAAGCACCAGAAGCGAAGUUGACACCAUGAACAAUUUUGCUUCCUUUAGUUUGGGGAUCAGCGAAUACUGGAAUCAAGGAAGGUAUCUUAAGCUGCUCUCCAAGAAGAUCGAUGACAUUCUUUCCAUUUGUGAAUCUCCCAGAAGGCCCAAGAGGAAAAUCAACGCCAUAUGGCCAGUAAUCAGCUCUGGCCAGUGAGUUUUGUAGGAAGUUGUUGUUGCCAUUGUCAACCAGAGAGCUUCCGAACACAAACAUCCCUUUGAUCCCAGCAGUAGUGCUUCUAGUUUCACCUUUUCUGUUUACAUUACAAAGACAGAAGCAUUGGAACGAGCAAGAGAGGAGGGAGACACCUAAGAUGAAAAGCCUCAGACAUGAUGAGUUUCCAGCCAUUUUUUGAGUUGUGGUGAUGGUGGUGUACGUGGUAUGUCAUGUUUGUCACUGGAGCUGGGUAUAUAUACUAGAAACCAGUAGUAUGACAAUAAUGCUAGCUAGAGUUGUCAACGUCAGAACUUGUUGACCAAAUUAUAUCAGUAAGUGCACAUGCGAUGGUAAGGUUAAGGCCAGUAUAUAUCAGUGGUAAACAAUUCGUUAUAUAUGUUAAGAAGUUAAGGAGUUAUCUCUUAUGGCAUGACUAAUUUGGAAUGAAAACGAGAAUGAUGGAAUUGAUUUUGAAAUAAGAAAAUUUCGACAUUUAUUAACAUAUCAAGAAAUUAGAAUGGGUGUGGGUCACAUCUACUUAUCACAAAUUAAUUCAUAACAAAUCUCUAACUCGAUACCCAAGGGAAAAGAUGAGUUUAAGAAUCAAAGUCUCUAAAAUCAAAUUUUUCUACAUCCAAUCCCUUCAUGUAAUUUCAAUAUCUCCAAAUUAUAACCUUAGAUACACACACAAUUUUUAACAUUAGAAAACAAAACGACAAAAAGAAAAUAAAAAAUGUUGGUUACCGAUCUUUCCCCUCUCUUCCAUGGUGAUCUUCUACAUUUUUUUUUCACUCUUAAUUUAUAUAUACGUGCUUGGUUGUUGACUCAACCUACUUGGUUCUUCGUAUCGAUUUAUAAUAUGAGAUGGUUAUUUAUAGGGGUAAAUUAGUGAUCAAAUUAGUUUUAAUUAUGAUGUCAUAUGGCAAGUAAGCAACAUCAACUGUUUUUAGUCUCAUUCUUUUUUUUUUUUUUUUAACUCAAAGACAAUUUUGUCAUUAGUACUAAAGUGGAGGGUACAAUACAAAUCGAUCUGUUGCCAGGCGUACAGAGGACAAACAAGAUCAUUUGAUCCGUAUGAGGGUUGCAUCCUCAUCACAAAUUUUGGCUCACAAGGAGCCUAUAAUCUAAUAGCAAAUAGAUUAUAGGCUAAGAUCCCACCUAGAAAACUAGAAAAAGACAAAAAGAAAGAUAGACUCAUAACUCCAAGACGUCAUGAGACACAAAAAGUGCGUAGGCACAAAAGUGCUUAGAGUCCUAAUGAAAGAAACUUAUUGUACUAGAAAACAAUAAACUAAAAAGCAUCCUAAAACCAAAAAGAAUUAAACCUAAACCCAAAACAGUUGAUCUAGCCCAAACUUAGGAAGGACAUGGAAGAGGAACACCGUAGCCGUCGCCGCCAUGAGAUGAAGUUGCAUUCGUGAGAUGUCACCGUCGUGAGACGCCGCCUCCUUGUUCCGUGCAGCCAUAAGCACCCACAAGCACACCCCAGGGAGAAGAAACUCUAUCGUUGCCACGAACUUAAAGACCAAACAACAUCUCCACCAAACCAAAACUCCUCCCAAGAAUAGACAAGGACGGAGAUGAAAUUGGGAAGAUGAAACCAGAUCUGCUCCUUGAGUCCAUGGUGUUAUACCUCCACCCUGAUCUGAAAAGCCACGCAGAUCAAAAGCUGUUAAGAACCUCUGGUCAAUUACCUCUCAAAGCAUUUGGUUGCUGAUAUAUCCUUCAUCUGGCAACAAAGUCAUACGGCUUCAGCAGAUCUAGAGACCUGUAACAUCCUGGAAUUUCAUUUUUCUAUUUUUAAAAGGAAAAUUAUUUUUCGAGCUAUUUUUAUUUCGAUUUCUAUUAUUCUUCAAUUCUUUGUGGUUUUCGAAAAUUAUUCAAAUUUGCAGUUUGUCGAUUUUUGUCUUUCGAGCCCGUAGGAUUAACCUAGACAUCGUUACGAGUUCGUAAGAUUUUUCAGAACAUCGUUUGGACAUCAGAGCUAUUUUUAAUGAGUUUUAGAAGUUUGGUAUUAUCCAAAAAUUUAAUUAAAAAUAGAAUUUUCGGUGGCUUGAUCUGGACUAUUGGAUUUUAAGGAACAGUUUAAUCUUGGCCGUUGAGUGAGAGUAUAUAUAUUUUGGAUCAGUCCAGACGACAGCCCAGACCGACCCCGUCUCGACUGCGACGGAGCUCGAUCGCUCCUCCGUCUUCCGGCCGUCUCCCGGUGCAAGGCCGGUGUCCACAGGUCCGUCUAGACGUCGCCGACCUCACUAUGUUCUUCGUGUUCGAAGAGGAGUUCUGGCGAGAGAGAAAAGAAGGAGAGAAGGAAUUCUGGGUUCGCCGGUGAGAUUCUGAUUCCGGCGACGGCGGCGAGCGUGAAUGAUACUGGAAGCUUCCUCUCAUCCUCGUGGUCUUCCCUAUGUCCUCAGUUUCUUCAGAAGAGGUCGGGAGAGAGAGAUUCGAAGUGGAGAAGGAGAGGCUGGGUUCGCCGGCGAGUUUCCGAUUCCAGCCAAGUCGAGGUCUCUCACUGGUAUGGAUAGCUUCAUCUCGAUCUCAGGAACCUUUCCAUUUUCUUGGUUUUCCCAGACGAGCUCUGAGGAGGGAGAAUCGAAGAGGAGAAGUUCUGGAAUUUUCCGGCGAGGGCUCGGUGUUUUCCGGCCACCGGUGAAGGCAAGUGAGGUAUGAAACUUGAUCUUCUCGUCGAGAUCUUCCCCUCUAUAUAAUUGAAAUUGAGUUUGGUUAAGAGAUGAAGAAUUUGGGAUUUAGGCAGUCGGUGACCACCGUGUGUGGCCACUGUGUACGGCGGCGACGGUGGUUCUAGGAGUUGGUUUCCAACUUUAUUAGUAUGUUGAAUUGUGGAGUGAUUGUAGAUGCUUUGAUUUUGAUAUUGGUGGAGUUUUGAGAAAUCUGGGUUUUGGCAGUGUUUGUGAUCGCAGAGAGUGCCGCUGUUGGCGGCGGCGGUGAUGGUGCUUUUGUCUGUGUUGCUGAUUUCCAGUGGUUAUGAAUCUCUACGCAUGCUUUUGAUUGUUAUAUGUAUUAGAAAUUUAGAAGCAUGGGAAGUGGAUGAUCGAAUGAUCGUACUGUGUUGUUUGGACAGUAAGAACAGUGGUUGUGCAUCUCAGAUUUUGGGGUUACUAUAUGUCUAUUUGGUGAUGUUGGCUUGAUAAAUAGAUCAAGGAGAUUUGAUUUCAGAAACUGGAAAAGAUGGUAACUCGUUGGAUUGGACGGUGAUGAAGUUGCAAUAGAAAUGUAGGCAGAGACUAUAAGGCUGAAUAUAUGGAUACAUUAUGGGUGUAUGGUACUUUGGGUGUCCAAAGUAAAUUCUGAAAUUGGAUUAGUGCUUGGAGCACAGCUGGGAUCUGAUGACGGAAAGGUGUGGAUAAAGUGAAAUAAGUACGUGUGAUAUUGCGUUUGGAGAUUAUAUCAGAAGGUGAGAGGACAUAAGGCACAAGGAUUUGGGUGUCCUUAGCGAAUUUUGAGGACUUUGAUUCGUAUUGGUUUGAAGUGAUUCGCCGAUAUUCUCAGAUUAAGGAUUUGGUACGAGGAUCGAAUGCAAGUAGCUGUAUUCCAGAAGCAGAAGGAUAAGGAUUUCAGAAAGCGUGUCGCUGAGUUACUAAUAUCGUUUAGCAUCAAGGAUUAACGCUUGGAUUUCAUGUAGGGUCUCUAUCGGGGAACCUUUCUUUAAUUUGAUAAUUAGAGUAAUAAUUGAAAUGUGUGAUUUGUGUGCCAUUGAGUAAUUAACUCUUGGUUGUUAUUGUUUUUGUUCAAAGCAUGUGUAAUCGCUGAUUUAUAUGAAAUUGAUGUUAUUGCUUUUCAUUAAAAGCAUGUGUUAAAUAUUGUAAUGCAAGUGUUGUUACUCAUUGACAUGCAUAAUGUAUUGUGAGGAAUUGUGAGAGGUGAGAAUGAUGAUUCUAGAGAGGAGAAUGAGAUUAUU